rnacentral:lncRNA from 1 species
CUCACCUACUUGGCCACGACGGCCUCCUUGCCGUCGGCAGCCGCGGCCUUGGCCUUGCCGUCGUCCUGCUUCUCGAAGGCGGAGACGGGGAAGGUCCUCCCCAGCCCUGUGGGCGUCUUGAAGGUGAUCUUGGAGGGAUCGUCCUUCUCGAUGUACAUGUCGCAGAGGGUGAUCCAGAUGAGGAGCUCCUUGCUCUUGACCCCGGUCAUGCGCUUCAUCUUGCGGUCCUCGACGAAGGCCGUCACCUCGGUGCCGUACGAGACCUGCCGCCCGAUCUGCUUGAAGGUGUGCGUGAGCGCCUUCUUCUGGCGCAGCCAGACGAAGCCGGUGGCGCGGUUGUAGCCCACCUCCUCGAUGUCUGCCAGCGGCAGCAGGCCCAGCGGCAUGUUGGUCUCGGCCAGCAGCUCCACCGCCUUCUCCGCGCACAGCGCCGCGCCGUGGUACACCUCCGCGCCCUCGCUCUGAGCCUCGAUCGCCUGCGCCAUCUCGACUAAAAUCUUCUCUGAAAGUAAACUCAGAGAUUCAACUGUGGAUGGGGUCGACGCGCUUGGGUUGCUGGGGCCUUUUUUGGUCUUGGGGGAUUUGGUUUGCUGUUGUGGGAUUGGGGGGUGGGGAAGGGCGGAUUUUAUAGGUGGAAAGCAGGUUGGUGUUUCCCGUUCCGGGAUGGAUACCGUCGUCAGAGCUGGGGAGGAAGACGGUUGGGAGCGGGGAUUUAAGGCGAGGGCUUAUUAAUGCGUGGGGAGGAAGACGGUUGGGUCUCUCCGACUCUCUGACGCAAGCACGCGGCGGCGUUCGGUUGAUGGAUUCCUUGCUUUUUUUUUUUAACCUUGCAUAAUGAAUCAUGCAGGUUUAUGUCGCUUCCGGGGUUUAAUACUACGAAUCGCACGUGGUUACUUCAUCCAUCUUCAGAUCUUGCGCCGACUUAUAGCAUCUCGAACAUGCUUAUAUUAUCUACUACCACUAUAAAAAAAAAAGAGGGGCAGAUUCAAACAAUUUUAUCCGUCCAUCUAAAUAUCUGAUGGCCCAUAAUCCUUCCAUGUUUAACACAACAAGCCACGCAUUAAGUCAACCCAUCCAUCCUCGCUAACCUGCACCAAAAAAAAAUCACUCCCAACAACGCACGCCCGCACGACCUCUCCCCUCUCAUCCCAACGCUCGCACGACCUCUCCCCUCUCCUCCCAACNNNNNNNNNNNNNNNNNNNNNNNNNNNNNNNNNNNNNNNNNNNNNNNNNNNNNNNNNNNNNNNNNNNNNNNNNNNNNNNNNNNNNNNNNNNNNNNNNNNNNNNNNNNNNNNNNNNNNNNNNNNNNNNNNNNNNNNNNNNNNNNNNNNNNNNNNNNNNNNNNNNNNNNNNNNNNNNNNNNNNNNNNNNNNNNNNNNNNNNNNNNNNNNNNNNNNNNNNNNNNNNNNNNNNNNNNNNNNNNNNNNNNNNNNNNNNNNNNNNNNNNNNNNNNNNNNNNNNNNNNNNNNNNNNNNNNNNNNNNNNNNNNNNNNNNNNNNNNNNNNNNNNNNNNNNNNNNNNNNNNNNNNNNNNNNNNNNNNNNNNNNNNNNNNNNNNNNNNNNNNNNNNNNNNNNNNNNNNNNNNNNNNNNNNNNNNNNNNNNNNNNNNNNNNNNNNNNNNNNNNNNNNNNNNNNNNNNNNNNNNNNNNNNNNNNNNNNNNNNNNNNNNNNNNNNNNNNNNNNNNNNNNNNNNNNNNNNNNNNNNNNNNNNNNNNNNNNNNNNNNNNNNNNNNNNNNNNNNNNNNNNNNNNNNNNNNNNNNNNNNNNNNNNNNNNNNNNNNNNNNNNNNNNNNNNNNNNNNNNNNNNNNNNNNNNNNNNNNNNNNNNNNNCGAACGCGGCCGCGCGCGAUCCAGCAGCUCGGCGGCGCCCUCAUCCCUUGCCACUCCGGUCGCAGGUCUCCUUCCUAACCACGAAGCAGGUGCACGGGGGUGGGCUCCGGCGAACGCGGCCGCGCUCCAGCCCGCGGCGCGGCGGCGCCCGCUCCGCCUCUCCUCUCCGGUCGCACCGGUCUCCUCUCUAACCAUGAAGUGGGUGCACGCAGGGCGGGCUCCGGCGAACGCGGUCGUGCGCGGGGUGAGCACCGGCGAACGCGACGGCGCCCGCAUCCCUCGCCUCUCCGGUCGCACGUCUCCUCCCUUCCUACGAAGUGGGCGCAUGCGGGGUGGGCUCUGCCAACCGCGCCAGGAGCUCUGCUUCCGCAACGGCCGCAUCUACAUCAAGCUCGGCUAGCACAUCGCACAACUGGUACGGAACGAAAUUCUUAACUCUGUGGAUACGCCUGAAUUCGCUUUGGAUUCAUGUCAAGAUUGCUCUUAAUUGUUUGUAUGUUGACUUUCCCACUUCUCUUUUCAGCAGGCUACUUGAAUUUUAGGCGAGACGGCAGGGCUCACAAGCAUAGCUGUAGCAUUCCUGAAUCUCACGUACACAGUUAAGAAAUAUUCUCCCGCUCGGAAAGUCAUUUUUGUGCACUUGUUUUCUAGCUAGCAGCUGCAUCCUUUAUAGCCGAGAGAGAUUGUUUUACUGCAUGAUGUUCAGGUGUAGCUACCAUUAGCCUUACUGGAGCAAAUCAACAUUUCACAGGAAUUUCAUCAUAAACAUCGAACCCACAUACACUCAAAAUAUAACAUUCUUCUCUGGAAUUUGAGUUUUUUUCAGAAGGUUAUGAUAAUUUGUUAUGAUAAUAUUUUGUCGCUUGUAUUUAAUCCUUGGGGAUUAGGAUCUUUCCCAUUCUGAGGAGUCCAAUUGAUACUUCCCAUUAUUUUUCAGAAAUCUAUCACAUUAUUUUCUCUAGCUACGCUGCACCUAGCUACCACAUUUUAAGUAAUAUUAUGUCUUAUCAUCUGAGGAGAGAAGGAAUGAACCAGGGUAUUCAUGUCUUAACAUGGAUGGGACCGAAACUUGCUAUUAUGCACUUGGAUUAUGUUUCUUUUGUUUUUAUUUUGCUAGCUCGUAACGUAUAUCAUUUAAUUUUCGGCUCUACCACAUGAUUUCAUACUAAUAUCUGGUUGUAAGCAUCUUUUAAUUAAAAACGUGUUUCUGGGUCUCCUUUGAUAUUGAUAUAAGAUUUAUUGCCAUCAGUUUACUUGGCACAGAUAAAAUAGUUCUCAAUUUUGUGCACAGCAGUAUACAAUCAUGUGGCACUCAACAAAACGAGGCGUAUCCAUUUUUAAACUAUAUAUAGAACUGAAUCACAUUUAAAUCGUGUAAUGGCAGUGUGUUCGUAACCCAAGUUCUCCAGGGACAACGAUGAAUUCAUUAGUGCAACGCGAUAGCCGCCGUAUACAUCGACUGCUGUUCGUGCUCGAAUCAGGGCGGGACCAAUUACCCAGAUUUCGCUCCCCAUGGUGCUCCCAAGCUGCAGCGACAAUGCUUUUUGUCCAUCCACCCCUUUCUUUCCCCCACGUCCUACAAGGCUACAACGCACCCUUGGACUGUAUCCAUGUGGUAGUGCCUCAAGCUUACGUUAUGUGUGAGCGUUUGGUUCAUUGGUUGGUUUCCAGUUAUGCUUUGGGAGGCGAGAUUGGGUUCAGACGAGUUGAGCUACCUGUUCUAAUCACAGAGGCUGAACUGCGAGUUUCAGAGGGCAAUGUGCUACGUAAUGGUGUGAUCUAUCUAUUUUUCUUUUCUUUUGAUGAUAGCAAUUUUUUGUUCAGGCGAAGGCUUUUGUUGAUGUCCCAAUGUGAAGGUACAACGCUGGCUCAUAUAUCUUCAUAUUUUAUCCUGUCUACAAAUCUCCCAGAUUUUAGUUUCCACUUGCUUUGAAUCAACGAAAAGGAGACAUCCAAUAAUUUAGUUCCCCUUUCCCUUGUAGAGUUGAUGUUUCCUCUUCCUUUAAAGAGUUGAUGCACAAGAUUCAUCCUGGGCCAAAGUUCGUGGAAUAUUUUCCAAAAACCAGUAUAAACAAGAACCUAUUAUGAGAUUAUUCACAUGAUUUAUCAUAGGGCAGGUAUAGAUUUGGUGCUAGGCACAAGUGAAGAAAUAGAAAUAUUUUCCAUCUCCAUGCCAUCUGUUUCUUUUUCCUUAUAAAGAACUUGUUUGUUUUCUGGAUUAUGGUUGUUCGGUUCAUUGUCCCUGCUCCGUGCACCCACAAAGGUUAGUGUUCAAGCAACAAUCUUUAGCUAAUAUACCUUUUGACAUUUGCAACCAUACCAAGAUUAAAUUAUAAAUGAGAUGUAUUUGUAGUAAAUUCAUGGCCCAAUAUUGCAGAUGCAGCUCACGAACAAAUUUAUUAUUCAAGCACGGUUAGAGAGCACCCUAUGAAUCGACUGCACCAUUUUGAGUUGCUUUAUUUACGAAGGCAUUCAUGCUUGAUCAUGUGGAAAAAAAUGUUGGCAUGCAGACCCGCAGGAGGCUAUAAGAAAAUUAUCUAAUGACAUUGCAAAAUCUGAUAGAGAUUGGCUUGUCACGAAGUGUUCUUGAACAAAGAGAUUAGCAUAAGGAAUUAUAACUCUGUUCUUUUUUUGCAGCAAACCAUUUUGAUAGGUAGUUCUGGUAAGGUAGUCUGUUUUAACAUUCUUUUGCUCAGACCACUCUCUCAUCCGCACUUAAAAAUCCAUAAUCUGCUCAUUCUAUUCAGAACAUAGUCUGUUUUAACAUUGUUUUGGGAAAGAGGCAUGAAGCACACCAUGUAACCAUUACUGUUCGUGCUAAUUAGAGGAACGAGAAGAAGAGAUGUCUAAUAUCGUAUUAAAAUCUUGUGUGAUGUUUUAGAGGAUGGCGAAGACAGUGCAGGGAGCUGACGGCCUGUCCGCGGUGAGGAGGUGAUGGAGAAACAACCCCACACUUGAUGGGUAGGUGCAGGGCGGGGAGGGUGCCGGCCAGGAAGGUGACGCUGCUGUCAGCGGCGAGGUAAUCAGGAAGGCGACGAUGCUUCCGUGUGGCGAGGGGAUCAGCCUGGGGAUAUGUUCCUUUUUUUUAUGGGAUAUAUGUCUCUUUUUAUUUGCGUGGCUUGCAUUAUGCGUGAUUGUAGGGGUUUUGGUGGAGUGUGCCUGAGUUUGUAUCCUCCUCUGCGGUGGAGUGUGCCUGAGUUUGUAUCCUCCUCUGCGGUGGAGUGUGCCUGAGUUUGUAUCCUCCUCUGCGGUGGAGUAUGGUCAGUCAAUGUAAAUCUGAAAGUGCACACUGGAAACAUAUUACAUUAACACUAGCCAUUAGAUUGAACUCAGUGGGCCUAAUCAUGCGGCACGUUUAGUAAAGAUUAUGUUUGAUAUUUAUAGCACAUUUACAUGGUAAUCUUUGUUUUUUCCAGGAAUAUAUUGGGCUCAUACAUGAUGGCCCCUGAUCCUGGAAAAAUGAACAGAGAAGACGUUAUUGAUUUUGAAUAAAUUAUUUUGUAAGGUUCACUACUACUAAAAAUAUUUUAGUACUGUAGAGGAACACCGUCAAAUGUGCUUUGAGUUGUGGCUGCUCAUAUUUCAGGCAUUUACAAGGCCAUCAAGAUCGUCAAAACAAAGAUUCAUGUAUCCAUGAGCGCUUGUCAAAUUUAUGCAAUUUUGUACAUGAAUGGGUAUCUUUAAGAGUGGCUUCAAAGUCUAUAUCUGAGAUGAUGGCUCUCGGCAGAAGGCGAGGGCCCAUCUAUUAGACGGAUGACCACGUGGUGGCCUUCUAUUCGUUAGGGUUUGCGGAGAGUAGGCUCUUGGCAAAGAUCAGUGAGUAGCUCAGACUUCAUAUGAAUAAUCAACUAAAAGAAUAGGUGAGUAGUUGAGACUUCAUAUAAAGAGCAAUCAUGUAAUAGGUAUCCACGCAUUUUCUGUUUAUAUCAUGGAUGUAUCUUCGUUUCUGAUUUUUUGUUUUCGACAACUCAAACACCUUGUUUAAUACUUUCUUCGCUCGGACUAACUGUUGUUGAAACGAGUGUAUCUAGAUACACUCAUUACAACGAGAGUUAGUUCUGGACGGAGCUUGUAUUUACAAGCCUUUUUUGCCAACUGUUCAAAUAAGCUCUUAUUUUGUGUAAAUGGUCAAACAAUGCACUUCAAAUAAUUAAGUUGUUAUCCCAGGAAUAUUUUGGAAGAUGUUGUACUUAUCAUCUCAGAUAAUCCUUAGUCAUUACACAUACUGCAUUUUCAUUUAUUUAUUUUCAAGAAUAGCACAUAUUACAUUUCUGUACUACUAUAGAUGUUUGAUAUAUUGUGAGUAUAGACUAGCACAUAUCACAUUUCUUUGCAACUAUAGACUAGCAUAUCACAUUUCUUUGCAACUAUAGAUGUUUGACAUAAUGCGUGUUAGUAUAUACGUGCGUUGCACGUGCAAGCUUACUAGUAGGGAUAAGAUGUGCAGUUUGUCUAAUUCACAUCUAGAUGUGUGUCGCGUUCAUAGAUGAGUGUACGUGCAUGUUACAUGUAUGUGAGCAGCUUCGAUUCCAUUGUGUUCAAAAAUUAUGUGCUAAUCGUGAUAGCCUAUUAAACCGAUGGACGCAGAUGGUAUGAAAUUAGUUGGGGCCGCCCCCUCACUUCGUCCCGCGAGCGACCCGGGGAGGGGGUGGGGGGCUCUAACUUGCGAGCAAACCUCCCUCCCCUUCCAUCUCUUCUCUGCCGCCACUUCCGAGAGGNNNNNNNNNNNNNNNNNNNNNNNNNNNNNNNNNNNNNNNNNNNNNNNNNNNNNNNNNNNNNNNNNNNNNNNNNNNNNNNNNNNNNNNNNNNNNNNNNNNNNNNNNNNNNNNNNNNNNNNNNNNNNNNNNNNNNNNNNNNNNNNNNNNNNNNNNNNNNNNNNNNNNNNNNNNNNNNNNNNNNNNNNNNNNNNNNNNNNNNNNNNNNNNNNNNNNNNNNNNNNNNNNNNNNNNNNNNNNNNNNNNNNNNNNNNNNNNNNNNNNNNNNNNNNUCCCAUUCCUUCCUCGCCCAUCACUGCCAAGAGCUCGGCCGGCGGCCAGGGGGGUCAUUCUUCCCUUUCGCUUGCCCCCUAGUGCCUGGUGUGGGACGAUUGGUUGAGCAAUGGCGCAACGCUAUUAGGGGAUGAAGCGGCGCAUCGGCUGACGACGGCCUGUGCACAUUGGGUGAUGCGGCGGUUGUGUGAUGUGUCAGAUAGGGCAGCGGCAUCUAGGCUCCAUCCCGGCCAAAUCCACCCGAAUCUGGCACCUGGGGGACGGUGAGCGGCACGUCAUGGUGGCGGUGGCCCAUCUAGGUCGUUUCAUGGGGUGGUGUGGGGCAACGAGGUGGUGGCUUCUCGUGACAUUUGUUGACGGUGCGGCAGCCACAAUGAUUGGGAGGCCAUGCCAUGGUGACGGCUAGAUUCAACUCCGGCUUCGGCUCGUUUGCUGCCAGCUCAGGUGGGCGCUCCUAGGGUCCGUCUGCAGCAACUGGGUGCGGGCUGGCCCAUACUGUUGGAAAUAUGCUUUGGAGGCAAUAACAGAAGUGGUAUUAUUUAUUUCCAAUUUUAUAAUUAAUGUUUAUGUUCUAUGCUAUAUCCGCAAUGGUUCUCGAGUCUGCAAUAACCACGAGGCUCAGGAAAAAACUCAUGUGCAUGUGUAGAAUAAUAAACGAUAAAAUAGAUUCCUAAUUUCGCCUCUAGGACUAGCUUAAGUGUUGCAUGAUGGUUCCGUUUUCAUGAUCAUGGCCAUAAGUUACGUGUAGCGAUGGUGCCGACAACACCGAGGGCACGAUGUUAGAAGAAUUCUUGUGUUGACUUGGUCUAAGUUUUAUUUUAUACUAAGAGAUGCUUUCGUCACAAGUUUGUAGUUUAUAAUACAUAGAAAGUUAAUGUAUGCAAAAUUCCUUAGACCAUGAUAGUAUUGAGUCAUCGGUUCACACUGGACGAUCUACUUUGGGCUUGUUCUAACGUCAACCAUAACAACGUGAUCAUAACAAUAAAUUACAUGUUCAUCAAAAAUGUAGGACAAUGGAAUAGAUACUCAACAUUGAUAUUAGCUCCUCCAACGAUGGAGAUAUAUUCUUAGGGGCCUCUUGGUGUGAAGGUAUCCAUCAUCGUCUGGACUGAUGCAAUGUGACUUGAUCACAGGGAUGCCGGAACACAGCAACGAGAAAAGAGAACAAAACCGGCAACGAGAAAACUAGCAUAGUGAUCAUGUGUUGAUUCGCGGGGAUGUUGUUGGUCUCACCUCAAUUUUUGUAAAGUAUCGCAAAGUAAAAGGAAUGACAUACGGUGGCUACAUGUUCACUCGAUAAUCAUUCAUGUGGGUAUAGGGGUCAAUAUGCAUGUCCAUGGUUCCCCUAUUGCUCAUUGAACAGAAGGUGUUCAAGUCAUGUCUAUAAUUCAUCGAACCUACAGGGUCACACGCUUAAGGUUCUUCGAUCUAUUGAGUGCUAAUUGAGUUAGGAGCUUAGGGGAAUAUCACAGAAAAAGUUUGGAGGUAAUGGAAAUCAUUCUGAGAGAAAAUCAGAAGUGUUCGGGAGAAAACCUGGUUAAACCGAAAUGACGGAAAACUUCCGGAAGGGAAAAUUCCCAAAGCCCCCUAGAAUUAAAUAGGCACCGGCAUGGGCCUAUGAGACCCAAGAAGGAGGGCGCCCCUAGCUUUGGUGCCCAAGCCUAGCUUGGUGCGGCUCGGGUUUGGGGUGCCCCCCACCCCUUGGUGCGCCACCACAAGGGGGAGGAACCUUUCCUCCAUGACGCCCGUCCCCUGCACCUACAUAUACAUCUGGGGGCACCCCCUCUUUUGCACACAAAUUUUGUGUAAAGGAUCGCCCUUCCCUCUCUUCAGUUGUCCAACUAAUAAUUGUUCCACUGCAAGGAUACUCCUCCCUCCUAUAGUUCUCUGGCGACGCCUUGCUUUGGGUGGCGAAGCGCUACCGGAUCAUUGUUUUCGUACGCGUGCAAACCAUAGAGAGAUCAUGCCUUCGAUCUUCAUUCGAGGGACUAUUUGUGGGAUGGCUUGAGGGACUUCAAGAAUGAUCAUCACCAACUCUUCUUCCGCUGCAACUUCGAGUUGGUAAUGAUCAGAUCUAACCUUGUAUGCAUCUUCAUAGUGAUCCUUGUAUUCGAUUUGUAGGACAGAUUUUUUUGUUUUCUACUAUGAUUCUCAACACAUAACUUACAUCGGUGGGUGGGUGGCUGGAGCUUGCCACGCCAAGGGGGCGUCAUAGAUCGGCGUCGAGUCUAGAGCAUGCUCCUGGGGCCUCCCCAUUGGUCCUUGGGGCUGAUUUCGAGAAGGUGGUCUCCUUCCCUGAUCCUCUUCCUGCCCCGUGAGCCUAUCAUGCCCGGUUGGUCAGGUUCGAUGGCUAAUUGGGGCCAUGAAUUGGGGAAUCCCUUGGCCAGCUGCAGGGGCCACGAUGCGGCUGACACUCCGGGCGUUGUUCGCUACCCUAUAGGUGGAAUCGAGAUCUUGUCCUUUCCCUCCACGUCCGGGUCCCGGGUGAAAACCAAUGACGCUCCAACGUCAUUUUACUUCUUGAAGGCGCCACCUUGGGAUUGUGGAGUACUGGUCUGGGCUUCGAAGUUGGAGAUUGACUAUCGGGAGUAUAGAAAUGCUCUCGCUCGGCUACUUGCGGUUGACGUUAAUCCUUGUCGGAGGUGGUGGCGAUGUACUUGGGGUUGUUUUGUGAUACGUCUCUGUCAUAUCUACUUUUCCUAACAAUUCUGCUCUUGUUUUGGAUUCUAAUUUGCAUGAUUUGAAUGAAACUAAUCUGGACUGUCGUUGUUUUCAGCAGAACUACCUUGGUGUUGUUUUUGUGCAGAAAUAAAAGUUUUUAGAUUUGGACAAAACUUUUUGGAGAGUUAUUUCAGAAUAUAUAAAGAAUAUAUGCACCAAGAACCACCGGAGGGGGGCCCCUGGCUGGGCACAACACACAAGGGUGCCCCCCCCUCUGGCGCGCCCUUAUGGGUUAUGCCCACCUCAUGGUCCCGCAGUCCCUAAUUCCAACUCCAUAAAGACCUAUUUUUAGAGAAAAAAUAGGAGGGAAAGUUUCAUCACGUUUUACGAUAUGGAGCAGCCGCCACCUCCUAUUCUUCAUCGGGAGGCUAGUUCUGGAGCUUGUUUGGGGCUCCGGAGAGGGGAAUCUUCGGUCUUCAUCAUCACCAACCCUCCUUCAUCGCCAAUUCCAUUAUGCUCCCCACCAGGAGUGAGUAAUUCCUUCGUAGGCUCGCUGGUCGAUGAGGAGUUUGAUGAGAUUCAUCAUGUAAUCGAGUUAGUUUUGUUAGGGCUUGAUCCCUUGUAUCCACUAUGUUCUGAUAUUGAUGUUGUUAUGACUUUGCUAUGCUUAAUGCUUGUCACUAGGGCCCGAGUGCCAUGAUUUCAGAUCUGAACCGUUUGUGUUUUCACCUAUUACGUGUUAUGAUCUUGCAAGUCAUAUUCACCUAUUACAUGUUAUGAUCCGUAAACCCUAGGGUGACAGUAAUUGGGAUACUUUCUAAUGAUGACCGUAGUUUGAGGAGUUCAUGUAUUCAGUAUGUGUUAAUGCUUUGUUCUGGUUCUCUAUUAAAAGGAGGCCUUAAUAUCCCUUAGUUUCCUUAUGGACCCCCUCCCCCCCCCCGCUGCCACUUGAGGGUAGGACAAAAGAUAUCAUGCAAGUUCUUUUUGAUAAGCAUGUAUGACUAUUUACGGAAUACAUGCCUACAUUAUAUUUAUGAACUGGAGCUAGUUUUGUAUCACCCUAGGUUAGGACUGUUAUAUCAUGAAUAUCAUCCAAUGAAUUCACCGAUCCAAUGCCUACGAAUUUUCCACAUAUUGUUCUUGCUAAGUUACUAUUGCUGCUGCUGUUGUUACACUUGCUACAAAAUUAUUGCUAUCACUGUUAACGUUACUAAUGCUCUUACCACUGCUAUCAAAACUAUCAUAUUACUGUGCUACUGAUCACUUUGCUGCAGAUAUUUAAUCUCUAGGUGUGGUUGAAUUGACAACCCAACUGCUAAUACUUGCAAAUAUUCUUUGGCUCCCCUUGUGUUGAUUCUAUAAAUUUGGGUUGAAUACUCUACCCUCUGUUGUGAUCCCAUGUACUUGUGGGUUAUCAAGACCUUUUUCUGGCGCUGUUGCCGGGGAACAUAGCUAUAUUUUUUGAGUCACUUGGGAUUAUUAUCUAAUUAUCACUAUGAAGAAUCUGAAGGAUACAAAAACCAAGAUUUCUGUCGUGGAAACGUCGCGGCAGAUGUCCUAGCAAAAGGACUUAGUCAUGGAGACAUCACAACUAGGAAGCUUAAAGGGGUUAAAACGGGACAAAGGACACGGGAGUUUAUAGUGGUUUGGCCCCUUGCGGUGAAGGUAAUGGCUUAAUCCAGUUUGAGGUGGGAUUGCUUAUGUCUCGAUUACCAGGGAGGAAAUUCGCUUGACCUAGCUUUCGAUCUGAUGUUAUCUCUCCUAAACCGCCGCUGGGUCAUCCCUUUAUAUACAGAGGUCGACGCCUAGCAGCUCACAGAGUCCCGGCCGGCUCAUAAAUAGUGUCCGGCUCAGUGUGUAUCUAUCCCUGCCUUACAAUACAAGUCAUAUACAUAUGGAGGUUUAUCUCUACGAGCCUUAAGCCGCCUUUGGGCCUUGGGCCCUUAACUGAACUGCCAUCUUCAAGUAUCGUCUUGGGCUUCAUAUUAUGAAUCGCCAUAGGAUAACCCGGCCCCUCCUGGGCGGGUCAUACCUAGUAGUUAUAUCCCCAACAUUAGGCCCCAGAUUGAUUUGAACUGGUUCAUGUCAAUCUUCAAUACUUAGAAAAAAUCUUCUGUUCCUCAUUGCGCGAGAGUUUAUAACCCGACAUGACAUCAUCUUCUGGAUCUGUGAUAACCCGCCAUGACGUUACCUGUCAUUUCUUCACAUCUUAUCAACAUAUCUCAACGGAUCUUUUAUCUUAACACCCGUCCGAGAAUCAAGGCGCCUGAACAGUUGGAUAACCAUGUUUUGGUCUCCUCAUUUUUCGCGCCCACUUAUGAGUCCUUCCUUAUAAAUAGCCACGACUAGUCUUCUUCUCAUUCUCCCCCUUUCCAUCGUCUUCUUCCUCUUGCGACCUCUGCUGCUCGAGCUCCGCCACCGCCGCAGAGCACACCGUCGUCUUCGUCCCAGGCCGCCGCAUCACCCUGAAUCGAACCAAAGAACGGCGGCGAUCCUCCGCAGUCAACCUACAUCUGUAAGCUCUCGUUCUUCUGUACCCUAGAUCCACAUUAGGGGUUUGACUUGUUCGUCGUGUUCUUCGUAGUAUUCUUCUUAGCUUGUCCACCGUAGCAUCUUUUGAUCUAGAAAUAGUACAAAACGCAUGCAGUAGUUGUUUUGCUUUCAUCUUCCAUACCAACAGAUCCCCUUUCCUGGAAGAAAAGAUUCCUCUAGAGCUUAUGAACUCAUAUGUACUGGUUUUUUAGGUCUAGAUUUAUUUCCUUUUUCUGAACACCCGUUGAUCCAGAAUAAUGAUUGCAAUCUGUGAAACUUGUUUGUGUGACACUUAGCCAACAAUCUGCGUUUUGAUAGAUCCACCUAGCCAUGGUGGCUCAAAUCACUAGCUUAAAUUGCAAUGCUCAAUAGAUAUCAUCCAACCACUCAUGGCGGCUUAAAUAACCUGACUGCUCACGGCGGUUUAAAUAACCUGACGUAAUUAGUCAUAUACCAUUAGGCCCAUUUAUAAGCCGCCAUUUUGAAUAUGUGAUGUAAUGUUUUUCCUCCGGCUUAAAUUUGAACCGGCAAUUUUACUCUUUGUUAGGCUUCCUUAUUCACAAUGCCGCCCAAAACAACCACUUCAUGCAACUGGGUCAAAUCCAUCGUCACGGAGGGUACACUCGAUGAUUUUGUGAAAACCGGCUAUCUGCCAAAAAAGGAUGUCAUGUCAUACCGUACUCCUGAUCCAACAGAGGAAAAACCUCAGCCCAAAGAAGGGGAGGUCAUUGUCUUCACAAAUGAACCGGGGCUUUUCGCCACCCGGCUCAAAGUUCUUCAGAGAUAUUCUGCACUUUUUUGACCUUCGUCCUCAAGUUAUCGGGCCCAACUCCGUGCCCAACAUAUGCAACUUCCAAGUGUUCUAUGAGGUGUAUCUUGAAGAAGAGCCCAGCUUGCUACUUUUCAGAGAGUUGUUUUAUUUGAACCGCCAGAAUGAAUACUCCAAUGGACCUAGUUUGGAGCUCGGCGGGGUCUCAAUCCAACGACGGAGAGACGCCAUUUUCCCUUACGCACAACCACUGAGUCAUCCCAAAGACUGGAACCAGACAUGGUUCUACUGUCAAGACACUUCUCCGGCUGAUGAGAACCCUCUGCCCAGCCUUUGUGCCCUGCGCCUUGAGUCCAAUCAUCCUCUUCCAGACAGGUUGUCAGCUGCUGAUCAUCAGAAGCUUGCCCCUACCAUCACUACAAAAAAAUACACUUCCGUGAUGAUACGUGUUUGUCACAGUAGGUCGGGUUUUUUGUCAUGCAUGUACAUCCAUGACGAUUUUAUGACAGAAUCAAGAUAGUCAUACAUGUGCUGUCGUAGAAGUGUUCCAUGACAUUACCAAAAUUAUCAUCACGGAAGUGUCCACUUCCAUGACGAUAAAUCGCGCGUCACAGAAGUGCUUUCGUCAAGGGUGACUGAUACGUGGCAUCCACCGUAAUGGAACACCGUUAAGCUAUCGGGUCAGGUUUUGCAUCCAAUAACCCGUUAACAGCCCCGACCAAUGGGGAUUUUCCACAUGUAAAAUCAUCAUUGGCUGGAGGAAACACGUGUCGGCUCAUCGUUGGGACAGAUGUCAUCCACUCAUUGGACAGAAGGCGCCUAUGAUACGUCGACACGUGGCACGACCCAACAGGGGCCCAUUCCUGUGAAAAGGUCGGCCCGUUUGACUUGGUCAAAAGGUGGCGGGCCGGCCCAUGGAAAGCCUGUUAACGGCAUGUUCGCAUAUAGCCCAUUUACAGCCCGCUAACCCAAGGCCCAUUAUGCCCUAUCCGAAUUAGGCCCAGUAGCGUCUUCUGGGCUAUCCAAUAUGAUUCCAGCCCAUUUUCACUUCUAGCCCAUGUAUGGACCAUGACGUCUUUCGGCCCAUAUGAGGCCCUUUGUAACACUUGGCCUAUUAACGACCGGUGGUGAAACUGGCCCGUAAUGAACAGUGUAUCACUUUACACCCAUUAACGGUCCAUGGUGAGAUUGGCCCGUAAUGAACAGUGUAUCGCCUUAAACCCAUUAACGGCCCAUUAUUCCGUUGGGCCUUUCCAGCCCAUGUUAUCUUUCGGCCUUCUCAGAGCCCAUUUAUUCUUGGGCUCAUUUCCAGCAUUCGUUUACUUAUGGCCCGUUACUGUCAUUUUCUGCUUAUGGGCCAAAUUCAGCCCGUGGUUACAGUCGGCCCGUUUGUGGUCCGUUAAUACAUUGGGCCAUUUUCAUAGCGUCAUCAAAUACAGCCUAUUGACGAUGGCCCGUUAUGGUCGGCCCAUGAACGGACGAUUCCAACUCUAGCCCGUUUACGGCCAUAAUGCGGUCUGUUUGGCCCAUGUUUGGCCAAUCGAUCAUACGGCCCGUAUAAGACCCAUUGAUGAUACGGCCCGCAGCAGGCCCAUUGUUUCUAUAGCCCGUAGAAGGCUCAUUGUUUGUACAGCCCGUAGAAGGCCCACUGUUUCUACGGCCAGUAGGAGGCCCAGUGUCACUACAGUAAAUAUUAGCCCAUGGUUAUUGUGGCCUAGUUUUAAAAAAUAGGUUAUUGCAGCCACUAGCAAACCGCGGAAAAAGAACUGCAAUGACUACAAGCAAACAAAUAAACAAGACAACAAGGAAAUAAAUAAGCAAGCAACUAACGGUAGGCUAUCACGACUAUUACACAUAUUACAUCCACUGGGCAUCAAAGUUCGCCACCAGUGCAAAUAUAGGGAACAAAGCAGCAUAUCAUAUACACUGGUUGUCAAAGUUGGCGACCAGCGCAAAUAAACGCCGCAGCAAAACAAAUCUAGAACUGAAACCACUUCAAAAGAUCUCAAGAAACAAUAUCCUGGGUACCCAUAAUGCUGGCAAGAUGCUUAGCAAGCUUAUUAACUUUCUCUUGUUUGGCGCUUAAAUCCUCCAGCGCUUGCUGUUGCACCAGGAAAUAUGCAUCUGAAUUCUGCAGGGACUUCCUCAGUCCUUCAGCUUCCUGUCGCAGCACAUCUGAUCGAUGUCUUUCAACUUGAAGUUGAGACUCAAGAAGACGAACUGAUUCAGGCAGCGAGUUCGAAGAGCUUGUGCCAGCAAUAGUGGCCAGUAACUCGAACACUACAUCAAGACAGGACUUUUGGGUUCUCUCACUGUCGUCAAGAUAGUUUUUAUUAGCUUUCUUGGAGACCAACAAGGAUGUCUCACUAUCUUGAACCUUAUCUGCAUUACUUCCUUUACCAUUGGAUAACACGGUACUGUUCUCUAAUAUUUUGUCCGCGUUCUAAAAGAGAAACAAACAGACACAUCACAUGUUUACCAUGUUGUAUAUGAAACUCAUUUUGGUAAAUGAGUUCAGUAGUAAAGUGGACAGGAUAACAGCAUGAAACAAACAUAUAUCUAUGUACCAUGGUCACUUUACGGUCUAUAUCAUUCUAGUUUUUGUUGCCAAAUCAAAAUAGAGACACAGUUCAAAUAAUAUUUGUUCAAGGCAAAGCAGAAUAGACAGAAUAUAAGUGUGGGUAACUGUAGAGCAAUAACAACACUUGUAAUGUGCAUGACAUGAGAACAUAACUGUUUAUUCAAUUGAAACUGAAAUCAACAUAGAGCAGGUUACAACAGCAAACCAGUUAAAGAAACAGGUUUAAAACAUACCUGUUGCGCCAUUGGAGUUUCAAUUCCAUCCUUCAAAUUUGAAAAUAGUUGGUAUGAGUAAAUACAGUAAUGCAAGAGCAAAGGAGUAUGAACCAUAGCUACAGAACCUGACCUGAGAACAAAUCUUCUUCUCCUUUAAGCGCUGAGUUGGGAUUCGGAGUGGUGGUCCUCGUGCGUUGGGCACUGCAGUUCCCUUACUAACUGCUCGUGUUUGGGUGCUCUGUGGUGGAGACGGUGUUGUGUCAACUGGAACUGGGUUACUAUCUGCCGGGGUUGGGGUUAGAAGGGGUGUAGCUGGUUCUUUGUCCAACUGGGUAGGGGUACAAUCUGCGGGAGUCUGGGUUAUGUGUGGUGGAUCUGGUCCUUGGGCAAGUACAACCGUGGUUCUAUCUGCAUCAACUGGUAGCACUAUCUUUUCUGAAGACCAUGUUGUUACUCCCUUAGAUACUGCCAUCACGCUGUCCAAUUCAAAUGGCUGAUAAACAAGAAAAGUAACUGAAAGUAUAGACAUUAUAUGAUAGACAGGUGCAAUGGAUAAUGGGGAAUAAAAGAGGGCAUGAAAUAAUUCAUAUUUAUGUUGUCUAACCAAACAGGAUAGCAUGACACAAUUUCACAUAUAUGAUGGCUAACUAAACAGGAUAGCAUGACACAAUUUCACAUUAUGAUGGCUAACCAAAAAAGAUGGAAAGACAUAGUUCAAAAUAUGAGACUAUGUAAACAGGAUGACAUGACAUAACUAUAUAAUGUGUUUAUUAAAUAGGUUGGCAUGCCAUAAUUCACAUACAUUCACGGAUAGAAUGCCAUAAUUCAAAAUAUGAUGACUGUAAACACUAAACAUGAUGAGAUGAUAUAACUAUAUGAUAUCUUUAUUAAAUGGGUUGCCAUGCCAUAAUUCAGAUAGAUGAUGUGUAUGUACUAUGUAAACAUGAUGGCAUGAUAUAAUUCAAAUAUAUGAUUUAUAUAGUAAGCAAGUAAGCAGAUGGCAAUCCAUAUAUGAUGUAAAAGCUAAGCAAUGCAAGACAACAUGCAUGACAUGGGUAAUAUAACCCUGCCAAGUUUGAGCAUAGACCUCAGGGGGAAAAUAGGACUGGUCAUCAGUCUCUGAAUCCUCCUCUAAGGAGCUCUUUGUAACCAACAAGAUGUCUGCUUCAGCAGGUAGCAUUGUCUGCUCUGAAUACCUUGUUUUCACUCCAGAUACUUCCAUCACCGCUUCAAAUGGCUGAUGCAUAGGAAGAGUAGUUGAAUAUACAAACGUUGUCGACAAAUGGAACACGUAAUACAAAAAAAUGCCACACACAAACUUGACAUGUGCCCUCUAAUGUUCCGGUAGGCCAGUCGCCUUAUAUCUUUGACUUGCACACACACACACACACACACAAUUUCGAUGGCUCUCUUCAUCGAUCUCGCACCCACCCACUUGAUCCUUUCUUCGACUCUAUCGCUAGCUAUGACCCCUCCCUCUCUUCUCGUGGAUUGCCCGACCCUCUAUGUAUGAUAUGGAUAGGCCUUCAUUUCACACACAUUGCAUGCAAAAUUUUGUUUGAGAUGUCAUCGACACAUACUCCCACAAAUAAUUCACAAAAUCAACCCCCCACCCCACCCCCACCCCCACCCCAACCCCAAAACAAAAAACACUCAUGAACGCGGUUUGUAUCUCUCUCACACACCCACGUAGGUGGGGGACGUGCAUGAAGAGAAGAGGUGAAUGCACGGCGCACAUACUCCCAUCUUUUUUCCAACCACACCCGCGCGGGUACACGGUGGAGCUCAUUUCUGUACGAAAAAGGCAGCCCACGUGGUAAUUUGGCACGUGUACUGGUUGUCCACUUGGUGGAGGGAGGAUCGUCUACCACUGGUAACAAAAAAAUUGCGAAUUGACGCGUUAUGUUAAACUAAAAAAAGAGACAAAUCAUGUGGGGCCUACCUUAGAUGCAAGGCUCUAUACACUGGAGUACUUUCGAUGUGUCCUGUCAACUCGCAGAACGAGGAGAAGCUUGCUUAGUGAGCCUUCUCCCCCGCCCACGGGCGCGGUGGCUCGCAGGAUGAGGUGAAGCUUGCUCCACCUUACGCCCGCUCCCUCGCCCAUGCGCGCGGUGGCUCGCAGGACGAGGAGAAAAAUUUACUACUCCCUCCGUUUACUCCUUGUCCCUACUACCUUGGUUAUAGAGAUUAUAUCAUAUUGUUUGGAAUAUAUAUGUCCUUUAGUAAAUUUCAAUAUGAACUACUAGUACAUACACCAAACACUGAUGUAUAUAGACGUAUUUUAGAGUGUAGAUUCACUCAUUUUGCUCCGUAUGUAGCACUCUCCCUCGCCCCUCGACCCUCGCCCACGUGGUGGACAUGCAGCAAUUCAUUCAGUCCCAUAUAGCCAGAAUGAUAUAUACUGCACUACCAUUAUUGCUCGACUUCCCGAAGAGGCGAAGAGCCAAUUGCAAGGUUAAUAUUUUGGAGAUGCCAAGUGCAAGGUUAUAGGAGAACGAGUAGUAGGUGCCGCAUCAUUUAUAAAUAAAGUGUUUUUUUCUUUAGUGGCACGUACGCAAUAUGAUAGGUUCAUAUGGAGAGAAAAGGAAACCGCUCCACUAUAUACAUAGUCAGGACGGGCCAGCCUACACGGUUGCUUGCUGGGGUUGCUCUCUUCACACUCUCUCACACAAAACGACUGUGGCCACAUCUCUAACAUCCCGGCGGAUCACGUCCGCUUGGGGAAGGGGUGGAUGCCUAGUGUAGAUGCGGUGGCCAUCGCCGACGGCGAAAACCCACUGUCGGCAUGUCCCGAUUAGGGGUCCCCGCCGUUCUCUCUCACAAAGCCGAUGAGGUUGCCUUCGUCCUUGCUCACUGCCGCGACGUGGGAAGUUGCCGCCUCCCGCCGCCCUCCUCAAGGUUGAGCUACGUCCCUCAGGUACAACUCCCUUUACAGCCGGCUUGCACCACUGCUCCAGCUGCCCACAUCACUCCCUGUGGAUAUUUCUCUACUUCUUUGCCCCGCACAUACCUCUAUUGGCUUCUAUGUACUGUAUUUGUGAUGAGUUUAUGUCUCAUCAACUAGUCCCAGUAAUCUUAUUCUCAUCACGCUUCUUCAAUUUCUUUGCGACAGGGAUGCUCAUCUCGAUUUUGGUGAAACUGCAUAAAAUGAUCCGAUGGUCAAAAGGUUGCAAACUUCAUUUAUUAGGAAGCUCGAAUGUUGCCAGCAAAUUGAAGCCUGGUCAGGGUUCACGGUUCAAGGGCUAGGGACUGCAUGGAUCGUUUUUUUUCUUUAGCUGUCUCUGUUCCAAAAUAAGUGUCAACUUUAGUAGUAGUACAACUUUGUACUAAAGUUUGCACAAAGUUGAGACACUUAUUUUGGAACGGAGGGAGUACAUAUUUGCUACGAUCUGUCAAUCAUUGAGAUGCAAUAGCAUGCAUGUUAGUCUCCUUUGUAUUUGUUGAAAUGUUGCAACGGGCAACCUUGGACGCAAGAUACAUGUAACAGAAGCUAAAGCUUCAUAGCAUUGUACAAAUUUAUCUCGCUGAUAAAUUACAGUAUGUACUAUACUAGUACUUCCUCCGUUCCUAAAUAUAAGUCUUUGUAGAUAUUUCACCAUGAACCACAUGCGGAUGUAUAUAGAUGCAUUUUAAGUGUAGAUUCAUUCAUUUUGUUCCGUAUGUAGUUCACCUAGUGGAAUCUCUACAAAGACUUAUCUACUAGUAAUAGCUAGCCCCCACUACUAGGAAUUCUCUAUCCUCUCCUUGAGCCACAUCAUCAAAAUUGAUGUAGCCGUUAGAUGAAGUAAAUCAGUCCUUAAUAGCCGUUUGAUCUAGACGUUGAGAGGCUCCGCACUAAGCCACAUGCAAGCAUGCAGAAAUACCGUGGCAUGCAUGUGAGUGGGUUUUAAAUCACAUCAACAUGUCUGCAUGCAAGCAUGCACUGGUAGCAUGCAUGCAAGUGAGAUUUUAAGUCCCAUUAACAUGUCAAAAAGAAAAAUAUAAUCCCAUGAUGCAGUAGGAGAUGGCUGAUCUUUUUUCCUUACGUGGGAUGAUCUAAAUGAUGAUGGGAGUUUAUUUAGUUUGGCUACCACAUUUUUCAUGCAGUUAUAGAGUUUUUUGAGUUCUAUGAAAUCGAUAAUUUUGCGCAGAGAGAUAUAUGGCUGUUCCGCGGCAAUGCGCGGGGACUCUUCUAGUAAUAUUUAGGAACGGAGGGAGUACUAUGUAAAGAGUUAGAUGUCGCACGGUGAUAGUGUGAGGUGGGCCAUGUAAUCACUGAGCCUGCGUGUUUUCACUGCUCUUGCACUCCUCUGCUGUAAGAAUGGAGAAAAUUGUAAUCUAGUAGUAGUAGUACCUCCUUUCGCCGAAGGCGUGGGACAUCCAGCAGUCCUACCACCUCAGUAAUAAAGACCAAUGAGCCGUCAAAUCACAUAGACCCAGCAGUAAGUUGGACGGACGAAGCAACCAUCACUCUUGCGCCAGUGAGAGGUCGCAUCCGCUCUGCCCGGGCAUGAAUGCGGCACCAAUUCUUUGGAGUGGCGCUGAUCAUUUCGGGAAGGAAGCGCACACGGGCGAUGGAGGGGCUUUGGGUGGGCCAGGCUAGUCAGGAGCGGGCGUGGCAGCUGUCCGCAUGUCCCUACCGGACACGCCCGGAAACGAGAGGAUGCACCAACUCUCGCGGCUAAAAUCGUACACUACACACCAUCUCUCUGUAGGAGUAGGUUGAUCUGUCGCUCUCUCUAACACACACACACACACACAUGCACGCACCUUGGUCUCGUUGCACCUUCUAACGUGACUUAUUACACCUAGACGGAGGGAGUAGUAAGUAUACGAGAUACGAUGGCACACUGACUUAAGUCGAAUACAAGUGCCCAAAAUUUGUGUGCAUGUUAUAAUAAGGAUUCACUUAAAAUAGUAAGUGAGCGAACAGACGGAUCAAUUGGACAGUGUUCCCGAGCAGUAGCGAGAUGUGUGAGGUAAGAUACACUGCUGGCGCUUUUAAUUUUUCUUAUUAAUUUGUUUGUUUCACCCUCUGACUGGUGGGACCCAACAUACUACGUGGAGAGAGGUAAGGUGACUAAGGCUGCAUUAUUUCUGCACCACUGUGGCUAGUCUUACCACCAAAGCCACAUGACAUGAUUAUGAUUGAAAUCCCAAUGACUCCCACACACACAAAAAAACACGGCAUGCUUGUCACAUGAAUACAGGAAUGUAUAAAAGGUUAUUUUCCUCUCGUUGAACAUAACGGGAGGGUUGUGUAGCUGGUUAGCUUGUUCGCUCAUCAAACUUGAGGUCUCGGGUUUGAUAACUACACUUGAGCAUAAUUUGUGCCAGGAGGAUUCUUUGACUGGUCAAAAUGGAUGGAUACGGAGCUAUGCGAUCCCGUAGUGACCGUAUAAUCACCUCAUCACGUAUAAGCUACAACCUCGGCACUUGUUUUCUAGGGUUUGCACGCUUCACACACUCUCUCCAGUAUAUAUAUAUACACGCUUGAGCCUCAGCGCUUGUAGUUGCUCUCUUCACACUCUCUCGCCCUCUCCAGAUCUAAACAAGACUUCGUUGGCCUCUCUCUCCCCUCACUGCUGCUCAAAGAGCCGGCAGGAUCCGUCUUCCGGGAAGGGAAGGAGGCUUAACGCUGUCGCCGUUGGCGAGGGAGGGAAUCCACUACCGGCGCAGCUGUUCACUUUCCACCCAGCAGCGGCGCGGGAGGGCCUCCGGCCCCUUCUUCUUUGCCGCCGUCCCGUCGCCCACCGAACCAAACCCCAAGAACCUUAAGGUAUACUUUACUUACUCCACAUGCAUUGCUCUAGAUGUAUGUAUACCAUGAAUCUAGGACGUGGUUCAAAGAGGAAAGGAGUGGGGGAAAGUAGUGGGAUAAGUUGUAUAUAGCAUGAAUCUAGGACGUGGUUCAAAGAGGAAAUGAAGGGGGAAAGUUGUAUAGCAUGAAUAUAGGACGUGGUUCAAAGAGGAAAGGAAUGGGAGAAAGUAGUGGGGAAAGUUGUAUCACAUAAAUCUAGGACGUGGUUAAAAGAGGAAAGGAAGGGGCGAAAGUACUAAUUCAAAAAGGAAAGGAAGGGACAAGGCUGUAGAGUUUGAGCAGGAACAGAUUUGCCGCGCUCACAUAGGGAAAGGUGUCUAAAGAUAACAAAACUGGGACCAACACAAAUAUGCUCCUUGGUUGUUUGUUCUUUGUUGCAACAAACUGUGCAUGACCAUAGUACAUUGGUAGAUGCACAUGGUGCUGGUGCGUCCACUGUCCCGUGCAACUCAUUAGCUGUUGUUAAUCUAAGGCCCUAUUUGGUUAAAAACUCCCUAGUCCCUACCUGCUUAGUUCCAGGGACUAAACAUGGACUAGAGGUUAUUAAAUGACAUGCUAAAAGACCAUGUUACCCCUAGUAAUGAACUAAUAGAGACAAGGUGCGAUGCGUGGCAGGGGAAACUGUUGGAAAAAGUCCCAAAAAGACUCCCUCGGGUCUUCUUUCUUUAGUCCCAAAUGCCCACUUUUAGUCCCUAAAAGUCCCUCCUGUUUGGUUUAGAUGGGACUGACAUGGAGGUUUUUUAGUCCCUACACCAAAAUGUCCCUGUAAACAAACACCCUCUAAUAAUGCCGCUGGAAAAUUGAUGCAAUGCCACAGUUAAAAGCAAAUUACAUGCUUAACGAAUUUUAUUGUUAAUAUAAUCUCUAUGUUAAUAUUAAUCAAUGAGACCGUUUGAGAAAUGCUAUUGUCUUGGUUUCUUUCCCAUUUAGAUAAGGUAGAUGCUUCUUUUUGUUGGCUUCUGUGUCAUCCAGCAUUAUUGACCACUAAUUGCUUCCUUUGCACCUCUGUGUAAACAGGGUUAUCUACUUCACCUCGUUGCCAUUGUGACCUUUUGUUGCACUGCACAAAACACUUUUGUUUUAAGAGUGUUUUGUGCAGUUCAACCAAAAUGUCACACCGACAACGUUGCUUGAUUGCUUGAACUUAGUGGAACUGCACAAGAGGAGAUCUUACUUCCUAUCUGUUAAGGCGAAUUUGGUUCAGAUCUUCUUCUUGCGAGUUGUUUGAAUUCCGCAUCAUGAGAGGUCAGUACUAGCCUUCUUUCACAUGAUUCUGCAGUGUGCUUUGAUAUUUGUGCUACUUGUAUGAUAAUGUUGCUUGAUUUUAGUGAACUGCACAAAUGGAGACAAGACUUCCAAUCCGUAUGUGCACCGUAAUAUCCCAUUGAGGUAAGAUAAGGAUUUUUCAUAACUGUUGGCCUGUAUUUUGCCACUUCCAUCAGAAAAUUAAGUUUAGUACUAUACUUGUGCUCCCUAAUUGACAUGCCAAAUCUUACAUUGAAGGUGAAGCUUGUCUGUUAUUGAACCAAGUGAUUAAGGGGAAGAACAAGCGGAACAAAAACAAAAAUCAACUCCCGGUGCUGUUACGAAGCACUCGAACUGUGAUGACACAAGUAAUGGUAUAGUUUUGCAUCUUAAUUUAUUGCUAUGGCUGGAACGAGCAAUUGUUUUGCCACUGAUUUGAUGCCACUCUUAAUGUAAUACGUAAUUAUCUCUACUUGUGCAAACAUGGAUGUUCUUUGAAGAUAGCAUAUAUUUUAGUGGAACUGCACAAGAAGAUGUUGGAAACAUUAAACUAAUUGAGGAGUAUAUAGUAAGCAUGGCCACCGCAGUAGAUAGCAAUAGAUGGUUCCGGAGAAGUGCUUCAUCUGUAUGCUCUACACAAUAAGCCUCCUGACAAAGGUUGGUACUCGUCCACUGAUUUCAUCCAUAUGAUUGAGCUUUGUCAUCUCUAUUGGUGUUGUGCUACUGUUUAGAUACUGUCAUGAAAAAGUGGUAUUGUCCUUGAGAAGUGCUUCAUCUGUGCUGUUUUAAAUAUUUCCUUUCCUUUUUUGAGCAAACAGGGAUGCUAGCAUUUAGUUGUCCUCUUGUCUCUGCACACAACAGGAUCAUCCUCCUCUGAAGAAUAAUAUGGAGUACGUGAAGUGACUAGUUCCGAUUAUGCCAGGAUGAAGAAGCCCUGUCUAUCUUCUCAUCAGAAGGAGCAGUUGAAGGAUGGUUACAUUACUCCCCACAAGACCAAACUAACUUCAGCUCAGAAGGACUGACAAAUCUCCAUUUUUUAGCUGUGAUGCGCGAGUACAAUGUUGUUCUAGGAUUCUUUCUGGUGAGUUCCAUUUUUCUAAAAGUGUGCUCUACAUGGACCAUGUAGGUGCCUGUUGAAACUGUCAAUUCAUAGUACAGUUUGCUUUAUACUAAUCACUUUUUUGUAUUUGUGCAAACAAGGGUGCUCAGCUUGAUUUCAAUGGGAACUGCACAAAAUGUUCAUGAAUACAUCGAAUCAUUCAUUUCCACCACAAGAAAGGAGGUGCCGAUAAGUUCAAGGCGUUGCAACAUAUAAGGGCGAAAUCAUACAAGCUACGCGCGAAUUUGGUUGAUUUUGGUGGAACUGCACAAAAAGAACAGCUGGUUUAUUUAGCACGAGGUGCCAUGUCAAUGUCCGAACUGAUGGCAAACCCUGCUCAUUCCACAAUCGUAGGCAUUUGAUAUUUUGGAAUGAGAUAACCUUGUCAAAUUUUGCUCAUUGAUUUUAGCAAGACAUGCGUUUGAUAUUUUCGAAUGGGACGCCCUUUGCUGUCAGCAGCGUCGAUCAAUUUUUUCUUUAUUCUUUAGUUGUGAAGUAAAUAUUUCCUCUCACAUGUGAGUCGCUGAGAUGCAUAAUCAUCGAUUGUUUUGAAUAUUCUCUAUGAAUUGCCAGGCCUGUGUGUUUGAUUGCAAUGUACAGAAACGCUAAAAAGCUGCUCAAACUCUUUGUACUCCUUCUGUUCCUUUUUACUUCGCACAUUGUGAAAGUGCAUACUUUUUUGUAUAAGAUUGGUCAAAGUAGAGAUACUUUGACUGCAGACAAAAUUUGUAUGCAGACUAGAAAGGACCGGAGGGAGUACAUGCGAAACUGCUGCAAACGAGGUGAUCACCCUGGGAAUAAUGCUAGUACGUAUUGUUUUGCAUGUUCAUCCAAUGCCGGUGAUACAGGAAUUCGAACUAAUCGAAAUAAAUUCAUUCAUACACGGUCGGAUUUCAUAUAAACAUGCCGGAUUUCAUUACAUUUCAUACAUUCUUCAACUAAAAAGGGGUGCGCUGGAGGUAUAACUAAUUAACUGAAGCUACCCACCUGUGUCCCGCUGAGCCGAACAGAAGCUUCAGUGACUUAACUACAGGUGCAAUUGCGUAACUAACAUGUGGCCUAUUGGGCCCACGUGUUAGUCAGCCAACUGCACCAGUAGUUAAGUAGAAGCAGCGUUGUUCUCCAGCGCAGCCCUCCGACUCCACGUUGCCGCCAAGAAGCUAACCGGUCAUCAAUGGUCAACCCGCCUAGCUUGGCUUCAACCAGAGGGUAGCAGCGGUGGCCUUACUUGGACCCAAGCGGCGGCGACCUACCGUGUUCUACUCUUCCUCGUUUUCUGUGUGGUGCGGCCUCGUUGGCAGCGGGGCGGGGCCUCAGCGGAGGCGGCGAUGUCCUCUAUUCGUUGCCGGUGGGCGGCGCCUCAGUGGAGCCGUGGAAAUCCUCCCCCACGUUGCCGGUAGGGUGGGGCCUCGGCUGAGCCGGCGAUGUCCUCUGCCUUGUUGUUGGCGGGGCGGGGCCUCGGCGGAGCCGGCGGUGUUCUCUACCUCGUUGUUGGCGCCGCGGGGCCUCGGCAGAGCAGGGCCUCGUUGAUGCCGGUGGAGCGGGGACUCGUCAGAGCCGGCAUUGUCCUCUGCCUCGUCCUCGGUCUCGCCAAACAGCACCUCGCCCGCUUCAUCGCCCUCUUUGCUAGCCUCUUUGUAGGCGGCCGCAGCCUCCGCCACCCGCAUGCGGUACCCGCAGCGCUCGAGGCGGCCCUUGCGGGCGGAGCGGUACGAGUCGAGCAGCGCCUCCUGCUUCGCCCGCUCCGCGGCGAUUUGCUCCUCCGCCUGUAGGUGCUCCUGGAGGAGAUGGUGGUUGUAGGCGGUGUCGGCCUGCGCCUCCCAGAACUGCUCCUCACGCAUCUGCCUCACCAUGUCCAUAUAUUGGGCACGGGCCUCACCGAUGGUCAUGGUGCAAUGCACCAUCGAGGAUGGUGCGGAGGAGGGGGUUGGCGUCGGAUUGUCGACUACCAUGUUCUCCAUUGGGACGUUGUCGUCCUCUGGCUGCCUGCCGGCCAGCCGGUCGGCAGCAAUGGCUGCCAUCUCCUUGUGAUCCGUCGUCCACCCAUCCCGAAGAGCGCUAGAGCGCGAGGAAGCCAUGGUGGGCAGUAGUGGUGUGGACAGGAGAAAGGGAACGAAUGCGGAUGACCGCGGCUAUGGCCGGCGCAUCAGUUUAUAUAGCAAUGGUGGGCGGGCGGAGGGACGGACGUGUGGCGCCGGAGUAGCCGCCUCGGCAACCGCAUAUCAUUAAUGUGGGCGGCAGAUGGACGGACGAACGACACUUGUGUCGUUUGAAGGCGGAGCAAUCGCCUGCACCGGGAAGCAGGGCGGGCGGCGCUGACUGUUUUGGGCGGAAAGCGCGCGCGGGCGAGGAGAUGACUUUACUUGGAGAGGAUUACAAUGGGGACCCACCAAGGCCAUAGCCUCACGUACGCAAGUGCCUCCUUAUUAUAUAUAUAUAACUAUAAUUUAUUUUGCUUCCUUCUGGUUUCCUAACAUCACGGUCCCACACCAUUAUCAACCUAUGUACUCCCUCCUUUCCGGUUUAUAGGGCUUAUCUCAAAAUUUUAGUUUUUCCAUUUUAUAAGGCUCAAUUUGGUUGUUUUCCAUCACAUGUUCAGAUUCCAAGAUGCAUUAAAUCAUUGCAUGCAAGUAUUAAGAGAAAAUUGACCAAUGCAUGUACUUUAUGCAUGCAUGCAUUGCAAUUAAUGUAUUGAUAAACAUAAUUUUUUGAGCAUAACAAGAGCAUUAAUUAGGUGCUUUUGCAAAACUAUAAAAAGUAUUCCACCACUCGCCAUCUACCUUAAUUGGUGAGAUUUUUGAAUUGAGCACUAUAAACCGGAAAGGGGAGAGUAGUCAAUAAACGAGAGAAUUGCACAAGAAGCGGCCGACAGCUGGGACCAAGCAGCUCGAGCAGUAUUUGUGUUUUUGAGGUGUGAGCACUACAGAGUUUUUCGAUGUUUAGCCCAGAUAUUAAUUUGUCUCCUUUGAACAACAACGAAAACAUCGCUGCAGGUAUUAACUGGGCGGGCUGUGGCCCAUCUAGCCCAGGCCAGAUAUCCAGCCAGGAUAUUAAUUUUUUUUCAAGCUGAAAAUGGCUAGCCCAGCUAUACUUUUUUUUAGGAAUACACAAGCAAGGUCAAGUUGUUAUUCUCCGCCCCGCUAGGCUGCAAAUCUUUCCUAGGAGGGAUGCAUUAGGCUUAACAAGAAAAUGGGCUUUAAGAAAUAAUAAAUGGGAUGUAAUUAUAAAAACUGGGCAGUAACUAUAAAAAAUGCACCAAACACGUAAUUACUUCAUAAAAUAUUAUUUUUGGAUAUUGAAAAUUUUAAUUUCAUUAAUUGUUGCAAGCGCAAUGUUUCAUUGGGAUUUACGUAAUAUAAAUUUAUAUUGAAAUUGUAUUUAAUCUGACUAGAAAUUUCGGGAUAAAAACAUUUUGGAUCCCAUCAAAAUGUGGGAAAUUUUAUUGAAUUCUGUUUUGAACGGUUGGUUGAAAUGGGUUGUACUUUUAACAAACUAUAAAUGGGUUGUAGUAAAUCCCAUUAGAAUUCAAAAAUGGGCUACACAUUCUGAGAAAUCUCAAAUGGGCUAUAAGUUCUCUGCCACACACUUCUGGCCUUACUAAGUUGACGCGUCCCCUAAAAAAACAGAGUUGACGCGUAUGCAAGGCUUUGUCAACUUAUAGUCAACACACGAUUCUAGCAGUAGUGGCCUUGGAUGUCCAUCCAACGGAUGCCAUGCUUCUUCUUCAAUCUCGGAUAUUCUAGCUUCAUCCGCCCAAAAAAUGUUUCCUCCCUCUGACAUCUGGGGCGCACCGUUUCGGAAGCUGACAUGUCGGCCUACUAAGUUGUUGUACCAAGGGCUUUGUCAACUUAGUCAAUAUAAAUGAUUCUAGCUGCAGUGACCGUACGAUGUCCAUCCAACAGCCGUCGUGCUUCUUCAACCUCUGGUCUUCUUGCUCCAGCUGCCCAAAGCAGCGUCGGUUGUGCCGCCUGCUCCUGCCUCCCGUGGCCGGCUGUGCUGCCGCGGAGGACUCACCGCCCCCUACUACUCCCACCGCUAGCCAGGCUAUCCCUCCACUCACCACACCCCCUUUUAUUCUGCAGCGACGACAGCGUAGCCGAACCAGUGAACCCUCCUACUCCUCUCCACGUGUGCAUCCACUGCCGUGUCUUCCCCGGCUCCGUGUCGUCCCUUUCCUAGGCCUCGCCGUUGUCCACUGUCGUGGUGCUCUCGGCGCGGCAUGGUCAACGUGGUCAAGGAACGACUUCCAUCAGACGUGGACUGUACGUGGAGAGGCUGACAGCUGGGUCCACGGCAGCAGCAAGGAAGUGCCUCCUUAUUACGCACAAAUGAAUUAUUGCUCCACCUGACAGCGGGAACCCACCGGACGGGCCACCGUAUUUCGCGAAAAAAAUGAUUCGCCCCCUGACUACUGGGACCCACCAGCUACAUCUUCGCACGCAAGGAAGUGCGUCCUGGAAAAAAACGAUUCACCCCUGACUGCUGGGACCCACCAGCUACAUCCUUGCACGCAAGGAAGUGCAUCUGAAAAAAAAUUGAUUCACCCCCCUGACUGCUGGGACCCACCAGCUACACCUUCGCACGCAAGGAAGUGCGUCCGGGCAAAAAAAAAACGAUUCGCCCACCUGGCUGCUGGGACCCAGCAGCUACACCUUCGCAUGCAAGGAAGUGCGUCCGGGCAAAAAAAACACAAAAUGAUUCUUCCCCCUGACUGCUGGGACCCACCAGCUACAUCUUCGCACGAAAGGAAUUGCCUGACAGUCGGGACCCACCUGGUCGAAGCGUACGUAGGUUGUCAUUCUGGUCGUGAACGUGUACGUACAUAUAUACUGCUUGAUGUAGAGGCGCGCACGUGUCGUAGUAGAGGCGCGCACGUAGCAUGUACACGUACGUACAUCGGCCAGGGUGCAAGAAAGAAAAUAUGGCCACGUAUGUGUACAUACGGGCGGGGUCUCGAAUGCCUACUCGCGCAUACGUACGGCCAGGGCUCGUGUACAUGGCUGGGUCAGAACGGAGAAACAACGUUGUUGUCGUGUUCAUGGGGAGGCAACGGAAUGCGUCGUGUUCAUGGGGAGGCAACGGAAUGCGUCGUGUUCAUCGGGAGGCAACAAGACGCGUGGGAGCCAACCGGCUGGGUCGGAACAGAAUGCGUGGUCGUGUUCAUCGAGAGGGCUUGGACGGAACAGGCGAUGGAAACGAGGCCUGGCGUAUCGUAGAACGGAGGAAACAACCUUGUGUUCGACCGGCCACGUUCGGAACGGGGUCCUGUUGAUCGGGAGGGGUCUGGCGUACCACAAAACGGAGGAAACGGACCUCCUACGGUCGAAACGGGGGUCCUGUUGAUCGGGAGGGAUGUGGCGUACCGCAAAACGGAUGAAACAGACUUGUGUUGGAGCGCUACGGUCGAAACAGGGGUCCUAUUGAUCGGGAGGGGUGUGGCGUACCGCAAAACAGACAAAACGGACUUGUGUUGGAGCGCUACGGUCGAAACAAGGGUCCUGUUGAUCGGGAGGGGUGUGGCGUACCGUAAAAAGGACGAAACGGACUUGUGUUGGAGCGCUACGGUCGAAACGGGUGUCCUGUUCAUCGGAGGGGUGUGGCGUACCGCAAAACGGGACUCCACGGGAUGCUGUUCAUCUCCACCGUCGACCUCCUCUAGCCUCCACGGGCUCCUGUUCAUCCAGCCUCCACCGCGCGCUACUCCAUCGGCUACUAUUGAACCACCCCUCCACGGGCACCCCUCCACCGUCUACUAUUCAUCCAGCCCUCCACACCACAGGGUCCUGUUUAUCCAGAGGCAACGCCACCACUCACUGUUCAUCCAACCGCCCCCCCCGCAACACUCUUGUUCAUCCAAUCGAUCGGCUUCAGUUAGCAGCAGUAGCGAAGGAAUCGCUCGAUCGGGUUCAGUUAAUAGCCAUCAAUCGAUCGCUCGGGUUCAGUAACCCGUAGCCUGCAGUGCAAUCGCUCGAGUUCAGUUAGAGCCCAACGCCUCGCUCGGGUACAGUUAGAGCCAACGCCUCGCACACACUCGCGUACGUGUAUGAGAGAAAUGCGCAUCGCUCGGCCCCCGACCGCCCACCGUAACCGGGAAUUCCCCGAAAUUUUCCUCGCCCUCGCUUCUACCACCGUUUUUUCCGUCAUGGACGGCCCAAAGAAUGUCAUGCAGUUGCGUCUCCGACCCUCCCAGGACGAAAAGCCCAUUUUCUAUCAUGCUAUUUUGUCAUAGAAGUAGGAGCCCACCACAUUUAUGAUGAUACCGGGUUUUGUCACAAUUAUCGUCAUAGAAGUGUCAUAUGUAUGACAGAAAAAAGUUUCAUUCGGCCCAAAAUGUCACGGAUGUGUAUUUUUUUUGUAGUGCAUGGCUAAAGUCAAGGCUCUUUUGGGGAAUGGCUCAAAUGGCAUUGACUUGGUCCGUGUUUGGGUUGCCUGGCGGAUCAUCCCGUUGAGCCGCCGCUCCGGUUUAAUGUGUACCUACACGGGCGAGAAGAAUGAUCCACUGCGCCACAAUCCUGACGAUUUACCUGAUGAUGUUAUCAAUGAUAUGAUGAAGUUGCUUUUAAAUGAAAGCCUAGCAGACUGUGGCAAGGUGGUCUUAAGCCCUUUCUGCAAAGCUAACCCAGCUCCAGGGGUAAGCCGCCAAACUUGGCUAUUCUACCUUUAUCUUUUGAUGUUUUGUCUUAACUCAAACCUCUGCUAAUUUCAAAGGCUGAUGAUAAGUUUUGGAAGAAAAAAAUAUGACCAUGAGGCUGCAAAGAGAGCUAGGAAGGCCAAGAAAGUUGCCAGGAAAGCCGCCGCCAAGAAAAGAGGAAAGAAGCCCAGCGCCUCUGACUUGCUUUGACUAGAAGACACCUCUGAGUCGGAGGUAGCCCUUGACUCUCUUGGCUCCUUUUUUAACCACCUUAUUGACACUGAUUAUCAUCAAGAUGACACGGGAACGAGUCAGGGAGUGGAUGAAGAGGUAACUAUUAUUUCCUCCGACUCCGAGCCUUUGCCAAGACAAAAAAAUCUGAAGAGUAACCCGAAAAGUAAGAUUUUCACAUCCCUUAGCUUAUCAGGAUCCUCAAUUUAUUUGGAGCGACAGAUUCAUGAGAGCCGGAGGAAUACCCGGACCAGCAAGGAUGCGGAACUCUCCUCCGGCUUACUGAAUACACCAAGGAAGUGCCGGAACUAGGUCACCUCCAACUUAAACCCUUUUUAUCCUUUGGCGGGUCUCACUCGUCAACCACUCAACUCUUCUAAUUCAAAUUAUCAGGAAACUUCACAUUCUUCUAGCGACUCAAUCUAGUCCAACAUGUCAGCUUCUAAGACCGCUUUUGGGUAAUGGAGAUUUACUUAUCUUGUACUCAUUACAAUCCUUUAUACUUGUACUGACAUUUUUGACCUUACGCAACGGAAAAGCAAAGCCCAGCAAGAGGGUGAAGACAAACAAGCCGGUCGAAGAGCCGCCCGUCAAGGAGCCGAAGCUCCAGACUGCCGCGCCUAAGGCCUCUGUUGCUGAGCUGCCACUUGAGCCGGUUCACGACAUGCCAACGAUGACUGCUGACCUGCCUGUCGAUCAAGCCGCCAAUGGCUCUUUAAACCCUGAAGCUUCAAACCCGACUAAGACAGCCGACCAGCAAGAUGUUGAUGUGGAAAUCACCAAGCCGGCUACACUGAUCCGGGGAGACCUACUGUGCUAGCCAAGUGUUCUGCCAAGGAGGAGCACAUUGAACAAUGUAAAGUCAAAUUUGAUGUUGCUGACUAUACUCAAUUUAGCAUUGGCGAAGUUUUUUCUUGUUAUCUUAGCCAAGUGCACAACAGCCGCGAUCUUGAAGUUGACAUGGUGAAACAAAUGCACCAGAAAUUUGAGGUACGAAGUUUUUCCCUUUAUUGAAUUCUCCUUACUAUUGAAAGGAUCGAUAUAGUUGACUAGAGGGGGGGGGGCGGUGAAUAGGAAACUAACAAUUUUUUCUUUUCUUUACCAAAUUAAACUUUGCAUCAAAGUAGGUUAUCUAGAUAUGCAACUAGGUGAGCAACCUAUAUGAUGCAACAACAAUAAGCACACAUGCAAGCAAGGGAUAGACCACAAUAUAUCUUGCAUAAGUAAAGGUGAGAGAUAACCAAGAGUGGAACCGAUGAAGACGAGGAUGUGUUACCGAAGUUCCUUCCCUUUGAGGGGAAGUACGUCUCCGUUGGAGUGGUGUGGAGGCACAAUGCUCCCCAAGAAGCCACUAGGGCCACCGUAUUCUCCUCACACCCUCACACAAUGUGAGAUGCUAUGAUUCCACUAUUGGUGCCCUUGGAGGCGGCAACCUAACCUUUACAAACAAGGUUGGGGCAAUCUCCACAACUUAAUUGGAGGCUCCCAACGACACCACGAAGCUUCACCACAAUGGACUAUGGCUCCGCGGUGACCUCAACCAUCUAGGGUGCUCAAACACCCAAGAGUAACAAGAUCCUCAAGGGAUUAGUGGGGGGAAUCAAAUUUCUCUUGGUGGAAGUGUAGAUCAGGGCCUUCUCAACCAAUCCCUAGAAAAUCAACAAGUUUGAUUGGCUAGGGAGAGAGAUCGAGCGAAAAUGGAGCUUGGAGCAACAGUCGUGCUUGGGGAUGGAAGAGGUGGGCAACUAGAGGAAGAAGACACCCCUUUUAUAGUCAAGGGGCAAUUCCAACCAUUACCCACCACUCAGCCCGCGACCCACGGUACUACCGCGGUGGUCCGUGGUACUACCGUGGGCGCGGCAGGGCCUGGACCUGACCAAAUGAGCACCGACAUGGUGCGGUAGAACGGCUGGUGUGAUACUACCGCGACCCUAUGCGGUACUACCACAUGGCAGCCACCGUCCAGGCACGGUAGGCAUGGAUAUAAAAAAUUACAUCCGUGACUACAUCCACAGAGAUUUUAUCUAUGCAAAAGUCUGACACGGUACUACCGCAAACCAGGUGCGGUACUAGGGUGCGGAUGUAAAAAAUUACAUCCGCCCCUACUUCCGCUCAUGCCGAUGUGCCUGGCCAGGCUGCACGGUACUACUGCGCCAGAGAACGGUACUACUACCACUUGCGCAGUAGCGCCAGGCCAGAGCUCGCGGUACUACCGCUCAGAUGGAGCGGUACUACCAUGGGCGCCCAUGGUACUACGGUGCCGGAGCUCGGUACUACCGCUGAUGCCUGCGGUAGUACCGCUCUGGGGAGCAGUACUAUCGCCAGCCUAUGAACAACAACACUAGGAGUCCUUCAUUCUACGGAGACACGGUGAGACGGAGGAAGCUCCAAAGAGCCAAAGGAAAGGCAGUGCAAAAAGAACGUGUGUACGUGACAUUCCACCAAAACCUUUCCAACGCGGACCCUCUCUUAAUAGUAUGGCUUGCCUACGACUCAAAUCCACCGAAAGAAACGUAGAUAAACGCCGUCUUCAAUAAUCUUCAAGGGGCAUCAAAUCGUCUUGUGUUCAGCCAUGAUAUAUCCGAAAAGCUCAAAGCACACGAUUAGUCCGCAAAAGCAUUGUCAUCAAUCACCAAAACUACUAAGGGAUAAAUAUGCCCUUCCCUUUUUGGUGGAUUGAUGACAAUACGGGAUUUGCACAUAAGGAUAUAAAGUGAGGCAACAGCAAACCCAUCAUCUUUAAAAUAUAGACGGGCUCCCCCUAGAUGUGUGCACUCUAGAGAUGUGCUUUGGACUGCACGACACACAUACUAGGAUCAACACUCCCCCUAUAUUUUAUUGACAAGGCAUCUCUUGCAAGAGUAACAUCAACACUUAGCAAGUAGGCAAGAUGAUGGAUAUAACUAAGUAAUGAAGACAUAAAGAUAAGCAGGAGUGCAUAUGUCUUAAACCAUAUGAUAGAACUUAGUCUCACAAGCACAAACCAAACAAAGCAAACGAAGUUCAACAGACCGAAAGCAAAGCGACACGGCGAAACACACAACACAUGACACGCAAAUCCUACACUCUCUCCCCCUUUGGCAUCGAGACACAAAAAAGGCAUAAAGGGCGCCUACGGCAUAGGUGGUAGCUCAGGCAGAAAACGACUCCUCGUCGUCGGACUCAGCAGUGGGAAUGGUCUCCUCCUCAGAAUCAGUCCACUUGUAGCCCUGCUUAGCCAUCCAGGCAGCCUUGGGGGUGAUGUGUGAUAACCCACAAGUAUAGGGGAUAAUUGUAGCUUCUUUCGAUGAGUGUCGAACCCAACGAGGAGCUAAAGGUAGAACAAAUAUUCUCUCAAGUCCUAUCUGCCACUGAUACGACUCUACGCAUGCUUAGUGUCCGCUUUACCUAGAACAAGUAUGAACUAGAAGUACUUUGUAGGUGUUGUUGGAAAGGUUUGCAAGAUAAUAAAGAGCACGUAAAUAUAAACUAGGGGUUGUUUAGAUAAAGAAGAAAUAAACUAAAUCUAGCGAGUGUGGAAAAGUGGUGGUAGGAGUUGUGAAAUUGUCCCUAAACAAUUGACUACUUUACUAGACCGAUAAUCACUAUUGCAAUUUUAUUUGAGGGAGAGGCAUAAGCUAACAUACUUUCUCUUCUUGGAUCAUAUGCACUUAUGAUUGGAACUCUAGCAAGCAUCCGCAACUGCUGAAGAUCAUUAAGGUAAAACCCAACCAUAGCAUUAAAGUAUCAAGUCCCCUUUAUCUCAUACGCAAACAACCUACUUACUCGGGUCUGUGCUUCUGUCACUCACGCCACCCAUCAUAAGCAAAUCAUGAACAUAUUGCAAACCCUACAGCGGGGAUCCCUCAUGCUUGCGUGACACUGAGAGCACCAUAGGACAGCACCAAUAAUAAAACAUGCAACUCAAACCAAUCAUAGCAAUUCAUCAAUCACCGGUAGGACAAUGAAAAUCUACUCAGACAUCAUAGGAUGGCAACACAUCAUUGGAUAAUAAUAUGAAGCAUAAAGCACCAUGUUCAAGUAGAGGGUACAGCGGGUUGCGGGAGAGUGGACCGCUGAAUAUAGAUGGGGGAAAGUGAUGGAGAUGUUGGUGAAGACGACGGAGGUGUUGGUGUAGAUCGCGCUGAUGAUGAUGGCCCCCGGCUGCGUUCCGGCGCCACCGGAAGCAAGGGGGAGAGAGCCCCCCUUCUUCUUCUUCUUCUUCCUUGACCUUCUCCCUAGAUGGGAGAAGGGUUUCCCCUAUGGUCCUUGGCUCCCAUGGCGUGGGAGGGGCAAGAGCCCCUCCGAGAUUGGAUCUGUCUCUCUGUCUCUCUCUGUUUCUGUGUUCUCUUAUUCUGCCCUUUCACCGUUUCUUUUAUAUCCGGAGAUCCGUAACUCCGAUUGGAUUGAAACUUUCGCCCGGAUUUUUCUCCAAAAAUUAGCUUUCUUGCGGCAAAAGAAGAGCGUCAACCGCCUUACAGGGUGCCCAUGAGGGUCAGGGGCGCCCCCCCUGCCUCGUGGCCCCCUCGGGCACCGUCUCGCGUUGGUUUUUCUUCCCAAAAAUCAUAAAUAUUCCAAAAUAAUUCUUCGUACGUUUUUAUCCCGUUUGGACUCCGUUUGGACUCCGUUUGAUAUUGGGUUUCUGCGAAAGAUAAAACAUGCAACAAACAGGAACUGGCACUUGGCACUGGAUCAAUAUGUUAGUCCCAAAACAUAGUAUAAAAUGUUGCCAAAAGCAUAUGAAAGUUGAAUAAUAUUGGCAUGGAACAAUCAAAAAUUAUAGAUACGACGGAGACGUAUCAGCAUCCCCAAGCUUAAUUCCUGCUCGUCCUCGAGUAGGUAACUGAUAAGAAUGAUAAUUUUUGAUGUGGAAUGCUACCUAGCAUAAUCUUGAUCAUAUAUCUAAUCAUGGCAAGAAUAUUAAGACACGAGUGAUUCAAAGCAAUAGUCUAUCAUUUGACAUAAAAAUAAUAAUACUUCGAGCGUACUAAUAAAGCAAUCAUGUCUUUUCAAAACAACAUGGCCAAAGCAAGCUUAUCCCUAUAAAAUCAUAUAGUUUGGCCAUGCUUCAUUUUCAUCACACAAAAUGCUCCCAUCAUGCACAACCUCGAUGACAAGCCAAGCAAUUGGUUCAUACUUUUUAACAUGCUUCAGCUUUUUCAACCCUCACGCAAUACAUGAGUGCAAGCCAAUGAUAUAGCACUAUAUGUGGAACAGAAUAUGAUGGUGUGGGUUUAUGUGGAGAAGACAAAAAAGGAAGAAAGUCUCACAUCGACGCGGCUAAUCAACGGGCUAUGGAGAUGCCCAUCAAUUGAUGUCAAUGCGAGGAGUAGGGAUUGCCAUGCAACGGAUGCACUAAGAGCUAUAAGUGUAUGAAAGCUCAAACUGAAACUAAGUGGGUGUGCAUCCAACUUGCUUGCUCAUGAAGACCUAGGGCAUUUGAGGAAGCCCAUCGUUGGAAUAUACAAGCCAAGUUCUAUAAUGAAAAUUCCCACUAGUAUAUGAAAGUGACAAUAUAGGAGACUCUCUAUAUGAAGAACAUGGUGCUACUCUGAAGCACAAGUGUGGUAAAAGGAUAGUAACAUUGCCCCUUUUUCUUUUCUUUUUUUUGGGCGGGCUUCUAUGGCCCCUUUUUUUAUUUAGGAUUCUUUGGCCUCUUUUUUUUAUGGGGCAAUGCUCUAUAAUGAUGAUCAUCACACUUUUAUUUACUUACAACUCAAUAUUACAACUCGAUACUGGAACAAAGAUAUGACUCUAUAUGAAUGCUUCCGGCAGUGUACCGGGAUGUGCAAUGACCUAGCGUAGCAAUGACAUCAAAAAACGGACAAGCCAUGAAAACAUCAUGCUAGCUAUAUUACGAUCAUGCAAAUCAAUAGUACAAUGAAUGCUCAAGUCAUGAAUAUGAUGAUGAUGAAAGUUGCAUGGCAAUAUAUCUCGGAAUGGCUAUGGAAAUGCCAUGAUAGGUAGGUAUGGUGGCUGUUUUGAGGAAGAUAUAAGGAGGCUUAUGUGUGAUAGAGCGUAUAGUAUCACGGGGUUUGGAUGCACCGGCGAAGUUUGCACCAACUCUCGAGGUGAGAAAGGGCAAUGCACGGUACCGAAGAGGCUAGCAAUGAUGGAAGGGUGAGAGUGUGUAUAAUCCAUGGAGUCACAUUAGUCAUAAAGAACUCAUAUACUUAUUGCAAAAGUUUAUUAGCCCUCGAAGCAAAGUACUACUACGCAUGCCCCUAGGGGGAUAUAUUGGUAGGAAAAGACCAUCGCUCGUCCCCGACCGCCACUCAUAAGGAAGACAAUCAAAGAAACACCCCAUGCUUCAAAUUUGUCACACAACGGUUACCAUACGUGCAUGCUACGGGACUUGCAAACCUCAACACAAGUGUUUCUACAAUCCACAAUGACCCACUAGCAUGACUCUAAUAUCACCAUCUUUAUAUCGCAAAACUAUUGCAAGGAAUCAAACAUAUCAUAUUCAGCGAUCUACAAGUUUAUGUAGGAUUUUAUGACUAACCAUGUGAAUGACCAAUUCCUGUCAUCUCUCUAAAUAGAUAUAAGUGAAGCAAGAGAGUUUAAUUCUUUCUACAAAAGAUAUGCCCAUGCUCUAACAAAUAUAAUUUAAGCAAAAGAGCAUUCUCAAAAUGGCGGUUUUCUAUGUGAAGAGAAACAGGCAAUCCAAACUUCAAAAGAUAUAAGUGAAGCACAUGAAGCAUUCUAUAAAGCCAUACUCAAAAGAUAUAAGUGAAGUGCAAUGAGAAUUCUAUAAAUCAACCAAUGACUAUCUCAUACCAGCAUGGUGCAAACAAAAAAAAAACUAAAUGCAAAAGAUGCUCCAAGACUUGCACAUAUUGCAUGAAUGAAAUGAAUCCGAAAACAUACCGAUACUUGUUGAAGAAAGAGGGGAUGCCUUCCGGGGCAUCCCCAAGCUUAGACGCUUGAGUCUCCUUGAAUAUUUACUUGGGGUGCCUUGGGCAUCCCCAAGCUUGAUCUCUUGCCUCUCUUCCUUUUCCUCGUAUCGAGACCUCCUCGAUCAAACACUUCAUCCACACAAAACUUCAACACAAAACUCGGUAUGAUCUGUUAGUAUAAUAAAGCAAAUCACUACUCUAGGUACUGUUGCAAACCAAUUAAUAUUUUGUUUUUGCAUUGUGUCUACUGUAAUAUAGCUUUUCCAUGGCUUAAUCCACUAAUAUAAAUUGAUAGUUUCAUCAAAACAAGCAAACUAUGCAACAAAAACAGAAAUUGGCAAAAACAGAACAGUCUUAGAAAUCUGAACAUUCACGAUACUUCUGGUACCCCAAAAUUUCUACAAAAAUUAGGAAAAAUAAAGAAUUUGUAUAGAAAGACAGUGCAAAAAGAAUCAGAACCGUUUGACAUUCCAGUUAAAAAUGUAAAAUCGCGCACUACAGCCAAAGUUUCUGUCCUGCACCGUACAAAUCGACAAGCAUUGUAAACAUCCUAAAGGCAAACCUUGGCACAUUAUUUUUAUAAUACAAUGGAAUUGUACAAGGGGAUAAUUAUUUUUGAUGAAAAGUUUCUAUAAUUAAGAUUCACAAAGUUUCCGUGAGCAUGAACAAAGUUCAAGGAGCUCCCCCACUUCAACAAUGCUUGUCUUUCUCACUUUCACUUUCCUUUUUGAAAAGUUUUGGGUUCCCCUCUUUAUUUUCUGUUUUUAGACUAUAUAAAAGCAAUCAACAGAAAUAAAUGACUCUCUAAAACUUCCGGGUUGUCUCCCUGGCAGUGCUUUCUUUAAAGCCAUUAAGCUAGGCAUAUAGUGCUCAAGUAAUGAAUCCACCCGGAUCCCAAGGUAUUUCAAAGCCAAUUUUAAUUAACAAUGAUUUGUAAUUUAGUAGUGAGCACAAAGUAACAUAUAUCAUGUAACAACAAAGUCUAACUCUCUUCCUAUGAAUCGACAUGUCAUAAAAGAACAAUUCAUGCACACAAAGUAAGGGCCAAUGCAUAGUAUAAACAGUUUCUUGAAAUUUUAUCAUAUUGGAAACAUAGAGAGGUGGAGAUAUAGUUCCUCUCUCAUAAUAAUUGCAAGUAGGAGCAGCAAGCACAUGCAUAUUAUAUCUAUCAAAAUUAUCAUGUGUAGCAGUAAAAUUCGACCCAUCAAUAUAAUCCUUAAUAAGCACAAACUUCUCCGAUAUAGUGUAGUUGGGAGAAUUCAAAAAGAUAAUAGGACUAUCACGCGUGGAUGCAAUAGCAACAAUUUCAUGUUUAACAUAAGGAACUAUAGCAAGUUCAUCUCCAUAGGCAUAAUUCAUAUUGGCAUCUUGGCCAUAAGCAUAGCAAGCAUCAUCAAAAAGGGAUAUUUCAAAAGAAUCAACGGGAUCAUAGAAAUCAUCAUAGCAAUCAUCCUUCGGUAAGCACGAAGGGGAAUUAAACAAUGUAUGAGUUGAGGAGUUACUCUCAUUAGAAGGUGGGCACAGGUAGCUAAUCCGCUCUUCCUCCUUUUGUUCUUCGCUCUCCUCAUCAUCUUCUUCAUCCAAUGAGCUCACAGUUUCAUCAAUUCCUUCUUCCAUAGACUCCUGAAAAAUAUUAGUCUCUUCUUGGACAGCGGAGACUUUCUCAAUAAAUGCAUCAAUAUCGGAAUUGAAUUCAUAAUUCUCAUAGCAAUAUUUAAGUAUAGCAAAAUUUUCAGCUCUAUAAACUGAAUCAUAAAAAUCUUCAAACGUUUUAAGCAUUGAUUCAAUCUCGUAAGCACCCAUAAAAGAAACAAAUUCUUCUAUUUGUUCCACAUCAUAGUAAUCAUAUAUACCAUUAGCAUAAGAAGCUAAGGUUUUAUUAUCAUUAAAUUUGCAUGAAAAGGGAAGGUGUGGAGCCUUCAUCCUAGAGCAACAAGUAUAAUCAUAUCUCAAGCAUAGUUGCCUAGCAUACCAAUAUAACAUAUAAAUUUGAUCCCAUAAUAGUUUCCCUUUUUGUGUCAAGUGAUAAUCCCUAAAGUAUUCACCUUGAUCCAACAUGUGUCCCAUAACAUAAUUGAAUGGGGUUUUCUCAGGAUUAUCGAAGUAGUACAUAAUUUCUUUCACAUAACGAGCAUCGAGGGUUUUAGGAGGUUCCCCAUCUCCAUGAGUAGCAAGUACACCUAAAUUUUUUGGUAUUUCGUGUUCCAUAUCCAUAACUAAAGAUAGAUAACAACUUGGAACAGCAAAUAAAAAUUACUUAGUGAUAAAGCAAACAAGCACACAUGAGAAUAUUCACCCCACGCUAUGACUCCCCGGCAACGGUGCCAGAAAAAGGUCUUGAUAACCCACAAGUAUAGGGGAUAAUUCUAGCCUCUUUCGAUAAGUAAGAGUGUCGAACCCAACGAGGAGCUAAAGGUAGAACAAAUAUUCUCUCAAGUCCUAUCUGCCACUGAUACGACUCUACGCACGCUUAGUGUCCGCUUUACCUAGAACAAGUAUGAAACUAGAAGUACUUUGUAGGUGUUGUUGGAAAGGUUUGCAAGAUAAUUAAGAGCACGUAAAUUUAAACUAGGGGCUGUUUAGAUAAAGAAGCAAUAAAGUAAAUCUAGCGAGUGUGGAAAAGUGGUGGUAGGAGUUUUGAAAUUGUCCCUAAGCAAUUGACUAUUUUACUAGACCGAUAAUCACUAUUGCAAUUUUAUUUGAGGGAGAGGCAUAAGCUAACAUACUUUCUCUUCUUGGAUCAUAUGCACUUAUGAUUGGAACUCUAGCAAGCAUCCGCAACUACUAAAGAUCAUUAAGGUAAAAACUCAACCAUAGCAUUAAAGUAUCAAGUCCCCUUUAUCCCAUACGCAGACAACCUACUUACUCGGGUCUGUGCUUCUGUCACUCACGCCACCCACCAUAAGCAAAUCAUGAACAUAUUGCAAACCCUACAGCGGGGAUCCCUCAUGCUUGCGCGACACGGAGAGCACCAUAGGACAGCACCAAUAAUAAAACAUGCAACUCAAACCAAUCAUAGCAAUUCAUCAAUCACCGGUAGGACAACGAAAAUCUACUUAGACAUCAUAGGUGUAACAUCCCAAAUUUUCAAUUUGGAAUGUUAUACAUAGAUCAUCCAUGCAUGUUAUAUUUUAUUGCAUUUCUGUUCCGAAAUCCUCAAAAUCCUAAGCAACUCAAGGACCCUCAGAGAGAGUUGGGGAUUUCCCGAUUUUUCAUAUUUGAUUUCGUAUCAAAUAGUGAAACGAGGAUUUUUUAUUUUAAUUAUUUUUCCCUCAGAAAAAUAUUUCUUAUAAAAAUAAACGAGAGGUGAUAAUAUGACUUCUCCAAAACAAUUGAAAUAUUGGAGGAAAAAUGUUAAAAUCAUUUGUUAUAUUUUAUUUGAGUUUAUUUGGAUUUUAUUUGCAUUAGAAAAAUAUGCACGUUUUCAAAAUCUCAUUUUAGGGCCAAGAAAAUGUUCAUCUCGUUCUAAAUAUUUUAUUUAGACGGUGAAAAUUUGUUUUGGCAUUUUAGGUUUUUAUUUUAUUUUAUAGGAUUUAUUUUCUGUCAGCAUAAUUAUUUAAAAAAAACUUCCAGUGCCGACUGGGCCGAAGCCCAGCCGAGCCGGACCACCUUCCCGCGCGCGCCGUCUCCCACCCGGAGACCGAGCCGCCGCCGCCUUGGCCCCUCCUCCAAGCCGCCCCCCUUUAUAUACGCCGCCACCCCCCCAAAGCGCCACCACCACCAGCCCCGCUGCCCCGAGCCGAGCGCCGCCNNNNNNNNNNNNNNNNNNNNNNNNNNNNNNNNNNNNNNNNNNNNNNNNNNNNNNNNNNNNNNNNNNNNNNNNNNNNNNNNNNNNNNNNNNNNNNNNNNNNNNNNNNNNNNNNNNNNNNNNNNNNNNNNNNNNNNNNNNNNNNNNNNNNNNNNNNNNNNNNNNNNNNNNNNNNNNNNNNNNNNNNNNNNNNNNNNNNNNNNNNNNNNNNNNNNNNNNNNNNNNNNNNNNNNNNNNNNNNNNNNNNNNNNNNNNNNNNNNNNNNNNNNNNNNNNNNNNNNNNNNNNNNNNNNNNNNNNNNNNNNNNNNNNNNNNNNNNNNNNNNNCAACCCCGCCUCGCCGGAGCCACCUCGUCGAGGUACCACGCCGACCCGUCACCGCCGUUUUUUUUUAAAUCGUUCGGUUUUUUUUGAAACCCUGGUUUUUUAGUUUCGGUUCGCCGGUUUUCUCGGUUCGUUUAUUUAACGGACGUUCGUCCAUACGUUCGUUUAAACGAAUGGUUUUCUUCCGUUAGUUACAGAUAACGAACGUUUGUUCGUUAGUCUGUUCGUCAGAUUUUUUUAUCGGAUUUAUCCGCGAUUAUUCUUCAGUCGCGAUUUCUGAUCCAAUCUUAGAUUCAGUUUUUCUUUGCGCUCGUUAGUCGGAAUCAGGUGAUUCAAACGCCUAGAGUUUUGUCUCGAGACCCUCUUUCUGUUUAAUAAACAUAAACAAAGUUUUGGUAAUGUAAAAUUUGACCUUUGUUCAGAUUAGUAAACGGAUCUUGUUUCUUUCACCGUUUGAGUUUCGCUGCUCCGUUUUAUUUGAUUCUUUUUGCAAACCAGAGUUCUUAAGUUGAACUUUCUGGUUAAUCUCUUCUAUUUGGAGUUUUACUGGUGCAUCUUUGUUAGUUGCUUAUGUAUGUUAUUGUUUGUUUGCGAUAGAAUUCCCGGAGUGCGAAGCGUGUUACUACGAGUCUCUAGGAUUCACGGAUCGUUAGCAAGGCAAGUAAAACAUUAAUCAUACUCUUCCCAUUCCCAGUUUUGAUUGCAUUAGUUCAAUCCUCAAACAUUGCAUGAUUAGGAUGUCAUUAACUUGUGGGUUGGGAAGUAGUUGUUGAGGUAGAACCUAUUGCCCUGUUUAUUAUCAAACCCUUGGGAGUUACUUCUAUGCGUUGCUUAUAUUGCCAUGCUAUGCUCGUAGACGUGGAUUUGGGUUUGAGUGUAUCCAUGACAGAUGUGAGAUUAUUAAUUAAUGGUUUACUUAAGGUGGCAACUUAAAUACACAUCUGGGUGGAUUGAGGCACCUGGGGAACCCAGUGUUGUCUGUUUUAUUCUUGGAAAUCCCGGGGUAUCCGUGUGAUCUUCUUAUGGACCGCCACCCAGGUUCAAAGGGAACUGAGAUUAUUCUUGCUAGAAACUUCCGUGUGCAGCCACAAGCUAUUAUGGGCUCUAGCAUAGUUGAGUAAGUUACGUGAAGCUCUUGAAGAGGUAGAUCAGCAGGUAGUGGGUUUUGUAGGUUUGGUAUGGUGUACCCGGAGUAGAGAGUUAAUGUUUCUGAAAGACCGUGUCUCGGUCAUCCGUUUCUCAAAUGCCAUGUAGUGCGAGAAAUCUAACGGAGGUGAUCGAGUCUUGUGGGGAAAAGUGCGCAAACCUCUGCAGAGUGUACAAACUAAUCAUGGUUAGCCGUGUCCCCGGUUAUGGACAAUUUGAGUAUCUAGUACUUGAGUAUUCACAUGUGUCUCAACACUCUUAAUUAAUAUUGUUGGGUUGUUAAUGACUUUAAUUUGGGAUUGAGAGGGGGUUAACCUUCUCAAUAUUUUAUCAACCAACUUUGUAGUUAAAUAAAAUAUAUUCCUUUGUUGUAGGAAAAAAAUCUGCUUUCCGCAAAACUAUAACCAUAGAGCUUUCCACCAGCCAUAUAUGCAUGUAGUGAUAGCAUUAUUCUGUUUUUGCUCUACUGUGUUAUAUUGCUAGCAUAUUCCAUGUGCUGACCCGUUUUCGGGCUGCAACGUAUUAUGUUGCUGACUUUUCAGACGAGGAGUAAGGUUCGUUAGGUCGUUGCCAUGCAACUCAGCUAUGUCGUUGGAGUUGAUGGACUCACUUUAUCUUCCAAGCCUUCCGUUGUUAUCGCAUUAGAUGGCCUUAAGCCAUAUUAUUGUAAUAAGUUCUCUUUUGAGACAUUCGAUGUAAUAAGUGUGUGAUUGCUAGUCUAUUAUAAAUCCUUCGAGUACUGUGCAUGUCAGCAUUACUGAUCCAGGGAUGACACUGAGGCACAGAGACUUGACCGUUUGAGGUCGGGUCGCUACAAGAUGGUAUCAGAGCACAUGCUGAGUGUAGGACACGACCACUAAGAUAAACCAUAGGUCACUCUUCUCUACUCAUUUCUGACUCCUCUCCCUUUUCCACUCUUUAGGAUGACGAAGAAGAAGACCAAGUUUGCGCAACCGGAUGAGGAUACACCUUUUGGACGCCACUUGAAGGAAGUCACUAGGUACUUGAACAUUGGAAUACCUAGUUUCACCGGGACGUACAACGCUACCUUACCAGAAGAAGAGCGCUGGAUGAUCAAGUACAAGUUCUAGGAAGAACGUUCUCACCAACUUCUAAACCCAAAGAGUUUUCUUUCGAAGCACCAACCUGGAGUCUAGGCAAGAGCAUGGCAGCCCACAUUACCAUGGGACGCAUUGGAGAAGUGUACAACAGGGAACUCACGGACACUACCUAUCAAAUAUGUGGGCACCGAGAUGAGCAAUGGGAGAUGAUCAGCACCAGGAAGGAUAGAUCUGUCGCAGCUUUUAUCCAGGAGCUAAACCAACACAUUCGACGCCAGGAGAAACAGAUGUGCGCCGACAUGAUAGAAUUGAAGAAGGCAAAGACUAGGAUCAUCGAGCUGGAGGAAGAACUCAAGUUCACACGCGAUGGAUAUGAGGAGGAAAUCAAGACACUACUAGAGAAGAACGACGACCUGGUUAAUAAGAUCGGGAUAUUCAUGGGAGGACCAACACCGGGAGACGAAGACGACGACCCCACCUGCCCAGACAACUACAUCAUCAUCGACGACACUGAUUCUAAUCCGAGUGAUGAUGACUAUGAAGACGAAGCUGGAGCAGACAUCAUGGAAUCUUCCACCGAUCAAAAUUUCUAGAUGACCACCAUACAAUAGUAGUAUCCCCCCAUGUAUCAAGUAGUAGUUGAGCACUUUCGCGAUAGUUUUAGACCGAUGUAUGCCCUUGCUUGAUUGAUUGAGUGAAAUGAUUGUGUUUGUCUCAUGUGCAUAUGGGUAGUGCUUCCUCACUAGACCUUUUCCUCUAUUCUAAUCUCUUCCAUCUAAACCCCUCAGAUGCCUCCGAGAUGUGACACCGGUUUUGCUUUCCCACCGGAGCUCACCCAGUUGAUCCAGCAACAGAAUGCUUUGAUGCAAUUGCUAGUUCAGAACCAGGGCAACAACAACAAUAACAACAACAACAAACCGCCACCAGUGGACAAUCUAGCCCGUUUUCUAAGGUUACAGCCGCCGGUGUUCUCCAGUAGCACCGAGCCAAUAGUUGCAUAUGAUUGGCUACACCGUAUCGGAAGGGAGUUAACCACCGCAGGGUGCAUGGAUGCGGAGAAGGUGCGCUUUGCUGCACACCAACUGGAUGGACCCGCAGCAGCAUGGUGGGAAAAUUUCACAACCACCUAUCCCGUCGACACUGUCACAUGGGCUCAGUUUCAGCAGGCCUUUUGUACUGCCCAUGUUUCCACUGGAGCUAUGCAGAUGAAGAAGCGGGAGUUUCACAACUUAUGCCAGGGGAACCGUAUUGUUGGCUAGUACGUGGAUGAUUUUAGCAAGUUAUCACGCUAUGCCCCUGAUGAUGUGGCCACUGAUGCCGCGAAGCAGGAGAAGUUUAUGGAAGGGUUGAAUGAUGAUAUGAGCAUGCAGUUGAUGGUGGCAACCUUCAACAACUACCAGGAGUUGGUAGAUAAAGAUCUUAUGAUUGAAGGAAAGCAGCAGCAGAUUGAGAGCCGCAAGAGGAAGUAUGGACAAGGGAAGUAUAAUUCAGGAGCUCAGCAGAAGCCUCGCUUAACCCCAAAUUCGAGAGGACUCGUUCAUAACCAUGGAGGUCAUAACCACCCUGGAGGAGGAUCACAUAAUCACAAUGGCGCUAAGAACGGAAAUGGGAACGGAGCUAUCAAUAAUCGCUCCAAUCCAGCCACACCCGCCAAGAGAGACCUAAGUCAAGUUACUUGUUAUAAGUGCGGGAAGAUAGGGCACUAUGCCAAUGAUUGUCCUGAAGGAAGGAAUGGAAAUGGAAACGGGAGCGCUGGAAAGAAGCCUAACCCAUUCAACAAAGGACAAGUGAACCACGUUAACGUGGAGGAGGUUGAAGAACAGCCGGACGCGGUAAUAGGUAAGUUUUUGGUUAAGUCAUUUACCGCUCUUAUUCUUUUUGAUACUGGUGCAUCGCAUUCAUACAUAUCAAGGGGAUUCGUGGAUAAGUUUAACCCACCAACCCAAACCCUGAGGACCCCUCUUUUAGUGAGCUCGCCUGGAGCAGAGUAUACGGCUAGCCAAUGGUGUAACCAGAUACCCCUAACCAUUGGGACGCAUGUUUUUCCGUCUGACCUAAUUAUCUUGGAGUCACAAGGAUUGGAUGUGAUAUUAGAUAUGGACUGGAUGUCAAAGUAUGGAGGAAGUAUUGACUGUGCUAGUAAGUCAAUUUAUCUCACCACCCCGGAGGGAAAAGGAUUAAGUACGUAUCUAGGCAUGUUCCUAGGAGGACCCAAGUGAAUGCCCUCACGGGAGUUGUGCAGGAGGAAGUGCCUGUAGUAAAGGAUUACCCAGAUGUUUUUCCAGAAGAGUUACCCGGCAUGCCACCAGAUCGAGACAUUGAGUUUUUGGUAGAGCUAUUGCCAGGUACAAGGCCCAUAUCCAAGAGACCCUAUCGGAUGCCCGCAAAUGAUCUGGAGGAAAUUAAGAAGCAGAUCAAGGAGUUGUUGGAGAAAGGUUAUAUUCUAAGGAGUUCAUCACCUUGGGGAGCUCCAGUACUUUUGGUGGAGAAGAAGGAUAAAUCCCUAAGGAUGGUUGUUGAUUAUCGAGCCUUGAACGAAGUGACCUUUAAGAACAAGUAUCCACUACCGAUGAUCAAUGAUCUGUUUGAUCAGCUGCAAGGAGCUAAGGUGUUUUCGAAGAUUGAUCUGCGAUCAGGAUACCAUCAGUUGAAGAUCCGAGAGAAGGAUAUACCAAAAACAACAUUCACUACGCGGUAUGGAUUAUACGAGUAUACGAUCAUGUCGCUUGGACUGACAAACGCCCCUGCCUAUUUCAUGAGUAUGAUGAACAAAGUGUUCAUGGAGUAUUUGGACAAGUUUGUUGUGGUGUUUAUCAAUGAUAUUAUGGUAUACUCGAAGAACGAAAAGGAGCACAAGGAGCAUUUGCGAUUAGUUCUCGAGAAACUCAAGGAACACCAGUUAUACGCCAAGUUCAGCAAGUGUGAAUUUUGGUUGAAGGACGUUGGAUUUCUUGGGCAUGUUAUAUCAGGAGAAGGUAUAGCAGUGGACCCCAGCAAGGUUCAGUCGGUCACUGAAUGGUUGGCACCCACUUCAGUUGGCGAGAUCCGUAGUUUCCUUGGACUCGCGGGAUAUUAUCGGAGAUUCAUUGAGAAUCUUUCCAAGCUGGCAAAACCAAUGACUGAACUGUUGAAGAAGGAUAAUAAGUUUAUAUGGACAAAAUAUUGUGAGGCAAGUUUCCAGGAGUUGAAGAAACGUUUGACUACAGCCCCAGUACUAAUGUUGCCAGAUAUACAUAAGGAGUUUCAAGUAUAUUGCGACGCCUCACGAUUUGGACUGGGAUGUGUGCUUAUGCAGGACGAAAAAGUUGUUUCGUAUGCCUCACGACAACUGAAGCCCCACGAGUUGAACUAUGCCACCCAUGACUUGGAGUUAGCAGCUGUAGUGCAUGCAUUAAAGACUUGGAGACAUUACCUAAUUGGGAACCGUUGUGAUGUGUACACGGAUCAUAAGAGUUUGAAGUAUAUCUUCACCCAAAAGGAGCUGAACCUUAGGCAGAGAAGAUGGUUGGAACUUAUAAAGGACUAUGAUAUGAAGCUAACUCUCAUCCAGGGAAGGCCAAUGUUGUAGCAGACGCUUUAAGCCGGAAGAGUUAUGCUAACAUACUUGAAAGUAAGGGAUUGCCAAAGGAGUUAGCCGAGGAUAUCAUGGAACUUCGAUUGGAGAUUGUUCCACGAGGUUUCAUUGCAACAAUGGAGGUUCAGUCGACCUUGUUAAACAAAAUUCGAGAAGCUCAGAAGGAGGACAAAGAGAUUGCAGAAAUAAAGGAUAAGAUGAGCGAAGGAAAGGCCAAAGGUUUUUGCGGGAAUGAGCACGAUACCUUAUGGUUUGAGGACCGAGUUUAUGUGCCCAAGAACCCAGAGAUCAGGAAGUUAAUACUUCAAGAGGCUCAUGACUCACCAUACUCGAUACAUCCCAGAAACACCAAGAUGUACUUGGAUUUAAAGGAACAUUUCUGGUGGACUGGUAUGAAGAAGGAUAUCGCCGAGUAUGUAGCCGUAUGUGAUGUAUGUCAAAGAGUGAAGGCAGAGCAUCAGAAGCCAGAAGGACUGUUACAGCCUAUGCCGAUACCCGAAUUGAAGUGGGAUAAACUUGGCAUGGACUUUAUCACCGGACUACCCAGGACCAAGGCAGGAUAUGACUCAAUAUGGGUAGUAGUGGAUCGCUUGACUAAAGUGGCACAUUUUAUUCCGGUGAAAACCACUUAUACAAGUGCAAAGUUUGCCAAAAUAUAUAUAUCCAGGAUCGUAUGUUUGCAUGGAGUUCCGAGGAGCAUCAUAUCAGACAGAGGGACGCAGUUUACUUCAAAGUUUUGGCAUCAGUAACACCAGACUUUGGGUAUGAGAUUGGAGUUCGGUACAACAUUCCACCCGCAGAAAGAUGGACAGACCGAGAGAGCCAACCAGAUACUGGAAGAUAUGUUGAGAGCUUGUGCGCUGCACUAUCGAUCUAGUUGGGAUGACAAUUUACCCUACGCUGAAUUCUCAUACAACAAGAGCUACCAAGCCAGUUUGAAGAUGGCACCGUUCAAAGCUUUGUAUGGACGUAGAUGCAGAACACCCUUGAUGUGGGAUGAGGUAGGAGACCGAUAGCUGUUUGGACCAGACUUGAUCAAAGAGUCUGAGAAGAAGGUUAAGUUGAUUCGGGAUAGACUGAAGAUAGCUCAGUCCAGGCAGAAAAGUUAUGUAGACUCGAAACACAAGUAGGUUACCUAUGAGAUUGGAGACAGAGCAUAUCUGCGAGUAUCACCCUUGCGAGGGGUGAAACGAUUCGGAGUUAAGGGAAAAUUAGCCCCGAGGUUUGUAGGACCAUAUCGUGUUUUGGAAAGGAUGGGAGAAGUUGCCUACAAGUUGGAAUUGCCUGAAGGAUUGUCAGGAGUUCACGAUGUGUUCCACGUCUCACAGCUGAAGAAGUGUCAUGCUGAGAUGGCCGAUAUACCGUUAAGAGAUACCGUACCCUUGGAGGCAAUUCAGCUGGACAGUGAUUUGACGUAUGAGGAGAAACCAGUAAAGAUUCUUGAGUUUGCCAGCCGAGUCACUCGCAGCAAGGUUAUCAAAUUUUGUAAAGUUUAGUGGAGCCACCAUACCGAGGAUUAAGCCACCUGGGAACGAGAGGAUGAUCUUCGCAAGGACCACCCGCACCUAUUUUCUGACCAACCCGAAUCUCGAGGGCGAGAUUCAUCUUAAGGGGGGGUAGGUUUGUAACAUCCCAAAUUUUCAAUUUGGAAUGUUAUACAUAGAUUAUCCAUGCAUGUCAUAUUUUAUUGCAUUUCCGUUCCGAAAUCCUCGAAAUCCUAAGCAACUCAAGGACCCUCGGAGAGAGUUGGGGAUUUCCCGAUUUUUCAUAUUUGAUUUCGUAUCAAAUAGUGAAACGAGGAUUUUUGAUUUUAAUUAUUUUUUGCUCCGAAAAAUAUUUCUUAUAAAAAUAAAUGAGAGGAGAUAAUAUGACUUCUCCAAAACAAUUGAAAUAUUGGAGGAAAAUGUUAAAAUCAUUUUUUAUAUUUUAUUUGAGUUUAUUUGGAUUUUAUUUGCAUUAGAAAAAUAUGCACGUUUUCAAAAUUUCAUUUUAGGGCCAAGAAAAUGUUCAUCUCGUUCUAAAUUUUUUAUUUAGACGCUGAAAAUUUGUUUUGGCAUUUUUAGCUUUUUAUUUUAUUUUACAGGAUUUAUUUUCUGUUGGCGUAAUUAUUUAAAAAAAAAACUUCCAGCGCCGACUGGGCCAAAGCCCAGCCGAGCCGGCCCACCUCCCCGGGCGCGCCGUCUCCCACCCGGAGACCGAGCCGCCGCCGCCUUGGACGAGGAGUCCGGCCGGGACUCCUCCUCGCCGCCGCGUUGGCCUGUCCUCCAAGCCGCCGCCCCUUUAUAUACGCCGCCACCCCCCCCAAACCGCCACCACCACCAGCCCCGCCACCCCGAGCCGAGCGUCGCUGNNNNNNNNNNNNNNNNNNNNNNNNNNNNNNNNNNNNNNNNNNNNNNNNNNNNNNNNNNNNNNNNNNNNNNNNNNNNNNNNNNNNNNNNNNNNNNNNNNNNNNNNNNNNNNNNNNNNNNNNNNNNNNNNNNNNNNNNNNNNNNNNNNNNNNNNNNNNNNNNNNNNNNNNNNNNNNNNNNNNNNNNNNNNNNNNNNNNNNNNNNNNNNNNNNNNNNNNNNNNNNNNNNNNNNNNNNNNNNNNNNNNNNNNNNNNNNNNNNNNNNNNNNNNNNNNNNNNNNNNNNNNNNNNNNNNNNNNNNNNNNNNNNNNNNNNNNNNNNNNNNNNNNNNNNNNNNNNNNNNNNNNNNNNNNNNNNNNNNNNNNNNNNNNNNNNNNNNNNNNNNNNNNNNNNNNNNNNNNNNNNNNNNNNNNNNNNNNNNNNNNNNNNNNNNNNNNNNNNNNNNGAGUGCCGCCGCCGCCCCGCCACCAACCCCGCCCCGCCGGAGCCACCUCGUCGAGGUACCGCGCCGACCCGUCACCGCCGUUUUUUUUAAAAUCAUUCUGUUUUUUUUUGGAAACCCUAGAUCGGUUUUUUUAGUUUCGGUUCGCCGGUUUUCUCCGUUCGUUUAUUUAACGGACAUUCGUCCGUAUGUUCAUUUAAACGAACGGUUUUCUUCCGUUAGUUACAGAUAACGAACGUUCGUUCGUUAGUCUGUUCGUCAGAUUUUUUUAUCGGAUUUAUCCGCGAUUAUUCUUCAGUCGUGAUUUCUGAUCCGAUCUUAGAUUCUGUUUUUCUUCGCGCUCGUUAGUCGGAAUCAGGUGAUUCAAACGCCUAGAGUUUCGUCUCGAGACCCUAUUUAUGUUUAAUCAACUUAAAUAAAGUUUUGGUAAUGUAAAAUUUGACCUUAGUUCAGAUUAGUAAACGGAUCUUGUUUCUUUUGCCGUUUGAGUUUCGCUGCUCCGUUUGAUUUGAUUCUUUUUGCAAACCGGAGUUCUUAAGUUGAAAUUUCUGGUUAAUCUCUUUUAUUUGGAGUUUUACUUGUGCAUCUUUGUUAGUUGCUUAUGUAUGUUAUUGUUUGUUUGCGAUAGAAUUCCCGGAAUGCGAAGCGUGUUACUACGAGUCUCUAAGAUUCACGGAUCAUCAGCAAGGCAAGUAACACAUUGAUCAUACUCUUUCCAUUCCCAGUUUUCAUUGCAUUAGUUCAAUCCUCAAACAUUGCAUGAUUAUGAUGUCAUUAACUUGUGGGUUGGGAAGUAGUUGUUGAGGUAGAACCAAUUGCCCUGUUUAUUAUCAAACGGUUUGGGAAUUACUUCUACGCGUUGCUUAUAUUGCCAUGCUAUGCUCGUAGACGUGGAUUUGGGUUUGAGUGUAUCCAUGAUAGAUGUGAGAUUAUUAAUUAAUGGUUUACUUAAGGUGGCAACUUAAAUACACAUCUGGGUGGAUUGAGGCACCUGGGGAACCUAGUGUUGUCUGUUUUAUUUUUGGAAAUCCCGGGGUAUCCGUGUGAUCUUCCUAUGGACCGCCACCCAGGCUCGAAGGGAACUGAGAUUAUUCAUGCUAGAAACUUGCGUGUGUAGCCAGAAGCUAUUAUGGGCUCUAGCAUAGUUGAGUAAGUUACAUGAUGCUCUUGAAGAGGUAGAUCAGCAAGUAGUGGGAUUUGUAGGUUUGGUAUGGUCUACCCGGAGUAGAGAGUUAAUGUUUCUGAAAGACUGUGUCUCGGUCAUCCGUUUCUCAAACGCCAUGUAGUGCGAGAAAUCUAAUGGAGGCGAUAGGGUCUUGUGGGGAAAAGUGCGCAAACGUCUGCAGAGUGUACAAACUAAUCAUGGUUAGCUUUGUCCCGGUUAUGGACAAUUUGAGUAUCUAGUACUUGAGUAUUCACAUGUAUCUCAACACUCUUAAUUAAUAUUGUUGGGUUGUUAAUGACUUUAAUUUGGGAUUGAGAGGGGGUUUACCUUCUCAGUAUUUUAUCAACCAACUUUGUAGUUAAAUAAAAUAUAUUCCUUUGUUGUAGGAAAAAAUUGCUUUCCGCAAAACUAUAACCAUAGAGCUUUCCACCAGCCAUAUAUGCAUGUAGUGAUAGCAUUAUUCUGUUUUUGCUCUACUGUGUUAUAUUGCCAGCAUAUUCCAUGUGCUGACCCGUUUUCGGGCUGCAACGUAUUAUGUUGCAGACUUUUCAGACGAGGAGUAAGGUUUGUUAGGUUGUUGCCGUGCAGCUCAGCUAUGCCGUUGGAGUUGAUGGACUCACUUUAUCUUUCAAGCCUUCCGCUGUUAUCGCAUUAGAUGGCCAUAAGCCAUAUUAUUGUAAUAAGUUCUCUUUUGAGACAUUCGAUGUAAUAAGUGUGUGAUUGCUACUCUGUUAUAAAUCCUUCGAGUACUGUGCGUGUCAGCAUUACUGAUCCAGGGAUGACACUGAGGCACAGAGACUUGACCGUUUGAGGUCGGGUCGCUACAAUAGGAUGGCAACACAUCAUUGGAUAACAAUAUGAAGCAUAAAGCACCAUGUUCAAGUAGUGGGUAUAGCGGGUUGAGAGAGAGUGGACCGCUGAAUAUUGAUGGGGGAAAGUGAUGGAGAUGUUGGUGAAGACGGCGGAGGUGUUGGUGUAGAUCGUGGUGAUGACGAUGGCCCCCGGCGGUGUUCCGGCGCUACCGGAAGCAAGGGGGAGAGAGCCCCCCUUCUUCUUCUUCUUCCUUGACCUUCUCCCUAGAUGGGAGAAGGGUUUCCCCUCUGGUCCUUGGCUCCCAUGGUGUGGGAGGGGCGAGAGCCCCUCCGAGAUUGGAUCUGUCUCUCUGUCUCUCUCUGUUUCUGCGUUCUCUGAUUCUGCCCUUUCACCAUUUCUUUUAUAUCCGGAGAUCCGUAACUCCGAUUGGAUUGAAACUUUCACCCAGAUUUUUCUUCGAAAAUUAGCUUUCUUGCGGCAAAAGAAGAGCGUCAACCGCCUUACGGGGUGCCCACGAGGGUCAGGGGCGUGCCUACCCCCCUGGGGCGCGCCCCCUGCCUCGUGGCCCCCUCAGGCACCGUCUCGCGUUGGUUUUUCUUCCCAAAAUCAUAAAUAUUCCAAAAUAAUUCUCCGUCCGUUUUUAUCCCAUUUGGACUCUGUUUGAUAUUGGGUUUCUGCGAAACAUAAAACAUGCAACAAACAUGAACUGGCACUGGGCACUGGAUCAAUAUGUUAGUCCCAAAAAAUAGUAUAAAAAGUUGCCAAAAGUAUAUGAAAGUUGAAUAAUAUUGGCUUGGAACAAUCAAAAAUUAUAGAUACGACGGAGACGUAUCAAUGUGCUUCUCAGAUCCGCUAGACACCUCCUCGCCACACGCCCUCAAGAUCUUCUUGUCGCGACGACGACUCUCCUUCUGAGCAACAUGGGCCUUGUACUGACCCUUGGUCUGCAUGCAGAACAACUUCUUCAUCUUUGUCUUCAGCUUCUUCGCCCAAGAGGGCUCAGUAGAGGGAGGAGUGUAACCAGCAGAACGGUCCUGUCACAUUCCUAGCUUCUGGUUUGCUCUGAGCUAGCUAGUCAUGUGUUGCAUCAUGUUUAAAUUUUGCCUAAAAUUGAAAUGGGAAUGUUCAAACCCUAGCAUUAAAUCAACUCAACUAGGGUGAAUUAAAAUCUUUUCAAUAAACCCAAAAGGUUCCUAAGAAAAGUCCAUGAUUUCUGGUUAAGGUGGAAACCUCUGCCAAAAAUGAUGAAUAUAUUCUUAGGUCAUUUUUGGAUUUUUGAAUUAAAUCAUAUUGUAUUUGACUUUGGGCAUUUAAAUACUAUAAAUAAUUUAAAUGUUCAAAUAAAUGUUGGAAAUCGUUAAGGGUCACUGAAAUAAUUCAGAAAGCACCCAUAAUUGUUUCCAGGAUUUUAUUAAAUGAUUUGGUAUUUUAAAUCAAAUCAAAAACAAAAUAACAGAAAUAGAAAAGAAAUAAAAGAGAGAGAGAGAAGGAAGUUACCUGGCGCCCACUUACCUGGCCCAGCACGGCCCAGCCCAUCUCCACUCCCCCCCCUGUCGUCUUCCUCUGCCAGUAGGCAGAGGCGAGGCGUGGCGCGCGCCCGAGAGGCCUCGGCCACCUCCUGCUUCCCCCUGGCCACCUCCUGCUUCCUCCUCGACGCCCCGGAGACGCCACGCACCUCCCUGCCUCUCUCCCUCACUCUCCCGCGUCCUCAUCCUCUCCCCUGGACCUCUCUCUCACUCGCCCGAACGGAGCCACCGCCACCGACGAGCUCCCUCGCGGCCACCGCCACCCCCUAGCCUCGCCGAUGCGCCCAAAGGCUCCGCCUCGACCCCCUCUUUCUCCCCACCGAGCCACAAGGUCCCGGACACGCUGCAACGCCGCCACCAUCGCCGUUUCCAUCGCCGGCCGCCGAGGAUCUUCACCGUCGAUUCGCCGCCGUCUCCGCUUCCCCGAGCUCGUCAUCUACCCCAUCCGAACCACCAUGAGCUCCUGCACGUUUUGCCCCUAACCCCGUGGCUUGCCGCUCGCCGUAGCCGCCAUUUCAUAGCUGGCCGUAGCACGCCGCCGCCUGAGCUCGUCGCCGGCGUAGCUCCGGUGACCAUUUGGUCACCCUGGCAUGCCUAACUCGCUCCCCGCACCGCGUAGCGCCCCGCUAGCCGCUCACCUCGCUCGUUUGCGCACCGUAGCACUAACUCGCCCCAACCCCGAGCUCCGGCCGCCGCCUCGGGCUCCACUCCGGCGAACCCCGGCCACCCCCGCACCUCCCGUUGGUCCCCCUAUAUGCGCACGGGCACGGGCUACCUCCUGGUGCCCUUGGCGCGUCGAUCCGAUGCCCCUAGCGCAAGUCCGGCGUCCCCGGCCGUGCUCUGUGGUCGUCGCCGGCUAAACUCCGGCGAGAGCUGACGUGGCCGGUCAUUAGGGCCUAACUACCCCGCUAACCCAGGCCUAGAGCCACUGACAUGUGGGCCCUAGUGCCCCUAAUCUUUAAUUAAACUAAACUAACCCCCCUGUCUAACCUGUGUCACUGACGUGUGGCCCCCACAUGUCAGGUUUGACCUGGACCUGGCCGUUGACUCGCUGACGUCAUGCUGGCGUCAGGCUGACACAGUUAAAUCAUUUUCUGGAAUUAUUUUAAUUCUAAAUAUUCAGGAAAUUCCAGAAAAUGUUCAAAACUUCAAAAAUUCAUAGUAAUUCAACCCUAACUCCAAAUUAAAUAAUUUAUAUAUGAAAAAUUAUCAGAAAAAUUCAAGGAAUCCAUCUGUACCAUUUUCAUGCAUGUUAGAACAACUUAUAGAUGCUGUUUAGCACAAAUCAUAUAAAGGGCAUUUAAAUAAUCACAUAUGGAGUUUGAAUUUGAAUCUUGUAUUCAAACCAACUUCAUUUAAUCUGUUGCUAGUUGCAUUAGCUCAAAACACAUUAAUUUUGCCAUGUCAUGAUCAUGCAUCAUAUUGUGCAUUGCAUUGAUUGUGUUCCCUUCUGUGUUGCUGGUAUUUGUCCCCUCUCGAUAGACGUGAUACCGAUGAUGUGAUCGUUGACACUGAUGAAGACUCAAUGUUAUCUUCAGAAGUGCCAGGCAAGCAAAACCCCCUUGUUCAUUCCGAUACAAUCCCACUCUCUCGCUCCUGCUCUCUUUUACUGCAUUAGGACAACAAUGAUUCAACUGUUACUUGCUGCGGUAGCUGAACCCCUUUAUCCUUUGCAUGACCUGUCAUUGCCACAGUAAAUAGAUGAAACCCACUAGCAUGAGUAGGAGUUGUUUGAGCCCUGUUGUGCCUACUCAUUCAUGUUUGUUUGUCAUGCCUGCUACUGCUUAGAGUUGAGUCAGGUAUGAUUCAUCGGGGAUGAAUCAGAGGUGUGUGAACAUGUCCUACUGUGUGUGAGCUAAGUGUGUGAACACGAUUUGGUAAAGGUAGCGGUGAGAGGCCAUGUAGGAGUACAUGGUGGGUUGUCUCAUUGCAGCCGUCCUCAGGAACUGAGUUCUAUGUUUGUGAUCCAUGAUUCAUCUACUACCAUACAUUGGGCCCUGAAAUAUGACCCCGCUCGAUUUUAAUUCACCCUAGUUGAGUUGAUUUAAUUCUAGGGUUUGAACAUUCCCAUUUCAAUUUUAGGCAAAAUUUAAACAUGAUGCAACACAUGACUAGCUAGCUCAGAGAAAACCAGAAGCUAGGGAUGUGACAACUCACCCCCACUAAACAAGAAUCUCGUCUCGAGAUUCAAGCGUAGGGGAAGGUGAAGGGGGAACGCAAACUAGCACAAUCUUCACGAUCCAGGUUGCACUUCAAUUGAACGUUGAUUCGUUCACCAUCAUCGUCUCGAUGUCUUGUUCUGAGAACUCCAGCCAACAGGAGAACGAGAGGAGAAGGAGACUCUAGAAGGAUCGAUCUUCUAGAAGACUGAACACCUCAGCAUCUCUUGAGCUGAGAGACGAAGCACACCUCUAGAGGGAUGGAGUGGAACAGAUGACGAGGGUUCACUAGGUAGACAACAAUUUCACGCUUAAGAAGGUGGUAAUCGAUUGUCAACGUAGCGAGGAGUUGAGUUGCCAUGAAACCACAACGAGGCACCUUAGGGAAGGUGACUCGUAGAAAUAUCCCCUUAAGUGGCAGAAAGAAUUACCUUUGAUUCAUAGAUCAUUGAAACUCUUUAAACCAGCCUAAGACAAUUCUCGAGCGAUCGUUUGGAGGGGGUCGGUAGAAUGGCAUACUCGGACUUGGAUGAUGUGGAUUACCUUGUUGAAGACAACGUACUGGAUGAAUUUGCUUAUCACCGGAAAUGGAAGGGACCCAUGGUAGAAUGGCACAUUGGCGGUGCAAGCUGGGAACAAAAUGCAAAUGAUGGGAAUGAUUCUAGUAACUGGGGAGAGGCUCAACAAUAGAGAGUUAUUCCACUAUUGGAAUGGUUAUAGCAUUGCCGAGGUAACUGAGAGCACUCCAGUUAGUGUCGAUGAUAACACCUAGCGCUUGUGCGUGCUCUCAAGAACUUGAGCAUUUCCAUAUUCAUCAGGGUUUUACCAAUAUCCGUGUCAAGGAUCCUGGCAACACAACUUGCUACCAUGAUGAAUGAUGAUGGAUGAUGCAGAUGCAAAGGAAGAUAACACUUCUCAGAUUUCAUCUUAGCGAGGCCAAGGAAAUAAAAUCUGGAUGAUCGACCGAGAGACAUUUAGCACUCCGCUUCUAAUAUUCUCCUUGAUGUGCUAGCGUAAUCCACCCAUAGAUAUGGUUUGAUAUCUAGAACAUCAAGUAAAAGGUCGGACUUCGGGAUCUCAAAAAUCCAUAGGGCAACUAGGGAGUAAAUCCUACGAAAUCCCUAUGGGGAGGUGGCCAACUUCCUCAAUCAAGAUAUUAUAAUAACAGGUCUUCCGGCUAGGUGUGUUGGCCACGACAUCCACUUUGCCGGUUUUCGAGGGACCGAUAUUAUAGUUCUUGGGAAAUGUUCCAAACCAUCAUAUCUGCCCGAGAUUCAGAUCUGGUUGGUGUCAGGAUAUUCCAGACUCAUCGAGUCUAGGAAGAAAAAUGAAAGUUUGCAACACAAAUCGAUGAGAUGAUGUUGCGAGAUUCUCGGGAAUGAACUACGAUAGCAAGCUCCAAACAUGAGCUGGUUCUGCUACUAACAUGUGAACACGUUGUCCCAGACAAGCAUGACCACAUAGUAGUCUUAUAAUAAAAUACUACCGAGUUCAGGAGGGGGAACCAUCAACGAGGGUAUCGAAGUCCUUACAUAAGUCCGGAUUAGCUCUUAUGAAGGAACUCCUUCUCCUUGAACAAAUCAAUCAGUGGCUUGGUGUGCUAGGGAUACAUAUAGAUUGAAGGUUGCAAGUCUUCAAACCACAGCAUUCUUCGCACGUGUGCAUGACUGAUUUGGAAUGAUUCCAAAGAAAGCAACAUUGACUUUCUCGAAUCCACGGCGGCAACUUGCAUCAGAUGCACAUGAAUUAAAGGAAGUCACUACCUUCAUCCAAACAUAUGCUUCAUGAGCUAGCAUGAACAAAUGCUUUCAAAAGUUUCCAACACUAGCUUAAUGUUCAACAAAAUCAUGGAGGAGAUAAGGAUGUUGUCAAUGGGCUCAACAACAAUUCAUCUAGGUUUCCUUUUAAAAGGAAUUCCAUAGUUAAGUGAACACGGUGAUAGCAUUGGUCAGACCAAGGAUGUAAUGGUGUAUGCUCGAGGGAUCAACCACGAAUAAGACAACAUUACGAGCAUCGUUGGUACUGAUUUGAUUUGAUGAUAGCCCACACUCAAAUCAAAGGAUUGAUAAGACAAUAGGUCCAGCAACUCAUCACAGGGACCAAUCGAUGAAGAUAUCAUCUUUCUUCAACACACACUACACAAGAAUAUCCCUUUGGAACGAACUAAGUUAGGCAAGCUUUUAUCUUCCAAUUCUCCAAGUUGUUGUCUAGCUUAACCAACUAGCUCAGGGAUAUCCAACACAGAUUCUUGGAGAAAGGGUGGUUCUCCAGAAACCAACUUGAUCACGAGCUGAACAUAACAGUCAGGAAACAACCCGGUAACACUUCCAAGAAGAUAUUUGGAAAGUCACGAACCACCGGUAUGUUACUAAGCUCGAGAACAAUCUUGCUUUUGAGGGCAAGACGACAUGAUCAAAUGAGUGAGGACUUGAAAUAAUUCCUAACUCAUUGGUCAAGGAGUGCACCAGAAAUAGGGACUAGGUAGCACAAUCAGUCUUAGGGUGACGAUUCAACAAUCAACACGCUAAGAAUGAGGUUAUCGUCCAUUUAACUACCAAGCAAUAGAGUUGCUAGCAGUAUUGACUUCAUACACCAUAAUUCAUUUGUCAGCAUUCCGGUUACAAUAACACAGGAUCCGAGGAAUGAACAAUGAUGGCAAGAAGUAUCACUGUACCAAGAGUUCAUAGGAUGGUGUGCAAUUCCUAUAACAAUCUCGAUAUAAAAUAAGGUAAUAUUCCAAGGUAGAACAGAACAAAAGCUGGAUUAGCAAUUUGAUCUGCGGAGCACAACUUCUUUGACCCAAUCCUGGAUAUGGAAGAGGUACUGGAGUUUGUUUCUCCUAGUCAUUCCGCGAUAGAAUGGCUUGACGGACCACAAGAGUAAUAGGCAUCGAUAAACGAACGCACGCAUACUCUUGACUAUCAAUUGAUAGACGAAGAUCAGUAGACAACUAAAGAGGGACAACUCAAGGAACAUAUAACUUUCUGAGUUGUGGAUGCAUAGAUUAGUAUGUCGAACCAAGUUCAACAUAAUUCUUCCGGAUAACCCAUGCAGAAAGGUUGAGCUGGCAGAGUCACAAUAUAGCGUGGAGAACUCAUCGAGAGCACUCUUGUUGACAUCUUUUGGUUCAGAAGAACUCCUGCCAAGAAUGGUUCAUGGUAAUUGGAAGAAGGAUGUACCACGAACCUCGAGGACUAUCGCAAAGGUUACUACUAUCCUAAAGGAACUAGCAAACACUAUCAACAUGAGGUAAGUAGAGUGAAUCUCGGGUUCAAAACCCAGGAGUAGAAUACCUACUACUAAGUAGCAUCACGGAAUGCUUUCGAGAAUAAAGGCCAGAAUCAUCACGCUAGGACACAAUCAUGGCUAGACCACUAGAUGAUCCCCUGAGACACCUAGGGUCAUAACAAUAAUUCCAACAUAAAUGUCAAGGCAAUAGAAUACCUCAGCUCAACAAUUAGUGUGAUUGAGCUGGCAUAAAAGAACAUUGAAACCAGAGGGAAAGGAUUUUGCAAAUGCAUCAGACUACUUAGAAACCUGGGAUGACUCGGACAGCAUAACGACUGUAAAUGCUCAGAAAAGAUUUGAGACAUACUACAAAAUGGUGGCAUAACCACUCAGAAGCACAAUAUCAAGGUUCCGAGAUCAACAAUUAACAUACGGAAGUAGUAGGAACUGAACUGAGACUUAAAUCCAACAAUCUUAUAAGUCUACUGAUUAGUAACACGUGAUCCUAAUAGAAAGAAGAGAUAGCCUAGUUCUUAAUCCCCGUAGAAGAGAAGAUGAUGACUCAGAUCAGAAGGCCAUGAGGUAUAAGGAGUAAAAAGAGCCUUACGUUCCAUCCCACAAUCAAUUCCCUUAUAUAACUAAAGAAUUUCUAGACUCAACUUCGACCAGUUUGGCUUGGUAAUCCUACAGGCAGUCAAGCUCUGAUACCAACGCUGCCAGGACCCCGACUCAAUGCCACAUCGAUCUAGCAUGUAACGCCUCAUAUCACUUUGCGGCCUCACGCACGGUAUUCCCACGGGUGUCGCCUUACCUUAGCCCGGGACCGUUUGCGCCUUUUGGCACACGUAUAUGACAGUGUCGCUAGCAUCCAUAUGAUAAGGAGCCCGGGCUGACAUGGCUAGUCGUAAACCCAAAGUGGCACAGACUUACAGGGACAGGCAUCCAUGACCCAGCAUCGAACGUGUCGGUCAUCAGCGAGUGAAUCCAGGCUGUAGCACUGGGCUAGCAGGACUCCGGUGAACCGGCUGUAGCAGGCUAACAGGACUCCGGUAUUCAUCGCGUGACAUUUCCCCGAAGGGACAGACACAGGAACGAAGAAGGACACAUGCCGGCCAGCCUAAGUGUUCCGGAGCAGUAGCAAGCUACCAUGGCUCGGUGGAAACACUAGGAGACAUUUCCCGGUAAGAGAGGCUACUAGAGAUAAACAACUAGAUGGUCAGAUCCCACACAUACCAAGCAUUUCAAUAACAUACACACAAUAUGCUCGAUAUGUGCAAAUACAACAUGGCAUCACAACGUGACUCUACGACUCAAGUAUUUAUUCAAUAGGCUCCGAGGAGCAAGAUAUUACAAACAGGGGUCUCACGACCCAACAUUCAGAGCAUACAAAUCAAAGCACAAGCGGAAGCUAUCAUGUCUGAGUACAGACAUCUAUAAAUGAAAAAGGCUGAGAAGCCUGACUAUCUACCAGAUCCUGCCGAGGGCACAAGAUCGUAGCUGAGGUAACAAGCUAAACGUCGAAGACCACGUGGAACUACUAGUGAGAUUGAAGUCUCUCUGCAAAAACAUAAAAUAGGCAAACGUGAGUACAAAUGUACCCAGCAAGACUUACAUCAGAACUAACUACAUAUGCAUCAUUUUCAACAAGGGGAUGGUGGGGUUUAACUGCAGCAAGCCAGCUUUGACUCGGUGGCUAUCCUAAACUACGACUGCAAGUGACUCUUUUGAGGUGGCGCACACGAGUCCACAUAUUCACCAUAUCAAUACACCACUAUGGAUCCGCUCCCGUCUCCCUACGAGAACGCCAUCCAUAGCACUCACGCUUAUCUUGCGCAUUUUAAAGUAUCCACUUUCACUUGUCUAUGAACUGAUAUAAGCAACCCAGAAGUCCUUUACCGCGGACACAGCUAUUCGAAUAGAUGAUAUUAACCCUGCAGGGGUGUACUUCUUCAUACAUGUUUCCACCACUUAGCGUCUGCACACGACAUGUGCUCGGCAGACUUCAAGCGAAAGCCGACGUGGGUGUAGACCACGACCUACCUAAACACUCAAGUCUCUAGUCCAGGUUUAUCGCCUAUUCGGGUUCCAUCCAUGAGGAGAUCCGGCCGGAGUUUCGCUCACAGCCCCAAACGAUGUGAACAGGGUUCCGUGACACCAAACGGGCGCCCGGUAUACCCGGCCACGUGCCUACCACAUCACAGCCCACCCCUACGGUCAGCGCUGUCCACGGCCUCCAGCAUACUACAAACACCAGAAACUACUUGCAACUCCUGGACAGCAUCGAGUCUGGAAUAUCCUGACACCAACCAGAUCUGAAUCUCAGGCUGAUAUGAUGGUUUGGAACAUUUCCCAAGAACUAUAAUAUCGGUCCCUCGAAAACCGGUAAAGUGGAUGUCAUGGCCAACACACCUAGCUGGAAGACCUGUUAUUAUAAUAUCUUGAUUGAGGAAGUUGGCCACCUCCCCAUAGGGAUUUCAUAGGAUUUACUCCCUAGUUGCCCUAUGGAUUUUUGAGAUCCCGAAGUCCGACCUUUUACUUGAUGUUCUAGAUAUCAAACCAUAUCUAUGGGUGGAUUACGCUAGCACAUCAAGGAGAAUAUUAGAAGCGGAGUGCUAAAUGUCUCUCGGUCGAUCAUCCAGAUUUUAUUUCCUUGGCCUCACUAAGAUGAAAUCUGAGAAGUGUUAUCUUCCUUUGCAUCUGCAUCAUCCAUCAUCAUUCAUCGUGGUAGCAAGUUGUGUUGCCAGGAUCCUUGACACGGAUAUUGGUAAAACCCUGAUGAAUAUGGAAAUGCUCAAGUUCUUGAGAGCACGCACAAGCGCUAGGUGUUAUCAUCGACACUAACUGGAGUGCUCUCAGUUACCUCGGCAAUGCUAUAACCAUUCCAAUAGUGGAAUAACUCUCUAUUGUUGAGCCUCUCCCCAGUUACUAGAAUCAUUCCCAUCAUUUGCGUUUUGUUCCCAGCUUGCACCGCCAAUGUGCCAUUCUACCAUGGGUCCCUUCCAUUUCCGGUGAUAAGCAAAUUCAUCCAUUACGUUGUCUUCAACAAGGUAAUCCACAUCAUCCAAGUCCGAGUAUGCCAUUCUACCGACCCCCUCCAAACGAUCGCUCGAGAAUUGUCUUAGGCUGGUUUAAAGAGUUUCAAUGAUCUAUGAAUCAAAGGUAAUUCUUUUUGCCACUUAAGGGGAUAUUUCUACGAGUCACCUUCCCUAAGGUGCCUCGUUGUGGUUUCAUGGCAACUCAACUCCUCGCUACGUUGACAAUCGAUUACCACCUUCUUAAGCGUGAAAUUGUUGUCUACCUAGUGAACCCUCGUCAUCUGUUCCACUCCAUCCCUCUAGAGGUGUGCUUCCUCUCUCAGCUCAAGAGAUGCUGAGGUGUUCAGUCUUCUAGAAGAUCGAUCCUUCUAGAGUCUCCUUCUCCUCUCGUUGUCCUGUUGGCUGGAGUUCUCAGAACAAGACGUCGAGACGAUGAUGGUGAACGAAUCAACGUUCAAUUGAAGUGCAACCUGGAUCGUGAAGAUUGUGCUAGUUUGCGUUCCCCCUUCACCUUCCCCUACGCUUGAAUCUCGAGACGAGAUUCUUGUUUAGUGGGGGUGAGUUGUCACAUCCCUAGCUUCUGGUUUGCUCUGAGCUAGCUAGUCAUGUGUUGCAUCAUGUUUAAAUUUUGCCUAAAAUUGAAAUGGGAAUGUUCAAACCCUAGCAUUAAAUCAACUCAACUAGGGUGAAUUAAAAUAUUUUCAAUAAACCCAAAAGGUUCCUAAGAAAAGUUCAUGAUUUCUGGUUAAGGUGGAAACCUCUGCCAAAAAUGAUGAAUAUAUUCUUAGGUCAUUUUUGGAUUUUUGAAUUAAAUCAUAUUGUAUUUGACUUUGGGCAUUUAAAUACUAUAAAUAAUUUAAAUGUUCAAAUAAAUGUUGGAAAUUGUUAAGGGUCACUGAAAUAAUUCAGAAAGCACCCAUAAUUGUUUCCAGGAUUUUAUUAAAUGAUUUGGUAUUUUAAAUCAAAUCAAAAACAAAAUAACAGAAAUAGAAAAGAAAUAAAAGAGAGAGAGAGAAGGAAGUUACCUGGCGCCCACUUACCUGGCCCAGCACGGCCCAGCCCAUCUCCACUCCCCCCCUGUCGUCUUCCUCUGCCAGUAGGCAGAGGCGAGGCGUGGCACGCGCCCGAGAGGCCUCGGCCACCUCCUGCUUCCCCCUGGUCACCUCCUGCUUCCUCCUCGACGCCCCGGAGACGCCACGCACCUCCCUGCCUCUCUCCCUCACUCUCCCGCGUCCUCAUCCUCUCUGGACCUCUCUCUCACUCGCCCGAACGGAGCCGCCGCCACCGACGAGCUCCCUCGCGGCCACCGCCACCCCCUAGCCUCGCCGAUGCGCCCAAAGGCUCCGCCUUGACCCCCUCUUUCUCCCCACCGAGCCACAAGGUCCCGGACACGCUGCAACGCCGCCACCAUCGCCGUUUCCAUCGUCAGCCGUUGAGGAUCUUCACCGUCGAUUCGCCGCCGUCUCCGCUUCCCCGAGCUCGUCAUCUACCCCAUCCGAACCACCGUGAGCUCCUGCACGUUUUGCCCCUAACCCCGUGGCUUGCCGCUCGCCGUAGCCGCCAUUUCAUAGCUGGCCAUAGCACGCCGCCGCCUGAGCUCGUCGCCGGCGUAGCUCCGGUGACCAUUUGGUCACCCUGGCAUGCCUAACUCGCUCCCCGCACCGUGUAGCGCCCCGCUAGCCGCUCACCUCGCUCAUUUGCGCACCGUAGCACUAACUCGCCCCAACCCCGAGCUCCGGCCGCCGCCUCGGGCUCCACUCCGGCGAACCCCGGCCACCCCCGCACCUCCCGUUGGUCCCCCUAGAUGCGCACGGGCACGGGCUACCUCCUGGUGCCCUUGGCGCGUCGAUCCGAUGCCCCUAGCGCAAGUCCGGCGUCCCCCGCCGUGCUCUGUGGUCGUCGCCGGCUAAACUCCGGCGAGAGCUGACGUGGCCGGUCAUUAGGGCCUAACCACCCCGCUAACCCAGGCCUAGAGCCACUGACAUGUGGGCCCUAGUGCCCCUAAUCUUUAAUUAAACUAAACUAACCCCCCUGUCUAACCUGUGUCACUGACGUGUGGCCCCCACACGUCAGGUUUGACCUGGACCUGGCUGUUGACUCGCUGACGUCAUGCUGGCGUCAGGCUGACGCAGUUAAAUCAUUUUCUGGAAUUAUUUUAAUUCUAAAUAUUCAGGAAAUUCCAGAAAAUGUUCAAAACUUCAAAAAUUCAUAGUAAUUCAACCCUAACUCCAAAUUAAAUAAUUUAUAUAUGAAAAAUUAUCAGAAAAAUUCAAGGAAUCCAUCUGUACCAUUUUCAUGCAUGUUAGAACAACUUAUAGAUGCUGUUUAGCACAAAUCAUAUAAAGGGCAUUUAAAUAAUCACAUAUGGAGUUUGAAUUUGAAUCUUGUAUUCAAACCAACUUCAUUUAAUCUGUUGCUAGUUGCAUUAGCUCAAAACACAUUCAUUUUGCCAUGUCAUGAUCAUGCAUCAUAUUGUGCAUUGCAUUGAUUGUGUUCCCUUCUGUGUUGCUGGUAUUUGUCCCCUCUCGAUAGACGUGAUACCGAUGAUGUGAUCGUUGACACUGAUGAAGACGCAAUGUUAUCUUCAGAAGUGCCAGGCAAGCAAAACCCCCUUGUUCAUUCCGAUACAAUCCCACUCUCUCGCUCCUGCUCUCUUUUACUGCAUUAGGACAACAACGAUUCAACUGUUACUUGCUGCGGUAGCUGAACCCCUUUAUCCUUUGCAUGACCUGUCAUUGCCACAGUAAAUAGAUGAAACCCACUAGCAUGAGUAGGAGUUGUUUGAGCCCUGUUGUGCCUACUCAUUCAUGUUUGUUUGUCAUGCCUGCUACUGCUUAGAGUUGAGUCAGGUCUGAUUCAUCGGGGAUGAAUCAGAGGUGUGUGAACAUGUCCUACUAUGUGUGAGCUAAGUGUGUGAACACGAUUUGGUAAAGGUAGCGGUGAGAGGCCAUGUAGGAGUACAUGGUGGGUUGUCUCAUUGCAGCCAUCCUCAGGAACUGAGUUCUAUGUUUGUGAUCCAUGAUUCAGCUACUACCAUACAUUGGGCCCUGAAAUAUGACCCCGCUCGACUUCUUAUUCACCCUAGUCCUCUGUCCAGGAGUUGCAAGUAGUUUCUGGUGUUUGUAGUAUGCUAGAGACCGUGGACAGCGCUGACCGUAGAGGUGGGCUGUGAUGCGGUAGGCACGUGGCCGGGUAUACCGGGCGCCCGUUUGGUGUCACGGAACCCUGUUCACAUCGUUUGGGGCUGUGAGCGAAACUCCGGCCGGAUCUCCUCAUGGAUGGAACCCAAAUAGGCGAUAAACCUGGACUAGAGACUUGAGUGUUUAGGUAGGUCGUGGUCUACACCCACGUCGGCUUUCGCUUGAAGUCUGCCGAGCACAUGUCGUGUGCAGACGCUAAGUGGUGGAAACAUGUAUGAAGAAGUACACCCCUGCAGGGUUAAUAUCAUCUAUUCGAAUAGCCGUGUCCGCGGUAAAGGACUUCUGGGUUGCUUAUAUCAGUUCAUAGACAAGUGAAAGUGGAUACUUUAAAAUGCGCAAGAUAAGCGUGAGUGCUAUGGAUGGCGUUCUCGUAGGGAGACAGGAGCGAAUCCAUAGUGGUGUAUUGAUAUGGUGAAUAUGUGGACUCGUGUGCGCCACCUCAAAAGAGUCACUUGCAGUCGUAGUUUAGGAUAGCCACCGAGUCAAAGCUGGCUUGCUGCAGUUAAACCCCACCAUCCCCUUGUUGAAAAUGAUGCAUAUGUAGUUAGUUCUGAUGUAAGUCUUGCUGGGUACAUUUGUACUCACGUUUGCCUAUUUUAUGUUUUUGCAGAGAGACUUCAGUCUCACUAGUAGUUCCACGUGGUCUUCGACGUUUAGCUUGUUACCUCAGCUACGAUCUUGUGCCCUCGGCAGGAUCUGGUAGAUAGUCAGGCUUCUCAGCCUUUUUCAUUUAUAGAUGUCUGUACUCAGACAUGAUAGCUUCCGCUUGUGCUUUGAUUUGUAUGCUCUGAAUGUUGGGUCGUGAGACCCCUGUUUGUAAUAUCUUGCUCCUCGGAGCCUAUUGAAUAAAUACUUGAGUCGUAGAGUCACGUUGUGAUGCCAUGUUGUAUUUGCACAUAUCGAGCAUAUUGUGUGUAUGUUAUUGAAAUGCUUGGUAUGUGUGGGAUCUGACCAUCUAGUUGUUUAUCUCUAGUAGCCUCUCUUACUGGGAAAUGUCUCCUAGCGUUUCCACCGAGCCAUGGUAGCUUGCUACUGCUCCGGAACACUUAGGCUGGCCGGCAUGUGUCCUUCUUCGUUCCUGUGUCUGUCCCUUCGGGGAAAUGUCACGCGAUGAAUACCGGAGUCCUGUUAGCCUGCUACAGCCGGUUCACCGGAGUCCUGCUAGCCCAGUGCUACAGCCUGGAUUCACUCGCUGAUGACCGACACGUUCGAUGCUGGGUCAUGGAUGCCUGUCCCUGUAAGUCUGUGCCACUUUGGGUUUACGACUAGCCAUGUCAGCCCGGGCUCCUUAUCAUAUGGAUGCUAGCGACACUGUCAUAUACGUGUGCCAAAAGGCGCAAACGGUCCCGGUCUAAGGUAAGGCGACACCCGUGGGAAUACCGUGCGUGAGGCCACAAAGUGAUAUGAGGCGUUACAUGCUAGAUCGAUGUGGCAUUGAGUCGGGGUCCUGACAGGUCCUCAGCUGCUUCCUCCUCCUCAAUCUCCUCCUCAUCCACAUCCAUCUUGGCAGCCUCGGCAACAGUGGUGGUGUUAGCCCAUUGGCUCUUAAUGCGGAGCUCGAUGGUCUCAUGACGAAUCCAGCCUGGGGCUUCGAACUUAUCAUUGGGAUAGAGCUUCUCCCAAGUCUUGGAGAUCAAGUGAAACUGGUAAGGCCCAUAGAUGGGAACCUUACGGUUGAACACCGCAAACUGAAUCUCGCACCACAUGAUAUGUGAGACAUCAAGUGGUUGACUCUGAGCCUGACGCGCAUCCUCACAAAUGAGCAUCAUGUCCACAAGAUAGGCAUGCACCUGGCCCAUGUCACCAAUGCGCUAGAAGAGGGUGUUGCGGAAGAGUCGAAGCAUGAUGUCAAGGAAGGGGUUCAGCACCCACACCUUCUUUGUGCUAGGAAGUGUCUUCUCAACAAGGAAGGGCAAGAGCUUGUUCUUGUUGGCAAACUCAGAUUUGGCAUGAGGGCGAACUCCAACGGGCGUGUCGAGCCCCGCAUCUGGAACUUGAAGCAAAUCCAUGAAAUACUUCCAUUUAGCAGUCAUCCGUUGACCAUUAGUCAUCCAUGUCAUGGUCCUUGCUUCAUUGAAAUCGAAGUGGACCGAAGCAAAGAACUAAGCCACAAUCUUAGGGUCAAAGUCCAUGUGAAAGGUAAGCAUGUGCUCAAUGCUGAACAGCUCCACCAGAUCCAAGGCCUCUCCAAAAUAGCCAUGCUACUUGUCCUGCCUCAUGUGAUGCAUGUCAAUCCAGUGAACUUCCACGUAGACGUUCUGUUUGGCCUUGAUCACAUGCAGAUAGAUAAGGUUCUGCUGCUUGGUCCAGAAUAGACCAUUGCCUCUAAAGUUAGCACGGGGAUUCACAUAUGGGUUGAUCUUCCUUCGAACAAUGAACUCGGCCAGAGGCAUCUCAUCCAUGCCCAUGACGGGCUCCCUCUGCUUGGUGGCGGUGUGCUUGGUUCUGCGUUCGGGGGCAUUGUAGCCCUCUGGAGCUUCAUCUUGGCUACACAGCCGCUUUGACCCUGUGUCACGGCUGGGGUUCGAGUGACGAACAUGGGAACCAGAGCCACCACCUAGACACAAAACGCAAGAACACACACGAAAAACAAGAAGGAUCAGUGCAAAUGUGAUGUCUACUACACAACCUUCUUCUUGUAGACGUUGUUGGGCCUCCAAGUGCAGAGGUUUGUAGGACAGUAGCAAAUUUCCUUCAAGUGGAUGACCUAAGGUUUAUCAAUCCGUGGGAGGCGUAGGAUGAAGAUGGUCUCUCUCAAGCAACCCUGCAACCAAAUAACAAAGAGUCUCUUGUGUCCCCAACACACCCAAUACAAUGGUAAGUUGUAUAGGUGCACUAGUUCGGCGAAGAGACGGUGAUACAAGUGCAAUAUGGAUGGUAGAUAUAGGUUUUUGUAAUCUGAUAUUAUAAAAACAGCAAGGUAACUAAUGAUAAAAGUGAGCACAAAUGGUAUUGCAAUGGUAGGAAACAAGGCCUAGGAUUCAUACUUUCACUAGUGCAAGUUCUCUCAACAAUAAUAACAUAACUUGAUCAUAUAACUAUCCCUCAACAUGCAACAAAGAGUCACUCCAAAGCCACUAAUACCGGGGAAAAAACGAAGAGAUUAUGGUAGGGUAUGAAACCACCUCAAAGUUAUUCUUCUCGAUCUAUUCAAGAGUCCAUAGUAAAAUAACACGAAGCUGUUCUUUUCGUUCAAUCUAUCAUAGAGUUCAUACUAGAAUAACACCUUAAGACACAAAUCAACCAAAACCCUAAUGUCACCUAGAUACUCCAUUGUCACCUCAAGUAUCCGUGGGCAUGAUUAUACGAUAUGCAUCACACAAUCUCAGAUUCAUCUAUUAAAACAACACAAAGUACUUCAAAGAGUGCCCCAAAGUUUCUACCGGAGAGUCAAGAUGAAAACAUGUGCCAACCCCUAUGCAUAGGUUCAUCGGCGGAACCCGCAAGUUGAUCACCAAAACAUACAUCAAGUGGAUCACGUGAUAUCCCAUUGUCACCACAGAUAAGCACGACAAGACAUACAUCAAGUGUUCUCAAAUCCUUAAAGACUCAAUCUGAUAAGAUAACUUCAAAGGGAAAACUCAAUCCAUUACAAGAGAGUAGAGGGGGAGAAACAUCAUAAGAUCCAACUAUAAUAGCAAAGCUCGCGAUACAUCAAGAUCGUACCACCUCAAGAACACGAGAAAGAGAGAGAUCAAACACAUGGCUACGAUACAUACCCUCAGCCCCGAGGGUUUACUCCCUCCUCGUCAUGGAGAGUGAUACGUCUCUAACGUAUCUAUAAUUUUUGAUUGUUCCAUGCUAUUAUAUUACCCAUUUUGGAUAUUUAUGGGCUUUAUUUCACACAUUUAUAUCAUUUUUGGGACUAACCUACUAACCGGAGGCCCAACCCAUAUUGCUGUUUUUUUGCCUAUUUCAGAAUUUCGAAGAAAAGGAAUAUCAAACGGAGUCCAAACAGAAUGAAACCUUCGGGAGCGUGAUUUUUGGAACGAACAUGAUCCGGAGAGCUUGGAGUGCAAGUCAAGAAGCUCCCGAGGGCCCCACGAGAUAGGGGGCCACGCCCCCCUGUAGGGCGCGCCCCCUGUCUCGUGGGCCCCUCGGGCGGCCACGGACGUACUUCUUCCUCCUAUAUAUACCUACGUACCCCAAAAACACCCAGGAGCACCACAAAACACAAUUUUCACCGCCAUAACCUUCUGUAUCCGUGAGAUCCCAUCUUGGAGCCUUCGCCAGCACUCUGGCGGAGGGGGAAUCAACCACGGAGGGCCUCAACAUCAACAUCCUUGCCCCUCCGAUGAGUUGUGAGUAGUUUACCACAGACCUACGGGUCCAUAGUUAUUAUCUAGAUGGCUUCUUCUCUCUUUUUGGAUCUCAAUACAAUGUUCUCCCCCUCUCUUGUGGAGAUCUAUUCGAUGUAAACUAUUUUUGCAGUGUGUUUGUCGAGAUCCGAUGAAUUGUGGGUUUAUGAUCAAUUUUAUCUAUGAAUAAUAUUUGAAUCUUCUCUGAAUUCUUUUAUGUAUGAUUGAGUUAUCUUUGCAAGUCUCUUCUAAUUAUCAAUUUGGUUUGGCCUACUAGAUUGGUCUUUCUUGCCAUGGGAGAAGUGCUUAGCUUUGGGUUCAAUCUUGCGGUGUUCUUACCCAGUGAUAGAAAGGGUUGCAAGACACGUAUUGUAUUGUUGCCAUCGAGGAUAACAAGAUGGGGUUUAUAUCAUAUUGCAUGUGUUUAUCCCUCUACAUCAUGUCAUCUUGCUUAAUGCGUUACUCUGUUCUUAUGAACUUAAUACUCUAGAUGCAGGCAGGAGUCGGGCGAUGUGCGGAGUAAUAGUAGUAGAUGCAGGCAGGAGUCGGUCUACUUGUUAUCGACGUUAUGCCUAUAUACAUGAUCAUGCCUAGAUAAUCUCAUAACUAUGCGCUUUUCUAUCAAUUGCUCGACAAUAAUUUGUUCACCCACCGUAAUACUUAUGCUAUCUUGAGGGAAGCCUCUAGUGAAACCUAUGGCCCCCGGGUCUAUCUCUUAUCAUAUUUGCUUUCAAUCUACUUUUAUUUGCAUCUUUACUUUUUGCAUCUAUCUUAUAAAAUAUCAAAAAUAUAUUUAUCUUAUCAUACUAUCUUUAUUAGUCUCACUUUCGCUAGUGGUCGUGAAGGGAUUGACAACCCCUUUAUUGCGUUGGUUGCGAGUUCUCAGUUUGUUUGUGUUGGUGCGUGGGACUUUUGAGGAGCCUCCUACUGGAUUGAUACCUUGGUUCUCAAAACUGAGGUAAGUACUUACGCUACACUUUGCUGCAUCACCCUCUUCUCUUCGAGGAAAACCAACGCAAGCUGAAGACGUAGCAAGAAGGAUUUCUGGCGCCGUUGCCGGGGAGGUCUUCGCUCAAGUCAAGACAUACCAAAUUUCCUGUUGAGUUUUGUGUUGUGAAGUUUUCAAGUUUUGGGUAAAGCUUUUAUGGACUAUGGAAUAAGGAGUGGCAAGAGCCUAAGCUUGGGGAUGCCCAUGGCACCCCAAGAUAUUUAAGAAUAGCCAAAAGCCUAAGCUUGGGGAUGCCCCGGGAAGGCAUCCCCCCUUUCGUCUUCGUUCAUUGGUAACUUUACUUGGAGCUAUAUUUUUAUUCGCCACAUGAUAUGUGUUUUGCUUGGAGCGUCGUGUAUUAUAUUAGUAUUUGCUUUUUAGUUUACCACAAUCAUCCUUGCUGUACACACCUUUUGGGAGAAGCCUAUUUGAUUAGAAUUUGCUAGAAUACUCUAUGUGCUUCACUUAUAUCUUUUGAGCUUGAUAGUUUUGGCUCUAGUGCUUCACUUAUAUCUUUUAGAGCACGGUGGUGUCUUAAUUUCGAAGAAAUUGCUAGUCUCUCAUGCUUCACUUAUAUUAUUUUGAGAGUCUUUUAGAACAGCAUGAUAUUUGCUAUGAUCAUAAAGUUGGUCCUAGAAUGAUGAGCAUCCAAGUUGGGUAUAAUAAAAACUAUCAUAGAAAGUGAAUUGGAUGCUAUGAUCAAUUUGAUGCUUGAUAAAUGUUUUGAUAUAUGGAGGUAGUGAUAUUAAAGUCAUGCUAGUUGGGUGAUUAUGAAUUUAAAGAAUGCUUGUGUUGAAGUUUCUGAUUCCCGUAGCAUGCACGUAUGGUGAACCGCUUUGUGAUGAAGUUGGAGCACAAUUUUAUUUAUUGAUUGUCUUCCUUAUGAGUGGCGGUCGGGGACGAGCGAUGGUCUUUUCCUACCAAUCCAUCCCCCUAGGAGCAUGUGCGUAGUGCUUUGAUUUUUGAUGACUUCUAAAUUUUUGCAACAAGUAUAUGAGUUCUCUUGAUUAAUGUUGAGUCUAUGGAUUAUACGCACUCUUUCACUCUUCCACCAUUGCUAGCCUCUCUUGUAUCGUGCAAUUUUUGCCGGUACCAUACACCCACCAUUUACCUUCCUCAAAACAGCCACCAUACCUUCCUAUUAUGGCAUUUCCAUAGCCAUUCCGAGAUAUAUUGCCAUGCAACUUUCCACCGUUCCGUUCAUAUGACAUGCAUUACUUUUGUCAUAUUGCUUUUUGCAUGAUCAUGGAGUUGACAUCGUAUUUGUGGCAAGGCCACCAUCAUAAUUUUCAUACAUGUCACUCUUGAUUCAUUGCAUAUCCCGGUACACCGCCGGAGGCAUUCAUAUAGAGUCAUAUCUUGUUCUAGCUUUGAGUUGUAAAUCCAUAAAACUGUGAUGAUCUUCUUUAUUAGAGCAUUGUCCUAGUGAGGAAAGGAUGAUGAAGACUAUGAUUCCCCCACAAGUUGGGAUGAGACUUCGGACUUUACAAAAAGAAAAAAAAGAAAAAAAAGAGAAAGGCCAAAAAGAAAAAAAAGGCCAAGGAAAAAAAAGAAAAGAAGAAAAAAAGAGAAGAAAAAAAAAGAAAAAGAGAGAAGGGACAAUGCUACUAUCUCUUUUUCCACACUUGUGCUUCAAAAUAGCACCAUGAUCUUCAUGAUAGAGAGUCUCAUAUGUUGUCACUUUCAUAUACUAGUGGGAAUUUUUCAUUAUAGAACUUGGAUUGUAUAUUCCAAUGAUGGGCUUCCUCAAAGUGCCCUAGGUCUUCAUGAGCAAGCAAGUUGGAUGCACCCCACUUAGUUUCCUUUAUUGAGCUUUCAUAUAUUUAUAGCUCUAGUGCAUCCGUUGCAUGGCAAUCCCUACUCACUCACAUUGAUAUCUAUUAAUGGGCAUCUCCAUAGCCCGUUGAUACACCUAGUUGAUGUGGACUAUCUUCUCCUUUUUGUCUUCUCCACAACCACCCUUCUAUUCCACAUAUAGUGCUAUGUCCAUGGCUCACGCUCAUGUAUUGCGUGAAAGUUGAAAAAGUUUGAGAUUAUUAAAGUAUGAAACAAUUGCUUGGCUUGUCAUCGGGGUUGUGAAUGAUUAAAUACUUUGUGUGAUGAAGAUAGAGCAUAGCCAGACUAUAUGAUUUUGUAGGGAUAACUUUCUUUAGCCAUGUUAUUUUGAGAAGACAUGAUUACUUUGAUUAGUAUGCUUGAAGUAUUACUAUUUCUUAUGUCAAUAUGAACUUUUAUUUUGUAUUCAUUUGGAUCUGAACAUUCAUGCCACAAUAAAGAAAAUUACAUUAUGAAUUAUGCUAGGUAGCAUUCCACAUCAAAAAUUCUCUUUUUAUCAUUUACCUACUCGAGGACGAGUAGGAAUUAAGCUUGGGGAUGCUUGAUACGUCUCCAACGUAUCUAUAAUUUUUGAUUGUUCCAUGCUAUUAUAUUAUCCCUUUUGGAUGUUUAUGGGCUUUAUUUUACACAUUUAUAUAAUUUUUGGGACUAACCUACUAACCGGAGGCCCAGCCCAUAUUGCUGUUUUUUUUGCCUAUUUCAGUAUUUGGAAGAAAAGGAAUAUCAAAUGGAGUCCAAACGGAAUGAAACCUUCGGGAGCGUGAUUUUUGGAACGAACAUGAUCCGUAGAGCUUGGAGUACAAGUCAAGAAGCUCCCGAGGGCCCCACGAGAUAGGGGGCCGCGCCCCCCCCUGUAGGGCGCGCCCCCUGUCUCGUGGGCUCCUCGGGCGGCCUCCGACGUACUUCUUCCUCCUAUAUAUACCUACGUACCCCGAAAACAUCCAGGAGCACCACGAAACGCAAUUUCCACCGCCAUAACCUUCUGUAUCCGCGAGAUCCCAUCUUGGAGCCUUCGCCGGCACUCUGCCGGAGGAGGAAUCAACCAUGGAGGGCCUCUACAUCAACAUCCUUGCCCCUCCGAUGAGUUGUGAGUAGUUUACCGCAGACCUGCGGGUCCGUAGUUAUUAGAUAGAUGGCUUCUUCUUUCUUUUUGGAUUUCAAUACAAUGUUAUCCCCCUCUCUUGUGGAGAUCUAUUCGAUGUAAACUCUUUUUGCGGUGCGUUUGUCGAGAUCCGAUGAAUUGUGGGUUUAUGAUCAAGUUUAUCUAUGAAUAAUACUUGAAUCUUCUCUGAAUUAUUUUAUGUAUGAUUGAGUUAUCUUUGCAAGUCUCUUCGAAUUAUCAGUUUGGUUUAGCCUACUAGAUUGGUCUUUCUUGCCAUGGGAGAAGUGCUUAACUUUGGGUUCAAUCUUGCGGUGUUGUUACCCAGUGACAGAAAGGGUUGCAAGACACGUAUUGUAUUGUUGCCAUCGAGGAUAACAAGAUGGGGUUUAUAUCAUAUUGCAUUUUUAUCCCUCUACAUCAUGUCAUCUUGCUUAAUGCGUUACUCUGUUAUUAUGAACUUAAUACUCUAGAUGCAGGCAGGAGUCGGUCGAUGUGUGGAGUAAUAGUAGUAGAUGCAGGCAGGAGUCUGUCUACUUGUUAUGGACGUGAUGCCUAUAUACAUGAUCAAUCCUAGAUAAUCUCAUAACUAUGCGCUUUUCUAUCAAUUGCUCGACAGUAAUUUGUUCACCCACUGUAAUACUUAUGCUAUCUUGAGAGAAGCCUCUAGUGAAACCUAUGGCCCCGGGUCUAUCUCUUAUCAUAUUUGCUUUCAAUCUACUUUUAUUUGCAUCUUUACUUUUUGCAUCUAUCUUAUAAAAUACCAAAAAUAUAUUUAUCUUAUCAUACUAUCUUUAUUAGAUCUCACUUUCGCAAGUGGCCGUGAAGGGAUUGACAACCCCUUAUUGCGUUGGUUGCGAGUUCUCAGUUUGUUUGUGUAGGUGCGUGGGACUUUUUAGGAGCCUCCUACUGGAUUGAUACCUUGGUUCUCAAAACUGAGGGAAAUACUUAUGCUACACUUUGCUGCAUCACCCUCUCCUCUUCGAGGAAAGUCAACGCAAGCUCAAGAUGUAGUAGAGAGCGCCGGGAUGAUGAAGAUGGCCACCGGUGAUGCAUUCCCCCUCCGACAGGGUGUCAGAACGGGCUCUUGAGAGGUUUUUGGUGGCUAUAGAGGCUCGCAGCGGCGGAACUCCCGAUCUAUUGUUCGCUUCAAUGUUUUUAGGGUAUAUGGGAAUAUAUAGGCGAAAGAAGUCGGUCGAGGGAGCCUCGAGGGGCCCACAAGACAGGCUGGCGCGCCCAGUAGGGGGGGGGGGCGCCCCCCACUGAUAACCCGCAAGUAUACGGGAUCAAGUGUAGCCUCUUUCGAUAAGUAAGAGUGUCGAACCCAACGAGGAGCUAAAGGUAGAACAAAUAUUCCCUCACGUCCUAUCUGCCACUAACACUACUAGGUAAAACCUUAUACACAGAACUUUAGCAGUAGCGAGGGUCAAAAAAGCACGCUGGUGCUAAGUAGCAGUAGCGCGCCUAAGGAAACCGCGCUGCAUAUAAAGUUCUAGCAGUAGCGCGUCUGGCUGUAAACACGUUACUUCUAAAAUUCCCACGGCUUAGCCGAUUGGCUACACAUAGUAGUAGCGACCUAUAACGAACCGCGUUACCGCUACUUUAUUUGUAGAAGCGCGUUUCAAUAUAAACUCGCUACUGCUAAAGGUUAUAAAAUUAAAUGGAAAGAAAAUAGAAAGGUAAUUGAAAAUCAAAGAAAUAGAAUAAGGUGAAAGGAAAAAAAUAAAAUGUGAAGAAAACUAAAUGAAAAAGGGGAAAAAGAGAAAGGAGUAGCAGUAGCGUGUAUCCCAGAAUGCACUGUAGCUAAGGUAGCAGCAGCGCUUUUCCUGGAACGCCUACUGCUACUUCUGACUUAACCACGGGGUUCGUCCUUCCCCACGCGGCCACUUCCCCCAAAUCCAACUCUCUCCACUCUCGCCGCCGCCGUCGCCCAUCGGCCGCCGUCGUCGCCCGUCUGCCACCGCACGCUCUCCACACACCCUCUACUCUGCCCCGACCCCAGAUUCAACGCCGCCCCCGCCCCCGACCUCAACGCCGCCCCGGACGCCGCCCCCGACCCCGACCUCGACGCUGCCAUCCGCCGCGCGCCCGAGCCCCGACCCUGACCUCGACGCCGCCCUGCCCCUCCCUCGUCGCAGGCACCCGAGGUUAGCACGCCCGCUCCUCCCUCUCCCCUACCUCUGCCUAGGGUUUCUUUAUAUUUUAGUUGCAUCAAAUUAGUUAGGGUUCAUGUAAGAGUGGAAACAAAUCGGAUGCGGAUGCGGCUCAAAUGAGUUAGGGUUCAUAUAAGGGUGAAAACGAAUCAAAUUUCUAAUAUGAAUCAUAAAACGAGUAAAAUUUGACCACUUAUUUCACUUUAUAGUUGGAUAAUUGGAAUAUCCGCUACCACUUUCCACCCCUAUAGGUUCAUCAAAUUAGAUGGUAAUUAGGGCAGUAGUUCCUAGGUACUAAUUAGUUAGUAAGAACUAGGUACUAAUUAGGUACUAGAAUAUUUUUAUUUAUAGUAAGUUUAUUUUUAGUAAGAACUAGUUGAAUUAAUAGAACUAGUUAGUAAGAACUUGUUGCUAUUUUUUAGUUAAAGCAAUUUUUCCCGCCUCGACGUGGACGAUGCCUAUCCCACAUCCUCGUCGUCGAUUUGGCGAAGGACGACACCUGCUUGACCAGAUCGGCCAUGUCCGGGACUGGGCUCCGCCGGGGUGGUACUGGGAGGCGCUACCUACCGGGGGGCGCAGGUUGGUGAGGAGCCAGCCUGUCGUUGACCCGAACCUUCUUUGGUGGCGGUCACGUGGGCCAGUGACGGUCCAGAGGCUCAAGGACUCCGCGGAGGUGGUGCGUCACCGUGUCAGUGAGGAGGACGCGCACGUCCAUCGCUACUUGUUUGCGUUGGAGCACAGGUCGUUCUCCAAUACCUGGCAGGUUCUCCGAGGAUCUCACUUGAGCUAUGAUCCCGUGAUGGUUCCUUCUCUGUGGGUGUCCACCGCCCUCGCCGAUACCCGUCGUGUGCUAGGGUUUUAGCUGUAUUAGUGAUGUUAUAUGUAUGACACUAUUCGUGAUGUAUUAGUGAUAAUACUCGACGAUGUACGGAUGCAUGAGAUGUUUUGCUUUUGCUUAUUGGAUGCAUGCUAAUUUGAGUCCUAUAAGAUAUUUUGAAAUGUAUAUCUUGUGUUGCUCAAUAUCCAAGUGGCCGGUCAUGUUUGCAGGUUACACCUUCGAGUGGCCUAUGUUUUGCCGGAGUGUUAAUUCAUUUCCGUUCCGGCAAAAUUCAGGCGCUCGAUAUGUCCUAUUUUAGCAAAGGUCAUGCCGGAUUUUUCCGUGAAUUUUGGCAUGACUUGUGCCAGAAUAUGUAGGAAAUAUCGUGUGCCCCGGAUUUGUGUGUUGAGUAUCCUGGUAGUUGUCUUUGAUCAAUUUUCAAUUAAUGUUUUAACUAUGAACAUAGGAAAUGUCUGACGACGAAAAGAAUUUCGGUAUUUGCAAAUACUGCGAAGACGAGCGCAGCCUGUGCGACGGAAUCUUCCUAGAUGAUGAUAGGCGCUUCAGCAUCAAGCUGGACGAGAACUUCGAAGUGGAUACAGUAAGUCACAACGACAAGUCUUUUUUCGUAAUUAAGCAUGACAUCUGCUUCAUUUGUUUCAACUUAUAUAUUUUUUACUAUUCUACUAGUGUAUCCCCUGCCAUGCAAGAGUUUUUGUAUUGGAUAAGAUAGGUUUCAGUCAUACUAUGGAGGAAAAGAAAGUUUACUUGAAGACCGAGCAUGGUUAUAUUUUCCAUGCAAAAUUAUACAAUUCAGACGACUACACCUAUUUUGGAUGCAAAACAUGGUGAGCACUAUGCAAGACUUAUGCAUUUGAGCCUGAUAUGGUUAUCACCUUUGAUAUUCGUCCGGAAGAUGAUAGUGAAGGUAAUACUGACAUCUAGUCGAUGUGCAAACGCCUCCAGUUAUACCAUUAUGUAAGUUUCUCAACCAUAUUUAUGUCUUUGAUAUUGUUUAUUCAAAAAUAGUUGACAACUAAUUUGUAUUGUCAGCUUAUUUCGGUGCAAACAAACAUGUCCAGCGCUUGGUAGACAGGACCGUAUAUUGUCCUGGGGCUGAACUCAACUGCGAGGAGCUCAGUCAUUAUGUUUCAUGGCUUGAGGUUCUUGAUACUAUCAAGACAAAUUUUCUUCCUGCAUUUAGAAAUGUUAGUAUAGAAAAUGUGCGACCAAUAGUGUUCGUAAUGAACUACGGUCACAUCUAUUUAGGAAGGAUGGUAAGAUUUUUACUAUUUGUCCUUAGUGCAUCUUUUCCAUACAUUAUUUUUGAAGCUAAACUUCAUUGCUAAGUAUGUUACCAUACGAUGUUCUUCAACAGGGACUCCCGAUGAAUGUUGUGCCUUAUGGGAUCGAGACUAAAGGUACCAUGAAUAUUAUCAGCUUACGGCCAAGAUAUCCUACAGAUUACUUUAGUGCAUUCAAGAUUAGCGACGCAUGCUUAAUAGUGCAAGACUGGACCAAAUAUGUGAUGGGGGAGCGCAGAGAAGUACUAGGGGCAACAAACAGAUGCGCUACCCACGAUUAGGAGACAGGUUCAUCUGCAUGCUCCAACUUGAUCAAGGAGGAGAGCUAUACAUGUUUUAUGUUAUUUUACCUAAGAGAGAGCAGCAUGAGUGAUUAGCUAGCUAGAAAUGAGUUUGAGGAUGAUGAUGUGCUACACUAUUACUAUGAUGAUAAAAUAGCUAGUGUUGGUGGUAAUGACUAUGAUGAUUAUUAUUACUAUCUCCGUUUCAGUUUAUAAGUCCUGCGCGUAUAUCUAGGUUGCUAAUUUUAUCACCCUAAUAUAAACUAUAUAACACAAAAAUUAUACCUUUUGAAAGUAGAAACUCCGAAGUUUAUGUUGGUAUAUUUUUUGUAAUAUAUGAUUUGUAUUAGGUUGGUCAAAUUGACGACCUAGGAGUACGCGCACGCCCUGUAAACUGAGAGAGAGGUAGUAGCUAGUGUUAGUGGUGAUUAAAUAAAUACUGUUGGUGGUAAUGACUAUGAUGAUGAUUAAAUAGCUUGUGCUGGUGGAUUAGAUUCAAGUGGAGGCAACAUGUGGUGCACAUCGAAAGUACUACUAGUCCAAACUAGAUCAAGUUUGGAUUAGUAGUAUACUUUUGACAUGCACCACAUAUUGCCUCCACUUGAACCUAGUCCACCUUCAUUUGACACACUGUUAUGGACAUAAUGAUGUAAACCUCAUAACUGGUAUUGUACCAAUAUUUGUAUGAUGGCGCAUAAAUACACUAAAAUAAAAUAAAAUAAAAAAAGAAUAUUAGUAGCGAUGGACAGAAAACACGUUGCAAGUAGUUACAUUAGCAGUCGCGUGGGAGUGAACAAACGCUGCAGCUAUUUAUCCUAGCAGUAGCGCAUGCGGGCACGCGUUACUGCUAAGCAAUAGCUGUAGCGCCUUAUUAGUAGUGCGCCUACCCGCGCUACUAGUGAGCACAAAACCAGCGCUACUGCUAGGGUUUUCCCUUGUAGUGUAAUACGACUCUACGCAUGCUUAGCGUUCGCCUUACCUAGAGCAAGUAUGAAACUAGAAGUACUUUGUAGGUGUUCUUGGAUAAGUUUGCAAAAUAAUAAAGAGCACGUAAAUAAAAUCUAGGGGCUGUUUAGAUAAAUAAGCAAUAAAGUAAAUAUAGCGAGUGUGGAAAAGUGGUGGUAGGAAUUGUGAAAUUGCCCCUAAGCAAUUGACUACGUUACUAGACCGAUAGCAAGUUUUAUGUGGGAGAGGCAUAAGCUAACAUACUUUAUCUUCUUGGAUCAUAUGCACUUAUGAUUGGAACUCUAGCAAGCAUCUGCAACUACUAAAGAUCAUUAAGGUAAAACCCAACCAUAGCAUUGAAGCAUCAAGUCCCCUUUAUCCCAUACGCCACAAUCUGCUUACUCGGGUUUAAGCUUCUGUCACUCUAGCAACACAAUAGGAUAGCAACAUAACCACAAGCAAAUUAAACCAAUCAUAGCAAUUCAUCAAUCACCGGUAGGACAACAAAAAUCUACUCAGACAUCAUAGGAUAAUAAUAUGAAGCAUAAAGCACCAUGUUCAAGUAGAGGGUAUAGCGGGUUGUGGGAGAGUGGACCGCUAAAUAUAGAUGGGGGAAGGUGAUGGAGAUGUUGGUUAAGAUGGCAGAGGUGUUGGUGAAGAUCGCGGUGAUGAUGAUGGCCCCUGGCAGCGCUCCGGCGCCACCGGAAGCAAGGGGGAGAGAGCCCCCCUUCUGCUUCUUCUUCCUUGACCUUCUCCCUAGAUGGGAGAAGGGUUUCCCCUCUGGUCCUUGGCUCCCAUGGCUUGGGAGGGGCGAGAGCCUCUCCAAGAUUGGAUCUAUCUCUUUAUCUCUCUCUGUUUCUGUGUUCUCUGGUUCUGCCCCUUCACCGUUUCUUUUAUAUCCGGAGAUCCGUAACUCCGAUUGGGGUGAAUCUUUUGCCCAGAUUUUCCUCAUAAAAUUAGCUUUAUGGCGGCAAAAGAAGAGCGUCAACCGCAUUACGGGAUGCCCAGGAGAGUCCAGGGCGCGCCUGCCUCCCUGGGGCGCGCCCCCUAUCUCCUGGCCCCCUCGGGCACCGUCUUGCGUUGAUUUACUUCCCAAAAAUCACAAAUAUUCCAAAAUAAUUCUCCGUCCGUUUUUAUCCCGUUUGGACUCAGUUUGAUAUGAGUUUUCUACGAAACAUAAAACAUGCAACAAACAAGAACAGGCACUGGGCACUGGAUAAAUAUGUUAGUCCCAAAAAAUAGUAUAAAAAGUUGGCAAAAGUAUAUGAAAGUUGUAGAAUAUUGGCAUGGAAUAAUCAAAAAUUAUAGAUACGGCGGAGACGUAUCACUUAUCAGCAUCCCCAAGCUUAAUUCCUGCUCGUCCUCGAGUAUGUAAAUGAUAAAAAAAAUAAUUUUUGAUGGGGAAUGCUACCUAGCAUAAUUUUGAUCAUAUGUCUAAUCAUGGCAUGAAUAUUAAGACACGAGUGAUUCAAAGCAAUAGUCUAUCAUUUGAAAAAAAACAAUAAUACUUCGAGCGUACCAAUAAAGCAAUCAUGUCUUUUCAAAACAACAUGGCCAAAGAAAGUUAUCCCUACAAAAUCAUAUAGUCUGGCUGUUGCUCUAUCUUCAUCACACAAAGUAUUUAAUCACCACUACAAAAAAAUACACUUCCGUGAUGAUACGUGUUUGUCACGGUAGGUCGCGUUUUUUGUCAUGCAUGUACAUCCAUGACAAUUUUUUGACAGAAUCAAGAUAGUCAUACCUGUGCUGUCGUAGAAGUGUUCCAUGACAUUACCAAAAUUAUCAUCACGGAAGUGUCCACUUCCAUGACGAUAAAUCACGCGUCACAGAACUGCUUUCGUCAAGGGUGACCGACAUGUGGCAUCCACCGUAACGGAACGCCGUUAAGCUAUCGGGUCAGGUUUUGGAUCCGAUAACCUGUUAACAGCCCCGACCAAUGGGAAUUUUCCACGUGUAAAAUCAUCAUUGGCUGGAGGAAACACGUGUCGGCUCACCGUUGGGACAGAUGUCAUCCGCUCAUUGGACCGAAGGUGCCUAUGAUACGGCGACACGUGGCACGGCCCAACAGAGGCCCAUUCCUGUGAAAAGGCCGGCCCGUUUGACUUGGUCAAAAGGUGGCGGGCCAGCCCACGGAAAGCCUAUUAAUGGCAUGUUCGCAUAUAGCCCAUUUACAGCCCGCUAACCCAGGGCCCGUUACGCCCUAUCCGAAUCAGGCCUAGUAGCGUCAUCUGGGCCGUCCAAUAUGAUUUAGCCCGUUUUAACUUCCGGCCCAUGUGUGGCCCAAGACUUCUUUCGGCCCAUAUGAGGACCUUUGUAACUCUUGGCCCAUUAACGGCCUGUGGUGGAACUGGCCCGUAAUGAACAUUGUAUCACUUUAUACCCAUUAACGGCCCGUUAUUCCAUUGGACCGUUUCCAGCCCAAGUUAUAUUUUGGCCUUCUCAGGGCCCAUUGAUUCUUGGGCUCAUUUGCAGCAUUCGGUUACAUACGGCCCGUUACUGUCAUUUUCUGCUUGUGGGCCAAAUUCAGCCCGUCGAUACAGUCGGCCCGUUUGCGGACCGUUAAUACGUUGGGCCAUUUUCAUGUCAAAAAACCCGUUGGGCUGUUUUCAUAGAGUUAUCAAAUACGGCCUAUUAACGGCCCGUUAUGGUCCACGAAUAGUAUGGCCCAUGAUUGGCGAAAUGAUGAUACGCCCCGUAGAAGGCCCAUGGAUCCUACGUCCCGUAUGAGGCCCAUGGAUAGUAUGGCCCGUAGAAGGCCCAUGGACCCUACAGCCCAUAGAAGGCCCAUUGAUCCCUAAGGCCCGUAUAGAAGGCCGAUGGAUCCUACGACCCGUAUAGAAGGCCAAUGGUCCUACGGCCGAACGAAGGCCCAUGGAUCAUACGGCCUGCAGGAGGCCCAUGGUUACAAUAGUCCGUGUGUUGCCAUGAUUAUUUUGGCCUAGUUACCAAAAACAGGCUAUUGUGGCCACUAGAAAAACACAGAAAAAGAAUUGCAAUGACUACAAGCAAACAACCAAACAAGACAAUAAGGAAAUAAAUAAGCAAGCAAUUAAGGCUAGCCUAUUACCGCUAUUACACAUAUGACAUCCACUGGGCAUCAAAGUUCGCCACCAGUGCAAAUAUAGGGAACAAAGCAGCAUAUUACAUACACUUGGCCGUCAAAAUUGGCCACCAGUGCAAAUUACUUCGGCAACAAAACAAGAGCAUAACUGAAACAACUUCAGAAGAGCUCAAGAAACGUUAUCCUGGGUAUCCACCAUGCUGGCAAUAAGCUUAGCAAGCUGAUUAGCUUUGUCUUGUUUGGCGCUAAAAUCCUCCAACGCUUGCUGUUGCACCAGAAAGUAUGCAUCUGAAUGCUCCAGGGACUUCCGCAGUCCUUCCACUUCUUGUCGCAGCACAGCUGAUCGAUGUCUUUUAGCUUGUAGUUGAGACUCAAGAAACCGAACUGAUUCAGACAGUGAGUUUGAAUAGCUUGUGCAUGCGGUAGUGGCCAGUAACUCGAACACUAAACCAAGACAGGACUUUGGGGUUGUCUCGCUGUCUUCAAGAUAGUCUUCCUUAGCUGUUUUAUCAGCUUUGUUGGAGACCAACAAGGAUGUGUCACUAUCCUGAACCUUAUCUGCAUUACUUUACCAUUGCUUAAUAAGGCACUCUUCCCCAAUAUUCUGUUAGCAUUCUAAAAGAAGAAACAAGCAGACACAUAACAAGUUUAGCAUGUACUAGUAUAUGAAACUCAUUUUGGUGAACCAGUUUAUUAGUAAGGUGGACAGGAUUAAACUACCAAGUCUUCUAUUGCCAAGUACUAGUACAUAAUAAAAGCAUCAAACAAACAUAUAUCUAUGUCCUAUGGUCACUGCAUUGUCUUGCCAAAUCAAAAUAGAGACACGGUUCAAAUCAUAUCAGUUCAAGACAAAGCAGCAGUGAAAGAAUACAAAGCGUGGGAAAUUACACGGCACAACCAGAUUUCAGAUGGGUACCACGGGUCUACAUGUACAACAACACUAUUGGCUCUGUUGUGAUGCUAGUAAUGUGCAUGAUAUGAAAGUCAACUGUAUACACAAUUGAAAUUGAAAUCAACAGAGCUAUUGAUAAGAGCAAACCUGUUAAAGAAACAUGCAUGAACAUACCUGUUGUGACAUUGGAGUUUCGAUUGGAUCCUUCAAUUUAAAAAUAAGUUUGUAUGAGUAAAUACAGUGAUACAAGAGCAAAGCAAUCAUAGUUAAAAAAGGCGCGCCUAAGCGAGCGCUUAAGCGCGCCUAGGCUCUAGGCGUUGGCAAAACGCAUUGCACAUAACUACGCAUAAUCUGUGCAUAACUGCGCAUAAGCAUGCGCUUUGGUCAGUAAAGCGCAAGGCGGUGGCAAAACGCACAAUUAACGCCUAGCGCUUUUUUGAACUAUGAUAGCAAUGGAAUCUUAAAUUAGAAUAGGUUUAGGCACUUGUUCUACAUGAACAGAGUACAGUAAGUGAUACGUCUCCAACGUAUCUAUAAUUUUGGAUUGCUCCAUGCUACUUUAUCUACUGUUUUAGGCAUUAUUGGGCUUUAUUAUCCACUUUUAUAUUAUUUUUGGGACUAACCUAUUAAUCGGAGGCCCAGCCCAGAUUUGUUGUUUUAUGCCUAUUUCAGUGUUUCGAGGAAAAGGAAUAUCAGACGGAAUCAAAAUGGAACGAAAUCAACUGGAGAAGUUAAUUUUGGAAGGAAACCAAUCAGAUGGACUUGGAGUGUACGUCAGGGGAUUCCCGGGCUGCCCACGAGGGUGGGGGCGCCCCCUGGGCGCGCCCCCUACCUCGUGAGCCCCCCGGAGGUCCACCGACGUACCCCCUGCACCCAUAUAUACCUACGUACCCUAAAACUUCCAGAACAGAAGAUAGAUCGGGAGUUCCACCGCCGCAAGCCUCUGUAGUCACCAAAAACCAAUCGGGACCCUAUUCCGGCACCCUACCGGAGGGGGAUCCCAUCACCGGAGGCCAUCUUCAUCAUCCCGGCGCUAUCCAUGACGAGGAGGGAGUAGUUCACCCUCGGGGAUGAGGGUAUGUACCAGUAGCUAUGUGUUUGAUCUCUCUCUCUCUCGUGUUCUUGAGGUGAUACGAUCUUGAUGUAUCCCGAGCUUUGCUAUUGUAGUUGGAUCUUAUGAUGUUUCUCCCCCUCUACUCUCUUGUGAUGAAUUGAGUUUCCCCUUUGAAGUUUUCUUAUUGUAUUGAGUCUUUAUGAGAACACUUGAUGUAUGUCUUGGCAUGAUUAUCUAUGGUGACAAUGGGAUAUCAUGUGCCACUUGAUGUAUGUUUUGGUGAUCAACUUGCGGGUUUCGUGACAUUGGGAACCUAUGCAUAGGGGUUGGCACACGUUCUUGACUCUCCGGUAGAAACUUUGGGGCAUUCUUUGAAGUACUUUUAUGUUGGUUGGAUGAAUCUGAGAUUGUGUGAUGCAUAUCGUAUAAUCAUGCCCAUGGAUACUUGAGGUGACAAUGGAGUAUCUAGGUGACAUUAGGGUUUUGGUUGAUUUGUGUCUUAAGGUGCUAUUCUAGUAUGAAUUCUUUUAUAGAUUGGUCUGAAAGAAUAACUUUGAGGUGGUUUCGUACCCUACCAUAAUCUCUACAUUUGUUCUUUGCCAUUAGUGGCUUUGGAGUGACUCUUUGUUGCAUGUUGAGGGCUUGUUAUAUUAUCUAUCUAUGUUAUUAUUGUUGAGAGAACUUGCACUAGUGAAAGUAUGAACCCUAGGCCUUGUUUCCUAUCAUUGCAAUACCGUUUACGCUCACGUUUAUUACUUGUUACCUUGCUGUUUUUAUUAUUUCAGAUUACAAAUACCUUUAUCUACCAUCCAUAUUGCACUUGUAUCACCAUCUCUUCGCCAAACUAGUGCACCUAUACAAUUUACCAUUGUAUUGGGUGUGUUGGGGACACAAGAGACUUUUUGUUAUUUGGUUGCAGGGUUGUUUGAGAGAGACCAUCUUCAUCCUACGCCUCCUACGGAUUGAUAAAGCUUAGGUCAUCCACUUGAGGGAAAUUUGCUACUGUCCUACAAACCUGUGCACUUGCAGGCCCAACAACGUCUACAAGAAGAAGGUUGUGUAGUAGACAUCAAGCUCUUUUCUGGCGCCGUUGCCAGGGAGGCAAAGGUAAAGGACACUCACUCACACCCCGUCAACUAAGCUCUUUUCUGGCGCCGUUGCCGGGAAGGCUAGGUAAGUGAAGGUAUAUCUUUAGAUCUUGCAAUCGAAUCUUUUUGUUUCUUGUUUUAGCACUAGUUAGUCUAUAAAAGAAAAUUACAAAAAAUGGAAUUGAGUUUGUCUCAUACGCUUCACCUUUUUAAUAUCUUUCGUGAGUAUGAUGGGAAGGAAAAUUGUUCUCAAGUACUAGAAGAAGAAUUACAUAGAAUUCUUGGCAUGAAAUAUGUGAAUGAUGAGCAUGAUUGCAAUGUUGUUAGUAUGAAUUCCUUGAAUAUCCAUGAUGUUAAUGAUAUGCAAAGCCACAAGCUUGGGGAAGCUUUGUUUGAUGAAGAUGAUAAUUUUUGUCCCCCAAGCUUUGAUGAGCAAAUUUACUAUGAUGAAAGCAUGCCUCCUAUCUAUGAUGUGAUGAUACGUAUGCUAUAAAGAAGAAGUUUGCUUAUGUGGAGAGUAGUAAAUCUUCUAUGCUUGUAGAUCAUGAAAAGAAUGUUUUAGGUGCUGCUUAUAUUGUUGAAUUUACUCAUGAUGCUACUGAAAAUUAUUAUGAGGGAGGAACAUAUGCUUGUAGGAAUUGCAAUAAUAUCAAGUUUCCUCUCUAUGUGCUUAAAAUCUUGAAGCUAUGCUUGUUUUACCUUCCUAUGCUUGUUGAUUAUUGUUCCCAUAAGUUGUUUGCUCACAAAAUCCCUAUGCAUAGGAAGUGGGUUAGACUUAAAUGUGCUAGUCAUAUGCUUCAUGAUGCUCCCGUUAUGUUUCAAUUCUCAUCUUUUAUAUGAGCAUCAUUGUCAUCAUCAUGCCUAGCUAAAAGGCAUUAAAGAAAAGCGCUUGUUGGGAGACAACCCAAUAUUUAUCCUUACUGUUUUUGUGUGUCCACAUGAUUAUGCUACUGUAUUAAUCAUGUUUUAUAGCUUUUGUUUCAAUAAAGUGCCAAGUAAGACCUUUAGGAUAGCUUACGGUGAUAGUUGUGUUGAUCCUCCUGAAAAUCAGAAACUUUUGCACCUAGUAAAUUAGUUUUGUUAAUUCACAGAAACGUGCUUCUGAUCUGAUUCCUUUUGCUCUGGAUUGGUACAGGAAUUUCUUAGGACUUCCUAAUUUGGUAGGAUUUUUGGAGUUCCAGAAGUAUACGUUUGAUGCAGAUUACUACAGACUCUUCUGUUUUUGACAGAUUCUGUUUUCUAUGUGUUGUUUGCUUAUUUUGAUGAAUCUAUGAGUAGUAUCGGAGGGUAUGAACCAUAGAUAAGUUGGAGUACAGUAGAUGAUUACACCAAUAUGAAUUUAGAAUGAGUUCAUUACAGUACCUAAGUGGUGGUUUUAUUUUCUUAUACUAACGGAGCUUACGAGUUUUCUGUUGAGUUUUGUUUUGUGAAGUUUUCAAGUUUUGGGUAAAGAUUUGAUGGACUAUGGAAUAAGGGGUGGCAAGAGCCUAAGCUUGGGGAUUCCAAAGGCACCCCAAGUAAAUAUUCAAGGACAACCAAGCAACUAAGCUUGGGGAUGCCCCGGAAGGCAUCCCCUCUUUCGUCUUCGUUCAUCGGUAACUUUACUUGGAGCUAUAUUUUUAUUCACCACAUGAUAUGUGUUUUGGUUGGAGCAUCAUUUUAUUUUGUUAGUCUUUGCUUGCUGUUAUUUAUAUUAAUGUUUUGCAUCUUUAGUUUCAAUAAAGAAGUCGAGGAUAGCCUUUGCCAUGCUUAUUUUGCUAGUAUACAUGUUGCUGUUUGAAAACAUAAAGUUUACCGCUGUUGCAAAAAUUCCCUAGAAAAGUCAGAGAGUGGUAUAAUGUUGAAUCUUUUUGCAUAAUGAGCUCUGAUAAAUUUAUCACAGUGGGACUUUUAGUUCAUAAUUUUUGGAGUUAGGGAAGUAUUGAUACUCCUGCAUUCUUUACAGACUGUACUGUUUUGACAUAUUGCUGUUAUGUUUGCAUUGUUUGCAUAUGUUUGCUUGUUUAAUGAUUCUAUUUGAUGAUAGGAGUAUUAAAUAUGCAUAGGAAUUUAGUAUGCAAUGUUGAAUAAUAAUCUUAGUUAUUUGUUACAGUAGAAAAUGAUAAGGUUUUGCAUUGGUUUAUACUAACCUAUCUCACGAGUUCUUGUUGAGUUUGGUGUGGAUGAAGCUUUUGAUAAAUAGAGAAACCAUGAUACGAGAGGAAUUAAAGAGACACAAAAGUUCCAGAUUGGGGAUGCCCAAGGCACCCCAAGAUAAUAUUUCAAGAAGUCUCAAGCAUCUAAGCUUGGGGAUGCCCCGGUAGGCAUCCCACCUUUCUUCUUCAACAACUAUCGGUUAGUAUCGGUUGAGCCUAAGUUUUUGCUUUUUCACAUGAGUUGUGCUAUCCUUGCUAUGUAGUUUUCUUUAGAUUUGCUUGCUGUUUGAAUAAAGUAUCAACAUCUGAAAUUCUUAAAUGAGAGAGAGUCUUCGCAUAGUUGCAUAAUUAUCUAGCUACUCAUUGAUCUUCACUUAUAUCUUUCGGAGUAGUUUGUUGUUGCUCUAGUGCUUCACUUAUAUCUUUUAGAGCAUGGUGGUAGUUUUAUUUUGGAGAAAUAGUUGAACUCUCAUGCUUCACUUAGAUUAUUUUGAGAGUCGUUAAUAGCAUGGUAAUUUUCUUAAUAUUAAUAUACUUGGUAUUCAAGAUAUGUGAAACUUUCUUUUGAGUGAGUUGAAUACUAAGAUAAGUUUGAUACUUGAUAAUUGUUUUGAGAUAUGGAGGUGAUAAUAUCAAAGUCGUGCUAGUUGGGUAAUUAUGAAUUCAUAGAAUGCUUGUGUUGAAGUUAGCAAAUCCCGUAGCAUGCACGUAUGGGUAAAGUUGUGUAACAAAUUUGAAACAUGAAGUGUACCUGGCUUGUGCAUCAUUAUGAGUGGCGGUCGGGGACGAGCGAUGGUCUUUUCCUACCAAUCUAUCCCCCUAGGAGCAUGCGCGUAGUACUUGAUUUUUGAUGGCCUCUAAAUUUUUGCAAUAAGCAUAUGAGUUCUUUUGACUAAUGUUGAGUCCUUGGAUUAUACGCACUCUCACCUUUCCGCCUUUGCUAGCCUCUUUGGUACCGUGCAUUGCCCUUUCUCACCUUGAGAGUUGAUGCAAACUUCGCCGGUGCAUCCAAACCCCGUGAUAUGAUACGCUCUAUCACACAUAAACCUCCUUAUAUCUUCCUCAAAACAGCCACCAUACCUACCUAUCAUGGCAUUUCCAUAGCCAUUCCGAGAUAUAUUGCCAUGCAACUUCCAUCAUCAUCAUGACGUACAUUACUUUUGUCAUAUUUCCAUUGCAUGAUCAUGAUCGUAUUUGUGGCAAGGCCACCAUGCAUUAUUUUUCAUACAUGUCACUCUUGAUUCAUUGCAUCAUCCCGGUACAUCGCCGAAGGCAUUCAUAUAGAGUCAUAUCUUGUUCUAAGUUUCGAGUUGUAAUCCUUGUGUUGUAAUCAAUAGAAGUGUGAUGAUCAUCAUUAUUAGAGCAUUGCCCAAAUAAAAAAAGAGAAAGGCCAAAAAAAGAAAAAAAGAAAGGCCCAAAAAAAGGGCAAUGCUACUAUCUCUUUUUUCCACACUUGUGCUUCAAAGUAGCACCUUGUUCUUCAUGUAGUGAGUCUCAUAUAUUGUGCUUCAAAGUAGCACCUUGUUCCUCAUGUAGUGAGUCUCAUAAGUUGUCUUUUUAUACUAGUGGGAACUUUUCAUUUUAAAACUUGGAUUGUAUAUUCCUACGAUGGGCUUCCUCAAAUGCCCUAGGUCUUCGUGAGCAAGCAAGUUGGAUGCACACCCACUAGUUUUCUUUUGUUGAGCAUUCAUAGCUCUAGUGCAUCUGUUGCAUGGCAAUCCCUACUCCUCAUGUUGACAUCAAUUGAUGGGCAUCUCCAUAGCCCGUUGAUUAUCCUCGUCAAUGUGAGACUUUCUCCUUUUUUGUCUUCUCCACACAAUCCCCAUCAUCAUAUUCUAUUCCACCCAUAGUGCUAUAUCCAUGGCUUGCGCUCAUGUAUUGCGUGAAGGUUGAAAAGGUUUGAGAUUAUUUAAGUAUGAAACAAUUGCUUGGCUUGUCAUCGGGGGUAUAGAAGUUGGGAACAUCUUUGUGUGACGAAAAUGAAGCAUAGCCUAACUAUAUGAUUUUGUAGGGAUGAACUUUCUUUUGCCAUGUUAUUUUGAGAACACAUGAUUGCUUUGAUUAGUAUGCUUGAAGUAUUAUUAUUUUUGUGUCAAUAUGAACUUUUGUCUUGAAUCUUUCGGAUCUGAAUAUUCAUAUCACAAGUAAGAAGAAUUACAUUGAAAUUAUGCCAAAGUAUCACUCCGCAUCAAAAAUUAUUUUUUAUCAUUUACCUACUCGAGGACGAGCAGGAAUUAAGCUUGGGGAUGCUUGAUACGUCUCCAAGGUAUCUAUAAUUUUUGAUUGCUCCAUCCUACUUUAUCUACUGUUUUAGGCAAUAUUGGGCUUUAUUAUCCACUUUUAUAUUAUUUUUGGGACUAACCUAUUAACCGGAGGCCCAACCCAGAUUUGCUGUUUUAUGCCUAUUUCAGUGUUUCGAGGAAAAGGAAUAUCAGACGGAGUCAAAACGGAACGAAAUCAACUGGAGAAGUUAAUUUUGGAAGGAAACCAAUCAGAUGGACUUGGAGUGCACGUCAGGGGAUUCUCGGGCUGCCCACGAGGGAGGGGGGCGCCCCCCUGGGGAUGCCCCCCUACCUCGUGAGCCCCCCGGAGGUCCACUGACAUACCCCCUGCACCCAUAUAUACCUACGUACCCUAAAACUUCCAGAACAGAAGAUAGAUCGGUAGUUCCGCCGCUGCAAGCCUCUGUAGCCACGAAAAACCAAUCGGGACCCUGUUCCGACACCCUGCCGGAGAGGGAUCCCAUCACCGGAGGCCAUCUUCAUCAUCCCGGCGCUAUCCAUGACGAGGAGGGAGUAGUUCAACCUCGGGGAUGAGGGUAUGUACCAGUAGCUAUGUGUUUGAUCUCUCUCUCUUGUGUUCUUGAGGUGAUAUGAUCUUGAUGUAUCCCGAGCUUUGCUAUUGUAGUUGGAUCUUAUGAUGUUUCUCCCCCUAUACUCUCUUGUGAUGAAUUGAGUUUCCCCUUUGAAGUUUUCUUAUCGGAUUGAGUCUUUAUGAGAACACUUGAUGUAUGUCUUGCCGUGAUUAUCUGUGGUGACAAUUGGAUAUCAGGUGCCACUUGAUGUAUGUUUUGGUGAUCAACUUGCAGGUUUCGUGACAUUGGGAACCUAUGCACAGGGGUUGGCACACGUUCUUGACUCUCUGGUAGAAACUUUGGGGCAGUCUUUGAAGUACUUUUAUGUUGGUUGGAUGAAUCUGAGAUUGUGUGAUGCAUAUCGUAUAAUCAUGCCCACGGAUACUUGAGGUGAUAAUGGAGUAUCUAGGUGACAUUAGGGUUUGGUUGAUUUGUGUCUUAAGGUGUUAUUCUAGUAUGAACUCUUUUAUAGAUCGAUCCGAAAGAAUAACUUUGAGGUGGUUUCGUACCCUACCAUAAUCUCUACGUUUGUUCUCCGCUAUUAGUGGCUUUGGAGUGACUCUUUGUUGCAUGUUUGUUAUAUUAUCUAUCUAUGUUAUUAUUGUUGAGAGAACUUGCACUAGUGAAAGUAUGAACCCUAGGCCUUGUUUCCUAUCAUUGCAAUACCAUUUACGCUCACGUUUAUUACUUGUUACCUUGUUGUUUUUAUUAUUUCAGAUUACAAAUACCUUUAUCUACCAUCCAUAUUGCACUUGUAUCACCAUCUCUUCGUCGAACUAGUGCACCUAUACAAUUUACCAUUGUAUUGGGUGUGUUGGGGACACAAGAGACUUUUUGUUAUUUGGUUGCAGGGUUGUUUGAGAGAGACCAUAUUCAUCCUACGCCUCCUAUGGAUUGAUAAAGCUUAGGUCAUCCACUUGAGGGAAAUUUGCUACUGUCCUACAAACCUGUGCACUUGCAGGACCAACAACGUCUACAAGAAAAAGGUUGUGUAGUAGACAUCAGUAAGACGCAAGAAUAAAAUACUUCAAAAUGGAAAAUGAGCUCAUAGACCUUACCACAUUCUUGGUUCGGGACCAGUACAGAACAAGGCGUUCCCAGUCAUCGUCCAAUAAAUGUGUCUCAGGAGAACAUAAGGGAAUUUGAUGAGUUUCUUUGCCGGUGAAGUACGUUUUCUUCAGGUAAUUACGAUACUGCCACCAAGAAUUCUUGAAGAUAGCAGAGGUAUUAGCAUAGGUUACCUCAUCCUGAGUUUCCAAAUCGGUCCUUCUCUAUAGAGAAAAAUGGGAAAAUUUGCUGUAUUAUAACCAUCAUGGAGGUAGGAUGUAUGGGACGAAGCAAAGUAAUUCCCAUGAAUAACAUUACUUACACAUAACUCCUGGAAAAACACCUGCAACUGGCAUUUUCCUUCAUCUUCAGUAUAAUAUUUCCAAGAUGGGAAGAUACGCACAUACGAUUUAACAACAUCAAAUGCGAUAGAUGCUAAACUACGACUAGCUGGUUGUGCUUCCUCCACAGGAAUAGGCGUACUAACUGGUGGAGUUGGGGUUCGCCGUGAUAGUACUGGCCCUUUGGGCACUGGAGCUGCCUUACUAACUGCUGUUGUUUGGGAGCUCUGUGGUGGAGAUGGUGCUGUGUCAACAGGAACUGGGUUACUAUCGGCUGGGGUUGGGGUUAGAUUGGGUGAAGCUGGUUCUCUAUCCAUCGCAGUAGGGGUACAAUCUGUGAGAGUUUGGGUUAUGUGUGGUAGGGCUGGUUCUUGUGCAUGUACAACCGGGGUGCUAUCUCCACCAAGAGGUAGCACUGUUUUAUUUGAAGACCGUGUUUUUAUUCCGCUAGAUACUGGCAUCACCCACUCCAAUUCAAAUGGCUGAUAAAUAGGAAACGUAGUUGAAUGUAUAGACAUUGUAUGAGAGACAGAUGCAAUAGAUAUUGUGGAAAAAAGAGGGCAUGAAAUAGUUGACAUGUAUAUUGUUUAACUAAAAUGGAUAGCAUGACAUAAUUUCACAUAUAUGAUGUCUAUCUAAACUGGAUAGCAUAGCAUAACAUAAUUCAAAGAUAUGAUGAAUAACUAAACAGGAUCGCAUGACAUAAUUCACCUACAUGUUAUCUAAGUAAUCAGGAUCGCAUCAUUUAAUUCACAUAUGUGAUUUAUAUGCUAAACAGAGGGCAUUCGAUAUGGUGUCUGAACUAAGAACAUGGUGUUGAAUAUUGUGUAUAUGAUGUCUAAACUAUGCAAUGCAAGACACCAUAUGCAUGAUAUGAGCAGUAUAAUCGUGCCAAGUUAGAGCAUACACCUCAGUGGGGGAAUAAGAUUGGUCAUCUGUCUCUGAAUCCAUCUCUAAGGAGCUAUCGGGACCCAACAAGAGAUCUCCUUCGACAGGUAGCACUGUCUGCUCUGAAGGCCUUGUUUUCACUCCAGAUUUUUCCAUCUCCCACCCAAAUGGCUAAUUCACAGGAAGAGUAGUUUAAUGUACAAACAUUGUCGACAAAUGGAAAUGUAAUGAAGAAAAGGAUGGGCAAGAUAUCAUUCAAAUAUAUGAUGUCUGGUUAAACAGGAUGGCAUUGCACAUUUCACAUAUAUUAUGGCUGGCUAAAAGACAUAAGACUGCAUAAUUCCCAUAUAUGAUAAAGAAACUAAAUAGGUGGCAUUACAGAACAUGUCUAAACUAAGCAGAUGACAUAUAUGAUGUCAAAAGUAGGCACUUCAAGGCAACAUAUGCAUGAUAUGACUAACAUCAUCAUGCCAAGGUAGAGCAAACACCUUGGGGGGUAAAUAGGAGUGGUCAGCAGCGUCUGAAUACGCCUCAGAACAGAUAUCUUCCUCUAGAUUACAAUCUGGAGAUGGGUGGGGAGGGUUUGCCAUUGAACCCACCGUGGAGCAAUGUCUGCAUGACAUUGUAUUGCCGUGCAAAACUCUUCUCUUUUUCUCUACAUGUUCCAUGACCGUGUACAAUAUCUGACAUGCAUACAAAAAAAUAUGGUGAGAUUAUGUAAGGAGAGCAUGCAGAAAUUUAGAGUGAUGGUAACAACCAGUGGAUCGACGUUUUUCCGUUGAACCAAAAUAGCCCUAAUGGAUCGACGUGAAUGUAUAGUCAUAAGUGAUGCAACAAGUGUACAACCUAUUUGCCGUAGCCGUGUCGACCUCAGCAUCAUUGGGUUGGUCACUGAAGCAGUUGAGGCAGAGGUGGCUGUCGGAGGUGUGGAGGAAGAUCUGAGGAAUCUGUAGAUGGCAUCCACGGCACUGCUCUGUUGUCAUGGAUCGUUUUGUCGUUGGAGCAGCUCCGGUGAGCCGUAAGACGUCAGGCUGAAGCAGCACAAGACAGACAUCAUCAAUCUCAAGUGGCAUUCUAAUAGCAUCUCCAAUAGAUGAUGUCAAAUGGAUGUAAAAUUAACAUCACCAAAAACCACCUGACUACAACAGAUGAGGUAAAAAUUGUUGACUCUAAACUUAACUGUCGAAACUGAAAUUAACCGUGGAAUCUGAAUGCUACUAUCGAAACUGAACGCAAUGAUAGCAGAGAGGCACUUGACAUGUAGUUUAGGGAGGGCCUGCAGUUCAUCUUCAACCUGCACCCCCCUUGAGCCGCCAGCCACCACCGGCCGAACCGCCGGCCCCAGCGCCGCCUCGCCGCCCCAAAACAACUCGCCACCGCUGCCCCGGCCAGCCCUCUAGGCCCCCCGCCCCCACCCUGAACCCUAAGAUAGAUAGUGCGGUACCUCUCCGGCAAGCCCCCGUCCCCGCUGCGGGUGGUUCUUCCUUAACUCCGGUGAGCGCCCCCAACCCCUGAAAAUCGACUGACCCAAAAGUCCAUUCAGUCGACUGAAGUGUGGCUUAAUCGGAGCAGAGCAGCAGCACGAGCGAGGGGGAGAGCAGCAGCAGCAGCUGGACGAGCGAGCGAUCGAGCGAGAGCCGGAGCAGCAGCAGCAACGCGAGCGAGCGAGCGAGAGCCGGAUCAGCAGCAGCAGAUCUGGCUGGUAUGGACGCCGCCGCCGAAGGGGCCUCGCACUAGGGGAGAGCCGCCAUGGAGAUGUCGCCCGUGGCGCCGGCUUCAAGGUAGCCGCUCCAUGGGGGUGCAGGAUGGAGCACCGCCGGUGCCGGGAGGUUGAGUUAAGGAGAAGGUGCGAUGCGAUGAGUGUACAACCUCUUUGGUGGCGCCGAGUAGGCCCCGGCUUCGUUUGAGGAGUCGGUGAGGAUGUUGCGGUUCCGGUGGAGCAGGUUAAGGCGGCGCUGUGGGGAUGGAGCAGCCGCGAUAGACGAGGCGAUCAUCGAAGCAGCUCCUUGGAGGUGGAGGACGGGGUGGCUGAACCGGCGGGACGGCGAGAUGGACGACGGAUCCUCAUCCGGGGAGGUGGACGAGGGAUGUCGGGCUGUUGCGGUGGACGACGUCGUCGGGGAAGAGGCUCCGGCUGCGCAGCAGUGACGUGGUGGACGGAGGAGGGUGGGGUUUCGCGGCUGGAGCGGAGAGGUUAUGGCGGCCUGGGAUUUGAAUGGCGAAAAGGGGGCGAUGGGAGGGGGUGAAGAAUGAAUUAGGGACGCACUUGUCCAAAAUGUAGGGUGUGUUACAAAAGUACCCCCACUGAUUUGAACUAGCGGCCCUUUCGGCUCAGUGUUAGAAGGGGGAUUUCGCAUGUCGGGAUUUGGCAGCUGGAGGGAGUUUUCGCGCGCAUUGUAAUUUCGGGAUAGCAAGGCGCGGGUUGUGAAGGCGCCAGUUUUGGGAGCACGAUAUCUGAAUUUUCGGGAUAUAACAAGACACGGGUUGAAUUUUAGGGACAAGCCUAACGUGUAGUAAUAUUGUACUUGUACGUACCAAAUCAAUUCGCACUUCCCUCAACCAAAAAGAAAACGAAAAAAAUAAAACUAUUCACACCACACAAAGAGAGAGUCUUGCCCCGUUUUACUAUACAAAUGCUAUUCAAAGCUACUCCCUCCUUCCAUCUAUAUAGGGCCUAAUGCAUUUUUCGAUGCUAACUUUGACCAAAUAUUAGAGCAAUGAUAUAUGACAUGCAACUUACACAAAGCACACCGUUAACUUCGUCUGUGAAAGGUUCUUUCAAUGAUAUAAUUUUCAUAUUGUGCAUGUCAUGUACUAUUAAUCUUGUCAAUAGUGAAAGGCGGUCUUAAAAAUCUCAUUACGCCCUAUGUACAUGGAAGGAGGGAGUAUGAAUCCAUGUUAUGUCCGAUUAAUUUUUUUUGCUUACUGUAUAAUGCAUGUAACCUACUCAUACCAACAUUUGAGUGCAUUCCAAAUGUCUAUACUACUGCUGCAAUUCGAGCUAAAUUUGAAUUCGUUUCUCUAUUUCAAUAAGAAUCUACAAUCAUGAUUGUUGCCAACUUCAACCAUCAUAGUUUCCUUGCUAUCCGCCAGAUAUAAAUUGGAUGGCCUAUAAUGCAGGUUGGCAGGCACACCAUCAUCAACAACUCUGUUUUUUUAUAAGAGUAGAGAUAAAAUAUAUUAAUUUUAGUAUAACAUGUUCAUAAACACACCAUGUGUAUCGCCAUUCUAUAUAUUCACACAUGCUCGGUUUAAAACACUAUGAUAAAUUCUUCAAAUAUCCGAAUUCGCUUUUCAUAAUGAAGUAUAUAUGAUCUCUAUUCGUCUUUUACACCCACACAACCCUCUUAUCUUUGUAGCUAGCACUAACUUUCUCUUGUGCAAGCACACGCCCGCAUCCCUCUCACCCUCCCUCAGCAUUCUCUAGCUCCAUCGGCAAAUUCAUCUUUUCACUUUAGGUCGUUCACCCAUGGUGUGUGUAGUCCCCCCAGCUCCUUCUUUACGGCACACAUCGAUCGAUAUGCCUCUUGUCGGGGGUUGGGUGCGACAUAUGCCAAAGGAUGGCUUAUCAUGGUGGGGGCGAGUAGAACGUCGCCGGUGCCUGGAAACGGGAUGAGGCGAAGACAUGCACGCCGGCGGAUCUUACCCAGCUUCAGGGCUCUCCGAGGAGAUAACAGCUCUACUGCUGCUCUGCGGGGUCUCCGCAUGAUCACUAAGGCAAAGUGAGUACAAGGUUGCUCCUUGAGCUGUAUUCUAGAGGUAGGAGAAGGCAAGGCUAGCUCUCUCCUUCCUAUAUGAUCUGGUCUAGUGCUAAUGGAUUCCAACCCUUUGCAUGGGUGCCCUAGGGGGUUUAUAUAGGCCUACCCCCCAGGGGUACAAUGGUAAAACCGGCUGGGCGCGGGUCCCAGCCGUCUGUCUCUCAGGCCGCUGUCUUCUCCGCCGACUGCUGGGGCCCACCGACUGGUGGGCCCCACCGACUUGCCUGGUACGUGGCCGACAGCCCUUGUUCGCCGCGGGCGGGUCUUGCCGGCUGCAGAUCACUGUAGCCGUGCUUCUAAUGACGCUGGCUUGGUCAUGGGGUCAUGGCAACAGUGCCGCCGCCUGACGGGAGAUCACUGUUGCCAUUCCCCGUCGUGUCUGGUUAAUGGCGUGUGGGGCUCGUGGGAGGGGCCAGCCGACUCCUGGGGGCCGACUCCCAACGGUCCGUCUUGUGGCUCCCUCGCCGUCUUCUGUACUCCCGCUGACUGGUGGGACCCGCCGUCUCUCGGUUGUAUAGAUAGGCCGUCGUGGGCACAGGGCUCCGCCCCCAGGGGCUGAGGUCAGGGCUGGCAUGGCAACAGUGCCGCGCCAGAUGGAGAUCUCCGCCGGUACGGCGCACUGUGGCCAUGCCUGCCCUCAAUAAACGGGGCAGGAACGGGCCGCGUGGUGGCCGUUCCCCGUCCCGUCCAUUAUCGCGAAGGUACGGGGUGGUUGGAGUCGCGGGCCGACUCCCUACAGCCGGCUUCUCCGAAAGUCGCCGGCCAGGAGUCGGCUUAUCUUGGAGUUGUCCCUGGGACUCGGCCGCGAGGGGCAGUUGACAGUGUCGCCGCCGACUCUCGGAAGGCGGCUCGUCGUCUUGGGGCUCGAGGGGCACAUCCUGCCCCGAUGUCUUGAAAGGUCCAGGGACUCGGGUUAGCCUACCCGUGGCCCAUUACUCCGAUAGUAGUCCCCGAAGCUGGUGAGGCUCCGAGGGUGAUACGUCGUGGGGCCUCAAUAGUUUCAUCCUUCUGGUGGUGAAAUCUGGGCCUUGCUCACCGUCUUCAUUCAAGCCGACUAACUGGAGCCGGACUCGCGGGGGGCUGUCUUGCCCCCUAAAGAGUUUGAAAGUCGUGGCGGGAUCCAGGCGGCGUGCCUGAUACGCUUCCCCGUAGUCGCCCGUUGUGGACCCGUCGCGCGGUGCCACGUGGUAGGGAUAGUCUGCCCACCCACACGCGCGACGGGACAGGCCGUCAGGCGGGGCCCGCCACUACCGCGCCUCGGCACGCGAACGGAUCCGUUGCGGCCAUGCGGACGGUUGGGGUUCCCACGUCGUUACUGCGCGCAGUAACUUCGUGGGGUAAAUCGUGGUGGGCGUGGGGUCCUGCGCGCAGUUAUCGCCGUGGGUGCCGCGCGGGCGAGGGAGAUAUCGCCAGCGCCGGAGGACGGCCAGCGGGUCAUAUUCCGCUCGCACCUCAUGCGUGGCCUAGGGCUGCCGGCGAGCGGCUUCUUCCGCUCAUUCUUGGAGUUCCACGGGCUCCAGCCGCACCACCUUACUCCGAACACGGUGGUGCUACUGGCCGCCUUUGCCACCCUGUGCGAGGGCUUCCUCGGUGUUCUCCCCACCAUCGAGCUGUGGGGGGAGUUCUUCCAGUCCAAGCUCGGCACGCACGUCACCGGCGUGCCAGCCCAGUGCGGUGCCUUCAUCGCAAUGCGGAGAUCAAUGGCCGACAACCCGUUCCCCUCCAUUCCACUGAUCAAGUCGGUGAAGAUGUGGCAACAGUCCUAUUUUUAUGUGAAGAACGUCGCCCAGAAGGCGACUGGGUCAAUCUGCCACCCUACAAAGCCGGUGCGCCGGCUGGGACGCUCCCCAGCUGGUCCCACCGGGCCAGGACGCUGACACCCGCAGGUGCCGCCGCCGUCGCGCGACUCCGAGUGCUGACGCAGUCGGAGGGCUUGGCCGGGGCCGACUUGCUGGCCGCCUUCGUGGCGCGCCGAGUCCUCCCUCUCCAAGGCCGACCUCAUCUGAUCAGUCAGAUGAGCGACCACCGGGACCCGAGUCGGAUGUGCACCAAGGACAUGCCCCACGCGGAGGUGGAGAACAUGGUGAACCACAUCCCGAACUGCGAUCUUGCGGUGGAUUGGCAGUUCGGCAAAGAGCCGUACUCGUGCACCAACCCCCCGCCUGUGGUAAGUCAUAUCUCUUGUUCCUCUAUUUUCUUUUGCAGCCGAAUCCGACUUCUGAUCUUUUUGGUUUCUUCGAGUCAGAACCCCCUCAUGCAGCCUUCAGCCGGCACCACGGGACCGCCCCAUGAGUUCGUCCCCGACCGAGCGGAGAGCGACGUCGACGACCCCGACUUGGGGGCGGCGACGAUGGAGACCGACGCUGAAGGAGGGGGAGGAGGAGCAGGAGGCGGCUUCAAGCCCUCGGCCACCUUCACCGACUGGCCUGAUGACGACGCCGAAGGGGAAGUCGCCCCGCACCACCAGUCGAAGGUCGGCCAGCCAGGCGCGAGUUCCUCCGCUGGCUUGGACGGUCAAGGCGGUGCGAAGAAGCGCCGGGCCGGGCCGAGUUCGCUCGGCGGCCGGUCGAAGAAGUUCAAGGGGGCGGCCGCCGCGACCAAGCGGGAGGAGGAGGUCGCUAAGGCCAACCGCUUCCGCAAGGAAGUGAAGAAGCCGCCACUGGUCUCUGCGUAAGUCUUUCUGCCUUCGUCUUAUUUUCUUCUGGUGAAUCUUGUCAAAAUUUCUUACAUUGCUUCUUCGCUUCAGGGCUCCCCUUACCCUUGAGAGGGUCGCUUCCCCCUCCAUCAUGGGGUCGGUAGAGACAUCCGCCAAUACUCGGCGGAUUGACCCCGCCGCCGACCUCCAGGACGCGAUGGAGCAAAACGCGCGGGAGAAGCGCGACGAGGAGGAAGCCGACCGCCUGGAGAAGGCGCAGGCCGAGAAGGCGGCGGCCUCCAUCGAGAAGAAGCUGGAAGAGGCCGAAGCCGCCGUCGCAGCAAAACAGCAAGCUGAGGAGACCGCGCACCGCCAAUCGGCAUUACUUGUCAUCCCGCUGAGCUCCUCACCGCCGCCCCCGGAAUUCACGGGGCAGACUGGAGAAGCCGGCGGCGAGAACCCCAUCGUGGAGAGGGAAAGCGGCGAGGCCUCCAUGUCGGACACGGCCAUGCCGCCUCCGCCGCCGUCUGGGAGCGCGCAUGGUAAACAGCCGGCGGUCCCGCCGGUGCCGCCGACUGAGGACGAGGCCAUGGCGAAGCUGCUCCUUCAAGUCGCCUCCCCAGCACGCCGCCGCCUUGAGAAGGCGACUUCGGCACCACGCCCCUUGGAGACCGGCGCCGCCUACUCGGCCAUCCCAGAUGCCGAAGCGACGAGCGCCGCGCCUGUUGGGUGGGUGCGAGGAGGUAGCACAGGCCCGCUGAACCAGGCGCUUCUCGACGUCCAGGCGAAGCUGCGAGACGAGGGCGACGCCAUCCAGAACAGCACCAAGGCGCAUCUAGCAUCGCGAGCAGCCGUCCGGGUAUGCUUUCUUCUUUUGACUUUGUUUUUCUUGUUUUUCUCUGUGGGGGCGCGCCAGUGCACCCACUGGGUGUAGUCCCUGAGUUUCGGGCCGGCUGCUGAGCAGGCGGCUCCGAACUCCAUCUGGUGAGUUCCAAAUAUUUACCUUCAUCUGAAAUACUUAUUACAGGAGUAUCACAACCUCCACGUCACUUCCUUCAACCGUAAUGUUGAAGAGAUGGGCAGGUGGACUGCCGACUUGUCGGAGAGCCGGAGUGAGUCCUCCUUCUUCUUCGCGGGGCCGCGCUGGUGCACCCGCGGGCUGUAGUCCCCGAGAAUCGGGCCGACUGCUGAGCAGUCGAGCCGGAUCUUCCCAGCGACCUUCUUUGUUGACGACUUAACGUCCUUUUUCUUUUUAUUCUUCAGAGGCCAAUGCCACUCUUCAGCAGCAGCUGUGUGAGGCCAACACCGCCUUGCAUGCCAAGGGGGAGAAGUGCAGCAAGCUUGCCACCGAGUGCGACCUGCUGGCUGUGCAGCUGGCGGAGCAGAAGGAGCUGCUUAAGAAGGCGCAGGGCGAGGCGGAGAAGAAAGAGACCGCUCUCCUGGCCGAGUUCGAAAGUGAGCGCUCUUCCUGGUCCGACAAGGAGGCACUGCUGACCUCCGGCUUCCACGAGAUUGAAGACAUCGUCGACGGUGAGUUUCUUUACUUUCUUUCUUUGAGCCUCCGACUAUAAGUCGGGCCGACUCCUGAUUCUUUGUCUUGCUUCUUUUUGUCUUGGUAGACUUCUUCCCUGGCCACUCGCAGGCGGUCACUCGAGCCAUCGAGGCCGAUCGCGAGGCACGGAGGGAAAAUGGUGUGGAGAUUGCCGCCAAUGCCCCCUAACCCUUGACGAGCAGCUUCUAAGCAUCGAGGCUCGUCUGCAGCUGGCCCAUUGGAUGCUGCACCAGCUUCAACGUGUCGGCGCCUAGGCGAUUGCCGCCCUGUGGCUAGACAUGCCGGUUCUGCGCACUACCAGUCGGACCGCCGACUGGCUGGAGGUUGCGGCUGGCCGUCUUGAGGCCUGGAAGGGUUCCUCGGCCCGGGCUAGAGCGCGCCGGGCCUUGGAAUUUGUCAAGGCGUCGUAUUCGGGGCUGGACCUGGACCGGCUGGAUGUGUUCCAGUCAGAGGCCCAAGCAGAGCUAGUAGCUGUGGAAGACGCCCUCGUCGAGCGUGUGGCGGCGAUCGCCGACUACACAGACACCAGCGUCUUCGUCCCUGAGCGAGCUGCAGACGGCGGGGUGGUGCCGCCGGAGUGGUUCGGGAUGAACCCGGACUACGACGAGGACUCGGCAAAGGUGAUCGGCUCCAGCGCUGAGGAGGAAGGCGAGGCGGAGGAUGGAGGCGAGACGGAGGCACCAGAAGACGGAGCGGGCGACCAGCCUCAGCUCGACCGAGCCUCCAGCAACGAGCCACGCCCGACCGAGCUGGCUGCUGCCGGAGACGAUCAAGCCGAGACUGCCCAGCCGGCCGCCCCGGCACCUGACACCGCCAUCUCUUCCGACCCUCCGAACCCGUCUGCCGCUUCCUAGGCUGCGGUCUUGCCUUUAUUUUAUGUGCUUUUAAUAGUCUUUGAAAAACUUGUUAAUUCGCACAAUUCCACCCGCGGGGUGUAUUUUGAACUUCUGCUUGAAGAUUAGGCCAAGGGCCUAUGUUAUGUAAAUAUUUAUCCGAAUUCUAUCUUUCCUUGCUCAUCGCUCUUUUGGCUUUUUCCUUUGCCGCCUUCCCUCAGUCGCCGCCUUGCCAGUCGGACAGCCGCUCUGCGGACUACCGCUGGGUCAAAUGCUUGGCUACCUUAGGGAAGGCAAGUACUUGGCCAUUUUUUUAGUCUUUUUAACAAGUUGGAUUGAAGGCGGCAAGCCGACUACUCAAGAGUCGGCUUUGCGAAGAGAGGGUGGAAGCCGGCUUAAGCUAUGUCAAUGCUUUUAGGUCCUUAGCCAUUUUUCAUGUGGGCACCCAUUCUUCCUUACUCCCGCCCACCAAACAGUCGCUCUGCGAGCUGCGGCUUCUGACGGGAGACGGCUUGGGCACCACACAUGACUUGUCCGACUGCAGGAAGCAUUUCAUAGCGCAAGGGGCGAGUCCCCGGGCCGACUAGUCGAGCCCGGUGCCAAGCAGCGUAAUGAAGAGUAGCAUACUCGAAGGCAUAAUUCUUAUCAUACAGAUACAAAAGAGGGCAGUCCCCGAGCUCGUCUCCGGGGGCCCGAAGUCUUGGUACUUUAAUACAAAGGGUGGCGUGGUACAUACUGCAUCAACUAUAAAAUCUUUGGAGAAUAUUUGCAUUCCAUGGUCGUUCCGACUCUUUGCCGGAGUCGUCUCUCUUGCGUGAUUGGGGCUUCUGAGCGUCGAUCAGGUAGUAGGAGUCGUUGCCCAGCACUUUGCUGAUAAUGAAGGGGCGUUCCCAAGGCGCCGACAACUUGUGCUGGCCGGCUGUUCGCUGGAUCAGUCGGAGCACAAGGUCGCCCUCUUGGAAAGAUCUCGGCCUGACCUUCCUGUUGUAGUAUCGGCGCAGGCUCUGCUGGUAGAUGCUGGACCAGCUGAGUGCCAAUAGCCGGCCCUCUUCCAGGAGAACGACCCCGUCUUGACGCGCUUCUUCUGCUUCCUCCUCCGUGUACAUGGUGACUCGCGGGGAGUCGAACUCUAUGUCCGUUGGGAUGACGGCUUCAGCACCGUAGACGAGGAAGAAAGGCGUGAAGCUGGUUGACUUGUUUGGAGUUGUGCGCAGACUCCAGAGGACGGCUGGCAACUCAUCAAGCCAAUAGCCGGCCGAACACUCCAGUGGUUCGACUAGUCGAGGCUUGAUGCCAGAUAUGAUGAGGCCGUUUGCUCGCUCCACCUGGCCGUUUGACUGCGGAUGGGCAAAGGACGCUAAGUCCAGUCGGAUGCCCUGCGUCGCGCAGAAACGGGCCAAGGUGCCUUUGGCAAAAUUUGUGCCAUUGUCGGUGAUGAUGCUGUGUGGUAUGCUGUACCGAGUCGUGAUGUCGGAGAUGAAAGUCACUCCAGUCGGACCAUUCAACUUCUUGAUGGGCUUUACUUCUAUCCACUUGGUGAACUUGUCCACCACGACAAGUAAGUGAGUUAGGCCGCCUCGUGCUGUCUUGAAUCGUCCCACCAUGUCCAGGCCCCAAACCGCACAGGGCCAGGCGAUGGGGAUAGUCUUGAGUGCGGAAGCCGGCUGAUGCGGCUUGGAGCGGAACUUCUGGCAUCCCUUGCAUUUUUGGACUAAUUCCUUGGCCUCUUCUAGGGCAGUUGGCCAGAAAAAACCAUGUCGAAAGGCUUUGGCGACGAGUGCUCGUGAGGCCGCAUGGUGGCUGCACUCGCCUUGAUGGAUGUCUUUGAGAAUUUCCUGGCCUUGCUCUGACUCAACGCAACGCUGGUAGACACCAGUGACGCUGCACCUGACCAACUCUCUAUUGACUAUGGUGUAGGCUACCGCUCGGUGUUGUAUUUGCCGAGCCAAGAUUUCAUCGGUUGGCGGCUCUUUGCUCACUAAGAACUUGAGGAUGGGCUGGGCCCAUGAGGGUGCUGCUAUUUCUUCGACUGCCAGUACUACGACUUUGACGAGGGCGGCUGGGCUGGAGUCCGCGGCCGCUUGCUGGAUUGACGAAGUCCCCGGGCCGACUGGCGCAGUCCCCGGGCCGACUGGCGCAGUUCCCGGGCCGAGCUCUGGAGUCUUUGGACUGGUCACCGCAGUGAUUGGGUGCUCUUGAAAGUAAGGCUUCAAUUUCAUGCCGGCAAAGUGCACGCCGUAGCACUUCUUCUGGUAGUGGGGGUAGUUCUGCUUGGAGGUCGACAGUACCUCGCUCAGGUAAUAUACCGGUCUCUAGACAGGUAGCGCCUUGCCUUCCUCCUUGCGCUCCACUAUAAUGACUGUGUUGACUACCCGGCUGGUGGCGGCGAUGUACAGGAGCAUGGGCUCUUUAGGAGUCGGAGCCGCCAGCACUGGGGGAGUAGUCAACAUCUUCUUCAAUUGGAGAAAUGCUUCGUCCGCCUUGUGGUUCCACUCGAAAAAGGUGGUCUUCUUCAUGAGCUGGUAUAAAGGGAGGGCUUUCUCGCCCAGCCGACUGAUGAAUCGGCUGAUGGACGCCAAGCAGCCGGUGAACUUUUGCAUAUCCAGCAGUCGGCUAGGUACCUCCAUCCUCUCGAUGGCCUUGAUCUUCACAGGGUUGCACUCUAUGCCGCAUUCAGAGACCAGGAAGCCAAGGAGUUGGCCGGCUGGUACACCGAAGAUGCAGUUCUCAGGGUUGAGCUUGAUCUGGAAUCGGCGCAGGUUCUCAAAGGUUUCCUUGAGGUCUUCCAAUAGUGUUCCAUGCUUUUCCGUCUUCACCACCACAUCGUCUACGUAGACGUGGGCGUUUCUGCCGAGUUGCUUGAGGAGGCACUUCUGCAUGCAACGCUGAAAGGUGGCGCCGGCAUUCCUCAGGACGAAUGUCAUGGUCAGGUAGCAGAAGGCUCCAAACAGCGUGAUGAAGGCAGUCUUCAAUCUGUCUGCCGGGUUCAGUUUGAUCUAGUGAUACCCUGAAUAUGCAUCUAAGAAGCUCAACAGCUCGCAUCUGGCUGUGGAGUCUAUCACCUGGUCAAUUCUUGGCAGAGCAAAUGGGUCCUUGGGGCAAGCUUUGUUGAGGCUUGUGUAGUCAAUACACAUACGCCACUGCUUGUUCUUCUUCAACACCAGGACCGGGUUUGCCAACCAUUCUGGAAAAAACACCUCCAUAAUGAAGCCGGCUUCUAGGAGUCGGGCUAUCUCUUCUCCAACAACUCUUCUCUUCUCUUCUGACACGCGGCGCAAGGGCUGCCUGACGGGCUUCACAUCAGACCGGACAUGUAACUUGUGCUCGGCGAAUUCCGUCGGUACACCUGGCAUGUCUUUAUGGGACCGUGCGAAGAUGUCCCGAUUCUCACGGAGGAAAUCGACGAGCUCGCCUUCCUAUUUGCUGUCAAGGUUUGUACAUAUGACAGCGUGCCUCUCUGGGUGCUCCGGGUCCAAGGGUAUCUUCUUCGUUUCUUUGGCCGGCUUGAACGAACCCUCAGCUUCCGACUCCUUGGGGUCGGGCGACAUCUCUGGCUGCUUGCCGGCCAUCGCCACAACCCGAUCAAGAAGCCGCUUCUCGGCUGCGAUCACCAGGGACUCGGCCAGCCGACUGCUCUCGGCCAUGCAAGCGGAUGACUUUCUGUAAUCGCUGGCUAUGGUCAGAAUCCCCUUAGAACUCGACAUCUUCAUCUUGAGGUAGGCGUAGUGGGGGACCGCCAUGAACUUGGCCAAAGCAGGUCGACCAAGCAGCGCAUGGUGCAGGCUUUCGAGGUCCACCACUUCAAACCAAACUGGCUCUCGGCGGAAAUGCUCUUUGUCUCCAAAGAGGACAUCUAUCAGGAUCUUGCUGAUUGGUGAGCAGGAAAGGCCGGGAACAAUGCCGUGGAACACAGUCCGGCUGUUCUGAAGCUGUCUUUGCUUGAUUCCUAACUUCUCCAUGGUAUCCUUGUACAGGAUGUUGAUGCUACUGCCUCCGUCUAUCAGCACACGCGAGAAGCGAGUGGCCCGCCUAUCUGUGGCCAAGGUGGCACUUAAAACCAGGGCGUAGGAUCCCGGAUUCGGCAUCACCUAUGGGUGAUCAACUCUGCUCCAACUGAUAGGCUUCUCGGACCAAUGCAUAAACUCUGGAGUAUCUGAUGCUACUGCAUUUACUUCUUGCUGCUGCAGCCGCCUGCUGCGUCGAUCAUCAGCCACACUGGUGAACACCACAUAGGCUCCAUGCUCUUCUGGGUACUCAUCUCGUACUGCGCCGACUGGCCUGGCAGCCGGCUGCUGGGGCGGCGGUGGAGGCGGCGGCCCAGCAGGCGGGGGAGGAAGGAGGCCGUCUCCCUUGGCGAUCCUGGUGAGCUAGUGGCACUUCCCGGUGGUAUGGUUUGACGGCUUCACGCCGCUAUGGAACUUGCAGGGACCAUCUAGAGUCUGCUCGUAAGAGAAGGCUGGCAACCAGUUGGACUUGCCGCCUUUCUGUCGCUUGGUCGGAGGCUGCCCCUCCGGCUGCUGGUCUUCGACUGUUGCAACGUGCCGGCUACUGGAAGCCGGCUGUGGGGCCUUGCGCUUGUGAUCGUUCUGUUGUUGUCGCCGACUGGCGUCUCCAGCCGGAGUUCUGGGAGCCUGAGGGGCCGCUUUGCCAGUCGCACUAACUUCAAUCUCCGUCUUCAUGGAGGAGUCGGCCGUGGCAUACUUGUCUGCUAUGAUCAGCAGCUCAUUGAGGGUUUCCGGCUCAUCGCAGAGGAGCCUGUGCUUGAGGAGGGUGCCUUCUCUGCACCCGGCAGUGAAGUAUUGGAUAGCCUGCACCUCGUGCAUGCCCUCGCAGGAGUUCCGAAGCUCGUCCCAGCGCGUGAGGUAGUCGCGUGUUGACUCGUCGGGGCCUUGCACGCACAAGGAAAUCUGGCGAGGCUUGGGGGGUCGCUUGUAUGUGCUUGUGAAGUUGCGGACGAAGGCCUCGGUGAAGUCGACCCAGCUAUUGAUGCUGUGGGGCUUCAGGCUGUUCAACCAUGUCCGGGUCGUGCCCUGGAGCAUGAGUGGAACAUACUUUACGGCAACACGCUUGUUGCCGUUCGCUAUGUUGACGGCCGUGGAGUAGUCAACCAGCCAGUCCUCCGACUUUACCGAGCUGAUGUACUUGGGCGUAUCUCGGGGGAGCGUGAACCCCUUGGGAAAGGGCUCGUCUCGGAUGCGGGGUCCGAAACAGGGCAGACCCAACUCGUUUUCUUCUUCCAGCGCCAGGGAUCGGUGGAGUCGGUCGAUCCGGUGGCGUGCGUCAUUCUCUCCGACUCCCUCUCAACGGCCAAGGCGGUCGCCAAGAGUCGUAUUCUCAAUGGGUGGCGGGGAGACUCGCCUUUCUCUUCGAGGUGGCGGAGACGGAUAGUCGCCCCUCCGUUCCACUGCUCUUGGGCGGCCGUCUUGGUCGCGCUCGAUGGUGAUGCGAGUCCGACAGUGGCUGACAGCCGGAUCCUUGUCUUUCCUUCCGCGGACACCGCCAGUCGGUGUCCGAGACGUCGCGCCUUGAUCUCGGCGGGGAGGCAGGUCGUCGUUUGGUCGCUGCGGCGCCUCUGUGCGGCAACUGGCUUCAUUCUGCGCGGCAGCCGCUUUGAGGAGACGCUAGACUCGCUCCGUCAUCAGGCGGCGCUCUUCACCUUCGAAGUUGUUUAGCUCGUCCACCGCCGCCUGGGCGGCGCGGAUGUUCUCCGUAGGCGUGGCGUACACGGGGCGAUCGGCCCCGAACAGGUUGGCGAUGGCCACUCCGCGCUGCUAGAUCGCGCCUAGGCGGCGAGGCCCAGUCGGGGCCGGCGAGCCGCCCACAGCGCGAUCCAUCUCACGCUGGUAGGCUUCUGACAAGCGUCUCAUGCUUGCCAGCUUCUUCGCGCCUUCGACGAUCUGUAGGCGGCGUGCCUCUAGUGUUUCGGUGUCUGCGACUUCCGGAAUAGGCGCGGUCAGGUCUCGUAGAGCCGCGUCGAGUGGGUCAUGAGCUCCCUUGCCGGAAUGCUCGCCAUGACCGAUGACGAGCACCUCCGUGAUGGCGCUUCUGCUGCUCUCCUCGUGAGAGAGCGGCUCGUCGUAGACCACCACGUUGGUGGGGAACGCAUCGAGCGACGCGGCGUCGGAGUCGACCAGCAUCGGGUCGGUGGAGCCUACGGACUCCAAGUCCACGGCAGGCUCACCGGUGACGUGGAGUUGGUCGAGGAGGCCCGCGAGGAGGCUCUCGGGGCCGCCCGUGCCUGCGUCGGAUGCAGGCUCGUCGGAGAGGCGAACCUCGCUGACAAGUUCGGCGAGGCAGCUGGCUGCGCAGGCGACCUCAGCGCCACGCAACGCGUCGACGCAGACUCCGUCUGGUGUGCCUGGCUGGCUACGCUCGCCAGGUAGGAAAAGGGUUCCCGUCCAGAACAGGUCUCCGGACGACGGUGCACCAGGCCCCACGGUGGGCGCCAAAUGUCGGGGGUUGGGUGCGACAUAUGCCAAAGGAUGGCUUAUCAUGGUGGGGGCGAGUAGAACGUCGCCGGUGCUUGAAAAUGGGAUGAGGCGAAGACAUGCACGCCGGCGGAUCUUACCCAGCUUCAGGGCUCUCCGAGGAGAUAACACCCCUACUGCUGCUCUGCAGGGUCUCCGCAUGAUCACUAAGGCAAAGUGAGUACAAGGUUGCUCCUUGAGCUGUAUUCUGGAGGUAGGAGAAGGCAAGGCUAGCUCUCUCCUUCCUAUAUGAUCUGGUCUAGUGCUAAUGGAUUCCAACCCUUUGCAUGGGUGGCCUAGGGGGUUUAUAUAGGCCUACCCCCCGGGGGUACAAUGGUAAAACCGGCUGGGCGCGGGUCCCAGCCAUCUGUCUCUCAGGCCGCCGUCUUCUCCGCCGACUGCUGGGGCCCGCCGACUGGUGGGCCCCGCCGACUUGCCUGGUACGGGGCCAACAGCCCUUGUCCGCCGCGGGCGGGUCUUGCCGGCUGUGGAUCACUGUAGCCGUGCUUCUAAUGACGCUGGCUUGGUCAUGGGGUCAUGGCAACAGUGUCGCCGCCUGACGGGCGAUCACCGUUGCCAUUCCCCGUCUUGUCUGGUUAAUGGCAUGUGGGGCCCAUGGGAGGGGCCAGCCGACUCCUGGGGGCCGACUCCCAACGGGUCCGUCUUGUGGCGCCCUCGCCGUCUUCUGUACUCCCGCCAACUGGUGGGACCCGCCGUCUCUGGGUCGUUUCAGACAGGCCGUCGUGGGCACAGGGCUCCGCCCCCAGGGGAUGAGGUCAGGGCUGGCAUGGCAACAGUGCCGCGCCGGAUGGAGAUCUCCGCCGGUACGGCGCACUGUGGCCAUGCCUGCCCUCGAUAAACGGGGCAGGAACGGGCCCCGUGGUGGCCGUUCCCCGUCCCAUCCAUUAUCGCGAAGGUACAGGGUGGUUGGAGUCGCAGGCCGACUCGCUACAGCCGGCUUCUCCGGAAGUCGCCGGCCAGGAGUCGGCUUAUCUUGGAGUCGUCCCUGGGACUCGGCCGCGAGGGGCAGUCGGCAACGUUGUCGCCGACUCUCAGAAGGCGGCUCGUCGUCUUGGGGCUUGAGGGGCGCAGCCUGCUCCGAAUACUUGAAAGGUCCAGGGACUUGGGUUAGCCUACCCGUGGCCCAUUACUCCGACAUCUCUCUAGCCAGGUGUGCCUAGCACAAACACAAGCUUCCCCUCUUCUCUUGUCACCGUCCAUGCCUCACUCCCACCAGUCUUUUCAUCAUUCUCAUACUCACACACUCCUCCCCGCUCGAUAUAGUAUGCCUCUCGUACCACCUCGUACAUACAUCCAUCUAUAUCUAUCCUUCUCCUCGUGCCUCGUUUGCUUCUAACACACACAUGCAUGUAUACCGAUCGAUCUCCCAACAUAUACCUGGAUCGACUUUAACUGCCCCCCAUCGAUCGACGUACCUCACAAGUUAUGUCUCUCCUUUCUCUAACAAAGGGUGAUUGAUCUUCCUAUGUAGUUAUGUCUGCUUACCACAACCACAUCGUCCCCCCUCAUCAUUCGUGCAUGCCUCCUGCCCCGUCUCUCACACGCAAGUGCACAGACAACAAGCAGCCAUCUCCUCUCUUAUUGAUAUUGCGGGCGUGCCCUCCGUUUGUCUAGCAAGCCUAUCCCACCAUUUGUUAGAAGCAACUCCACUACCACCCCCUCCAACACUCUAGCUCUGUCUCUCUCCCAACCUUAUUCCUCUCCUGCACAUAUGCAUGGAUGCCAAUCGAUCUCCCUUAAUACAUGAGGCAGAUCGAUCUCCUUAAUACAUGAGGUAGGCCUCUCUCCUCCUCCACACAUAUACCAGCCAUUGUACCUCUAUAGUUAAUUGGGCCUCCCUCUCCCCCCACCACACACCGAUAGUUGAGCGUUGCAGGUAGGUAUCCAUGCCAUAGAGACAAACUGCACAUGUCCCCUCUCAUGUUCCAGUAGGCCAGCCACUCUAUAUCUUUGAUGUGGGCACACACAAAUUCGAUGGCACUCUUUAUCGAUCGCGCGCACGCACACACACACAUCAUCCCUCUUUUCGAUUCUAUGGACACCUCAAGCCGGUGAUACCUCCACUCUCUUCUCGUGGAUCGCCCCCUCUAUAUAUAUGUUAUAUCCAGGACUCUAUUUCACACACAUUGCAUAUGUUACAUUUUUUGAUUGAACCCCCCCCCCCCAAAAAAAAACUCUCAAGAACCCACACACUAUAUCUCUCUAGGUUUGUAUCUCUCUCGCACAACCCCAUGUAGGUGGUGUACAUAUACAAGAAGAGAAUAGGUGCACCGUGCACGCACUCACGCUUCGUGCCCAGCCACACCCGCGUGGGUACACGGUGGAGCUCAUUUCUUUACGAAAUGUCAGCCCACGUGCUAAUUUGAAUGCCUAUAGCGGUUGUUUACCUAGGGAGGUCGUGUACCACGCCUGCACGAAACAAAGGUCGACUUGACGCGUUACCGUGUUAUUUUUAAAUAAAGUUAUAGCGCUCAAUGGCAUGUACACAGAAUAUAAAAUGAUUUUUAUGGCGAAAAAGGUAGUCCGCUCACUAUAUACAAUGGAGCCUUGCGUGCCUGGUUUGUCGCUCUUCAGAGUAACUCACACUAGGCUGCGGUGGCCUCUCUCUCUCACCGUUGGUCACUGAUCCGGCCGCAUCUCGUCCGCUGGGGGAAAGGGAGUGCGAUGGCCUCUCUCUCUCUCACCGUUGGUCACUGAUCUGGCCGCAUACCGUCCGCCGGGGGAAAGGGAGGAAGUGCAUCGUUUCUCCGUUCGACGGCGCCGAGGCAGCACGUCUGGAUCUGCGGUACAUGCCGUUCUCUCUGACCAAGCUCCGGCGCAGCAGGGCCUACGCCACCUGCUCGCAUAUUCCGCCCGCCGCCGCUCACCGAGUUACAUCCCGACGACCUCCAGGUAUCCCCUCCGGCCUUGCUCCACUGCCCAUCUUCCCACGUCGCUGCAUGUGGAUCUUCCAUAGUUCUUUGCCCAAAACGUAGCUCGUCCAGCGUACUUUCCAUAUUGCAUUCUCGUCCUCCCAUAGUUUUAGACAAACACAACCGUGUUGUUAUCUUCCCUUAGGGCAAGGAAUAUGCUUAUUUUUGGUCGUCGCAUGUGUCAUCAACUGUUAUUGGGUAGUAAUUGUUUCCUUUCUACCUCUUUUUUGCAAACAGGGCUAUCCAUUUCAGCUCGUUGCUAUUGCAACCUUUUGGUGAACUGCACAAAUCACUUUUUUCUUAAGAGUGUUUUGUGCAGUUGUACUAAAAUGUCACAUGGGCAACGUCUCUACAUUUCAGUGCGAGUGCACAAAGGGAGAUUGGUUUUGCUCUAUCCUCCUCAUCCAACUCCGAGCCUAAUCUUCUCCAGCUAGUUAGUCUUAAGAGAGACUACAAAGGUGACCGACUUCUAUUUAUGUGUUUAUUGUUUCAUCAGCAGUCCUCUAUUAUCGUAAUCACACUUAAUAUCUUUGGAAUAGGGACGCUUAGCUCUAUUUUAGUGGAACUGCACAAAAUGAUCGAAAUGUUGCAUGCUCCAGACAGCUACUUUUUUUCCCAACAUGCCUUGUUGAUUUAGACAGAGCUGGGGGGACGUUGCUGCCAAUGAAAGCAUGGAUCAAUUUUAAUUUACCUUCUCAUAACUCUGACUUCAGUUGUGAUGUAAUUAUUAGCUCUGAUCUGCUAAUAAUUGACAUGCAUUAGCAAGGAAGUUAGUUUUUUAUUGUUUCCGAAAGAGCAUCGAUGGCAAGACACGAGAAACAGAAGCUGAAAGCUCACACCAUUGUACAAUUCCAUGUCUUGCUGGAAAAGUAUUUGUAUAGUACGUCAAUUAUGUUAACAAAUGAUGGAAGCUUGAUAGCAUUGCCAGAAGCCUCUUCAUCAUCCGGGUCCAUGUUCCAUGAACAAAAUUAUACUCCUUCGUUCCUAAAUAUUUUUCUUUUUAAAAAUUUCAAACGGGCAUAUUUUAGAAUGUAGAUUCACUCAUUUUGCUUCGUAUGUGUACCCCCUCUGUUCCUAAAUAUUCUAUUCGUCUUUCUAGAGAUUUCAACAAGUGACUACAUACAGAGCAAAAUGAGAGAAUCUAUACUCUAAAAUAUGUAUAUACAUCCGUAUGUGCCAGUCCAUUUGAAAUCUCUAAAAAGACAAAUAUUUGAGUAGUCACUCACUGAAAUCUCUAGAAAGACAAAUAUACUCCAGAGUAUAUUUAAGAACCGAGGGGGUAGUGCACAACCGCAUGGGAGACUCGGCCCGGUCGUUGCGCCGCAUUAAUAGUGAGUAAUGAGCAGUCAAAUCGUAAGCCCCACCUUUCCCACUGUAAGUUGCUCUGAGGAAGCAACCAUCAAUACGCUCUUCUUUGAAUCCGCUCAUACUACUCCAUCCAUCAGUGUUUAUAAGCGCGCUUCAGAAAAAAGAAAAAAGAUCUGUGGGACCAAGGUGACUAGCGAUCGGCCUGAAAAAUAGCAUUGGUAGUUAUAGCACGGCGUCUAUUACUAGAGGGAAUAAUGCGUACACACAUGCAUGCAGUGCUUCCACCCCGGGUACACACAUGCAUGCACUUACUCCACUCCGUAGUUACAUGGAGAGAAAAUUGUGGACUUGAUUGCAGUUACUACACCCUAAUUAAUUGAGCAUUAAACCAAACGCAUCUAAAGUCUCUCUGGUGGUGGAAACGCAUUGAGAGAAAUGCAUCAUAAUGAAGCGCGCCCUGUAAACUAUGACGGAGGGAGGAGUAGUAUGAAGGUUCAAAACCAAGUACGUGCAUGGCCAGUUGGUCAAUGCACCUCCUCUUGGCAUAUCACUGACAUGUGGGGCAGGAGUGUGAGCAAACCGGUCUCAAUUGACGGCAAAGAGCCAACCCGCCGUUCCUUGAGAGAGACAACACACAGACGGGUUCGCAUGGAGGCCAAGAUAUAUUCGAGCAUGGUUGGUUGAUCGAUAUCAUUCAUUACAUGUUGGGUUGCCAUUUUCCGCCCUUCUCCAGAAUAAACGUGUGCUUUAUUAGAGAUAAAAAGAAAUAAGAGUACAAAUGCUCCACCAUGCGGUUCUAGUAGUAGUACUACUCGUAUUACUGCGCUUGGCUCUUCGCCUCUUCGUGAAGUCGAACAAUGAUGGUACUCCGCAUGUUGGUACUACAGUGUAUGCCUCUGACAAUCUGACACCAAAUGGACGGAUGCAUGUCCACCGAGGGUAGGUUGCAUUAGUCAAAAGGCGUAAGCGAGGUUCACCUUGUCCUGCAAGCUUCUCCUCGUUCUGCGAGUUGACGGGACACACCAAAAAGUAGUGCUAGUCCACACUCCCUCCUUUCCGGUUAAUAUGGCUUAAUCUUUUUUGCUGGUAAAUGAGAGAGUUUUAUUCAUAUAUAAGCAUUCUUAGGACGAUCAACCAAGACACUGGUCACUAGGAAGCGAGGUACCCCGCAAAAAAAGAAGUAGGAAGCGAGGUGUUUCAUCAAGCCAGCUCUCGGCCACAUUCAAAGUGCAGCAAGCACGGUUCGCACGAAGAUGCGCCGCAAGGUUUGCUGACCUGUUUACAUGCUGAAUAACAAAAAAAGAGGAAAUAUUACCGAGCGCUACUAUUUGUAACAGGAUAUGAGCCAGAAUUAAGCGAGAACUGUGGCAAGUGUUCCAUGCAAUCAACUUCCAUUAUCACAUGCGAGAACCCUUGAAGAGAACCAAAUGUGUUGAAGAUUGCUUUAUCACAUUUUAAAAUUAUAAUAAGAGUGCAGACGCUCCUCCAUCCAAUUCCUAGUACUAGUAUAGUACGUACCUUUAUAGACUAUAUUAGUAAACUUUGCGCUUGGCUGUUCGCCUAUUCGGGAAGUCGAACAAUAGUAGCACUAGUAGUAUAGUGUAUGCUUCUAGCAAUCUGACACCGAAUUAACUGUUGCACGUCCACCGCCUGAGCGAGGGAGAGCUUGCAUUAGUCAAAAGUUUCUCCUUGUCCUGUGAGCCACCGCGCGCAAGUAAUGCUAGUCCAUACUGCCUCCUCUCCGGUUAAUAUGGAUUGAUUUCAAACGAGAUAAAUACGCUGUCUGUCACUGUAUAUUUGUAAAAAUACGGUCAGUGGACUUCAUAAUACGCUCAUUGCGCUCAAUAUAUAUAUUUUCCGGUGUUUAUACGAUCACUAGCUCACCCUGACUGCGUAUGUGUGUGCAUGCACGUGUAGGUUGAGCACUUAGCGUGACUGUGUGUGUUUCGUCGUGUGCUCGGACAUGCAUGCAUUAGGGCGUCGCGCGCGUUUUUGCGUCCAUGUGUACGUGUGACUAUUGCAUACACGUAGGGGGAGUACGUGUAGGGUCCACUAAGGAGCAGUCAAAUCACACAGUAAGUUAGUCGGAAGAAGCAACUAUCAUUUCACUCUUGAAUGACACGUACGCAAUAUAAAAUGGUUGAUAUGGAGAGAAAAAGAAAACCACUAUAUAUACACUAGCAGGAGCCUAAGCUACAAGCCUGCUUGCUAAGGUUGCUCUCUUCACAAGCAUAGAACGACGGGCCUGAUCCCGCAGCUGGGGGAAGGGAACAAUGUUCUGCGUAGAUGCGAUCGACAUCGGCGAGGGAGAAAACCCACAAUCGGUGCGUCCCAAUCGGGGGUCACCACGGUAUGGGCCGAUGCCACGUCCCAACCACCCUUCUAGCUACAGCCCGACAUCCUAGGUAGUCCAUCUUCCUUUUGGAGCCGGCUUGCUCCACUGCCGUAGCUCCAUCUCCAUGUCGAUCUUUCUCUACUUCUACCGGCUUCUACUUGUGAUGAGUUUAUGUCUCAUGAACUAGUGCCAGUACUAUUAUUCUAAUCACACUUCUUCAAUAUCUUUGCCAUCAGGGAUGCUCAGGUCGAUUUUACUGGAACUGCACAAAAGCAUCGUAUGAUCUGAGGGUGUCAGCCGUCUUUCCUUCGACAGCUUCUACCUGGCCAGGGAAUUAAAUCAUUUUUAGGGUUUAGGGUUUAAGUUGUAGUGACCCCAUCAGUAGUUUUUCUUUCGUACACGCUCUCACAACUUUUUUCUUUAGUUGUGAAGUAAAUAUUGGCUAUGAUCUGUGAAUCAUUGAGAUGCAUCAGCAUGCGUGUUAGUUUUCCUUUGUAUUUGAUGGAAUGUUGUAACGGGGCAACCUUGGAAUAGGAAUGAAAAUGGAGUUGAAAGUUUCCGUUUUUCCGGAGAAAAAUGGAAACGGAGAUAAACCAACGUUUCGUUUCGUUGGAUCGCGCCAUCGAGCAAAACCAAUGUUUAAAUCACGUCUGUCGUGUUCGUGUCUCACCAUCCUCCACGGCUCGACCCCACACGGUCGCUCGGCAUGCCACUCACCGCAAACCGAGUAUACAAUAACUUUCCCGCCUGCUUGUCGAUGGAUCGCGCCAUGGAGUACUACUAGCACUACUGGAAGAGAUUGACGAGUUGGGGGAGGACAGCUAGCUGUAGCACAGACUCCCAAGAACUUUUUACAUGCAUGUUGUAGCCGGCUAUUGCGACCUUUGAACGCAGAGCGGCCACGUGCAGUCAAAAGCGGCGCAGGCGACGCUCUCUCGGCCGGCGCGCCGCUUCAAUGCCGACGCUAGUGAGAGGUCGCGUCCGCUCUGGCCGGGCAUGAAUGCGGCACUGACCGUUUCGGGUGGGAAGCAAACGCGGGUGAUGAAGAGGGUUCGGGUUGGUCAGGACCGGCCGUGGCAGCGGUCCGGACGUGCGCAAAUAAGAGAUGUUGUACGUUAAUAUUGCUGCAUAUAUAAUUAACAACGUAAAUAAUGUGCCAGUUGGACAAAUAUGAUUGGAGAUGGAGAUGGAAAUGGAAUUUUACGUAAACACGGAUAUGCAUGUCUAUGUCUAUGUGUGUGUACGCGACGACUCUCGCGACCUGGAAGCGGGGGCGUGUUUUUGAUUGAGUUUUCUUUCUUGGUAUGUUAGAAAAUCAGUUUAUCUAAUUCACAUCUAGAUGUUAUUUAAGGAUAUCACAUCUAAGCUCCCACAAGUAUAUAAUGUAGCAACAAGAAACAAAAAAACUAGGACAAAAAACUAGACCACAAACAGAGUGGACAUCAACUUAGAUGUGACAUAACUAUGUCACAUCUAGAUGUGUCCUAGACAGACCCUUAAAAAAUUGUCCGCCAGUUUUCUUUUCUUUUUUCCGGGAACGCGCGUAUUCUAUUUAAAACCACUGCUAUGGAGAGAUUUUUUUACUGCAUUAUAGCCUCUUGUUUGAUAGAGUUUCUCGCGUCUCGCUCUCUCACCCUCUCCAUAUCAAAACAAAAUGACAGUGUCCAGUCUAUCUCUCUCCUCACCGGUGGUGACAGAUCCGGCCAAAUCCCGUCCGCUGUGGGAGGUGAGGAGGUGCAGCGUUGACGUUGUCGCCGUCAGCGACAGAGGGAUCCGAUGCGCACCGUCCUCUCGGAGUCGGCGCUGGCGCGGACGAAGAUCCUCCGCGCCCUUGUUCGCUGCCGUCGUGUGGGCAGAUCCUGCCCGCCCGCCUAAACGACAUCUCGCCCACCUGACGUAUAACUUCUUGUACUGGUCCAGCUCCCCAGGUUGCUACAUGCGGGUUUUCUUCUAUGCGACUACUCCCCAGCUCCCCAUGCAUAGUAGCUAGGGUUAGUCGGUUGGUCCAACAUCACCUACUAGUACUAUUAUACAGGAAAUGCCACUCGGAAAGUUGUCCUGAUUUAUGCCUCGGUGGAGGUAUACAUGUUGUUUCGACAAAAAGUACAUGGUGGUUGUGCGGUCAUUGUCCAUAUGAUGGUAGUACUAUCACUGGUUAAAUGAAGAAAUGCUUUUUUUUCUCAGGUAUCCUGGUUUAGUUCCCAUCAAGAUAUAAUUAUGAUGCUUAUGUUUGUUGGUGUACUUUUCAUUAACCCUUUUUUUAUAUUUUUGGAAACAGUGAUGCGUGUCUCCAUACCCGGGCAUGUCUUCCUGAAUUUUAGUAGAACUACACAAAAUUGGAUGGACAUUGUUGUUGUCACACCCUAGCUAGUUCAUGCAUUAGAGUGUUGCAUCAUGUCUAUUCUUCAUCAGAAACUUGAAAUGGGGAUGACAGAACCCCCAGCCCCCUCUGAAACCAACUAGGGCUACUAAAAAAAUAUUUUCAAUGAACCUGAAAUGCCCUUCUAAAAUGCCCAUCAUUUUUGUCUUGGUUCAGAACCUCUGCCAAAAUGUGGUGCACAUUUUCCUAGGCCAUCUUAGGGUUUUGAAUUAAAUCAUAAAUAUUUGAAUUUGGGCAUUUAAAAUUAUAUAAAAUAUUUAAAUGCUCAAAUAACUCCAAACUAAAAUGUUUCAUGUUGGAAAUAAUCCAACUAUGGACCAGGAGUAGUUUGGUGAUUUUAGGAGUAGCCUAAGUAUUUUAUUUAAUUCAACAAAGUUGCAGAAGUAUUAAAAAAACAGAAAACAGAAAAGAAUGGAAAAAGCUUACCUGGCGCCCAGCACUCGGCCCACCUGCCGGCCCAGCCCAGCACCGCGCCAGCGAGCUGCUUGCCGGCCAGGCAGGCAGGCAGGUGCUCGACGGCGAGCACCGCAAGGGUGCCACGCACCUGCUCGCCGCCUCGCCGCCUCCCUCGCCCGGCUAACGCCGUGAAUCGGCCUCUCUCUCUCUCCCGAACCUCUCAGACACCCCCUCUCCUCUCCAGCUCCUCUCCCUCGCUCUCCCACGCCAUGGCCAACGCCAUCGCCGCCACCCCCUCGCCGUAGCCAUGCCCUCCGUCAACCCCACGCCGUGCCGCCGUGUCCAGGAGCUCCGUCGCCGUCCACUUCAUCGAGCUAGCCGAGCCCCGUGUGCUCGUGCGGCCCGAGACCACCGCACCGACCUCGCCCGAGCUCGCCGUCGUUGGAGAUCCCCUUCAACGCCGUCGCCGCCUCAGCUCGUCCCCGACCCCGCCGGUGGCCUCUACGGGAGCGCUGUGAGCCUAGCUACCCCUCCGACCCUCCCUCUCUCAUUCCCGAGCCGUGUAGCCACCGCACGAAGAUCACACGCACGCACCGCCACGGAUCUUGUCGCCGACGUGCUCCCGGCCAUCCUCCGGCCAACCCGCGGUGUCCAACGCACUCACCACGCUGUGUUGGGCCCAACCGUGCACUUCCCGCACCUCCCCGCACACCCUAGGCCGAGUUCGCUUUCACCCGAGCUCCGGUGGCCGCCAAAGUCGUCGCCGGCGCCAACUCCGGCCACCCCGACCCCAACGGACUCCACCAAGAGCCGCGGCUCGUCCUCAGCUCCACUCCGGUGGUCUCCGUGACCCAUUUGGUGGCCGAAACGGCCAAAACCACUCCCGCCGCCGCAUCGGGCUCGCCGGCGGCUAAACGCCGGCGCCGCUGGCGUUGACUUUGACCACGGGUGGGCCCUGGUUGACCCCGAUGAGUCAAUGACAGGUGGGGCCCAGCCCUGUUAACUAAAUAGGUUUAGUUUUAAUUAGAAUUUAACUAAACUAAUUACCCUGACAUGCGGGACCCACUGUCAGGUUUGACUCGGACAUGUUCCGUUGACCUGCUGACGUCACACUGACGUCAGGCUGACGCAAUAAUUGAUUUUCUGGAAUUAUUCUAAUAUAGGAAAUUCCAGAAUAUAAUUUAAACUUCAAAAAUUCAUAACUUUUAUUCUGUAACUCCAAAUCAGACAAAUUAUAUAUGAAAAAUGAUCAGAAAAAUCCAAUCUAUCCAUCUGUACUAUUUUUCAUGCAUGAUUAAACAAGUUAACCUGAUGUUUAAUGCAGAACAAGGAAAAGCACUUUAAAAGGCCAUGUUUGGGUUUGAAAUUUGAAUCUUUGAUUCAAAUUGGUUCAAACCCUUCUAGUUUUAGUUGCAUUAGUCCAACACACUCAUAUUGCCAUGUUUCAUGCAUGCAUCAUAUUGUUGCACAUUGUUUGGUGAUGGUUGUGUAUCGGUGUCCUUUGCGACAGGUUCUGCCUCCGAGGAGUAUCGUGAUUACCCUAACGAAGAACCGUAUCAGUGCAUCGAACCAUCAGGCAAGCAACCAACCAUUUGAUCAUAUCGAUACAAUCCCAUGUUCUCGCUCCUGCUCUCGUUUACUGCAUUAAGACAACGCGUUUCAAACUGCUGUGUGUUACGGUAGUUGAACCCAUUUCCUCUGCAUGACCUGUCAUUGCCACAGUAACUAGAUGAAACCCACUAGCAUGUGUAGGAGUUGAUUGAGCCAUAUGUAUGUGUUGUUCCUACCUUGCUAUGCCUGCUAUGCUUAGAGUCGUGUCAGGUCUGGUUCAUCUGGGGAAUGGACUAGAGUGAAAUGAUUAUGUCGGUAAUGAAAGUGGUGUAGUGAACAUGAUUUGGUAAAGGUAUCGAUGAGAGGCCAUGUAGGAGUACAUGGUGGGUUGUUUCAUUGAAGCCGACCUUAAGCACCAAGAUCUGUAUCUGUGAUUUAAGAUUCAGCUACUACCAUGCAUUGGGCCCGAAACCAAUGGACCCUCUCGACUUCUUAGUCACCCUAGUUCUCUGUCCAGGAGUUGCAAGUAGUUUCUGGUGUUUGUAGUAUACUGGAGGCCGUGGACAGCGCUGACCGUAGGGGCGGGCUGUGAUGCGGUAGGUACGUGGCACGGUGUACCGAAUACCCGUUAGGUAUCUCGGGAACCCUGUUCACAUCGUUUGGGGCUGUGAGCGAUACCUCGGCCGGAUCUCCUCAUGGAUGGAACCCGAAUAGGCGAUAAACCUGGAUUAGAGACUUAGGUGAUUAGGUAGGUCGUGGCCGACACCCACGUUGGGCUUCCGCUUGAAGGUUGCCGAGUACAUGUCGUGUAAACGACGGUAAGUGGUGAGAGCGUGUAUGAAGGAGUACACCCCUGCAGGGUUAACAUGAUCUAUUCGAAUAGCCGCGUCCGCGGUAAAGGACUACUUGGUUGCCUAUACAGUUCAUAGACAAGUAAAUGGAAACUACUAAAAGCCUCAAGAUAAGUGUGAGUGCCGAGGAUGGCUCUUCCGUAGGAAGACGGAGGCGGAUCCUCGGUAGUGUAUUGAAUUGGUGAGUAGUGGACUCGUGUACGCAAAACCAUUUCAAGUUGGAGUCUCGUAGGUUAGCCUAGCCAAGAGUCAAAGCUGGCUUGCUGCAAUAACUCCACCAACCCUUCUUGAUAAUAUGCAUGUAUGUAGGAUCUGAUGUAAGUCUUGCUGGGUACCUUUGUACUCAUGUUGCUAUAAUUUACAUUUUUUACAGAAGACGCUGCAACCCCUUCUGAUGGGUUCUACGUAGACGUUGACAUCAAUGAGUAGGCUAAGGCCCAGGUGGUGAUCCUGAGCUUGUGAAGGACCACGUAGUAUAGCUGGGCUUUCCAAGCCUCUUUUAUUUUACUAGUUGUCUGUACUCAGACAAGUUACUUCCGCUGCUGGUUUGUAUGACUGUAUGACUUGAAUGCUGGGUCGUGAGACCCGUACCUUUGUGUAUGUUAUGUAUGGCUCUCUGAGCCUUAAAUAAAGUACUUGUGUCGUAGAGUCAUGUUGUGAUGCUUCGUUGUAUUUGCACAUAUCGAGCAUAUUGUGUGUAUGAUUGAAAUGCUUGGUAUGUGUGGGAUCUGACUAUCUAGUUGUUUAUCUUUAGUAGCCUCUCUUACCGGGAAAUGUCUCCUAGUGUUACCGCUGAGCCAUGGUAGCUUGCUACUGCUCUGGAACACUUAGGCUGGCCGGCAUGUGUCCUUCCUCAUUCCGGUGUCUGUCCCUUCGGGGAAAUGUCACGCAUUGAGUACCGGAGUCCUGUUAGCCCGCUACAGCCCGGUUUACCGGAGUCCUGCUAGCCCAGUGCUACAGCCCGGACCCACUUGCUGUUGACCGACACGUUCGAGGCUGGGUCAUGAAUGCAUGUCCCUGUAAGUCUGUGCCACUUUGGGUUUACGACUAGUCAUGUCAGCCCGGGCUCCUUAUCAUAUGGAUGCUAGCGACACUAUCAUAUACGUGAGCCAAAAGGCGCAAACGGUCCCGGGCAAAGGUAAGGCGACACUCGUGGGGAUACCGUGCGUGAGGCUGCAAAGUGAUAUGAGGUGCUACAGGCUAGAUCGAUGUGACAUCGAGUCGGGGUCCUGACAGCGUUGGCAUCAGAGCCGGACUGCCUGUAGGUUCUCCAAGCCAAACUGGUCGAUGUUGAGUCUAGAAAUUCUUUAGUUAUAUGUAGGGGAAUUGUUUGUGGGUUGGAACGUAAGGCUCUUUUUACUUCUUUAUCUUAUGACAUUCUGAUCUGAGUCAGUCUAUUCUUCCACCGGGGGUUAAGGAAUUAGGAUCUAUAUUCUCUAUCAGGAUCACGCGUUACUAAUCAGUAGUACCUUAUAGGUUCGAUGGUUACAAGACUAGUUUAGUUCUACUACCACAUUAUGUUGCUAGGAUGGACUCAGAACUUUGAUAUGAUGAUGUUAAGUGUGAAUGAAAUCCUUUGUCAAAUGUCUCAAAAUCCUUCUUGAGCAUUUACAGCUGUUAUGCUGCCGAAAUUUUGCUAGAAAUUCUAAUGACUUUGCAUUAUGAUUGUGUUUUCAGAUGGCCACUCGCGACCUCAAUCAAGUGGUUCGCCUGACUCGAUGCCUAGAUGUACCCGGUCAUACCGCCAUGUUGGUCAGGGUAAUGACUGAGGCUGGAUACCGCUGGUAUCCUGAGUACACGGUCGAAGAGCAAUUCCGAGACUUUAAUCAAAGCCAGUAUCUCUGCACUGUCAGGAUAUUUCCAUCUUAUCCUGGGUCCACCGAGCCCCUUCACUGCUCCUAUGGACUCGGGGUUACUAUUGAGAUGGCUGUGCAGGACGCCGCCUACUCUAUGAUGACCAUUAUGCGAGUCAGAUCUGGUCUAUUUCGGGACUCUGAUUUCCGGUAUAUGCCAGGAUCACUUCCGGGAGCACAAGGGUAUCUCCAAGCUAUCUAUGCUGACCCCACCCAGGAGGAUUCAUGGACCCGCACCACUGCUGAGAUGCUCGAGGAUAAGGACCGUGAAAAUCGGGCCUUGAGGUUAGAGCUCUUCAAUACCCGUGCUGACCACUGGGCCACAUUGACUCGGUUUGCACCGGCGGUGCAAGCUGGAUAUUCGGAUAUGCGCGAUCUCUAUCCUGUGAGAUCUGCUCUGCCAGACGUGAUGGGUUGGCGUGAUGUAGGAGGCAUCACCCCACCUCGUGGUCCCCGCAGGCCACCGUCUGUUGGUCCAAGACCUCAUCCUAGCCCCUAUGGUCCACAAGCUCCGCGAGAUCGUCUGUUUCCGGAUGAUCAUGUUGAGCUUCCGGGCUAUGGAGGUGACUUCUAUGAGGACUACUACGGAUCGGUCUGAGUUAGUAGUAGUAUCACUAGUUCGUGUUAGUUGCGUCGUCUAUCGUCCUGCGUGACUCGUGGGAUAUGACCUAGUUUGUAUCGCCUUCCGGAGGUGUGGAAAAAUAAUGUAUAGGAGCUUGGAAUGCCUCUGAUGAGAUGUAACCCUCUUUUCACUGUAAUAGUACCUUGUUUGGUCUUGUACUAAACCUUGUAUGGUGUGUAUGACGAUGGAAUAAAGAAGCAGUUUCUGUAUCUACCUUGUCAUACGGAUGAUCAUCUUGCAUUCCGAGUUAUUCCUUACAUUCUGUAUCCUAUGUCGUAACUUUAUCAUCCUGACUAAAUCAUUGUCUUGUUUACCUAGGAUGGUCAACACGCGCACUAACCCUGCUCCCCAAGAGCAGGCCGAAGGCAGCGAAGUCAGGAAUGCAAAUCUGCCUCAUCCUCCUUCCCUAGCCGAGGUUAUGAUGGAAGCCGAAAGAAACAAGCGGGAGACCAACUGUUUGUCGGAGCGUAUUGAAUAGAACACAUCACACCAUCAGAGGACUAACGUGGUGUCACUCAGUGAUUUCAUCAAAUUACAUCCACCCACGUUCCACCACUCCGUCGAGCCUCUCGAUGCUGAUGACUGGCUUCACAGUAUUUCUCACAAACUGCGUUCUGCGCUAGUAGCUGAGGCUGACAAGGUCACCUUUGCUGCAUAUCAUCUUGAAGGCCCCGCCAGUCUGUGGUGGGAGAAUUAUGGAGCUAUGCGUCCAGCAGGCCAUGUCACUACUUGGGCUGAAUUCAGCGAGGCUUUCUGUGAACAUCACAUUCCGGAGGGUCUCAUGGACCGUAAGUGUGAGGAAUUUUGCAGUUUCACUCAGGGCCGACUCUCUGUGGAUGCUUACAGCAGGGAGUUCGGUAACCUCGCACGAUAUGCAACUGAGGAAGUCUCUACUGAUGCCAAGAAGCAAGCAAGGUUCUGUAAGGGGCUUAGUCCUGAGCUUCGCCGCGACCUCCGUCUGCAUGAGUGCACAUCCUUUCAGAAACUUGUUAACAAGGCCAUCAGUGCUGAGACUGGUCAGACUGAUUAUGACGCAACACGCAAGCAUGGCCGUGACGCGGGUUCCUCAUCCGGUGCUGGUCCUCGGAAGCGCCGCGUAUGGGUGCCCAACACCGCCCUGCCACCCAGGUUCACACCGAGGCCAUCCUUCCAGGCGCCUCGCCCCGUUCAACAGUUUACACCAGCCAAGCCCUAUGGGGGUCCAACCAACAAUGCUCCUCCACGUACCAGUUCCGUGACUUGUUUCAAGUGUGGGGAAUCUGGUCACUAUAUGCGUGAGUGUCCCCAGACCAACCCCAACCAAUCUGCUAAAGCUGUUGGCCGUGGCAAGCCGACAGGGAAAGUGUUCCACGCCAAGCCGGCCACCGCUGCACGUGGCCAUGUCAACUGUAUCUCUGCCGAGGAAGCUCAAGAGGAUCCCAACGUCGUUCUUGGUACGCUUCUUGUUAAUUGCCACCCGGCAUCUGUUCUUUUCGAUACAGGAGCCUCUCAUUCUUUUAUAUCCGAAAAUUAUGCUCGUUUGCAUAACAUCGCAUUCUGUGACAUGCCAACCUCUAUGGUAAUUCAAACUCCGGGAUCCAAAUGGCAAACUUCUAGAGUAAGCCAUGGAAAUGAAAUCCAAGUCGACAGACUAGUUUUCCUCGCAUCUUUGAUAGCCCUCAAAUCUUCAGAUAUUAAUAUCAUUCUGGGUAUGGACUGGAUGUCAGUUCAUCAUGCCCAAAUUGAUUGCUUCACUAGGACUGUUCAACUUACCCAUCCUUCGGGGAAGAUAGUCAAUGUCUUGACCCGAAUAGCCAAGCGACAGUUAUAUUCUCUUAACGCCAGCCCUUUGCCAGACCUUGAGGACGUCCCGGUAGUCCGUGACUUUCCGGAUGUCUUCCCAGAGGAAUUGCCAGGUGUUCCACCCGACAGGGAUGUGGAGUUCGUAAUAGACGUCAUUCCAGGAACCGUCCCGAUUGCUAGAAGACCUUACAAGAUGGCACCACUAGAACUAGCCGAGCUUAAGAAACAACUCGAUGAGUCCUUGAAAAAGGGUUUCAUCCGACCUAGUUCAUCUCUGUGGGCUUGCCCCGUCCUCUUCGUCAAGAAAAAGGAUGGUACGGACCGGAUGGUUGUAGAUUACCGACCUGUCAAUUUGGUCACAAUCAAGAACAAAUAUCCGCUCCCCAGGAUCAAUGACCUGUAUGAUCAGCUCGCUGGAUCCUCAAUCUUCUCCAAGAUGGAUUUGAGGUUGGGCUACCAUCAAAUCAAAAUCAGAAAUGGGGACAUUCCUAAAACGGCCUUUGUUACUCGAUAUGGCCAAUACGAGUACACCGUCAUGUCCUUCGGCUUAACCAACGCUCCAGCCACCUUUUCUCGGUUAAUGAACUCAAUCUUCAUGGAGUAUUUGGAUAAAUUCGUCGUAGUUUAUCUCGAUGAUAUACUCAUCUACUCCAAGAACGAGGAAGAACAUGCCGAACAUCUAAGGCUAGUGUUGAAGAAACUUCGAGAGCACCGCCUUUAUGCCAAGUUUUCCAAAUGUGAAUUUUGGUUGCCAGAAGUGACCUACCUGGGUCAUGUAAUAUCUGGUAAAGGUAUUGCUAUUAACCCUGAGCGAGUUCAAACCGUCCUUAAUUGGACUCCACCUGAAUCGGUCAAGCAAGUUCGGAGUUUUCUGGGCUUAGCGAGCUAUUGUCGUCGCUUUGUCGAAAACUUCUCCAAAGUUGCUAAACCUCUAACCGAACUCCUCAAGAAAGAUAAGAAAUUCGAAUGGACUCCACAAUGUGAGCACAGCUUUCAGGAACUGAAAAGACGCCUGACUUCUGCUCCCGUACUGGUACCGCCAGACUUCUCCAAGGAUUUUGUUAUCUACUGCGACGCCUCGCGACAAGGACUAGGCUGUAUUCUCAUGCAAGAUCGACAUGUAAUUGCUUACGCCUCCCGGCAAUUGCACCCACAUGAGGAGAAUUAUCCUACUCAUGAUCUAGAGCUUGCAGCUGUAGUCUAUGCACUUAAAACCUGGCGACAUUACCUCCUCGGUAAUCGUUGCGAAAUAUUCACUGAUCACCAAAGUCUGAAGUACAUCUUCACCCAACCGGAUUUGAAUCUCAGGCAAAGACGUUGGGUCGAGUUGAUCACAGAUUUCGACUUAGGAAUAACUUACACCCCAGGGAAAGCCAACGUCAUGGCUGAUGCGCUAAGUCGUAAAUCUUAUUGUAACAACCUAAUGUUACAACAAAGUCAACCGCUUCUCCAUGAGGAAUUUCGAAGGCUUAACCUUCACAUUGUUCCUCAAGGUUUCCUUUCCACCUUGGUGGCGAAACCUACCCUUUCGGACCAGAUCAUCAAGGCACAGAAGGUAGAUCCGGGAAUCUCCCGCAUCAAGAGAAACAUCAAGAAAGGAAUUGCGAAUUGUUUCUCCAUUAAUGAUCAAGGGGUCGUAUACUUCGGGAAUCGACUAGUGGUUCCCAAAGUGCGAAACCUGAGACGAUUGAUCCUUAAGGAGGCUCAUGAAUCUCCUCUCACCAUUCAUCCCGGUAGUACUAAGAUGUAUCAGGACCUACGCCAGAGGUUCUGGUGGACUAGGAUGAAGAGAGAAAUUGCUCAGUAUAUUGCUAAUUGCAACAUCUGUCGUCGUGUAAAAGCAGAGCAUCAACGGCCUGCUAGCACCCUUCAACCCUUAGCUAUUCCUGAAUGGAAAUGGGAUAAAAUUGGUAUGGAUUUCAUUACCGGUUUUCCCAGGACCAAGAGAGGGAAUAAUGCUAUCUUCGUCGUUGUCGAUCGUCUUUCCAAAGUAGCCCUUAAAUAAAGUACUUGUGUCGUAGAGCAUGUUGUGAUGCUUCGUUGUAUUUGCACAUAUCGAGCAUAUUGUGUGUAUGAUUGAAAUGCUUGGUAUGUGUGGGAUCUGACUAUCUAGUUGUUUAUCUUUAGUAGCCUCUCUUACCGGGAAAUGUCUCCUAGUGUUACCGCUGAGCCAUGGUAGCUUGCUACUGCUCUGGAACACUUAGGCUGGCCGGCAUGUGUCCUUCCUCGUUCCGGUGUCUGUCCCUUCGGGGAAAUGUCACGCAUUGAGUACCGGAGUCCUGUUAGCCCGCUACAGCCUGGUUUACCGGAGUCCUGCUAGCCCAGUGCUACAGCCCGGACCCACUUGCUGUUGACCGACACGUUCGAGGCUGGGUCAUGAAUGCCUGUCCCUGUAAGUCUGUGCCACUUUGGGUUUACGACUAGUCAUGUCAGCCCGGGCUCCUUAUCAUAUGGAUGCUAGCGACACUAUCAUAUACGUGAGCCAAAAGGCGCAAACGGUCCCGGGCAAAGGUAAGGCAACACCCGUGGGGAUACCGUGCGUGAGGCCGCAAAGUGAUAUGAGGUGCUACAGGCUAGAUCGAUGUGCCAUCGAGUCGGGGUCCUGACAGUUGUUCCGCCUCACUGUCCUCUGCCGCGUCGUUCUUCCUUGCUCGAGCUUGAUUACUGAGAAGAAACAGACCACAGUGAGGAUUUGUCGAACUUCAUAGGUGCCUCACCCAAACUUGUUGCCAAAUGGAUGAUGCAUCACCACGAUGACCUAUCGAUGCUCAUGGUCGCACCUCAUGGUUGCGUCGGCUGGUGAAGCUGAUCGAUUUUCAAUGAAAAACAAGUUGUCUUCCAUCAGUGCUCUUUGCUUGUUAUGCACAAAGAUGAUAUCCUUCCUCAGUUCACCUUGGUUGCGUUGGAGACGCAGUCGUCUUUCACGUUGGUGCAAUUUUAUCACACAAUUGGCUAUGAACCAAAUGUUUCCUCGAAGAAGGAUCGACGUUGGUACUAAGAGCAGAAGUUUUGUAUUGAUUUCUAAGCCUUCUCACAAAUUUGUCUCCAGCUCCCCUGUAAUUUUAUUUGUCCAGCUAUUAACUUUGAUUUAAAAAAUGGUGUGGACUAAAAACCCGGAUGGACGUAGUAGCCCUCCAUUUUUAUUUACUCCGCAUAUUAGAUUUGACUAAAGUCAAACUUUGUAAUACUCUCAAACCUUUCCGAUAAUUGAAAUUAAAAUUCUUUAUUUGUACACACUCUCACACUUUUCCGAUAAUUUGGCGCAUGUGUGGUUGUUCACUUAAGGGAGGGUAGUGUACCACAUGUGAAGGACAGGAAGUGCGACCAGGACGCGUGGGUGUGGAUCGUUAGUUCAUCGGAAGUAGUACUAGUUUUCUUCACUGUACAUUGAAUAAAGAGUUUCGUUUCGUACUUACACAAUUUAAAGCAAUUGUUAUGUAGAUAAUAAGAAAAGUACUCCACUAUAUAUUAGUCGUGUACACACGAGAGUACUAUAUGGAUGCAGCUUCAUUGACUUAGUGCACCUGCCUUUGGAUUUAUGACAGGUGGGCCCAAAAUGUGGCUGGCUCACUUGUCAUACAGCCAAAAGCAGAUGGAGUGAAGGCACCGGAGCUCAGUCCGUACUACAUUAGUAGAUAUAUAAGCGGGAGCCUCAGCGCUUGUUCGCUAGGGUUUGCACUCUCCACACGCUCGCCGCAAUACAUAUAUGUUACACGAUGGAGGCUCAGCGUUCAUUUGCUAGUGUUUGCUAUAUUCACAGUCUCUCACCCUCUCUUCACCAGAUCUAAACAAGACUGUGUUGGCCUCUUGUCUCUCUUUCUCCCCCCUCACAGCUGGUGAUGGAGGCGUCUGUAUCCCGUCGCACCGGGAAGGGGAGGAGGUGCCGCGUUAACUCUAUCGCCUUUGGGGAGGGAGGCAAUCCACUGCCAACUGCACUGUUCUCUUUCACCCAGCGCCUGUGCGGGAGGGCCACCGACCCCUUCUUCGCUACCGUACGUAGUGUGGGAAGAUCCGGCCUCCCGCCGCAUGCCUUGCCACAUCCCGAUGACCCUAAGGUAUAAGUUUCUUUGAAACCGUCGUUGCUCUAGCUGCAUGUGGAUUUUUUCGAUCUGUAGUCGAAUCUAUGUCUUGGUUCAAAGAGGAAAGAAAGGUGCGGUGGGGUGGAGCAUGAAUCUAGGACGUGGUUCAAUGAGGAAAGGAGGGAGGAAAAGUAGUAUAGACUAGCUAUCCAGCCGCUUUGUUGGUCGAAAAGGGGAAAAGGGGGUAACCCAGUACACAGAUCUGUAAGGAACCGAUCUCUUUGUUGAAAAGGGAAAGAAACUGGGGGGGGGGGUCGGGUCGUUUGUGCAGGACUAGAUUUGCUGCCCUCACAUAGGAAAAAAGUUCAAAGAGAACAAAUAUGGGACUGAGGGAGUCCUGGACUAGGGGGUGUCCGGAUAGAAGAACUAUCAUCAUUGGCCGGACUCCAAGACUAUGAAGAUACAAGAAUGAAGACUUCGUCCUGUGUCCGGAUGGGACUUUCCUUGGCGUGGAAGGCAAGCUUGGCAAUACGGAUGUGUAGAUCUCCUACCAUUGUAACCGACUCUGUGUAACCCUAGCCCUCUCCGGUGUCUAUAUAAACCAGAGGGUUUUAGUCCAUAGGACAGAACAACAAUCAUACCAUAAGCUAGCUUCUAGGGUUUAGCCUCCUUGCUCUCGUGGUAGAUCCACUCUUGUACUACCCAUAUCAUCAAUAUCAAUCAAGCAGGAGUAGGGUUUUACCUCCAUCGAGAGGGCCCGAACCUGGGUAAAAACAUCGUGUCCCUUGUCUCCUGUUACCAUCCGCCUAGACGCACAGUUCGGGACCCCCUACCCGAGAUCCGCCGGUUUUGACACCGACAUUGGUGCUUUCAUUGAGAGUUCCUCUGUGUCGUCGCAUAUAGGCCCGAUGGCUCUGAGGGAGUCCUGGACUAGGGGGUGUCUAGAUAGCUGGACUAUCAUCGUCAGCCGGACUCCAAGACUAUGAAGAUACAAGAUUGAAGACUUCGUCCCGUGUCCGGAUGGGACUUUCCUUGGCGUGGAAGGCAAGCUUGGCGAUACGGAUAUGUAGAUCUCCUACCAUUGUAACCGACUCUGUGUAACCCUAGCCCUCUCCGGUGUCUAUAUAAACCGGAUGGUUUUAGUCCGUAGGACGAACAACCAUUACAACAAUCAUACCAUAGGCUAGCUUCUAGGGUUUAGCCUCCUUGAUCUCGUGGUAGAUCCACUCUUGUACUACCCAUAUCAUCAAUAUCAAUCAAGCAGGAGUAGGGUUUUACCUCCAUCGAGAGGGCCCGAACCUGGGUAAAAACAUCGUGUCCCUUGUCUCCUGUUACCAUCCGCCUAGACGCACAGUUCGGGACCCCCUACCCGAGAUCCGCCGGUUUUGACACCGACAUUGGUGCUUUCAUUGAGAGUUCCUCUGUGUCGUCACCGAUAGGCUUGAUGGCUUCUUCAAUCAACAACGCCGUCCAGGGUGAGACUUUUCUCCCCGGACAGAUCUUCGUCUUCGGCGGCUUUGGACUGCGGGCCAAUUCACUUGGCCAUCUGGAGCAGAUCAAAAGCUAUGCCCCUGGCCAUCAGGUCAGAUUUGGAAGCCUAAACUUCACGGCCGACAUCCGCGGAGACUUGAUCUUCGACGGACUCGAGCCACAGCCGAGCGUGCCGCACUAUCACGAUGGGCAUGAUCUAGCUCUGCCGCCGGACAGUACCUUGGAGGCCGCACACAAAUCCGCUCCGACCCAUAGCUCGGAGCCGACUGCGCAGAUCGAGGACCGGUGGCUGGACACCGCCUCAGGAGCUGCAACUGCUACGGUGAUAGAGCCGAAUACUGACCUUGUCCCUUGUAAAGCUCGUGACUCCGAGGUGCCGGACUCCUUGCCGGACUCCAAACCUCCUGCGCCCCUACCAAUCGAAUCCGAUUGGGCGCCGAUCAUGGAAUUCACCGCUGCGGACAUCUUUCAGCACUCACCCUUUGGUGACAUCCUAAAUUCGCUAAAGCAUCUCUUGUUAUCAGGAGAGCCCUGGCCGGACUGCGGUCAGGAUGGUUGGGAUGCGAACAACGAAGAAAUUCAAAACCCACCCACCACCCACUUUGUAGCCACUAUCGACGAUCUAACCGACAUGCUAGACUACGACUCCGAAGACAUCGAUGGUAUGGACGACGAUGCCGGAGACGAUCAAGAACCAGCGCCUACGGGGCACUGGAAGACCACCUCGUCAUACGACAUAUACAUGGUGGACACCCCAAAGGAUGGUGACGGCAAAGAAGCAGCGGAGGCAGAUUCCUCUAAGAAACAGCCCAAGCACCAACGUCAGCGGCGCCGCUCUAAAUCCCGCCACAGCAAGAAUGGAGAUUCCGGCACCGGAGAUAAUAACACCCCAGAGAGUGCCGAAGACAACCCCCUCCAGCAAGAUUCAACACAGGAGGACGGGGAGGCCAGCCCUCGAGAGAGAGCGGCAGACGAGGAGGAUGAAAAUUACAUGCCUCCCUCCGGAGACGAGGCAAGCCUCAACGACGACAAAUUCGUCGUGCCCGAGGAUCCCGUCGAACAAGAGCGUUUUAAACGCAGGCUUAUCGCCACGGUAAAUAGCCUAAAGAAAAAGCAGCAACAUCUUCAAGCUGAUCAAGACCUACUAGCCGACAGAUGGACCGAGGUCCUCACGGCCGAAGAGUAUGAACUCGAGCGCCCCUCCAAAAGCUACCCAAAACGCAAGUUGCUCCCCCGACUAGAGGAGGAAGCAUACAAACCUUCAUCACCAGCGCACAAUACGGCAGACCGACCACCUCGUGGCCGCGACAGAGAGGCAUCUAGGCCCUCCGGCAGAACCGUACCCCGGCACCGCUCGAACAGCGCACAGCCACGGGGGAAUGCGCAGGACUUGCGGAAUAUAUUGGAGGACAAGGCAAGACAAUCCAGAUCCAUCUACGGAUCGUGGGCGCCCCACGACCCACGACGACUACCGUCGCGCCGGAUACAACAACUCUGGCCGGGCCGAACACAGCAGACAACGCUCUCUUGAGCUACGUCGUGAUAUUGCUCAAUAUAGAGGCGCCACACACCCACUAUGCUUCACAGACGAAGUAAUGGAUCAUCAAAUCCCUGAAGGGUUCAAACCCAUAAACAUUGAAUCCUACGAUGGCACAACAGACCCCGCGGUUUGAAUCGAAGAUUAUCUCCUUCAUAUCCAUAUGGCUCGCAGCGAUGAUCUCCACGCCAUCAAGUAUCUCCCACUCAAGCUUAAAGGACCAGCUCGGCAUUGGCUCAACAGCUUGCCCACAGAGUCAAUUGGGUGUUGGGAGGACCUGGAAGCCGCAUUCCUCGACAACUUCCAGGCACAUAUGUGCGACCACCAGACGCCGAUGACCUAAGCCACAUAAUUCAGCAGCCAGAUGAAUCGGCCAGACAGUUCUGGACACGGUUCUUAACAAAGAAAAAUCAAAUCGUCGACUGUCCGGAUGCAGAGGCCCUCGCAGCCUUCAAACAUAAGAUCCGCGACGAGUGGCUGGCCCGGCACCUAGGACAGGAAAAGCCAAAAUCCAUGGCAGCCCUCACAUCGCUCUUGACCCGCUUUUGUGCGGGAGAGGACAACUGGCUUGCUCGCAGUAACAACCUCAGCAAAAAUUCUGGCAGUCCAGACAACAAGGACCACAAUGGUAGGUCGCCUCGCAACAAAAACAAACGGCUCUUUAACGGCGACAACACUGAAGAUACGGUAGUCAACGCCGGAUUCAGAGGCUCUAAACCCGGUCAGCGGAAAAAGCCAUUCAAAAGAACUACUCCGGGUCCGUCCAAUUUGGACCGAAUACUCGACCGCUCUUGCCAGAUACAUGGCACCCCCGAAAAGCCAGCCAACCAUACCAACAGGGAUUGUUGGGUAUUCAAGCAGGCAGGCAAGUUAAUUGCUGAAAACAAUGACAAGGGGCUGCACAGCGAUGGCGAGGAAGAGACUCGGCCGACAAACAGUAGAGGACAGAAGGGUUUCCCCCUAGAAGUGCGGACAGUAAACAUGAUAUAAGCAACCCACAUACCCAAGAGGGAGCGGAAGCAUGCACUUAGGGACGUAUACGCGAUGGAGCCAGUCGCCCCGAAGUUCAAUCCAUGGUCCUCUUGCCCGAUCACUUUCGAUCGGAGGGACCACCCCACCAGUAUCCGCCAUGGUGGAUUUGCCGCAUUGGUUUAGACCCAAUCGUCGAUGGAUUUCACCUCACUAGAGUCCUGAUGGACGGCGGCAGCAGCCUGAACCUGCUUUAUCAGGAUACAGUGCGCAAGAUGGGCAUAGACCCCUCAAGGAUUAAACCUACAAAGACAACCUUCAAAGGCGUAAUACCAGGUGUUGAGGACAAUUGUACAGGCUCAGUCACACUGGAAGUGGUCUUCGGAUCCCCGAAUAAUUUCCGAAGCGAGGAGUUAAUCUUCGACAUAGUCCCGUUCUGCAGUGGCUAUUACGCUCUGCUCGGACGAACCGCGUUUGCAAAGUUCAACGCGGGCAUUAUGCAUACCUUGUGCUCAAGAUGCUAGGCCCUCGUGGAGUCAUCACGGUCAACGAUCAAGACCACCUGGCAUGUUCCGAGCACGCAUAGCAAUGCGGCCCCAACCCCAGCCCUUGCAUGAUUGCAAGACAAGCUCUUCGUGUACAUCAUUACGCUCUGGAGAUACCAUGGGCAUAGGGGGCGGGGCACGACCACGACAGACCCAGAGUGCGGCUUAACCACACCAGGGGCUCCCAAGUGUGUCACUCUUUUUUCUUCUUUUUUAUUUUUUCCACAGGACCCCGUUCACCAGAGGCCCUGUCCAGCAGUAGAUCUGCCGAACUCACGAUGCAAUAGCCAGGGAGGGACAAUGGCUAUGACGAACACCCAGGUGGUCUCCAUUAUGAGCAUUACAUCUGUUUAAUACACUAUUCCGCAGCCUACCCCUGGAGGGAGACACUUUUAAUAGUCCAACCCUUGCUUACCGCACUAUUUGUAUCGUUCUGCACCCAUGGAAGAAUUCCUCGAAUAAACAAUGCAUCACUUUUAGUUUAUAAUUGCAUUUUUUUACAUAUAUGUUCAUUUAUGACAUCUUGCACCCGUACAUUUUGGUACGGCCGAAUACACCAGGGGCUUAUGUUCCCCGCAUUAUGGUGUGAUAAGUCCGAACACUUUCACAAGUGCGGCACCCCGAACUUAUAGCAUUAUAUGCAUCGGCUCCGAAUCAUGUCUUGGGUCAAUAGUUGGGUUUGCCCGGCUCCCAUGUUUUGGUACCUUAUGUUCCGUUCCAUCGGCUAAGGUAGCAAUGGGAGAACCACUGCGAUUGCGCCUCGGUUGAGCUGGGCAAGCGCCUUAGUGGAGAAAGCUAAAACUGACUGUCAUGAUAAGGCGAGAGCUGGUCGCUGUUCCAGAGGUCUUUUCGAGUCCCUAAAGACUUAUGCCGCUUAGAGCGAGGAACCAGCUGUGUCCGGCCAAGGCGUGGAUAGCGCCCCGAACUCGGUCUUCUGAACACCAGGGGCUUCGCCGAAAUUUAAAAUUAUAGAAUUCUAUGGCUAAGUGAGAGUGUUCAAGCAUUAUAAGUUUGGUUGCCUUGUUCGUUGUGUUGAGCGCCUCCCUAGAUGGACCCAAAAAUGGGAACAAGAGCGUUCAAGUUUAUCCCGACCACGCCAGAACUCAUGGCAUGGGGGCUGAAGCCGACGACUUGCCAUCUCUCAGAUUUAUAAACGGCCGCACAGAAGGUAAUAUUUUAAAUUAAUAAGCGUUGCUUAGCGCAUAUGAACAAAGUUUUCAGCGCACAUGAUAACACAUUGCGAGUCUACUCAAAAAUUACAUCUUUGGGGCACUCAUCCGCAAUAUUGCGGGCACCCUUCAGGACACUCUUAUAGUACAUUUCAGGCGUACGAUACUCCUUGCCCGCCGGCGGCGCAUCCGUGAUAAGCCUCUCAGCAUCCAGCCUGCCCCAGUGCACCUUUGCGCGGGCAAGGGCCCGACGGGCACCUUGAAUGCAGGCAGAGCGCUUGAUGACUUCCACCCAGGGGCACGCAUCCACCAGCCGCCGCACGAGACCGAAGUAGCUCCCAGGCAUGGCCUCUUCAGGCCACAGCCGGACUAUGAGGCCCUUCAUGGCCUGCUCGGCUACCUUGUGGAGCUCAACCAGCUGCUUCAGCUGGUCGCUAAGGGGCACCGGAUGUCCGGCCUCAGCAUACUGAGACCAGAAGACCUUCUCCGUUGAGCUCCCCUCCUCGUCCCGGUAGAAUGCGGUGGCAUCGAACACGCUGCGAGGCAGAUCUGCAAACGCCCCUGGAGAGCUCCGAAUUCGGGUAAGUAACAGGUAAUUUACAUUCACAUGCUUGCUUUGCAUGAAAAAUGCCUUACCCGCCGCUAUCUUCUUCACCGCCUCAAUCUCCUGGAGGGCCUUAUGGGCCUCGCCCUUAGCGGCUUUGGCACUUUCAAGAGCCGAGGCAAGCUCGGACUCUCGAGUCUUCGAGUCGCGCUCCAAACUCUCAUGCUUUUCCAUGAGAGCCUGGAGCUCUUGCCGCACCUCCGCCACCCGCGCCUCCUGCUUCUCUCGCUCCGCGGCCGCAUUGCGUUCGACCGCGUACACGGCCUCCUUCAGGGUGGCCACCUUGUUCGUGGCCCCUGCAGUACCCACGUUAUCCUUGUUAUUUCUAUUGCAACCCAAAUCCUUUUCUGUAAGGUACAAAUUUAAUGCGGUGUUACUCACCUUCUUUGUCCUCGAGCUGCUUCUUGGCAAGGCCAAGCUCGUUCUCGGACCGCUCGAGGUCCUGCUUCAAAGCACCAACCUCCGCAGUCAGUGCGGCAGAGGUCAGUAGCGCAGCCUGCAAACCCAUAUUGACAUAAUUUUUAGCACUCCUGUGUAUAUCUUUUUUAGAUCCUCAGUCUGGUUUUUCUUUCCGAACACCGAACCGAGCAUCAGGGGCUACUGUCUAUGCAGUAUUACAUCACAUAUUUUAAAACUUCUUACCUCAAAGCCUGUUAGAAGGCUACUGCAGGCUUCGGUCAGCCCGCUCUUGGCGAGCUGAACCUUCUGAAUCUCCACACUCAUGAUAGUGCGGUGUUCUUCCUCGAUGGAAGCGCCGUUAAGCGCCUCCAACAAGUUGUCCGGCACCUCCGGUUGGUCAGAGGCUGCCGGCGUCACGGUCUUGCCCUUCUUACGAAGGGGCCGCCUAUCGGACUCCGGAACCACUGCGGGUUCCGGCAUGGAGUCCGGCGCAAAGUCCGGGAGGCUGCCUUGCGGCACCUCCGGAGCCUCCUCCUGAUGGGUCCCCUCCUGGGAUCCCACCUCGGCGUCCUCAGCGUCGCGAGGAGUGGAGGCAGUCGGAAUGGAAUCUACAUCCGACAGAGCCAAUGACCCGCUUGAUGAAGCGGGAAGGUCAUCAUCGGCCGGACUACAGGUAGUGUGCGGCAUUAGAAGGACACUAUGUGACACAAAAGAGAAAUUAUAAAUCAUUCAGGAAUCCGGAUACUUACGAUCUUGCCGGAGGCUUGGCCCUUGAGGACCACUCUUCGUCACCAACGUUGGCGUUGGUGGAGCUGUCCGGGGGAAGGGUCCUUCCCCUCUUGGACCCUUCGGUCUCCCCCGUUGGGGAAGCCUUCCUCUUCCUCUCUCCCCCCUCAUAGGGAGAGUCCUCUUUCUCCUCCUCGUCUUCGGGGGAGGAGUCCGCCUUGGAGCCAUCGGACGAUGAGUCCGAUACCACCUGGCGCCGGGAACUCCUUCGAGUUCCCGUGGCCUUUUUCUUGGCCUUCUUCUCCGGCACCACAUAAAGUGUCGGGACUAGCAGCCCCGUUAAACGGGCGUCCGCUGGGUCUUCGGGAAGGGGAGCCGGACAGUCUACCUGUCCGGACGUCCUCUGCCAGUCUUGUUAAAGGCAUUGGGAGUUUUAAAUCCCACAUAGAGUCAAACUAUGAAAUAAAUAAGUGUCCCAUAAAGGAUAACAAAGCUUACCUCGCCGGCCGGGCGCUUGGUGCUGAAUCCGCGGUCUCCCGUCGCGGACGCGGGGGCUUCUCCGCCCUUGAACAGCACCCUCCAAGCAGCUUCGUACAUCGUGUCGAAGAGCUCGCUCAGGGUCCGGUGCUGUGCCGGAUCAAACUCCCACAAAUUGAAGGCCCGCUGUUGGCAGGGGAGAAUCCGGCGGACGAGCAUGACCUGGAUCACAUUGACAAGCCUAAGCUUCUUGUUCACCAAGGUUUGGAGACAGGACUGGAGUCCUGUCAGCUCCUCCGAACUACCCCAUAGCAAGCCCUUCUCUUUCCAGGAGGUGAGCUGCAUGGGGAUACCAGAUCUGAACUCGGGGGCCGCUGCCCAUUUAGGGUCACGCGGCUCGGUGAUGUAGAACCACCCCGAUUGCCACCCCUUGACGGACUCCACGAAGGCCCCCUCGAGCCAGGUGACGUUGGGCAUUUUGCCCACCAUGGCGCCUCCGCACUCCGCUUGGACGCCCUUCACUACCUUCGGCUUGAAAUUGAAGGUCUUUAGCCACAAGCCGAAGUGGGGCCAGAUGCAGAGGAAGGCCUCGCACACGAUGAUAAACGCCGAGAUGUUGAGGAUGAAGUUUGGCACUAGAUCGUGGAAGUCCAGGCCGUAGUAGUACAUGAGCCCCUGGACGAAGGGAUGAAGUGGGAAGCCCAGUCCGCGGAGGAAGUGGGGAAGGAAUACGACCCUCUCAUGGGGCCUGGGGGUGGGGAUGAGCUGCCCCUCGUCGGGCAGCUGGUGCGCAAUGUCGCUGGAAAGGUAUCCGGCGCCGCGCAGCUUUUCGAUGUGCCCUUCCGUAACGGAGGAGGCCAGCCACUUGCCUCCCGCUCCGGACAUGGCUGGAGAAGGUCGAGACGAGAUGUGCGGACUUGGGUGCUGGAGCUCGAGUGCGCGGAGAUGGAUAAGCAAAGGAGGAAGAAGGCGUAGGUAAAAAGGUGGAUCCUUAUCCCCUUAUAUAUAUGGGCAGACGAAGACUAUGCGUCCCCACCGGUCUGGUAAAACUCGCUUAUCUCCCAAGCGCCACCAUCAAUGGCGCGGUUGGGUUACCCACGUCCGUAUUGAUGGGAAUCCCGGAAUAAGGGGAACACGAUCUCUGCCUCGACAAGACGUGCCAAGGAAACCGCUUCGCUAAAUGCGCUGAGGUGGUAUAAUAAAAAACGUAAAGGCUUGGUGGUGGUAUGACGUCAUGCCACAAAAUACGUCAGCAGAUUGAACUUGUGUACAUAUUAUUCUCUCUACGGUGGAAUGUGGAAUUUAUUUUGCAGAGCCGGACACUAUCCUGGCGUUCACAAUCUUCUAUGAAUUAUUCGGAGGGGGAACCCGCCUUGCAAUGCCGAACAAUAUGCGCGCCGGACUCAUCGUCGUUGAAGCCUGGUUCAGGGGCUACUGAGGGAGUCCUGGACUAGGGGGUGUCCGGAUAGCCGGACUAUCAUCGUCAGCCGGACUCCAAGACUAUGAAGAUACAAGAUUGAAGACAUCGUCCCAUUUCCAGAUGGGACUUUCCUUGGCGUGGAAGGCAAGCUUGGCAAUACGGAUAUGUAGAUCUCCUACCAUUGUAACUGACUCUGUGUAACCCUAGCCCUCUCCGGUGUCUAUAUAAACCAGAGGGUUUUAGUCCGUAGGACGAACAACCAUUACAACAAUCAUACCAUAGGCUAGCUUCUAGGGUUUAGCCUCCUUAAUCUCGUGGUAGAUCCACUCUUGUACUACCCAUAUCAUCAAUAUCAAUCAAGCAGGAGUAGGGUUUUACCUCCAUCGAGAGGGCCCGAACCUGGGUAAAAACAUCGUGUCCCUUGUCUCCUGUUACCAUCCGCCUAGACGCACAAUUCGGGACCCCCUACCCGAGAUCCGCCGGUUUUGACAUCGACAGGCUCCUUCGAUCAUCAACCACGACGCGGUCCAGGAUGAGACUUUUCUCCCCGGACAGAUCUUCGUAUUCGGCGGCUUUGCACUGCGGGCCAAUUCGCUUGGCCAUCUGGAGCAAAUCGAAAGCUAUGCCCCUGGCCGUCAGGUCCGAUUUGGAAGUCUGGACUUCACGGCUGACAUCCGCGGAGACUUGAUCUUCGAUGGAUUCGAGCCACAGCCGAGCGCGCCGCACUGUCGCGAGGGGCAUGAUUUAGCUCUGUUGCCGGACAGUGCCCUGGAGGCCGCACACGAGUCCGCUCCGACCCUUAAUUUGGAGGCGGCUGCGUAGAUCGAGGACGGGUGGCUAGACACCGCCUCGGGGGCUGCUACCUCUACGGCGAUGGAGCCGAAUACUAACCUUGUCCCUUGUGAAGCUCGUGACUCCGAGGUGUCGGACUCCUCGCCGGACUCCGAACCUCCCGCGCCCCCACCAAUCGAAUCCGAUUGGGUGCCGAUCAUGGAGUUCACCGCUGCGGACAUCUUUCAACACUCACCCUUCGGCGACAUCCUGAAUUCGCUAAAAUAUCUCUCGUUAUCAGGAGAGCCCUCGCCGGACUGCGAUCAGGAUGGUUGGGAUGCGGACGACGAAGAAAUUCAAAGCCCACCCACCACCCACUUAGUAGCCACUGUCGACGAUCUAACCGACAUGCUAGACUUCGACUCCGAAGACAUCAACGGUAUGGACGACGAUGCCGGAGACGACCAAGAAUCAGCGCCUACUGGGCACUGGAAAACCACCUCAACUCACGAUGUAUACAUGGUGGAUACACCAAAAGGAAGCGAUAACGAGGAACAACGGGACGCGGCGGACGAUAAUUCCCCUGAAAAACAGCCAAAAUGACGACGCAAGCGCCGCCCGAAGUCCCGCCUCGAUAACAACAGCACCUACACAGACCCAGCCGUAGAGCAGGGCAAACCAGUGGACGACGAACAUGCCAGAAAACAACCGUCCAAACAAGAUGAAUUGGACGAGCAACCCAUCCCCGGCGAAAACAACAGUCCCGACAAUCUCACGCCGGACACAUCAUCGGAGCAUAUGAACCUCCAUAAAAGGCUCGUCGCCACUGCAAGAAGUUUGAAGAAGCAGAAGCGGAAGCUCUAAACAGUGGAAGACGUACUCAGAAUGAUAUGGAGCAAAGUACUCAAGACCGCAGACAAAUACGGCGAUAGUCACCAAGCAAAGAGCUACCCAAAGCGCAGGCUGUUGCCUGAAUUUGACGAAGAGGCCGUAGAGCCCCCAUAGUCAAAGAACAAAGAGACCGCCUGGUCGGAUAGGCGACCAGAUGACAGGCCAAGAGCGGCAAGCGGCACCGCACACAAAACGGCACAUGAUCCACAUAAGGAUCCUCGCAAAAAGGAUAGCCCGGUCAGAUCCAUCUACGAGCCAAGAAAGAAGACUCCAGGGAGCAACACAACACGUCGAGUGUUAGAAAUAACGGUACACCUAAAUACAGGGGCGCCGCACCCCCCCUAUGUUUCACCGAUGAGGUACUGGAUCAUGAAUUUCCAGCGGGAUUCAAACCCGUAAACAUAGAGGCAUAUGACGGAACAACAGACCCCGGAGUCUGGAUUGAGGAUUAUAUCCUACAUAUACAUAUGGCUAGAGGAGAUGAUCUCCAUGCCAUAAAAUACCUACCCCUUAAGCUCAAAGGGCCAGCUUGGCAUUGGCUCAAAAGCCUCCCAAAAAAUACCAUUGGAAGUUGGGAAGAGCUCGAGGAUGCGUUUUGAGCAAAUUUUCAGGGGACUUAUAUCCGCCCUCCGGACGCAGACGACUUAAGUCACAUAACUCAACAACCCGGAGAGUCAGCACGCAAAUUCUGGAACAGGUUCCUUACAAAAAAGAACCAAAUAGUUGACUGUCCGGACGCCGAAGCCUUAGCAGCCUUUAAACAUAACGUCCGAGACGAAUGGCUCGCCAGACACCUCGGCCAGGAAAAACCAAGAACAAUGGCCGCGCUAACAAGCCUCAUGACCCGCUUUUGCGCGGGGGAAGAUAGCUGGCUGGCAAGAUGCAGCACCAGCGACCCGAGUACAUCCGAGGUCAGGGAUGGAAAUGGGAAAUCACGACGCAGAAAAGAUCAGCGCCGGUAUAAGGAAAAUGGCCCAAAGAGCACGGCGGUCAACGCCGGGUUCAAAAGCUCUCGACCGAAUAACAAAACACUGCCUCUUAAGGACAACAGUGAUGAGCUAUCCAAUCUAAACAAAAUCUUGGAUAGGAUAUGCCAAAUUGACAGUACCCCCGGGAAGCCUGCAAACCAUACCCACAGAGAUUGUUGGGUCUUCAAGCAGUCCAGCCGACUGAACACCGAACACAAGGGGCUCGACACACCAAGCGAAGACGAUGACGAACCCCACAAGCAAAGCACCGGAAAACAGAAGACUUUCCCACAAGAAGUCAAAACAGUGAACUCACUUCAUGUGAUAACAAGGAAAAAUAGUGCGGCACCUACUAAAACACGCGCCGCAUGGUCCACCCCAGCGGAGUCCCGAAAUUGGAUGUCAAACCCAAUUACUUUCGAUCAUCAGGAUUACUCCAGAAGUAUUAGAAACGUAGGAGGGACUGCUUUGAUAUUGGAUCCCAUAAUCGACGGACUACAAUUCACACAAGUGCUAAUGGAUGGCGGCAGUGAUAUAAACCUGCUAUACCAGGACACGAUCCGCAGAAUGGGGAUAGACCCUACCAAAAUUCGCAAUAGCAGCACUUCCUUUAAAGGAGUGGCGCCAGGCCCUUAUGCCAAUUGUACAGGCUCUUUACUACUAGAAGUUGUGUUCGGAUCAUCCGACAACUUCCGUCGCGAAAAGCUAAUCUUCCAUAUCGCCCCAUUUAAAAGUAGCCAUCAAGCACUAUUGGGACACGAAGCUUUCACCCGCUUUAACGCAAUACCGCAUUACGCGUCUCUUACACUUAAAAUGCCCGGUCCACGAGGCAUCAUCUCAUUAAAAGGUAACUUCGAGUGUUCCUCGACCAUGGGAGAAUGUGAGACUGCCUUGACAGCCACACACUAAUCCGGCCUUGCUGAUCAAAGCCCGUAAAAACAGGUCAUUCAAGACCCCGGACACGGUUAGGCGAGUCCGACAUAAAUAAACAAGGGGCUUCCUAGCCGCAUACCUCUUUACAAGGGGCUGCACGCAUGAACAAUGAGAGCCAAUAAAGCUCAACUUUAUUCAUCUUUCAAAUCAUACUCUGUUUUAAAUACAUUUUUUGCACGAUAUUUUUCCAAACUAAGUUCUUCUGUUUUACAGAUGAACCACGUGUUACACCCGUCCGGGAUACAGCACAACGGAGAGACAGGCACAGACAUGCAGCAGGGACCCGUUGUAAGGAUUCUUUUCAGAUUAAGACCCUGCGUAAACCUCUUUUACUGUCUCUUGUUGAUACACAUCCCCCGGUUUCCUGCUAUAACCGAGGAGGAGGCUGGCAUUUUGGCAUCGGCCGCGUCAGAAGUUUUCGCCCAUACCUGGACACUAGGGGCUUAGGGCAUUGUUCUGCCCGUUAUCAUAAAGACCGAAUACCUCAGGGAGUGUUCGACGUCUCGAGUUAGGCCUUAUAUGCAUCAGCUCCGAAUCAUGUCUUUGGUCAAAUGUUGGGUUUGCCCGGCUCCUGUGUUUUGCUGCCUUACGUUCCGCUCUAUCGGCUAACGCGGCAUCAGGAGAACUACUGCGAUUGUGCCCCGGUUCGGCUGGGCGAGCACCUGAAGGAAAUAUGCCCUAGAGGCAAUAAUAAAGUUAUCAUUUAUUUCCUUAUAUCAUGAUGAAUGUUUAUUAUUCAUGCUAGAAUUGUAUUAACCGGAAACAUAAUACAUGUGUGAAUACAUAGACAAACAUAGUGUCAGUAGUAUGCCUCUACUUGACUAGCUCGUUUAUCAAAGAUGGUUAUGUUUCCUAGCCAUGGACAAAAGAGUUGUCAUUUGAUUAACGGGAUCACAUCAUUAGGAGAAUGAUGUGAUUGACAUGACCCAUUCCGUUAGCCUAGCACUUGAUCGUUUAGUAUGUUGCUAUUGCUUUCUUCAUGACUUAUACAUGUUCCUGUAACUAUGAGAUUAUGCAACUCCCGUUUACCGGAGGAACACUUUGGGUGCUACCAAACGUCACAACGUAACUGGGUGAUUAUAAAGGAGUACUACAGGUGUCUCCAAAGGUACAUGUUGGGUUGGCGUAUUUCGAGAUUGGGUUUUGUCACUCCGAUUGUCGAAGAGGUAUCUCUGGGCCCUCUCGGUAAUGCACAUCACUAUAAGCCUUGCAAGCAAUGUGACUAAUAAGUUAGUUGCGGGAUGAUGCAUUACGUAAUGAGUAAAGAGACUUGCCGGUAACGAGAUUGAACUAGGUAUUGGAUACCGACGAUCGAAUCUCGGGCAAGUAACAUACCGAUGACAAAGGGAACAACGUAUGUUGUUAUGCGGUUUGACCGAUAAAGAUCUUCGUAGAAUAUGUAGGAGCCAAUAUGAGCAUCCAGGUUCCGCUAUUGGUUAUUGACUGAGAAUAGUUCUAGGUCAUGUCUACAUAGUUCUCGAACCCGUAGGGUCCGCACACUUAAGGUUUCGAUGACAGUUUUAUUAUGAGUUUAUGAGUUUUGAUGUGCCGAAGGGGUUCGGAGUCCCGGAUAAGAUCGGGGACAUGACGGGGAGUCUCGAAAUGGUCGAGACGUAAAGAUCGAUAUAUUGGACGACUAUAUUCGGAGUUCGGAAAGGUUCCGAGUGAUUCGGGUAUUUUUCGGAGUACCGGGGAGUUACGGGAAUACGAGGAAGAGUAUUGGGCCUUAAUGGGCCUUAGUGGGAAGGAGCCAGGAGGUGGCGCGCGCCCCUCCCAAGCCCAGUCCGAAUUGGACAAAGGGUUUGGGGCGCGGCCCCCCUCUCCCUUCCUUCUCCACUUCCCUUCUUUCCCUCCUUCUCCUAGUUGGACUAGGAAAGAAGGAAUCCUACUCCCGGUGGGAGUAGGACUCCCCUUGGCGUGUCCUCCUCCUAGGGCCGGCCUCCUACUCCCUUGCUCCUUUAUAUACGGGGGCAGGGGGCACCCCAUGACACACAAGUUGAUCUACGGGUCGUUCCUUAGCCGUGUGCGGUGCCCCCCUCCACCAUAUUCCACCUCGGUCAUAUCGUCGCGGAGUUUAGGCGAAGCCCUGCGCCGGUAGAACAUCAUCAUCGUCACCACGCCGUUGUGCUGACGGAACUCAUCCCCGAAGCUUUGCUGGAUCAGAGCCCGGGGAUUGUCAUCGAGCUGAACGUGUGCUGAACUCGGAGGUGCCGUACGUUUGGUGCUUGGAUCGGUCGGAUCGUGAAGACGUACGACUACAUCAACCGCGUUGUGCUAACGCUUCCGCUUACGGUCUACGAGGGUACGUGGACAACACUCUCCCCUCUUGUUGCUAUGUCAUCACCAUGAUCUUGCGUGUGCGUAGGAAAUUUUUUGAAAUUACUACGUUCCCCAACAGUGGCAUCCGAGCCUAGGUUUUAUGCGUUGAUGUUAUAUGCACGAGUAGAACACAAGUGAGUUGUGGGCGAUACAAGUCAUACUGCUUACUAGCAUGUCAUACUUUGGUUCGGCGGUAUUGUGAGAUGAAGCGGCCCGGACCGACAUUACGCGUACGCUUACACGAGACUGGUUUCACCGUUAUGAGCACUCGUGCUUAAAGGUGGCUGGAGGGUGUCUGUCUCUCUCACUUUAGCUGAAUCGAGUGUGGCUACGCACGGUCCUUGCGAAGGUUAAAACAGCACUAACUUGACGAACUAUCGUUGUGGUUUUGAUGCGUAGGUAAGAACGGUUCUUGCUAAGCCCGUAGCAGCCAUGUAAAACUUGCAACAACAAAGUAGAGGACGUCUAACUUGUUUUUUAGGGCAUGUUGUGAUGUGAUAUGGUCAAGACGUGAUGCUAUAUUUUAUUGUAUGAGAUGAUCAUGUUUUGUAACCGAAGUUAUUGGCAACUGGCAGGAGCCAUAUGGUUGUCGCUUUAUUGUAUGACAUGCAAACGCCCUGUAAUUGCUUUACUUUAUCACUAAGCGGUAGCGAUAGUCGUAGAAGCAAUAGAUGGUGUAAACGACAACGAUGCUACGAUGGAGAUUAAGGUGUCGCGCCGGUGACGAUGGUGAUCACGACGGUGCUUCGGAGAUGGAGAUCACAAGCACAAGAUGAUGAUGGCCAUAUCAUAUCACUUAUAUUGAUUGCAUGUGAUGUUUAUCCUUUAUGCAUCUUAUCUUGCUUUGAUUGACGGUAGCAUUUUAAGAUGAUCUCUCCCUAAAAAUUAUCAAGAAGUGUUUUCCCUGAGUAUGCACCGUUGCCAAAGUUCGUCGUGCCCAGACACCACGUGAUGAUCGGGUGUGAUAAGCUCUACGUCCAUCUACAACGGGUGCAAGCCAGUUUUGCACACGCAGAAUACUCAGGUUAAACUUGACGAGCCUAGCAUAUGCAGAUAUGGCCUCGGAACACGGAGACCGAAAGGUCGAGCGUGAAUCAUACAGUAGAUAUGAUCAACAUAGUGAUGUUCACCAUUGAAAACUAGUCCAUCUCAUGUGAUGAUCGGUUAUGGUUUAGUUGAUUUGGAUCACGUGAUCACUUAGAUGACUAGAGAGAUGUCUGUCUAAGUGGGAGUUCUUAAGUAAUAUGAUUAAUUGAACUUAAAUUUAUCAUGAACUUAGUCCUGGUAGUAUUUUGCAAAUUAUGUUGUAGAUCAAUAGCUUGCGUUGUUGCUUUCAUAUGUUUAUUUUGAUAUGUUCCUAGAGAAAAUUGUGUUGAAAAAUGUUAGUAGCAAUGAUGCGGAUUCGAUCCGUGAUCUGAGGUUUAUCCUCAUUGCUGCACAGAGGAAUUAUGUCCUUAAUGCACCGCUAGGUGACAGACCUAUUGGAGGAGCAGAUGCAGAAGUUAUGAACGUCUGGCUAGCUCAAAAUGAUGACUACUUGAUAGUUUAGUGCACCAUGCUUAACGGCUUAGAAUUGGGACUUCAAAGACAUUUUGAACGUCAUGGACCAUAUGAGAUGUUCCAGGAGUUGAAGUUAAUAUUUCCAGCAAAUACCCGAGUUGAGAGAUAUGAAGUCUCCAACAAGUUCUAUAGCUAAAAGAUGGAGGAGAAUCGCUCAACUAGUGAGCAUGUGCUCAUACUGUCUGGGUACUUCAAUCGCUUGAAUCAAGUGGGAGUUAAUCUUCCAGAUAAGAUAGUGAUUGACAGAAUUCUCUAGUCACCAUCACUAAGUUACUAGAACUUCGUGAUGAACUAUAGUAUGCAAGGGAUGACGAAAACGAUUCCCGAGCUCUUCGUGAUGUUGAAAUCGAGGAAGGUAGAAAUCAAGAAAGAGCAUCAAGUGUUGAUGAUUGACAAGACCACUAGUUUCAAGAGAAGGGCAAAGGGAAAGAAAGGGCACUUCAAGUGGAAAGACAAGCAAGUUGUCACUCCUACGAAGAAGCCCAAAGCUGGACCAUAGCCUGAAACUGAGUGUUUACACUGCAAAGGAAAUGGUCACUCGAAGCGGAAAUGCCCUGAAUAUUUGGUGGAUAAGAAGGAUGGCAAAGUGAACAAGGUAUAUUUGAUAUACAGAUUAUUGAUGUGUGCCUUACUAGUGUUUAUAGUAGCCCCUGAGUAUUUGAUACUUGUUCGGUUGCUGAGAUUAGUAACUCGAAACAGGAGUUACAGAAUAAACAGAGACUAGUUGAAGGCAAAGUGACGAUGAGUGUUGGAAGUAGUUCCAAGAUUGAUAUGAUCAUCAUCGCACACUCACUAUACUUUCGGGAUUAGUGUUAAACCUAAAUAAAUGUUAUUUGGCAUUUGCGUUGAGCAUGAAUAUGAUUUGAUCGUGUUUAUUGCAAUACGGUUAUUCAUUUAAAAUCAAAGAAUAAUUGUUGUUCUGUUUACAUGAAUAAAACCUUCAAUGGUCAUACACCCAAUGAAAAUAGUUUGUUGGAUCUCGAUCGUAGUGAUACACAUAUUCAUAAUAUUGAGGCCAAAAGAUGCAAAGUUAAUAAUGAUAGUGCAACUUAUUUGUGGCACUCCCGUUUGGGUCAUAUCGGUGUAAAUCGCAUGAAGAAACUCCAUAAAGAUGGAUUUUCGGAAUCACUUGGUUAUGAAUCAUUUGAUGCUUGUGAACCGUGCCUUUUGGGCAAGAUGACUAAAACUCCGUUCUUCGGAACAAUGGAACGAGCUACUGACUUAUUGGAAAUAAUACAUACUAAUGUAUGCAGACCAAUGAGUAUGAAGGCUCGUGGCAAGUAUCGUUAUUUUCUGACCUUCACAAGAUGAUUUGAGCAGAUAUGGGUAUAUCUAAUUGAUGAAACAUAAGUCUGAAAUAGUUGAAAGGUUCAAAUAAUUUCAGAGUGAAGCGGAAAAAUCAUCGUAACAAGAAAAUAAAGUUUCUGCGAUCUGAUCGCGGAGACAAAUAUUUGAGUUACGAGUUUGGUCUUCAAUUAAAACAAUGUGGAAUAGUUUCACAGCUCACGCCACCUGGAACACCACAACGUUAUGGUGUGUCCGAACGUUGUAACCGCACUUUAUUGGAUAUGGUGCGAUCUAUGAUGUCUCUUACUGAUUUACCAAUAUUAUUUUGGGGUUAUGCAUUAGAGACAGCUGCAUUCACAUUAAAAGGGCACCAUCUAAAUCCGUUGAGACGACAACAUAUGAACCGUGGUUUAGCAAGAAACCCAAGUUGUCGUUUCUUAAAGUUUGGGGUUGCGAUGCUUAUGUGAAAAAGUUUCAUCCUGAUAAGCUCGAACCCAAAUCGGAGAAGUGCGUCUUCAUAGAAUACCCAAAGGAAAUUGUUGGGUACACCUUCUAUCACAGAUCCGAAGGCAAGAUAUUCGUUGCUAAAAAUGGAUCCUUUCUAGAGAAGGAGUUUCUCUCGAAAGAAGUGAGUGGGAGGAAAGUAGAGCUUGAUAAGGUAAUUUGUACCUUCUCCCGAAUUGGAAAGUAGUUCAUCACGGAAAUCAGUUCGAGUGAUUCGUACACCAAUUAGUGAGGAAGCUAAUGGUGAUGAUCAUGAAACUUCAGAUCAAGUUACUACAAAACCUCGUGGAUCUUCCAAAGUACAGUCCGCACCAAAGUAGUACGGUAAUACUGUUCUGGAAGUCAUGUUACUAGACCAUGAUGAACCUACAAACUAUGAGGAAGCGAUCAUGAGCCCAGAUUCCGCGAAGCCAUAAAAUCUGAGAUAUGAUCCAUGUAUGAGAACAAAGUAUGGACUUUGAUUGACUUGCUCGAUGAUCAGCAAGCCAUGUUAAAUAAAUGGAUCUUCAAGAGGAAGACGGACACUGAUAGUAGUGUUACUAUCCACUAAGCUCGACUUGUUGCAAAAGGUUUUCAACAAGUUCAAGGGGUUGAAUACGAUGAGAUUUUCUCACUCAUAUCGAUGCUUAAGUCUGUCCGAAUCAUGUUAGCAAUUGCCACAUUUUAUGAAAUCUGGCAAAUGGAUGUUAAAACUGCAUUCCUUAAUGGAUUUAUUAAAGAAGAGUUGUAUAUGAUGCAAUCAGAAGGUUUUGUCAAUCCUAAAGGUGCUAACAAAGUGUGCAAGCUCCAGCAAUCCAUCAAUGGACUGGUGCAAGCAUCUCGGAGUUGGAAUAUACACUUUGAUGAGUGGAUCAAAGCAUAUGGUUUUAUACAGACUUUUGGAAAGGCCUGUAUUUACAAGAAAGUGAGUGGGAGCACUACAUCCUUUCUGAUAAGUAUAUGUGAAUGACAUAUUGUUGAUCGGAAAUAAUGUAGAAUUAUUCUGCAAAGCAUAAAGGAGUGUUUGAAAGAAGUUCUUUAAAAGAAAGACUUCAGUAAAGCUACUUACAUAUUGAGCAUCAAGAUCUAUUGAGAUAGAUCAAGACGCUUGACAAGAUUUUCAAUGAGUACAUACCUUGACAGGAUUUUGAAGUAGUUCAAAAUGGAACAGUCAAAGAAAGAGUUGUUGCCUGUGUUGCAAAGGUAUGAAAUUGAGUAAGACUCAAAUCCCGACCACAGCAGAAAAUAGAAAGAGAAUGAGAAGUCAUUCCCUAUGCCUCAGUCAUAAGUUCUAUAAAGUAUGCUAUGCUAUGUACCAGAACUAUUGUAUACCUUGCUCUGUAUUUGGCAAGGGAGUACAAUAGUGAUCUAGGAGUAGAUCACUGGACAUUGGUUAAAGGAUCGAUAUGGUUGACUAGAGGGGGGGUGAAUAGGCAACUAACAAUUUUUAAGCUUUUCUUUACCAAAUUAAACUUUGCAACAAAAUAGGUUGUCUAUAUGUGCAACUAAGUGAGCAACCUAUAUGAUGCAAUAACAACUAGCACACAAGCAUGCAAAGGAUGUAAAGCAAGUAGGCUUGCAAAAGUAAAGGCACGAAAUAACCAAGAGUGGAGCCGGUGGAGACGAGGAUGUGUUACCGGAGUUCCUUCCUUUUAAGGGGAAGUACGUCUCCGUUAGAGCGGUGUGGAGGCACAAUGCUCCCCAAGAAGCCACUAGGGCCACUGUAUUCUCCUCACGCCCUCACACAAUGCGAGAUGCCGUGAUUCCACAAUUGGUGCCCUUGAAGGUGGUGACCGAACCUUUACAAACAAGGUUGGGGAAAUCUCCACAACAAUCGGAGGCUCCCAACAACAACGCCACGAAGCUUCACCACAAUGGAGUAUGGCUUCGAGGUGACCUCAACCGUCUAGGGUGCUCAACACCCAAGAGUAACAAGAUCCGCAAGGGAUAAGUGGGGGGAAUCAAAUUUCUCUUGGUGGAAGUGUAGAUCUGGGCCUUCUCAACCAAUCCCGAGCAAAUCAACAAGUUUGAUUGGCUAGGGAGAGAGAUCGGGCGAAAAUGGAGCUUAGAGCAACAAUGGAGCUUUGGGGGAAAGAGGUAGGUCAACUUGGAGGAAGAAGACACCUUUAUAUAGUGGGGGAACAAAUCCAACCGUUACCCCACUGAGCAUCCCCGCACAGAGCGGUACAACCGCUAGGGCAGGGCGGUACUACCGCUGAGAGCGGUACUACCGCUCCCUGCCCAACGGUACUACCGCGCUGGAGAGGAAGAUAGGCCACUGGCCCUAGAGCGGUACUACCGCAGGAGUAGGAGCGGUACUACCACUUAAAGAUGAGCGGUACUACCGCUUCUACUACCGCAACUAGUGCCGCAAAACUCGACACGAGAAAAAACCAGUCUCGAAUCGAGGCGGUAGUAGCGCGGAACAGCUGCGGUACUACGGCCGAAGCCUGCGAGCGGUACUACCGCCCUGCAGAGCGGUACUACCGCCCUGCGGAGUGGUACUACCGCCCUGCGGAGUGGUACUACCGCCCUGCGGAGCGGUACUACCGCUGGAAGGCUUUGGCGGUACUACCGCUGUGGACCGCGGUACUACCGCUGGCACAGGAUGAAGCAGGUAUGGAAGAGAAGUGGCAGCUCCAAAGAUGUGAAAGGAAGACAAUGGGUGUGAUUGGGAUGUGUACGUGUUGAUUCCACCCUAGUCUUACCAAAGCGGAUCCUCUUAAUAGUACGGUGACUCCUAAGAAACUAGUCCAGCAACAACGAAACGAAGGAGCUACACCGUCUUGAAUAAAACACCGAGGGGAGGAAAUCGUCUCGUGCCAAUGGAUGAAUCUCUGAAAGAACUUAACGCACACGAUUAGUCCACAAAAGCAUUGUCAUCAAUCGCCAAAACCACUUGGGGAUAAAUAUGCCCUUACAAUCUCCCCCUUUUUGGUGGAUUGAUGACAAUACGGGAUUUGCACAAGCAUGAUAUAAAGUAAGCGUACAAACCCCACCGUCCCAAAAUGUAGAUGGGCUCCCCCUAGAUGUGUGCUAUCUAGAUAAGUGCUUUGGACUGCACAGCACACAUACUAGGAUCAACGCUCCCCCUAAAUUUUAGAGACCAACAAUCUAAGCAAGGUAUAUGAGAGCAGCAUAGAUGAUAUAACAAGAAAAGCAAGCAACUCAUAAGCUAGAUAGUGACAUAGAUAAUGAUACUGGAAAGAUAAGGUAGCAUAUGUCUCACACCAUAUGACUCGAACUUAGGUCUCACUCAAACUUAGGUCUCACAGACAAACCAACCAAAGCAAAUGCGAGGAAAACACGAACAAGAGAUGAAAGACACGAACUCGCAAAUCCCUAAACUCUCUCCCCCUUUGGCAUCGAGACACCAAAAAGGAGAGGGAGUGUUGCUACGGCUCCAGGUGAGAGCAAACGAGGGACACACGCAUCAGAGCCCAGCAGGAUCAUCGGCACCACCGUCGUCAGUCUGGAAGUGCUCGGCAUCAGAAUCGGUCCACGGGCAGUGCUGCUGAAUCCACUCCUCCUCCUUAGUAAGCUGGUCCUCAGAUUCACUGUUGACUGUAGCACCCAACUGAUGCAUGAGCUCCUUGUGGUGACCGCGAGCCUUCUUCUCAGCCACAUGAGUCAUGUACUGACUGUGAGCCUCCAUGCAGAAUAACUUCUUCAUCUUAGACUUGAGCUUCUUUGCCCAAGAGGGCUCUGCCUCAGAAGGCAAGUAGUCAUCAUCCUCAUCAUCAUCAGCUCCAAGCUCCUCCUCGGUCUCCAUGGCAGCAACAGAUGAAGGAACUCCAAUCCUAGGGGCAUGAGUGCCCCAAUUAUCCUUCUUCCUCAGACGCUUGACAUCGUGAGAGAUCAACUCUCCAGUCUCCUGAGGCACCUUGGGAUAGACAUGAUCCCAGGCCUUCUCAAUGAGCAGCAUGAUGAACGGACCAUAAAUAGGGCACUUGCGCUCGGAGAUAGCAGACAGCAGCUCAGACCACAUAACAUGUGAGAUAUCCAAGGACUCGCCGGUAGGGUGUCCCUUCUCACGCUGGCAGAAAAGAAGCAUAUCCACGAGAUAUGAGUGAACCUGGUCCAGAUUCCCCAUGCGAGGGAAAAGAGUCUCUCUGAAGAUGCGGUGAAGGAUAUCCAGAUAGGCAGGCAGUUCAUAGGUUUCCUUCUUUGUCUCAUGGUUGAUCCCCAGAGUGCAGUAGGGCCAGAGAGCUUGCUUGUGAGUGGCAUUGGGGCGGCCGUGAGGGCGAAAGCCGAUAGGAGACUCAAGGCCUAGAUCUUGUACCCCAAACAGUUGCAUGAACGCUUUCCACUUGACUGAAAGCAACUUGCCAUUGGUCAUCCAGGUCAGAGUCCUAUCCUCAUCAGUCCCAAGGUGAACCGUGGCAUAGAAUUGGGCCACCAUAUCAGCAUCAAAGUCCUUGCUGAAUUUCAUGAUCCCAAGAAUGUUCAGUUGAGUGCACAUCUGAAGAGCUUCACCAAAGUAGUCAGGGUCUUGCUCCAUAUGGUCGGUGUCGAUGUAGUGCAUGUUGACAUAGAGAUUCUUCUUGGCUUUGAGAACAUCGAAGAAGAUGGCAAACUGGAAUCUGUUCUAGAACGGACGGUUGACCAAAGUGGGAUCUUGGUCAGCCUCAUACGGGUUGCGGCGGCGCCUUGCCCAGAACUCCUUUGGCUGCAUUUCUGGCACGGUUUUGCCGGGCUUUGGCUUGAGCCCAGACUUCUUCUGGGGUUGAGGUGGAGGUGGAGGUGGAGCACCUGAAGAACCUCCGGCAGGCUCGGUGGUGCGGUAGCGCUUGGACGUGGCACGUCUGGGGUUGACACUACGAGCCUGAUGCUCAGGGACCUCAUCACCUGGAACCACACACAAGAACACGCAAACAACCAGAAAGAACGAGCAUAAGCCACAAAACACGAGCAAAAAGAUCACUGAAAGUUAGAAGCAUAAUGGAAGUUGGUAGGGAGCGGUAGUACCGCUCCACAGGGAGCGGUAGUACCGCUCCAAGCGGUAGUACCGCCCUGGAGAGAGCGGUAGUACCGCUCGAGACGGGGAAACAGCAGUUUCCUACUACCUUGGUCAGAUCCGGCACUACCGUCCUACCAAAUUCAAAAAUACUCCAACCAAACAUCAAUCCAAACUGCCUAGAAGCAUUCUCCAUCCCACUCAAGCCUAGAUUUAGCCAAAAAUCUAGAGAUGCAACUUCUACUGCCCCUAAGAUGCUAGAUUGGAAAUCUAGACAAGAAGAACGAGAGAACGGGGGCAAUACCGGCAUCCAUGGCAAGAGGACAAGGUGGGGAUCGUCUCCACCGAAGGAAAUGGAGAGGGACGUCCCGGAGAGUGAGAUCCGCCGGAGCCCUCCCGCGGCGCCGGUUGAUGGAGAGAGAGGAACAGACGAGGGGGCAUGCGAAUGGGUAUGGGGGAUAAGAAACUCCCCCUGCCGCCGAUAUAACCCCUGCCCGCGCCUCACACCGGUAGUACCACGCUGGAGGGCGGUAGUACCGCUUGGAGCGGUAGUACCGCUCGCCAGCAGCGGUAGUACCGCCAGCAACCAAAAAAUUGCUUCUAGACUAAAACUCAAACACACCGAGAAGAACGGGAAGGCAAAGACAAGAAAAACACCAACAAGACAACACACACACGAACAAAGAACCGGAACCCACUCCUUCAAAGCAACCAAACGAAAGAAGAGCGAGCUCUGGCCUCUCUCAAGGGAGGGCGGUGGCCGGAGCCACCUAUGUUUGAGUCAAUUGGUAUGGCACCGCGAAGAAUUAUCCUUGGGCCCAUGACCAAAACUCGUCUUUGAAGCACAAGUACCAUCAAAAUGGCUAAUGUGAAAGAGUUGAUCGUUUUAUGCAUAAUGGGGGGAGGGAGAGUUCAUUGAGAGAACAACACUCCCCCUAUGUCCAUGCCUACACCUAACCUAGACAACAAGUUGAGUGUGGUGGGGGGUGCACGGGUUCAAGUCACAUUGCUCAAAUCAAUGAUAUUUAGCUCAUGCCUUAACUCGCAAAAUCUUGCUUCAUCCAAGGGCUUCGUGAAAAUAUCUACAAGGUUAUCAUGAGUGUUGACAUACUUGAGCUCGAUCUCCCCUCACCUAAUGUGAUCCCGGAUGAAGUGAUACCGAAUCUCAAUGUGCUUCGUCUUAAAGUGUUGCACCGGGUUGAGAGAAAUCUUGAUGGCACUUUCAUUAUCACACCAAAGAGGCACUUUGUCACAAAUGACACCGUACUCCUUUAAAGUUUGCCUCAUCCAUAGGAGUUGAGCACAACAACUACCGGCCGCCACAUACUCCGCUUCGGUGGACGAGAGAGAGACACAACUUUGCUUCUUGGAAUACCAACUUACCAAAGAGCAACCAAGAAAUUGGCACCCUCCAGAAGUGGACUUCCUAUCCACUUUGUCUCCCGCCCAAUCGGAAUCCGUUAAACCUUCAAGCUUGAAGUUUGCUCCACUUGGGUACCAUAAGCCAAAGUUUGGGGUAUGAGCCAAAUAUUGAAAGAUUCGCUUGACCGCCACAAAGUGAAUUUCCUUUGGUGCGGCUUGAAAACGUGCACACAUCCCCAAACUCAACAUGAUAUCCGGUCUAGAUGCACAAAGGUAAAGCAAGGAGCUAAUCAUGGAGCGAUAUACCUUUUGAUCCACCGCUUUACCAUUGGGAUCGAUGUCAAGUUGGCACUUGGUAGGCAUUGCAGUAGUAGCCGGCUUGACAUCACUUAGCUUGAAUCUUUUAAGCAUGUCUUGAGUGUAUUUGGCUUGGUUGAUGAAGGUUCCUUCUCUUCUUUGUUUGAUGUCAAAACCAAGGAAGAACUUCAACUCUCCCAUCAAAGACAUCUUAAACUUGGAGGUCAUGAGAGCGGCAAAUUCCACAUUGAAAUCUUUGUUAGGAGAACCAAAGAUAAUAUCAUCAACAUAUAGUUGGCAUACAAACAACUCCCCUUUGACCUUCGUAGUAAAAAUAGUGGGGUCGAUUUGUCCUACUUCAAAUCCACGAUCUUGUAGCAACUCGGUAAGGUGGUCAUACCACACACGUGGGGCUUGUUUAAGGCCAUAGAGUGCCUUAUCAAGUUGAUACACAUGAUCCAGGAAGUAGGGGUCCUCGAACCCGGGGGGUUGCUUGACAUAGACCAACUCAUUAAUAGGACCAUUAAGAAAAGCACUUUUCACAUCCAUUUGUUGCAACUUAAAGUUGUGAUGGGAAACAUAGGCAAUCAACAAACGCAUGGAUUCAAGACGAGCAACGAGAGCAAAGGUUUCACCGUAGUCGAUACCCUCGACUUGGGAGUAGCCUUGUGCUACCAAUCUUGCCUUGUUGCGAACGAUGUUCCCAUGAGCAUCUUGCUUGUUCUUGAAGAUCCACUAGGUUCCAAUGACAUUGUGGUUCCUCGAUGGCCUUGGCACCAAUCUCCAUACUUUGUUGUACUCAAAGUUGUUGAUUUCUUCAUGCAUGGCAUUGAGCCAAUCCGAGUGUUUGAGCGCCUCAUAGACCUUUUGGGGUUCAACACAAGAGACAAACGCAUGAUGUUCACAAUAGUUUUCUAAUUGUCUACGAGUGCUUACCCCCUUUCUUAGGCUUCCAACCACAUUUUCCAUGAGAUGGCCUUGGGUGGUGAGCUUGGAAGCAAUCUUUGCGGCACGACACUCUAAUUCCUCCUCGGAUGAGUAAGGAGGAGGGUUGACUUGAUCAUCUUGAGCGUCGUCUUGAGCUUGUUCUUGAUCUUGAGCUUGCUCUUGAUCUUGAACUUGCUCGAGGGGGAGAACUUGACCUUGGGCAUCAUUUAGAGGGUCACCACCAUAUUGAGGUUGAUCUUGCCCUUGGUCUUGUUCAGGAGGUUGAGGGCCUUCACUUUGUUCUUCGGAAGCGUGUGGGUCUUGAUGAGGUGAUGGCUCUACUUGAGUAGAGCAUUGUCCUUCUCCUUCGGCCACAAGGGGUUCCUCAAUGGGUAGAAUUUGACCAAUACCCAUUCUUCUUAUGGCUUGGGGAGGAAUUUCAUCACCUACAUCACGAGUACCACUUUGCUCCACUUGGGAGCCGUUAUUUUCAUCAAACUCCACGUUACAUGUUUCCUCAAUGAGUCCGGUGGACUUGUUGAGGACACGGUAAGCACGGGAGUUUGUAGCAUAACCAACAAAUAUGCCCUCAUGAGCUCUAGCCUCAAAUUUAGACAAACGAACACCUUUCUUGAGAAUGAAACACUUACAACCGAACACCCGGAAGUACUUGAGGUUGGGCUUGUUGCCGGUGAGUAUCUCAUAAGGAGUCUUGUUCAAGCCUUUGCGAAGAUAGAGCCGAUUGGAUGCAUGACAUGCGGUGUUGAUGGCUUCGGCCCAAAAGUUGUAUGGAGACUUGAACUCCGCCAUCAUGGUCCUAGCCGCAUCCAUCAACGUCUGGUUCUUCCUCUCCGCCACACCAUUUUGUUGAGGGGUGUAUGGAGCAGAAUAUUGGUGCUUGAUCCCCUCAUCACUAAGAAACUCAUCCAAGGUAUAGUUCUUGAACUCGGUGCCGUUGUCACUUCUUAUUGUCAAGAUCUUUGCAUUGUGUUGACCUUGAGCUUCAUUUGCAAAGUCGAUGACGGUUUGUUGAGUCUCACUCUUCCUCUUGAGGAAGUAUACCCAAGUGUAUCUUGAAUAGUCAUCCACAAUCACCAAGCAAUACUUUCUUCCUCGUAGACUAUCAAAAGAUGGAGGCCCAAAGAGAUCCAUGUGAAGGAGCUCCAAGGGUCUCUUCGAGUAGAUGAUGGUUGAAGGAGGGUGAGCCUUUUCAUGAAGCUUUCCUUCGAUACAAGCACUGCAUGCACGAUCUUUGGCAAAACUAACAUUUGUUAGUCCACGCACAUGGUCCCCCUUGAGAAGACUUUGCAAAGAUCUCAUAUUGACGUGGGCUAAACGGCGAUGCCAAAGCCAUCCCACGUCAACUUUAGCCAUUAGGCAUGUCGGGGUCUUAGUGGGUCGCUCUGAAAAGUUAAUCACAUAGAGACCGUUCUCGACAUGCCCAACAAAGGCUACUUUAAGAGUCUUGCUCCACAAGAGGGCCACGGUAUCAAUGUCAAAGAAUGUAGCAAAACCCAUGAGUGCAAGUUGACAAACGGAAAGCAAAUUGUAUGCAAGGGACUCAACAAGCAUGACUUUCUCGAUCGUUAGAUCAUGAGAAAUGACAACCUUGCCGAGACCCAAUACCUUAGAAUGUGAUGCAUCACCCCACUCGACAUUGGUGGCAUAGAUGGAAUCUCUUGCACGUCCACCACCAAGUCCUUGCUCCUGGUCAUAUGAUUUGUUGCUCCACUAUCGAGCAACCAUGAUCCCCCACCGGAAGCAAACACCUACAAGAUAUCAAUGCUUGGUUUUAGGUACCCAUUUAGUAAUGGGUCCUUUGAUGUUAGUAACAAGGGUCUUGGGAACCCAAAUGGACCAUUCAAUGUACUCAUAAGAAGAACCAACAAAUUUAGCAAAGACAUGUCCAUCACUAGCACGGCACAACACAUAUGACGGGUUAAAGUCGCCGGAUUUGUUUGAGGGAAUGCUUUUUCCCUUUUGGACAUCAACUCCCUUCACUUUCUCCUUCUUCUCCUUAGGAGCACCCUCUCCCUCUUUCACAAACGUUUGUUUGAGAGGGGGAGGACGUUUGGUCUUGUUGUUCUUCUUCUUGUUCUUGGUCUUGGGUGCAAACCCAAUUCCUUCUUUGGCCACAACUUCCUUUUGAUUGCUCAAAAGGUCGUUGAGGUUCUUCUCACCUUGAAUGCAAGUCACAAGGCCUUUCUCAAGUUGAUCCUUCAACUUGGCAUUCUCCUCCACAAAAUGCACAUGAUCACAACACGGGUUAGUAGCACAUGCAUUGUCAAUUAAUACCAUAUGAGGAAAGGUGGCCUUUUCCUUGAUUAGCUUGACUUGGAGUUGAGCAUGAGACUCUUUGAGGUUAGCAUGAUUUCCCUUCAAGACUUUGUGGGCCUUGUCAAGUAUCUCAAACUCCUCUUUGAGUCUAGCAUCAUCAACCCCAAGUUUAGCCUUCUCGGAGGUUAGCACACGAGACACGACAAGAGCAUGAUCAAGAUAUUUCUUUAACUUAGCAUGGUCAUCAUUGUAUGACUCCUCAAGAGUCAAAUGAUGCACACGCUCUUACUCAAGAGCAUUAGAGAGAUCCGAUAUCUCAUCGGCAUAGUCACGACUAUGACCUUCCAUCUUGGAGAUGGUUUCUUCGUGAGCCUCGAUCAUGUCAUUGGCCUCACCAAGUUGUUCCAAGAGAGCAACAAAGUGCUUCUUGGACUUACCCUUGAGCUUGUUCAUAAAAGACUCAAAUUCAUUCACUUCCUCAUUAGACUCAACAUGUUCAUCAAUGCAAUCCUCCAAGGAGGGAUUAGUAAUGAUGGUGGUUGUGAUGUUGGGGGUUACCUUGUUUGAAGCUUUAGCCAUGAGGCAUUUGGCGGUGAUGUUUUCGUUGGGUGAAUCAAAGAGAGACACCCGGGAAGGAGUAGCAAUGGCAAUGGAUGCCAUGGCCAUAGCUUCUUCAUUUUCAUCAUCAUCGUCAUCCUCUUGGUAUUCUUCUUGAACCACCAACCCACGAGUGGGAGUCUUAUUCGCGAAGUUGUUCUUGUUUGGGAAGGACUUGGCUUUGUCUUUUCUGAUGAACUUGCCACCAUUGUCUUCCCUCUUCUCGUAAGGACAAUCCGCAACGAAAUGGCUCACAUUUCCAUAGUUGAAGCAACUUCUAACUCGUUGCUUGCCCUUGACGCCACUUGAGUUGUUCUUGUUGAAGUUGGGUCUUGAACUCUUCUUGCUCCAAAAUUGUCUUGAAGCAAGGGCCAUGUGCUCAUGGUAAUCAAAUUUUGUGUCCUUGGGGUUGCUUUCCUCAUCUUCCACUUCUUCCUCUUCUUCCAUAAUUACCUUGGCCUUCAAAGCAAGGUUGGGCUUCUUUGCCCUUUGAGAACGGAGCACCGCGUUGUCGGCGGUCUUGUCCAAGAUGCUCAUUGCAACGAACUCAACCAACACUUCACUUGAGGUCAUGGAGUGGAAGCCCGGUCGGUGACGAAUGACGGAAGACAUGGCCUUGUUGUAAGGCAUCAUGGCCUUGAGGAACUUUCGCUUGAUCCAAUUGUCAUCCGUGUCCUUGCUUCAAUUAUCUCGGAGUGCGACCGCGAGUUUGGUCACUCUUCGAAAGAGCUCAUGAGGUUCUUCAUCUUCUUUCAUUGCAAACUCAUCGGCUUCAUCUUGCACCACUUCAUAGUUGGAGCGUUGAAUGCUAGCACUUCCACGAUAGAGUCCCUCGACACAUUUCCAUGCUUCCUUAGCCAUGACAUGCGGUCGAAGGUGAUUAAGAUCUUCGGGAAGGAUAGCAUCUUGGAUGAUGAAGAGAGCACUCUCAUUGAAUUGAUUGUCCACGGCUUCUCGAGGGGUGAAGUUGCUUGGGUCAUGAGGAUAAAAACCUUCUUCAAUGAUUCUCCAAAGGUUAGUGUUCACAUGUUUUAAAUGACGCUUAAAGCGAUAGACCCAAGAAUCAAAAUCUUCAUGUUUCUCAUAUUUAGGAGGAGGACCGGCAUGAUUCAAAUGAGUGGAUGGGAUUGGUCCUCCAUAAAUUGGAGGUUCCACAUGGGCAAAGAUGCCGGUACCAUUUCUACCACUAAUAGAAGGACUCUUAUCAAUGUUAGCUUCUCCCUUGUCGGAGGGAGCAUCCGUCACCUUGUUGGUGGGAUCACCCACUUUCAUCGGCGAGGUAGAUUGUUUAAGUCCUUCUAGGAAUUCCUUAAACAUGUCCUUGACCUCGGUCGUCAUGGAGGUUUUCAAUGUUUCCAAAGCCACAUUGAAUUCCUCACGUGAGAUUGAGUUACCCCCAUCUCCCGUAGAUGAGAUCGGAUUCGCACCAAAGUGCUCUCCCACCUCAUCUACGACAUCAACCAUACUCUUUGGAUGGUAAAGUCCUUAAAAAGAGAUGUGGCUCUGAUACCAAUUGAAAGGAUCAAUAUGGUUGACUAGAGGGGGGGGGGGGUGAAUAGGCAACUAACAAUUUUUAAGCUUUUCUUUACCAAAUUAAACUUUGCAACAAAAUAGGUUGUCUAGAUGUGCAACUAAGUGAGCAACCUAUAUGAUGCAAUAACAACUAGCACACAAGCAAGCAAAGGAUGUAAAGCAAGUAGUCUUGCAAAAGUAAAGGCACGAAAUAACCAAGAGUGGAGCCGGUGGAGACGAGGAUGUGUUACCGGAGUUCCUUCCUUUUAAGGGGAAGUACGUCUCCGUUAGAGCGGUGUGGAGGCACAAUGCUCCCCAAGAAGCCACUAGGGCCACCGUAUUCUCCUCACGCCCUCACACAAUGCGAGAUGCCGUGAUUCCACUAUUGGUGCCCUUGAAUGUGGCGACCGAACCUUUACAAACAAGGUUGGGGCAAUCUCCACAACAAUCGGAGGCUCCCAACAACAACGCCACGAAGCUUCACCACAAUGGAGUAUGGCUUUGAGGUGACCUCAACCGUCUAGGGUGCUCAACACCCAAGAGUAACAAGAUCCGCAAGGGAUAAGUGGGGGGAAUCAAAUUUCUCUUGGUGGAAGUGUAGAUCUGGGCCUUCUCAACCAAUCCCGAGCAAAUCAACAAGUUUGAUUGGCUAGGGAGAGAGAUCGGGUGAAAAUGGAGCUUAGAGCAAAAAUGGAGCUUUGGGGGAAAGAGGUAGGUCAACUUGGAGGAAGAAGACACCUUUAUAUAGUGGGGGAACAAAUCCAACCGUUACCCCACUGAGCAUCCCCGCACAGAGCAGUACUACCACUAGGGCAGGGCGGUACUACCGCUGAGAGUGGUACUACCGCUCCCUGCCCAGCGGUACUACCGCGCUGGCGAGGAAGACGUGCCACUGGCCCUAGAGCGGUACUACCGUGGGAGUAGGAGCGGUACUACCGCUUCUACUACCGCAAACUCGACACGAGAAAACACCAAUCUCGAAUCGAGGCGGUAGUAGCGCGGAAUAGCUGCGGUACUACGACCGAAGCCUGCGAGCGGUACUACCACCCUGCAGAGCGUUACUACCGCUGAGAGCGGUACUACCGCUUCGUGGAGCGGUACUACCGCUAGAAGGCUUCGGCGGUACUGCCGCUGUGGACCGCGGUACUACCGCUGGCACAGGACAAAGCAGGUACGGAAGAGAAGUGGCAGCUCCAAAGAUGCGAAAGCAAAACGGGUGUGAUUGGGAUGUGUACGUGUUGAUUCCACCCUAGUCUUACCAAAGCGGAUCCCCUCUUAAUAGUAUGGUGACUCCUACGAAACUAGUCCACCAACAACGAAACGAAGGAGCUACACCGUCUUGAAUAAAACACCGAGGGGAGGAAAUCGUCUCGUGCCAAUGGAUGAAUCUCUGAAAGAACUUAACGCACACGAUUAGUCCGCAAAAGUAUUGUCAUCAAUCACCAAAACCACUUGGGGAUAAAUAUGCCCUUACAAUUGGUCAAGAAUAUCCUUAGUGAGGACUAAGGAAAUAUUUCUCGAUUAUGGAGGUGAUAAAAGAGCCCGUCGUAAAAAGUUACCUCGGUGCAAGUUUUCACACCGAUCCAGAUGACUCUAAGUCUCAAUCUGGAUACAUAUUGAAAGUGGGAGCAAUUAGCUAGAGUAGCUCCGUGCAGAGCAUUGUAGACAUAGAAUAUUUGCAAAAUACAUACAGCUCUGAAUGUGACAGACCCAUUGACUAAGCUUCUCUCAAAAGCAAAACAUGAUCACACCUUAGUACUCUUUGGGUAUUAAUCACAUAGCGAUCUGAACUAGAUUAUUUACUCUAGUAAACUCUUUGGGUGUUGGUCACAUGAUGAUGUGAACUAUGGGUGUUAAUCAUAUACAGAUAUGAAUAUUGGUGUUAAAUCACAUGGCGAUGUGAACUAGAUUAUUGACUCUAGUGCAAGUGGGAGACUGAAGGAAAUAUGCCCUAGAGGCAAUAAUAAAGUUAUUAUUUAUUUCCUUAUAUCAUGAUGAAUGUUUAUUAUUCAUGCUAGAAUUGUAUUAACCGGAAACAUAAUACAUGUGUGAAUACAUAGACAAACAUAGUGUCACUAGUAUGCCUGUACUUGACUAGCUCGUUUAUCAAAGAUGGUUAUGUUUCCUAGCCAUGGACAAAAGAGUUGUCAUUUGAUUAACGGGAUCACAUCAUUAGGAGAAUAAUGUGAUUGACAUGACCCAUUCCGUUAGCCUAGCACUUGAUCGUUUGGUAUGUUGCUAUUGCUUUCUUCAUGACUUAUACAUGUUCCUGUAACUAUGAGAUUAUGCAACUCCCGUUUACCAGAGGAACACUUUGCGUGCUACCAAACGUCACAAUGUAACUGGGUGAUUAUAAAGGAGUACUACAGGUGUCUCCAAAGGUACAUGUUGGGUUGGCGUAUUUCGAGAUUAGGUUUUGUCACUCCGAUUGUCGAAGAGGUAUCUCUGGGCCCUCUCGGUAAUGCACAUCACUAUAAGCCUUGCAAGCAAUGUGACUAAUAAGUUAGUUGCGGGAUGAUGCAUUACAUAACGAGUAAAGAGACUUGCCGGUAAUGAGAUUGAACUAGGUAUUGGAUACCGAUGAUCGAAUCUCGGGCAAGUAACAUACCGAUGACAAAGGGAACAACGUAUGUUGUUAUGCGGUUUGACCGAUAAAGAUCUUCAUAGAAUAUGUAGGAGCCAAUAUGAGCAUCCAGGUUCCGCUAUUGGUUAUUGACCGAGAAUAGUUCUAGGUCAUGUCUACAUAGUUCUCGAACCCAUAGGGUCCGCACGCUUAAGGUUUCGAUGACAGUUUUAUUAUGAGUUUAUGAGUUUUGAUGUAUUGAAGGAGUUCGGAGUCCCGGAUGAGAUCGGGGACAAUGCGAGGAGUCUCGAAAUGGUCGAGACGUAAAGAUCGAUAUAUUGGACGACUAUAUACGGAGUUCGGAAAGGUUCCGAGUGAUUCGGGUAUUUUUCGGAGUACCAGGGGGUUACGGGAAUACGGGGAAGAGUAUUGGGCCUUAAUGGGCCUUAGUGGGAAGGAGCCAGGAGGUGGCGCGCGCCCCUCCCAAGCCCAGUCCGAAUUGGACAAAGGUUUUGGGGCGCGGCCCCCCUCUCCCUUCCUUCUCCACUUCCCUUCUUUCCCCCCUUCUCCUAGUUGGACUAGGAAAGAAGGAAUCCUACUCCCGGUGGGAGUAGGACUCCCCUUGGUGCGCCCUCCUCCUAGGGCCGGCCUCCUCCUCCCUUGCUCCUUUAUAUACGGGGGCAGGGGGCACCCCAUGACACACAAGUUGAUCUACGGAUCGUUCCUUAGCCGUGUGCGGUGCCCCCCUCCACCAUAUUCCACCUCGGUCAUAUCGUCACGGAGUUUAGGCGAAGCCCUGCUCCGGUAGAACAUCAUCAUCGUCACCAUGCCGUCGUGCUGACGGAACUCAUCCACGAAGCUUUGCUGGAUCGGAGCCCGGGGAUCGUCAUCGAGCUGAAGGUGUGCUGAACUCGGAGGUGCCGUACGUUCGGUGCUUGGAUCGAUCGGAUCGUGAAGACGUACGACUACAUCAACCGCGUUGUGCUAAUGCUUCCGCUUACGGUCUACGAGGGUACGUGGACAACACUCUCCCCUCUCGUUGCUAUGUCAUCACCAUGAUCUUGCGUGUGCGUAGGAAAGUUUUUGAAAUUACUACGUUCCCCAACAGCACCUCAGUAGAGAAAGCCGAAAACUGAUUGUCAUGAUAUAGUGAGAGACUGGUCAACCACUCGAUCGACUACUGGUAUGUUUAGAAUUCCUCCGCUUUGACGAAGAACCGCUUCCCGGUCAGGCACACACGCACCCCGAAUUCGGAGAGUGUGGUGCCCCUAGGGGCUAUAUAGUAGCCCCACCAUCGAGCUCCUAUGGCUAAGUGAAAGUGAUAAAGCAUUAUAGUCCGGUUGCCUAGUUUGCUAUGCUAUCACCUCCUUCAAAGGACCAAGACGUUGGAUUAAGUGUGAAAAUGCGCUUUUUUGCAAACACCCCCGCACCAUGUGCGUGGGGGCUGAAGCCAAAGACUGCCAUCUUUCAGGUUAUAUAUACAUAUACAUUAACGGCCGCACAGGAGAUAUUUCAAUACUUGAACGCACAAGUAUAAAAAGCCGUUACAUUAUAAAUAUGGUUUCACAAAUCAUACAUGUCAUUUGAACAUAACAUUUUUCGAGCACUGCGACUCUAUUAAACGAGCGCCCUGCAGGACUUCCUCAAAAUAGUGCUCGGCGGGUAAUCGGCUUCUGUUCGAACCCUGGGAUGCAACAUCGGUGGCAUCCAUCUCCGCCCAGUAUGUUUUGACACGGGCGAGAGCCAUCCGUGCACCCUCUAUGCAUGCCGACCGCUUCAUCGCCUUGAUAUGCGGCACCGCCCCAAGGAAUUGCUGCAAUAAGCCAAAAUAACUCUUCGGCUUGGGCCUUUCCGGCCACAGAUGAGCCACCACAUCCGUCAUGGCAAAUCCGGACAAUCUAUUCAGCUCAGCCCACUCAGCCAAACAAUCGGUUAACGGAAGUGGACGCUCCGGACUACGGAAUUGAGACCAAAAAAGCUCUUCCAUUUCGUGAUCCUUCUGGCUUCGGAAGUGCACGACUGCGUCCGCCGCACUCGCCGCCAAAUCCAGAUAAGGAUCCUCCGCACCCCACAACUGGCCCAACUGAGCAUACUUCGGAUCCGUGAACUUCCUACACAGCAGAAAGGGCUUUCCAGCCGUAAUGUCUCCGGCCUGACGCAGUUCCUCCUUUAUAGCCCGCAUUGCAGAACGGGCAUCCUUGGCUUCGGUGGUGGCCUUCUUCAGGUCCUCUUGCUCCGCUUGGCGUUCUCUUUCAAGAACCUCAUAGCGGUCGUUAGCAUCUUUCAGUUUCAUGGCCAUUCCGGCCAUCUCCUCCCUGCUUCGGAAGUGAGCAGCCUUUUCGGCUUUUAGCUCCUCAGCUGCCUUCAAGGCAGCUGCAUCACUUUUUCUGGCUUGCUCCUUGGCUCGAGCAAGAUCUGCCCGAAGGUCCUCCAUAGCAGCGGCGCCAUCUGCAUCAAGCAUACAUGUUGUAAGGUGUGGGCAUCAGCUCCCUUACCAGGUGACCGCGGAGAAACCACCUACCUUGUGACUCGUUAAGUCGUUUGUUGACCAGCGCGAUGUCUGCAUCCGCAACGUCGAGUUGCCGCUUCAGUUCGGCAACUCUAUCAGUCCGGCUGGCCACCGAACGUUCCGCCACCUGCAUAGGAAAGGCGACAUUUUAUAACUGAGAUUAUGAUCCUCGGCACACUGUCGUUUUCGACAACAUACUGAGUCUCAGGGGCUACUAUCUAUACAGGGCACACUCUAUGUGCAAAACUUUCAAAAGGUAUGUCAUUUUUUGCGUACCUCAAACCUCGUCAGUAAACUUCUGACGGCCUCAUGCAACCCACUCUCAGUGGAUGAGAUCCUUUCAAUCACCGUACUCAUUAAUGUACGGUGAUCUUCUGAGAUAGACGCCCUCUCGAGCAGAUCCUGCAGCUCCACCGGCCGUACUCCAGUUGGUGCCAAACUCCCCGGCCCCGCCGGACUCGGGGAGACCCUCCAUGACGACACCUCAGUGUCGUACACCCCACCUGACGGUGCGGCAGAUGGAGGCGUUUCGCUCUCCAUCAUCUCCGGACGAAGGUCCCCCGAAGAUGAGCUCUGUUGAGAAGGGUUGAGAUCCAAACUACAAGGUAAAAACUUCGGUUAUCCUCAGAAAUAAAAUAGGGAUGUCCCUUAUUACAAAACUCCACUUUUUCUACUUACGGCUCGCUGGAGGGCUGAUUCCUUUGGGGAGACUGUGCGGUCGGGACUCCUCCCGGCACAGGACCUUCCGGUGCAGAUUUCUUUCCCCGCUUUGAGGCCUUGGCCUCCGGGUCUUCAGAAGCGGUCCUCUUCUCCCCCUGGAGGGAGGGAUUCUUGAUUCCCCCCUUACUGCGAGCCUCCUUAGAAGAGGCGGUAGUUUCCCUGUUCCCCCCUUCGCCCUCCUCUGAAGGUGCAACCUCCAACAUUUUGAUUAACACGGGAUCCGGCGUGGUCUCAGGGAUUGGGGCCGGAUACCGUAUCAUUUUUGCUUGCGCUAUCCACUCCUGUCCAAAGGAUAGCUGGUUAAAAGGCAAAUCCAUGAUAAAUAAAUGGACGGUAUGUCCAGACACAGGGCUACUUACUUGAGUAUCCGGGCGAUUCCAGCUUAGGCCGGCGUCCUCGGUCAAGUCCGGACACAUCUCUUGUGAUCCGAAGAACAGUUUAUACAUCUCCACGGGUGUCGUACCCAUGAAGUGUUGGAGAGCUCGUGGUCCCUCCGGAUUGAAUUCUCACAGGCGGAGGGGGCGACGUCUGCAGGGCAGAAGACGUCGAAUCAGCAUAACCUGCGUCACUACGACCAGAUUGAUCUCCCUCUCUUGGAGGUCUCGAAUCCGGCCCUGCAAUAUGGGUACGUCCUUGGACGGCCCCCAGUCAAGCCCUUUGUUGACCCAUGACGUCAGCCGUUGUGGAGGACCCGAGCGAAAGGCGGGCGGCGGCCUCUGCCUGCUGCCCCUGGGAGCGGUGAUAUAGAACCACUCAUGUUGCCACAAGCCGAGCUCCUCCUAAAAAGAGACCUCGGGCCAUGGAGCAUUGGCCCUCUUGCUUAUAACCGCCCCUCCGCACUCUGCCUGAUGCCCCUCAAUCAUCUUCGGCUCCACAUUGAAGGUUUUGAGCCACAAAACGAAGUGAGGGGUAGUGCGGAGGAAGGCUUCGCAGACAACAAUAAACGAUGAGAUGUGGAGGAUGGACUCCGGAGCCAAGUCAUGAAAUCCCAGCCCAUAGUAAAACAUGAGCCCUCUCACGAAGGGAUCCAUCAGGAAGCCUAAACCCCGACGAAGGUGAGACAUGAACACGACACUCUCCCCAGGCUCGGGAGUAGGAAUGACUUGCCCUUGGGCAGGCAACCUAUGCGAAAUCUCUUAGGUCAAGUACUUGGCGUCUCUCAGCUUUAGCACGUCCUCUUCCGUGACGGAGGAGGGCAUCCACCGGCCCUGUAGGUCAGAGCCGGACAUUGUCGAAGGUCCGAAGUGCCCAAAUCUGGAGCCUUGGGUGUUGUAACUAGGGGCGAGGGGCGGAUUCGAUUAAGGAUAGACGAAAAGGGACGGGCCUUGGUCUCAUUAUAAAGAGGGAGAAUAUCAAGAGCCAUCCCCGUGACCGUUUGGAACUCGCCUUCGAUGGAGGAGGCGUGGCGACGGGCACGGUUGGGUUGCCACGUCCGUAUUGAUGGGAAUCCCAGAAUAAGGGGAACACGAUCUCUGCUUCGACAAGACGUGCCAAGGAAUCCGCUUCGCUAAACGCACUGAGGUGGUAUAAUAAAAAUGAUUCGAGUAAAAGCUUGGUUGUGGUGUGACGUCACGCCACAAAAUACGUCAGCAGAUUGAACUUGUGUAAAUGUUAUUCUCUCUACGGUGGUAUGUGGAAUUUAUUUUGCAGAGCCAGACACUAUCCUGUUGUUCAUGAUCUUCUAUGGAUUAUUCGGAGGAGGAACCCGCCUUGCAAUGCCGAAGACAAUAUGCGCGCCGGACUCGUCGUCAUUGAAGCCUGGUUCAGGGGCUACUGAGGGAGUCCUGGACUAGGGGGUCUCCGGAUAGCCGAACUAUCAUCAUUGGCCGGACUCGAAGACUAUGAAGAUACAAGAUUGAAGACUUCAUCCCGUGUCCGGAUGGGACUUUCCUUGGCGUGGAAGGCAAGCUUGGCAAUACGGAUAUGUAGAUCUCCUACCAUUCUAACUAACUCUAUGUAACCCUAGCCCUCUCCGGUGUCUAUAUAAACCGGAGGGUUUUAGUCCAUAGGACAGAACAACAAUCAUACCAUAGGCUAGCUUCUCGGGUUUAGCCUCCUUGAUCUCGUGGUAGAUCUACUCUUGUACUACCCAUAUCAUCAAUAUCAAUCAAGCAGGAGUAGGGUUUUACCUCCAUCGAGAGGGCCCGAACCUGGGUAAAAACAUCGUGUCCCUUGUCUCCUGUUACCAUCCGCCUAGACGCACAGUUCGGGACCCCCUACCCGAGAUCCGCCGGUUUUGACACCGACAGGGACCAACACAGAUAUGCUGCUUGGCUACAUACUCUGCAUCACCCAUUUAUACGUGUGGACGCACAUGGUGCUAGCAUGUCCCAUACAGCUAUUUUGCUGUUGUUAAUCUAAGAAUGCCGCCGGAAAAUUGAAGCAAUGCCACUGUUAAAAGUAAAUUACAUUUUUUAACGAAUGUUGUUUCAAGAGAGUGUCUCUGUUAAUAUGAAUCAAUGCAAUCGUUUUAGAAAUGCUACUAUCCUACUUUGUUUUCCAUCCAAGAUAAGUUAGAUGCUUCUUUUUGUCACCGUUUGUUUCAUCCUCCUUUAUCGGCAAGUAAUUGUUUCCUUUUUUGCCUCUGUUAAAACAGGGGUAUCGAUUCAACUUGUUGCUAUUGCGACAUUUUGCUUCGCUACUCGAAACACUUAUGUUUUAAGAGUGUUUUGUGCAGUUCAACUUGAAUGUCACACCGGUGACUUUGCUUAAUUUUGGUGGAACCGCACAAAAGGAGAUCAAGAUUUGUUUCCAGUGUUCCUGUCGAGUUAUUUCAAAUCUUGGUCUCAACCACAUGAUAUCUAUUCAACUUGUUGCUAUUGAAACAUUUUGCUUCGCUACACGAAACACUUUGCUUGAUUUCAGUGCAACUGCACAAAAGGAGAUUGGAUUUCCUAUUCGUGUUAGCAGAUUCGUAUUUUAUGCUGGUGUUCUCAUAAAAGGUCAGUACAGGCCUUCAUCCACAUGAUUGUGCAGUGUGCUUUGAGAUGUUGUGCUACUUGUAUUGGUACUGUUUUAAAUAAAUGUUGAAUUGAAGCUAUUGUAUUGCUAUCUUUUCCCAUUAAGUAGUGAACAAAAAUGGGACCAACCCAGACAUGAUGCUUGUUGCUUUGUUACAACAAACUCUGCAUCACCCCCUUUAUAAGUAGAUGGAAGCACAUAUUGUUGUUGCGCCCACUCUCCCCUGGAACUGUUUAUGCUUUUCGUUAAUCUAAUGCCGCUGGUAAAAUUAAGCAAUGCCACUCUCAGAAUUAAUUAACUACUGAAUCUUAGUUCAAAACUGCAACACUUGUUAGGAAUGGUACUAUCCUGCUUUGUAGUUCUUUCUACAUGUUUAACCAAGGUAUUGUUAAGAUAAUGUCUCUUUAAAAAUGAAUUAGUUGCAUUGUUUUAGGAAUUGUACUUUUCUGCUUUGUCGUUCUUUAUACAUGUUGAACCAAGGCAUUGUUAAGAUAAUGUCUCAGUCAAUAUGAAUGAAUCACACUGAUAGAGAAUUGCUACUCUCCUGCUUUGUUUCCUGAGGAGUCCUGGACUAGGGGGUGUCCGGACAGCCGGACUAUCAUCAUCCGCCGGACUCCAAGACUACGAAGAUACAAGAUUGAAGACUCCGUCCCGUGUCCGGAUGGGACUUUCCUUGGCGUGGAAGGAAGCUUGGCGAUACGGAUAUGUAGAUCUCCUACCAUUGUAACCGACUCUGUGUAACCCUAGCCCUCUCCGGUGUCUAUAUAAACCGGAGGGUUUUAGUCCGUAGGACACAACAACCAUUACAACAAUCAUACCAUAGGCUAGCUUCUAGGGUUUAGCCUCCUUGAUCUCAUGGUAGAUCUACUCUUGUACUACCCAUAUCAUCAAUAUCAAUCAAGCAGGAGUAGGGUUUUACCUCCAUCGAGAGGGCCCGGACCUGGGUAAAAACAUUGUGUCCCUUGUCUCCUGUUACCAUCCGCCUAGACGCAUAGUUCGGGACCCCCUACCCGAGAUCCGCCGGUUUUGACACCGACAUUGGUGCUUUCAUUGAGAGUUCCUCUGUGUCGUCACCGAUAGGCUUGAUGGCUUCUUCAAUCAACAACAAUGCCGUCUAGGGUGAGACUCUUCUCCCCGGACAGAUCUUUGUUUUCGGCGGCUUCGCACUGCGGGCUAAUUCACUUGGCCAUCUGGAGCAGAUCGAAAGCUACGCCCCUGGCCGUCAGGUCAGAUUUGGAAGCCUUAACUUCACGGCGGACAUCCGCGGAGACUUGAUCUUCGAUGGAUCCAAUCUGUAGCCGAGCGUGCCGCACUGUCGCGAUGGGCACGAUCUACCUCUGCCACCGGACAGUGCCUUGGAGGCCGCACAUGAAUCCGCUCCGACCUAUAGUUCGGAGCCGAUCGCGCAGAUCGAGGACAAGUGGCUGGACACCGCCUCGGGAGCUGCAACAUCCGCGGUGAUGGAGCCGAACACUGACCUUGUCCCCUAUAAAACUCGUGACUCCGAGGUGCUGGACUCCCUGCCGGACCCCGAACCUCCUGCGCCCCUGCCAAUCGAAUCCGAUUGGGCGCCGAUCAUGGAGUUCACCGCUGCGGACAUCUUUCAGCACUCACCCUUUGGCGACAUCCUAAAUUCGCUAAAGCAUCUCUCGCUAUCCGGAGAGCCCUGGACGGAUUAUGGCCAGGAUGGUUGGGAUGCGGACGACAAAGAAAUUCAAAGCCCACCCACCACCCACUUUGUAGCCACUGUCGACGAUCUAACCGACAUGCUAGACUACGACUCCGAAGACAUCGACGAUAUGGACGACGAUGCCGGAGACGAUCAACAACCAGCGCUCAUAGAGCACUGGAAGGCCACCCCAACCCAUGAUGUAUAUAUGGUGGAUACCCCAAAAGGAAGCGAUAACGAGGACCAACGGGGCGCGACAAAAGAUAAUCCCGCCGAUAAACAACCAAAACAGCGACGCAGACGCCGCCCUAAGUCCCGCCUCGACAACAACAGCGCUCCUAAUGACCCAGCAAUAGAGAAGGGCAAACCGGUGGACGACGAACAUGCAGCCAAGCAACCGUCCGAACAGGACGAAUCGGAUAAUCAAUCAAUGCCCGGCGAAACCAACAGUCCAGACGACCUCACGCCGGACACACCACCGGAGAAUAAGAGCCUUCACAAAAGACUCGUCGCCACUGCAAGAAGUCUGAAGAAGGAAAAAGGAAGCUCAAAACAGCGAAAGACAUACUCAGAAUGAGGUGGAGCAAAGUGCUCAAAACCGCAGACAAAUACGGCAAUGGCCAUCAAUCAAAGAGCUACCCGAAGCGCAAGCUGCUGCCAGAGUUCGACGAGGAAGCCAUAGAGCCCCCACAGACACAAAACAAAGAGGCCGCCUGGCCGGAUAGACGGCCAGAUGAUAGGCCAAAAACUAUAAGCGGCGCCGCACACAAGCCGGCCCAUGAUCCUGGGAAAACAGAUGGCCCAGGCAGGUCCAUUUACGGGCCAAAAAAGAGGGCCCUAGGAAGCAACACAACACGCCAAGUGUUCGAAGACAGCGGUACACCCAAAUACAGGGGCGCCGCACACCCACUAUGUUUCACUAAUGAGGUGCUGGAUCAUGAAUUCCCAACAGGGUUUAAACCCAUAAACAUAGAGGCUUACGACGGAACAAUAGAUCCGGGAGUCUGGAUAGAGGAUUAUAUACUACACAUGCACAUGGCUAGAGGAGAUGACCUCCACACCAUAAAAUAUCUACCCCUCAAGCUCAAAGGGCCAGCUCGGCAUUGGCUCAAAAGCCUCCGAGAAAACACUGUUGGAAGAGCUUGAGGACGCGUUUAGAGCAAAUUUUCAAGGGACUUAUGUCCGCCCUCCAGAUGCAGACGAUCUAAGUCAUAUAACUCAACAGCCCGGAGAGUCAGCGCACAAAUUCUGGAACAGGUUCCUUACUAAAAAGAACCAAAUAGUCGACUGUCCGGACGCCGAAGCCUUAGCAGCUUUUAAACACAACGUCCGAGAUGAAUGGCUCGCCAGACACCUCGGCCAAGAGAAGCCGAGGACAAUGUCUGCGCUAACAAGCCUCAUGACCCGCUUUUGCGCGGGGGAAGACAGCUGGCUAGCAAGAUGCAGCACCAGCGACCCAAGUACAUCCAAGAUCAGAGAUGGAAACGGAAAAUCACGACGCAGAAAAGAUCAGCGCCGGAAUAAAGAGAAAAUCCCAAAGAACACGGCGGUCAACGCCGGAUUCAAAAGCUCGCGGACAAACAACAAAACACUGCCUCUUAAGGACAACAGUGAUGAGCUAUCCAACUUAAACAAAAUUUUGGAUCGGAUAUGUCAAAUCCACAGUACCUCCGGAAGGCCUGCAACCCACACCCACCGAGAUUGUUGGGUUUUCAAACAGUCCGGCCGACUCAACGCCGAACACAAGGGGCUUGGCGCACCAAGCGAGGACGACGACGAACCCCACCAGCAGGGCACCGGAAAACAAAAGACUUUCCCACAAGAAGUCAAAGCAGUAAACUCACUUCAUGUGAUAAUACGGAAAAACAAUGCGGCACCCGCUAAGAUGGGUCUCGCACGGUCCACCCCAACGGAACCUCGAGAUUGGAUGUCAAAACCAAUCACUUUUGACCACCUGGAUUAUUCUAGAAGUGUUCGAAAUGCAGGAUGGACUGCUCUGAUAUUGGAUCCUAUAAUCGACGGACUACAAUUUACACAAGUCCUGAUGGACGGCGGCAGCAAUUUAAACCUGCUAUAUCCGAACACAAUCCGCAAGUUGGGGAUAGACCUUACUACAAUUCGACAUAGCCGCACUUCCUUUAAAGGAGUGAUGCCAGGCCCUUACGCCAAGUGCACAGGCUCCCUAUUACUAGAAGUUGUGUUCGGGUCACCGAACAACUUACGACGCGAAAAACUAAUCUUUCAUGUCGCCCCAUUCAAAAGUAGCCAUCAAGCAUUAUUGGGACGUGAGGCUUUUGUCCGCUUUAACGCCAUACCACAUUACGCGUCUCUUACACUUAAAAUGCCCAGUCCACGCGGCAUAAUUUCAUUAAGAGGGUCAUUCAAAGACCCCGGACACGGCUAGACGAGUCCGGCAUAAAUAAGCUAGGGGCUCCCUAGCCGCACACCCCUUCACAAGGGGCUGUGCGUAUAAGCAAUAAUGAGCUAAUAUAGACUCCGCUUUAUUCAUUUAUUAAUAUUUUUCAUGCACUUUUUUGCACGAUUUCCUUUCAAACUAAGUUCCUCUCUUUUUACAGAUGAACAACGUGCAUACCCGUCCAGGAUAACGGCACAACGAAGACACAGGCGCAGACGUGCAGUAGGGACCCGUCGCAAGGAUUCUUUUCAGAUUAAGACCCUGCGUAAACCUUUUUUACUGUCUCUUGUUGCUAUACUCCCCUGGCUUUUCAUUAUAACCAGAGUGGAGACUGACGUUUUGGCAUCGGCCGCGUCAGAAGACCUCGCUCGUACCUGGACACUAGGGGUUUAGGGCAUUGUUCUGCCCAUUAUUAUAAAGACCGAACACCUUAUGGAGUGUUCGGCGUCUCGAGUUAGGCUUUAUAUGCAUCAGCUCCGAAUCAUGUCUUUGGUCAAAUGUUGGGUUUGCCCGGCUCCUGUGUUUUGCUGCCUUACGUUCCGUAUCAUCGGCUAACGCGGCACCAGGAGAACUACUGCGAUUGUGCCCCAGUUCGGCUGGGUGAGCACCUUAGUAGAGAAAGCCGAAAACUGACUGUCAUGAUACAGUGAGAGACUGGUCAACCACUCGAUCGACCACCGGAAUGUUUAGAAUUCCUCCGCUUUGACGAAGGACCGUUUCCCAGUCAGGCACACAUGCGCCCCGAAUUCGGAGAGCGCGGUGCCCCCAGGGGCUAUAUUGUAGUCCCACCCUCGAACUCCAAUGGCUAAGUGAAAGUGAUAAAGCAUCAUAGUCCGGUUGCCUCGUUUGCUACGCUACCACCUCCUUAACAGGACCGAGACGUCGGAUUAAGUGUGAAAAUGUGCUAUUUUUUGCGAACACCCCCGCACCUUGUGCGUGGGGGCUGAAGCCGAAGACUGCCAUCUUUCAGGUUAUACACACGUAUACAUAAACGGCCGCAUCGGAGAUAUUCCAAUAAUUGAACGCACAAGUAUAAAAAGCGAUUACAUCAUAACCGUGGUUUUACAAAAUAAAAUGUUCAUUCGAACGUGACAUUUUUCGAGCACUGCGAUUCUAUUACACGAGCACCACGCAUAACUUCCCCAAAAUAGUGCUCGGCGGGUAACCGGCUUUCGUCCGAACCCUGGGUUGCAAUAGCGGUGGCAUCCAUCUCAGUCCAAUGUGUCUUCACACGGGCAAGGGCCAUCCGCGCACCCUCUAUGCAGGCCGACCGCUUCAUCACCUUGAUAUGCGGCACCGCCCCAAGAAACUGCUGCAAUAAGCCAAAAUAGCUCGUCGGCUUGCACCUCUCCGGUCAGACAUGAGUCACGAUAUCCGUCAUGGCAAGUCCGGACAACCUAUUCAGCUCAGCCCAUUCGUCCAACCGAUCGGUCAGCGGAAGUGAACGAUCCAGACUAUGGAAUUGAGACCAAAGUAGCUCUUCCGUCUUGUGAUCCUUCUAACUUCGGAAGUGCACAACGGCAUCCGCCGCACUCGCCGCUAAGUCCAUAUAUGGAUCCUCCAGAACCCACAGCUGGCCAAGCUGGGCAUACUUUGGAUCCGUAAACCUGCGGCGUAGCAGAAAAGGCUUGCCAGCCACAAUGUCUCCGGCCUGACGCAACUCCUCCUUUAUAGCCCGCAUUGCAGAACGGGCAUCCUUGGCUUCGGCGGUGGCCUUCCCUAGGUCUUCUCGCUCCGAUAGGCGCUCCUUUUCAAGAGCCUCAUUGCGGUUGGUAGCAUCUUUCAAUUUAACGGCCAAUUCGGCCAUCUCUUCCCUGCUUCGGCAGUGUGCAGCCCUCUCGGCUUCUAACUCCUCGGCCGCCCUCGAGGCAGCCGCAUCACUCCUUCUGGCUUGCUCCUUGGCUUGAGCAAGUUCUGCCCGAAGGCUCUCCAUAGCAGCAGCACCAUCUGCGUCAAGCAUAAACAUUGUAAGAGGUGGGCUUUUGCUCCCUUAAUAAGUGACUGCGGAGACACAAUUUACCUUGAGACUCGUCAAGUCGCUUGUUGACUAGCAUGAUGUCCGCAUCCGCAACAUCGAGUUGCCGCAUUAAUUCAGCAACUCCAUCAGUCCGGCCAGCCCGGACUAUUCGCCACCUGCAUAGGAAAGGCAACACUCAAUACCUGCGAUUUUGAUCCUCGGCACACUGUCGCUUUCGACAACCUAUCGAGUCUCAGGGGCUACUAUCUAUACAGGGCGCACUUUAUGUGUAAAACUGCCAAAAAGGGGUGUCAUUUUUACAUACCUCAAACCCCGCCAGCAAACUCCUGACGGCAUUAUGCAAUCCGCUUUCGGCGGACGAAAUCCUUCUAAUCACCGUACUCAUCAAUGCACGGUGAUCUUCUGAGAUGGACGCCCUCUCAAGCAGAUCCUUCAGCUCCCCCGGCCGAACAGUAGUCGGCGCCGAACUCUUCGGCUCUGCCGGGCUCGGGGAUACCCUCUAUGACGACACUUCGGGUUCGUCCGCCCUAUCCAACAGUGCAGCAGACGGAGGAGUCUCGCUCUCCAUCAUCUCCGGACGAAGAUCCCCCGAAGACGAGCUCAUCUGAGAAGGUCGCAGAUCCGAACUACAAGGUAAAAAUUUCGGUUAUCCUCAGAAGCACAAAUAGGGAUGUUUCUUAUUAAUGAACUCCCCCUUUUCUACUCACGGCUCGCUGGAGGGUUGACUCUUUAGAGAAGACUGUGCGGCCGGGACCUCCCCGGACGCAGGACCCUCUGGUGAAGAUUUCUCCCCCCGCUUAGGGGCUUGGGCCUCCGGGUCUUCGGAGGCGGUCCUCUUCUCCCCCUGGAGGGAGGGAUUCUCGAUCCCCCCUUCUUCAAGCGCCCCCUUGGGCGAGGAAGUAGCUCCUCUAUUUUCCCCUUCGCCUUCUUCUGAAGGCGCAACCUCCAACAUCCUGACCAGCACGGGAUCCGGCGCGGUCUCUGGGAGGGGUCCGGACACCGUAUCAGCUUUGCUUCCGCUAUCCACUCCUGUUGCAGGAUAACGGGUUAAAAGGCGAAUUGUAGAAAAGCAAACAAAUGGUACGUCCGAGCACUGGGCUACUUACUUGAGUAUCCGGGCGAUUACAGCUUAGGCCAGCAUCCUCGGUCAAUUCCGGACACGCCGCUUGUGGUCCAAAGAACAACUUGUACAUCUCCACGGGUGUCGUACCCAUAAAGUGUUGGAGAAUCUGUGGUCCCUCCGGAUUGAACUCCCAUAGCCGGAGAGGACGGCGUUUGCAGGGCAGGAGACGCCUAAUUAGCAUAACCUGCAUCACCAUGACCAGAUCGAUCUCCCUUGCCUGGAGGUCUCGAAUCCGGCCCUGCAAUAGGGGCACGUCUUUUGGCGGCCCCCAGUUGAGCCCUUGGUUGACCCACGACAUCAACCGUCGAGGAGGUCCCGAGCGGAAUAUGGGCGGCGGCUUCUGCCUGCUGCCCUUCGGAGCGGUGAUAUAGAACCACUCCCGCUGCCACAAGCCGAGCUCCUCUUGGAAGGAGCCCUCGGGCCACGGGGCAUCGGCCCUCCUGCUUAUGGUCGCCCCACCCCACUCUGCUUGACGCCCCCCAAUCGUCUUCAGCUCCACAUUGAAGGUCUUCAUCCACAGGACGAAGUGGGGGGUGACGCGGAGGAAGGCUUCGCAGACGACAAUAAAUGCGGAAAUAUGGAGGAUGGACUCCGGAGCCAAGUCAUGGAAAUCCAGCCCGUAGUAGAACAUGAGCCCUCUCACAAAAGGAUCCGUCGGGAAGCCUAAACCCCGGCGGAGGUGGGAUACAAAGGCGACGUACUCGCCGGGCUCGGGGGUGGGUAUGGCCUGCCCUUCGGCGGGCAGCCUGUACGAAAUCUCAUAAGACAGGUACUUGGCCUCUCGCAGCUUUAGCACGUCCUCCUCCGCGACGGAGGAGGGCAUCCACCGGCCCUGAAGAUCGGAACCGGACAUUGUUGAAGGUCCUAAGCACAUGAAUCUGGGGCUCUGGGUGUUGGAACUUGGAGCGAGGAGAAGAUUCUAUAGAGGAUUGAAGAAAAGAAACGAGCCUUGGUCCUAUUAUAAAGAGGGAGAAUACCAAGAGCCGUCUCCGUGACCAUUCGGGACUCGCCUUCGAUAGAGGGGGCGUGGCAACGGGCGCGGUUGGGUUACCCACGUCCGUAUUGAUGAGAAUCCCGGAAUAAGGGGAACACGAUCUCUGCUUCGACAAGACGUGCCAAGAAAACCGCUUCGCUAAACGCGCUGAGGUGGUGUAAUAAAAAACGAUUCAAGUAAAGGAUUGGUAGUGGCGUGACGUCACGCUACAAGAUACAUCAGCAGAUUGAACUUGUGUACAUAAUAUUCUCUCUACGGUGGAGUGUGGAAUUUAUUUUGCAGAGCCGGACACUAUCCUGGUGUUCACAAUCUUCUAUGGAUUAUUCGGAGGAGGAACCCACCCUGCAAUGCCGAACAGUAUGCACGUCGGACUCAUCGUCAUUGAAGCCAGGUUCAGGGGCUACUGAGGGAGUCCUGGACUAGGGGGUGUCCGGACAGCCGGACUAUCAUCGUCCGCCGGACUCCAAGACUACGAAGAUACAAGAUUGAAGACUCCGUCCCGUGUCCAGAUGGGACUUUCCUUGGCAUGGAAGGCAAGCUUGGCGAUACGGAUAUGUAGAUCUCCUACCAUUGUAACCGACUCUGUGUAACUCUAGCCCUCUCCGAUGUCUAUAUAAACCGGUGGGUUUUAGUCCGUAGGACACAACAACCAUUACAACAAUCAUACCAUAGGCUAGCUUCUAGGGUUUAGCCUCCUUGAUCUCGUGGUAGAUCUACUCUUGUACUACCCAUAUCAUCAAUAUCAAUCAAGCAGGAGUAGGGCCAUCGAGAGGGCCCGAACCUGGGUAAAAACAUCGUGUCCCUUGUCUCCUGUUACCAUCCGCCUAGACGCACAGUUCGGGACCCCCUACCCGAGAUCCGCCGGUUUUGACACCGACAUUUCCCAUUAAGACAAGUCAUUAACCGUUAUUUCUCAGUAAUUGUUUCCCUUAUACCUAUUGUUGCUUACAGGGAUAUCAAAAUUAAAGCUCGGUUUUAUUCCGACUUUGAUUUUAGUUGAACUGCACAAAAGGAGCCAAUGUGUCCAAGGCAAACUACUGCGUUACUGGGUCCAGUUGGUCGUUCCACUUUGUAGAAAGAAGCAAUCACUAGAUGCGGUACAUUACAGAAGGAAUGACCAAGAAGCUUUACAGAGUAUUAUUAGACACCGGUGACAUGACUAGUCUGCAGAGACCAUUGGCAAUUUAACAACACGUGGAGUGCCCUGGGCAAAAAGUGCCCAAACAAGUACAAGAAGCUAAGACAGGACAUGAUCAUAUGCAUUACAUAUUUUGAAUGGGAAAAGCUUGUCAAAGUUUAAUCAUUGAUGUUAGCAAGAAGACGUAGUUUUAAUAUAUUGGAAUUCGAAAACCUUGUCAAAGUUUGCUCAUUGAUGUUAGAAAGAAGACGUUAGUUUAAUAUAUUGGAAUUCGAAAACCUUGUCAAAAUUUGCUCAUUGGUGUUAGCCAGAAGACAAGCAUUUGAUAUUUUUGAGUGGGAUGCCCUUGCUGUGAGCAGCGUCGACUGUUUUUUCCUAUUCCUGUGUUCAGUUUAGAAGUAAAUAGUUACUCUGCUGACAUAUUCCUGUGUUAAGAGUUUGUUCUGAAUAUUGUCUAUGUAAUGCCAGGCCUUGGGUUUGAUUUCAAAGUUGAGCUUGGAAUGUUGUGGCAUGCGGCAUCACGAGCUGUUCACCAUGCCUCGCGAGAAUAAUGCUUUGUAUUGUUUUGCAUGUCGAUCUAAUGCCAGUGAUUUGCUUGUUAAGAAGAUCAUCCUCUUCUGUUGUUUCCGUGCGUAAGAAGUUCAUCGUCUGAUGUUUCAUUCAUAGCCUAUACGAUAUGUCGGGUAGGUUAGACGUGAAACCAUAUGAUCUUCCGACCAACUCAUGAUAUUAGGCCGUGAUUGGAUCGUCAUUUUCCAACGAAAACCGCUUGUAAAACUGACGCUUGUAAAUUAAAGCAGAUGGUCUCGGGCGAAGGCGCUUGGUUGGUCGAUUUCGACUAGUAAAAUAUCGAAAGUACUUCACACACGAUAAAAACGCUGAACGACACUCGAAGAUUGCUAAUCCAGCCGUUAGCUGCUGUUUCAGCCUUGCCCAUGGAUGGCAUGAUACGCACAUCGUGCAUGUAUCCUCUGGUAAUGUCGUCCAUAUAGCAAUGCUUGUAAAAUAUACACUGGUCUCUCAAAUUACACGCGUAACCCGCCGGUUUUACUUACAGACCUCGGGCCUUCCGAUGACGAGUAAAUUACACUUGUAUGUUAAUACAGGUUUGAAAUAAACCAGAGCUCCCAAGCGCGGCCUUACCAUUUCAUGCCGUCUCAGUUUCUCGAAGGUGCUCAUAGGUGUCCGAUGAUCCUGGCUUCCCGAAUGAGCAGCGGGCGCUGUAUCAGACCUCCGUAGGGCCCGCGAGGCCCUCUCUGUUGUCCUUCGAGUUGUUGCGCUCGCCGUGGCGCCGAGUAUUAUUAACAUGGUCAAUAAACAUGAGGAUUCAGGAGAUGACUUUAUUUUGACUGGAUGACACUAGGGACCCACUAGGGCCAUAGCCGUACGUACGCAAGUGCCUCCUUAUUAUGCACAACUAUAUUUUUUUUGCUUUCUCCUGGUUUCCUGACAUCACGGUCCCACACCAUUGUCAACCUAUGUAGUCAAUAUAAACGAGAGAAUUGCACAAGGUGCGGCCGAUAGCUGGGACGAAGCAGCUCGAGCAAUAUUUGUGUUUUUGAGGCGUGAGCACUGCAGAGUUUUUCUUGGCGAUGAUUUCGUUGUUGUUCAGAGGAGAGCAGGGUAUUAACUGGGCGGGCUAUGGCCCGUCUAGCCCAGGCCAGAUAUCCAUCCCAGAUACUACUUUUUUCAAGAUGAAAAUGGCUAGCCCAGCUAUACGUCUUUUUGAGGAAUACCCAGGCAAGGUCAACUUGUUAUUCUCCGCCCCACUGGGCUGCAAAUCUUUCCUAGGAGGGAUGCAUUAGGCUUAACAGGAAAAUGGGCUUUAAAAAUAAUAAAUGGGAUGUAAUUAUAAAAACUGGGCAGUAACUAUAAAAAAUGCACCAAACACGAAAUUAGUUUAUAAAAUAAUAUUUAUGGAUUUUGAAAAUCUUAAAUUUUCAUUGUUGCACGCGCAAUGUUUCGUUGAAUUUUUACGUAAUACAAAUUUAUAUUUAAUCUGACUAGAAAUUUUGGGAUAAAAAUAUUUUGGAUCCCAUCAAAAUGUGGGAAAUUUUAUUGAAUUCUGUCUUCAACGGUUGGUUGAAAUUAUUAAUCGUUGUCCUAGCUAGAAAAUGGGCUGUACUUUUAACAAACUGUAAUUUGGCUGUUGUAAAUUCCAUUAGAAUUCAAAAAUGGGUUGUACAUUCUUACAAAACGCAAACGGGCUAUAAGUUCUCUGCCACACACUUGUGGGCCUACUAAGUGACGCGUCCCCUAAAAAAAUAUGUUGACGUGUAUGCAAGGAUUUGUCAACUUAUUAUAGUCAACACACGGUUCUAGCAGCAGUGGCCGUUGGAUGUCUAUCCAACGGAUGUCGUGCUUCUUCUUCAAUCUCGGAUAUUCUUAGCUUCGGCCGCCCAAAAAAUGAUUCCUCCCCCUAACAUCUGGGGAGCACCGUUUCGGAGGCUGACCUGUGGGCCUACUAAGUUGGAGCCGACCAAGGGCUUUGUCAACUUAGUCAAUAUAAACGAUUCUAGCUUCAGUGACCGUACGAUGUCCAUCCAACGGCCGUAGUGCUUCUUCAACCUCUGGUCUUCUUGGUCCAGCCGCCCAAACCAGCGCCGGUCGUGCCGCCUGCUCCUGCCUUUCGUGGCCGGCUGUGCUGCCACGGAGGCCUCACCGCUCCCAUACUACUCCCACCGCUGGCCAGGCCAUCCCUCCACUCACCCACACCCCCUGUUAUUCUGCGGCGACGACAGCCUCACACCACAGCCGAACCAGUGAACCCUCGUACUCCUCUCCGCGCGGGCUUCCACUGCUGCGUCUUCCCCGGCUCCACGUCAUCCCCUUCCUAGGCGUCGCCGUCGUCCACCGCCCUGGUGCUCUCGGCGCGGCGUGGUCAACGUGGUCAACGGCCGACUUCCAUCGGAAGAGUACUGUACGUGGAGAGGCUGACAGCUGGGUCCACUGCGGCCGCAAGGAAGUGCCUCCUUAUUACACGCAAAAUAAUUAUUCCUCCACCUGACAGCAGGGACCCACCGGGCGGGCCACCUUAUUUUGCGAAAAAAUGUUUCCCCCUUGACUGCUAGUACCCACCGGACGGGCCACCGUAUUUCGCGAAAAACACGUUCCCCCCACUGUCAGCUUGGACCCACCGGAAGUGCCUCUUUAUUACGCAUAAAAAAAAUGAAUACUCCCCCUGCUAGCUGGGACUCACCUUGGUGGGAAGCUGAAUUGUGGGCCUACUAAGUUGACGGGGACGGAGGGCUUUGUCAACUUAGUCAAUAUGAAUGAUUCUAGCUCUAGUGACCGUACGAUGUCAUUCCAACGGCCAUAGUGCUUCUUCAACCUCUAGUCUUCUUGCUCCAGCUGCCCAAAGCAGCGCUGGUCGUGCCGCCUGCUCCUGCCUCCCGUGGCCGGCUAUGCUGCCGCAGAGGCCUCACCACCUCCAUACUACUCCCACCGCUGGCCAGGCCAUCCCUCCACUCCACUCACCCACACCCCCUGUUAUUCUGCGGUGACGGCAGCACAGCCGAACCAGUGAACCUCGUACUCCUCUCCGCGUGGGCAUCCACUGCCGUGUCUUCCCUGGCUCCGUGUCGUCCCUUUCCUAGGCCUCGCCAUCGUCCACCGCCGUGGAGCUCUCGGCGCGGCGUGGUCAAUGUGGUCAACGACCGAAUUCCUUCAGAAGAAUACUGUACGUGAAGAGGCUGACAGCCGGGUCCACGGAAGCCGCAAGGAAGUGCCUCCUUAUUACGCGGAAAAUAAUUAUUCCUCCACCUGACAGCAGGGACCCACCGGACGGGCCACUAGUAUUUCGCGAAAAAAACAUUUGCCCCUGACUGCUGGGACCCACCCGACGGGCCACCGUAUUUCGUGAAAAAAACGUUCCCCCUGCUGUCAGCUCGGACCCACCGGAAGUGCCUCCUUAUUACGCAUAAAAAAAUGAAUACCCCCCUGCUAGCUGGGACCCACCUUGGUGGGAGGCUGACUUGUGCACCUACUAAGUUGACGGGGACAGAGGGCUUUGUCAACUUAGUCAAUAUAAACGAUUCUAGCUCCAGUGACCGUAUGAUGUCCAUCCAAUGGCCGUAGUGCUUCUUCAACCUCUGGUCUUCUUGCUCCAGCCGCCCAAAGUAGCACCGGCCGUGCCGCAUGCUCCUGCUUCCCGUGGCCGGAUGUGCUGCCGCGGAGGCCCCACCCCCCUACUAUUCCCACUGCUGGCCAGGCCCUGUAGCGACGGCAGCUUCACACCGCAACCGAACCAGUGAACCCUCGUACUCCUCUCCGCGCGGACAUCCACUGUCGCGUCUUCCCCGGCUCCCCGUCGUCCCCUUCCUAGGCCUCACCGUCGUCCACCGCCCUGGUGCUCUCGGCGCGGCGUGGUCAACGUGGUCAAGGAACGACUUCCAUCGGACGUGGACUGUAUGUGGAGAGGCUGAUAGCUGGGUCCACGGCCGCAACAAGGAAGUGCCUCCUUAUUACGCGGAAAAUAAUUAUUCCUCCACCUGAUAGAGGGGACCCACCGGACGGGCCACCGUAUUUCCUGAAAAAAAAACGUUUCCCCCCUGACUGCUGGGACCCACCAGCUGCACCUUCACACGCAAGGAAGUGCGUCCGGGCAGAAAAACGAUUCGCCCCCCUGACUGUUGGGACCCACUAGCUACAUCUUCUCACGCAAGGAAGUGUGUCCGGGCAAAAAACGAUUCGCCCCCCUGACUGCUGGGACCCACUAGCUACAUCUUCACACGCNNNNNNNNNNNNNNNNNNNNNNNNNNNNNNNNNNNNNNNNNNNNNNNNNNNNNNNNNNNNNNNNNNNNNNNNNNNNNNNNNNNNNNNNNNNNNNNNNNNNNNNNNNNNNNNNNNNNNNNNNNNNNNNNNNNNNNNNNNNNNNNNNNNNNNNNNNNNNNNNNNNNNNNNNAUCUUCACACGCAAGGAAGUGCGUCCGGGCAAAAAAAAAACAAAACAAUUCGCCCCCCUAACUGCUGGGACCCACCAGCUACAUCUUCGCAGGCAAGGAAGUGCCUGACAGUCGGGACCCACCUGGUCGAAGCAUACGUACCGUUGUCAUUCUGGUCGCAAACUUGUACGUACAUACUGGUCAAUGUAGAGGCGCGCACGUGUCAUAGUAGAGACGCGCACGUAGCAUGUACACGUACCUACAGCGGCGGGGGUGCAAGAAAGAAAAUACGGCCACGUACGUACAUACGGGAGGGUCUCGAACGCCUACUCGCACAUACGUACAUGGCUGGGUCGAAAUGGAGUAACAGCGCCAUCGUCGUGUUCAUGGGGAGGCAACGGAAUGCGUUGUGUUCAUGGGGAGGCAACGAAAUGCAUCGUGUUCAUCGGGAGGCAACAGAACACGUGGGAGCCAACCGGCUUGGACGGAACAGGCGAUGGAAACGAGGCCUGGCAUACCGCACAACGGAGGAAAUGGACCUGCUACGUUCGGAACAGGGUCCUGUUGAUCGGGAGGGGUGUGGCGUACCGCAAAAUGGAGGAAACGGACCUCCUACGGUCGAAACGGGGGUCCUGUUGAUCGGGAGGGGUGUGGCGUACCGCAAAAUGGAGGAAACGGACCUCCUACGGUUGAAACGGGGGUCCUGUUGAUCGGGAGGGGUGUGGCGUACCGCAAAACAGACAAAACGGACUUGUGUUGGAGCGCUACGGUCAAAACGGGGGUCAUGUUCAUUGGGAGGGGUGUGGCGUACCGCAAAACGGGACUCCACGGGAUACUGUUCAUCUCCACCAUCGACCUCCUCCAGCCUCCACGGGCUACCGUCGACCUGCUCCAGCCUCCACGGGCUCCUGUUCAUCCAGCCUCCACCACGCGCUACUCCACCGGCUACUGUUCAACCACCCCUCCACCGUCUACUGUUCAUCCAGCCAUCCAUCGUCUACUGUUCAUCCAGCCCUCCACUCCAUGGGGUCCUGUUCAACAACCCCUCCAUGGCCACCCCUCCACCGUCUACUGUUCAUCCAGCCCUCCACACCACGGGUUCCUGUUCAUCCAAAGGCAACGCCACCGCUCACUGUUCAUCCAAACCCCCCGCAAUGCUCACUAUUCAUCCAAUCGAUCGGCUUCAGUUAGCAGAAGUAGCGAAGGAAUCGCUCCAUCGGGUUCAGUUAAUAGCCAUCGAUCGAUCGCUCGGGUUCAGUAAGGCGUAGCCUGCAGUGCAAUCGCUCGGGUUCAGUUAGAGCCCAACGCCUCGCUCGGGUUCAGUUAGAGCCAAUGCCUCGCACACGCGCGUACCUGUACGAGAGAAACGCGCAUCGCUCGGCCCCUGACCUCCCACCGUAAACCGGCAACUCCCUGAAAUUUUCCUCCCCCUUGCUUCUACCACGGUUUUUCCUGUCAUGGACGGGCCAAAGAAUGUCAUGCAGCUGCGUCUCCGGCCCGCCCAGGACGAAAAGCCCAUUUUUUGUCAUGAUUUUUUGUCAUAGAAGUAGGAGCCCAUCACAUCUAUGAUGAUACCGGGUUUUGUCACAAUUAUCGUCAUAGAAGUGUCAUAUGUAUGACAGAAAAAAAUUCGUUCGGCCCAAAAUGUCACGGAUGUGUCUUUUUUUUGUAGUGCAUGCAUAACCCCAAUGACAAGCCAAGCAAUUAUUUCAUACUUUAGUAAUCUCAAACUUUUUCAACUUUGACGCAAUACACGAGCGUGAUCCAUGGACAUAACAUUAUAGGUGGAAUAGAAUGGUGGUUGUGGAGAAGACAAAAAGGAGAAGAUAGUCUCACAUCAACUAGGCAUAUCAACGGGCUAUGGAGAUGCCCAUCAAUAGAUAUCAAUGUGAGUGAGUAGGGAUUGCCAUGCAACGGAUGCACUAGAGCUAUAAGUGUAUGAAAGCUCAAACUAAAAACUAAGUGGGUGUGCAUCCAACUUGCUUGCUCAUGAAGACCUCGGGCAUUUGAGGAAGCCCAUCAUCGGAAUAUACAAGCCAAGUUCUAUAAUGAAAAUUCUCACUAGUAUAUGAAAAUGAAAGCAUAGGAGACUCUCUCUAUGAAGAACAUGGUGCUAUUUUGAAGCACAAGUGUGGUAAAAGGAUAGUAACAUUGCCCCUUCUCUCUUUUUCUCUCAUUUUUUUUGUUUUUUUUUGGUGGGCUUCUUUGGCCUCUUUUUUUAUUUGGGCUUCUUUGGCCUCUUUUAUUUAUUUGGCUUCUUUGGCCUUUCUUUUUUUAUUAAGUCCGGGGUCUCAUCCCGACUUGUGGGGGAAUCAUAGUCUCCAUCAUCCUUUCCUCACUGGGGCAAUGCUCUAUUAAUGAUGAUCAUCGUACUUUUAUUUACUUACAACUCGAUGUUACAACUCGAUAUCUAGAACAAAGAUAUGACUCUAUAUGAAUGCCUCCGGUGGUGUCCCGGGAUGUGCAAUGAUCCAAUGUAGCAAUGACAUAAAAAAACGGACAAGCCAUGAAAACAUCUUGCUAGCUAUCUUACGAUCAUGCAAGGCAAUAUGACGAUGAAUGCUCAAGUCAUGUAUAUGAUGAUGAUGAAGGUUGCAUGGCAAUAUAUCUCGGAAUGGCUAUGGAAAUGCCAUGAUAGGUAGGUAUGGUGGCUUUGAUGAAGGUAUAUGGUGGGUGUAUGGUACCGACGAAAGUUGCGCGACACAAGAGAGGCUAGCAAUGGUGGAAGGGUGAGAGUGCGUAUAAUCCAUGGACUCAACAUUAGUCAUAAAGAACUCAUAUACUUAUUGCAAAAAUCUACAAGCAAUUGAAAACAAAGUACUACGCAUAUGCUCCUAGGGGGAUAGAUUGGUAGGAAAAGACCAUCGCUCGUCCCCGACCGCCACUCAUAAGGAAGACAAUCAAUAAAUAAAAUUGUGCUCCAACCUCAUCACAAAGCGGUUCACCAUAUGUGCAUGCUACGGGAAUCACAAACCUCGACACAAGUAUUUCUACUAAUCCACAGUCGCCCACUAGCAUGACUCUAAUAUCACCACCUUUAUAUCGCAAAACUAUUGCAAGGAAUCAAACAUAUCAUAUUCAGCGAUCUACAAGUUUAUGUAGGAUUUUAUGACUAACCAUGUGAUUGACCAAUUCUUGUCAUCUCUCUAAAUAGAUAUAAGUGAAGCAAGAGAGUUUAAUUCUUUCUACAAAAGAUAUGCCCACACUCUAACAAAUAUAAGUGAAGCAAAAGAGCAUUCUACAAAUGACGGUUUUCUAUGUGAAGAGAAACAGACAAUCCAAACUUCAAAUGAUAUAAGUGAAGCACACGAAGCAUUCUAUAAAGCCAUACUCAAAAGAUUUAGGUGAAGUGCAAUGAGCAUUCUAUAAAUCAACCAAGGACUAUCUCAUAUCAGCAUGGUGCAUAAAAGAAAAGUGAAAACUAAAUGCAAAAGACGCUCCAAGACUUGCACAUAUCGCAUGAACAAAACGCAUACGAAAACAUACCGAUACUUGUUGAAGAAAGAGGGGAUGCCUUCCGGGGCAUCCCCAAGCUUAGGCGCUUGAGUCUCCUUGAAUAUUUACUUGGGGUGGCUUGGGCAUACCCAAGAUUGAGCUCUUGCCUCUCUUCCUUUUCCUCAUAUCGAGUCAUCCUCGAUCAAACACUUCACCCACACAAAUUUUCAACAGAAAACUCGGUAAGAUCCGUUAGUAUAAUAAAGCAAAUCACUACUCUAAGUACUGUAGAAAACCCAAUUCAUAUUUUUUUGCAUUGUGUAUACUGUAAAAUAACUUUUUCAUGGCUUAAUCCACUGAUAGAAAUUGAUAGUUUCAUCAAAACAAGUAAACUAUGCAUCAAAAACAGAAUCUGUCAAAAACAGAACAGUCUGUAGAAAUUUGAACAUUCACCAUACUUCUGUUCACCCAAAAAUUCUACCAAAAUUAGUAAAAAUAAAAAAUUUGUACAUAAAGACAUUGCAAAAAGAAUCAGAACCGUUUGACGUUCCAGUUAAAAAUGUAAAAUUGCGCACUACAGCCAAAGUUUCUGUCCUGCACCAUACAAACCAACAAGCAUUGUAAACAUCCUAAAGGCAAACCUUGGCACAUUAUUUUUAUGAUACAAUGGAAUUGUACAAGGGGAUAAUUAUUUUUGAUGAAAAAUUUCUGUAAUUAAGAUUCACAAAGUUUCCGUGAGCAUGAACAAAGUUCAAGGAGCUCUCCCACUUCAACAAUGUUUGUCUCUCUCACUUUCACUUCCCUUUUUGAAAAUUUUUGGGUUCCCCUCUUUAUUUUUUUGUUUUUACACUAUAUAAAAGCAUUCAACAGAAAUAAAAGACUCUAAAACUUCCGGGUUGUCUCCCUGGCAGCGCUUUCUUUAAAGCCAUUAAGCUAGGCAUAUAGUGCUCAAGUAAUGGAUCCACCCGGAUCCCAAGGUAUACCAAAGCCAAUUUUAAUUAACAACGAUUUGUAAUUUAGUAGUGAGCACAAAGUAACAUAUAUCAUGUAAUGACAAAGUCUAACUCUCUUCCUAUGCAUCGGCAUGUCGUAAAAGAACAAUUCAUGCACACAUAGUAAAGGUCAAUGCAUAGUAUAAGCAGUUUCUUGCAAUUUUAUUAUAUUGGAAACAUAGAGAGGUGGAGAUAUAGUUCCUCUCUCAUAAUAAUUGCAAGUAGGAGCAGCAAGCACAUGCAUAUUAUAUCUAUCAAAAUGAUCAUGUGCAACGGUAAAAGGCAACCCAUCAAUAUAAUCCUUAAUAAGCACAAACUUCUCCGAUAUAGUGUAGUUUGGAGAAUUCAAAAUGAUAAUAGGACUAUCAUGUGUGGGUGCAAUAGCAACAAUUUCAUGUUUAACAUAAGGAACUAUAGCAAGUUCUCCAUAAGCAUAAUUCAUAUUGGCAUCUUGGCCACAAGCAUAGCAAGUAUCAUCAAAAAGGGAUGUUUCAAGAGAAUCAACGGGAUCAUAACAAUCAUCAUAGCAAUCAUCCUUUGGUAAGCACGAAGGGGAAUUAAACAAUGUAUGAGUUGAAGAGUUACUCUCAUUAGAAGGUGGGCACGGGUAGCUAAUCCGCUCUUCCUCCUUUUGUUCUUUGCUCUCCUCAUCAUCUUUUUCAUCCAAUGAGCUCGGUUUCAUCAAGUUCUUCUUCCAUAGCUUCCUGCAAAAUAUUAGUCUCUUCUUGGACAACGGAGGAGUCCUCAAUAUAUAGUUUAACAUAGGCAUUAGAAGAAUAAUUGUCAUAACAAUAUUCAAGUAUGGCAAAAAUUUCAGAUUUAUAGAGAGUAGCACCAUACUUUUCAGUCAAAGAAGCAAUUUCAUAAGCACCCUUAAAAGCAACAAAUUCUUCAAUUUUUUGAACAUCAUAGUAAUUAUAAACACCCUUAACAUACGAAGAUACGAUUCCAUUAUCACUAGACAAGCAUUGAUAGGGAAAGUGUUUCUUAGGGUUUUCAGAACAACAAGUAAAAUCAUAUAGUUCACAUAAAGUCCAAGCAUAGCAUUGCAAACAAUGAAUUUGAUCCAGUAAAAGUUUACCUUUUUCAGAUAUACGGUGUCGCACAUAACAAGCAUGCUCAUCUAAAGAUUUUCCCUCAACUAAGCUAGUUGGGGUUUCAGCACGAGCACAAACGGAUCAAAGAUGAUCCAAGUAAAAAGCUUCAGGAGUGUGAUAGAUUUUGAGUGGUUCUUCAACCAUUGGUGUAGUAGGUACAACUAAUUUUUUUGGUAUUUUGCGUUUCCUACCCUUAACUAAAGAUAAAAAACAACUAAGAACAACAAAUAAAAAUAACUUAGUGAUAAAGCAAACAAGCACACACGAGAAUAUUCACCCCACGCUAUGACUCCCCGGCAACGGCGCCAGAAAAAGGUCUUGAUAACCCGCAAGUAUACGGGAUCAAUUGUAGCCUCUUUGAUAAGUAAGAGUGUCGAUGUAGCGACCAGACAUCAAACAGUCUGAUCUCUGUGCAUCAGUGUCAUCCCUGGAUCGGUAAUGCUGACACACACAGUACUUGAAGAAUUUAUAACAGAGUAGCAAUCACACACUUAUUACAUCGAAUGUCUCAAAAGAGAACUUAUUACAAUAAAUAUGGUUGAAGGCCAUCUAAAUACUAUAACAACGAAAGGCUUGGAAGAUAAAGCGAGUCCAUCAACUCCAACACAAUCACUAAGUAACGACCUAAGGCACCUUACUCGACGUCCGAAAAGUCUGCAACAUGAACGUUGCAACCCGAAAAACGGGUCAGCACAUGGAAUAUGCUGGAAAUGUAACACAUAGAGAGGAAUGAACAACAUAAUGCUAUCACUACAUGCAUAUAUGGCUGGUGGAAAGCUCUAUGGUUACAGUUUUGCAUAAAGCCAAUUUUUUCCUACAACAAAGGAAUAAAUUUUAUUUAACUAUCAUGGUUGUUGUUAAACAUUGAGAAGGUUCACCACCCUCAAUCCCAAUUAAGCAUCAUAUUUAAACCCAAACAGAAUUAAUUAAGUAACAUCAUGAGAUUCACAUGAUAAUCCAGGUACUAGUUACUCACAACGUCCAUAACCGAGGACACGGCUAACAUGAUUAGUUUGUACACUCUGCAGAGGUUUGAGCACUUUUCCCCACAAGACUCGAUCACCUCCGUUGGAUUUCUCGCACUACAUGAUCUUUGAGAAACGGAUGACCAAGACACUGUCUUUCAGAAGCGUUUGCACCUUACGAUGGGUAGACAGUUACACCUACUUUCCCCUACAUCUGCUAGUCUACCACUGUAAGAGUUCACACGACUUAAUCAACUAUGCUAGAGCCCGUAGUAGCUUGCGGCUGCACACAGAAGUUUCUAGCAUGAAUAAUCUCAUGAUCCCUUUGAGCCUGGGUGGCGGUCCAUAGGAGAAUCACACGGUACCCGGGAUUUCCAAAAAAACAGGCAUCACUGGAUUCCCCAGGUGCCUCAAGCCAACCAGAUGUGUAUUAAAGUUGCCACCUUAAGUAAACCAUUAAUUAACAAUCUCACAUCUAUCAUGGAUACACUCACCCAAUCCACAUCUACUGGCAUAGCAUAGCAAUAUAAGCAAACGUAGACAUAACUCCCAAAGGUUUGAUAAUAAACAGGACAAUAGGUACUACCUCAUCUACUUCCCAGAACCCACAUGUUAAACAUAUCCUAACCAUGCAAUUGUUUGAGGAUUGAUCUAAUGCAAUAAAACUGGGUAGUAAAGAGGUAUUAUCAAAGUGUUACUUGCCUUGCUGAUGAUCCAUGAAACCUAGAGACUCGAAGUAGCAAGCGGUGCACUUCGGGUACUCUAUCGCAAACAAACAAGCAUACAAUAAGUACUCAUCUAAUGCACGGGUAAAACUCAAAUAACAGAUCUAACUAGAAAGUUCAACUUAAGAACUCCGGUUUGCACAAAGAAUCAAAUCAAAUGAAGCAACGAAACUCAAACGGCGAAAGAAACAAGCUUCAUUUACUAAUCUGGACCUAAGUCAGAUUUUAUAGUAGCAAAAACUUGUUUGAGUUGGUUAAACGGAAAGAGGGUUUCGAAACAAAACUCUAGACACUUGAAUCGCCUGAUUUCGAUAAACGAGCGAAAAGUUAUACUAAAACGAAAAUCGGAUCAGAAAUCGCGAUCGGAAAUAACCGCGAAAAAUCCGAGAAAAAGAAAAACGGACGAACAGGCUAACGAACGGACGUUCGCUGUCUGCGUCUAAAAGAUGAAAACCGUUUGUUAAAACGAACGUACGGACGAACGUCCGCAAAAUAAAUAAACCGGAAAAAAACUAAACCGAUCUAUAAAAAAACUGCGGUUUUUUAAAAAAACCGUGCAGUUUUCUAAAGAAAACCGCCAGCGGCGGAGAUGAGCUCCGGCGGCUACCUCGCGGCGGCGGGUGGUGGCAUCUCCUCCGGGGCGGCGGGGUCGGCGGCAGUCGAGGCAAUGGCGGCGGCGGCGCGGGGCGACGGCGGCGGCGGAGGCGGCGUCGUCGGGCUAGGGUUAGGGUUUCGGGGGGGGGCUGCUGGGUGGGCUGGGGCACUGGGGGUGGCGGCUUAUAAGGGUUGGCCCGAGGAGUCCCGCUCGGGUACGGCCCAAAGUCGGUUUCCUUUUUUUUUAAAUAAUUACGACGUGCAAAAAAAGAAAGAAAAGAAAUACUAAACGGACUCCAAAAAUCCCGAAAUAAAUUUUCCUUGUCCUCUAAAAAUAAGUUGGACAGGAUGAACAUUUAUUUGAGCCUAAAAUGCAAUUUUAAAAAAUGCGUAUUUUCCUAAUUCAAAUAAAAUAGCGAUAAAACUCCAAAAUAAAAUCUUAUUUGAUUUUAUUAUUAAAUCUCCAAUAUUUCUUUAUUUUGGGAAAGUCAUUUUAUUCCCUCUCUCAUAUUUUUAUAAAAGAAAUAUACGAAGAUAAAAUAAUUAAAAUCAAAUGAUCCUAUUUUCAAAAUUUGAGAAAACUCAAAUAUGAAAAUAACGAAAUCUCCAACUCUCUCCGUGGGUCCUUGAGUUGCGUAGAAUUUCUAGGAUCAAGCCAAAAUGCAAUAAAAUAUGAUAUGCAUUGAUGAUCUAAUGUAUAACAUUCCAAAUUGAAAAUUUGGGAUGUUACAGUCGAACCCAACGAGGAGCUAAAGGUAGAACAAAUAUUCCCUAAAGUCCUAUCUGCCACUGAUACGACUCUACGCAUGCUUAGCGUUCGCCUUACCUAAAACAAGUAUGAAACUAGAAGUACUUUGUAGGUGUUCUUGGAUAAGUUUACAAUAUAAUAAAGAGCACAUAAAUAAAAGCUAGGGGCUGUUUAGAUAAAAAAAAGCAAUAAAGUAAAUAUAGCGAGUGUGGAAAAGUGGUGGUAGGAGUUGUGAAAUUGCCCCUAAGCAAUUGACUACGUUACUAGACCAAUAGCAAGUUUUAUGUGGGAGAGGCAUAAGCUAACAUACUUUCUCUUCUUGGAUCAUAUGCACUUAUGAUUGGAACUCUAGCAAGCAUCCGCAACUACUAAAGAUCGUUAAGGUAAAACCCAACCAUAGCAUUAAAGCAUCAAGUCCCCUUUAUCCCAUACGCCACAAUCCCCUUACUCGGGUUUAAGCUUUUGUCACUCUAGCAACCCACUAUAAGCGAAUCAUGAACAUAUUGCAACACCCUACAGCGAGAAUCCCUCACGCUUGCACGACACGGAGGGCACAAUAGGAUAGCAACAUAACCACAAGCAAAUUAAACCAAUCAUAGCAAUUCAUCAAUCACCGGUAGGACAACAAAAAUCUACUCAAACAUCAUAGGAUGGCAACACAUCAUAGGAUAAUAAUAUGAAGCAUAAACACCACGUUCAAGUAGAGGGUACAUCGGGUUGCGGGAGAGUGGACCGCUGAAUAUAAAUGGGGGAAGGUGAUGGAGAUGUUGGUGAAGAUGGCGGAGGUGUUGGUGAAGAUCGUGGUGAUGAUGAUGGCCCCCGGCAGCGCUCCGGUGCCACCGGAAGCAAGGGGGAGAGAGCCCCCAUUAUUCUUAUUCUUCCUUGACCUUCUCCCUAGAUGGGAGAAGGGUUUCCCCUCUGGUCCUUGGCUCCCAUGGCUUGGGAGGGGCGAGAGCCCCUGCGAGAUUGGAUCUAUUUCUCUGUCUCUCUCUGUUUCUGCGUUCUCUGAUUCUGCCCCUACACCGUUUUUUUAUAUCCGGAGAUCCGUAACUCCGAUUGAGGUGAAUCCUUCGCCCAGAUCUUUCUCAUAAAAUUAGCUUUCUUGCAGCAAAAUAAGAGCAUCAACCGCUUUACGGGGUUCCCAGGAGAGUCCAGGGCGCGCCUGCCUCCCUGAGGCGCGCCCCCUAUGUCUUGCCCCCCUCGGGCACCGUCUCGCGUUGAUUUUACUUCCCAAAAAUCACAAAUAUUCCAAAAUAAGUGUCCGUCCGUUUUUAUCCCGUUUGGACUCCGUUUGAUAUGGGUUUUCUACGAAACAUAAAACAUGCAACAAACAGGAACUGGCACUGGGCACUGGAUCAAUAUGUUAGUCCCAAAGAAUAGUACAAAAAGUUGCCAAAAGUAUAUGAAAGUUGUAGAAUAUUGGCAUGGAACAAUCAAAAAUUAAAGAUACGACGGAUAUGUAUGACCCACCCUCGUGGCCACCUCGAAGCUUCCUUGACUUCAACUCCAAGUCUCCUGGAUCACGUUCGUUCCAAAAAUCAUGCUCCUAAAGGUUUCAUUCCGUUUGGACUCCGUUUGAUAUUCCUUUUCUUUGAAACACUGAAAUAGACAAGAAAACAACAAUAUGGGUUGGGCCUCCGGUUAAUAGGUUAGUCCCAAAAGUAAUACAAAAGUGUAUAAUAAAGGUCGUAAACAUUCAAAACAGAUAAUAAAAUAGCAGGAAUGCUUCAUAAAUUAUAGAUACGUUGGAGACGUAUCAGCAUCCCCAAGCUUAAUUCCCGCUCGUCCUCGAGUAGGUAAAUGAUAAAAGAAAGAUUUUAUGAAGUGUGAAUGCUAGGAGGUGCACAAGUUUGAUCAAUGAUAAUUUCAAUCACCUUUUCUAGCAUGAUUAUAUGUCAUAACAGUACUUCAUCUCAUAAAACUUCUCACGAACAAGUAACAAGCAAUUCACAUGUUAAAGCAUAGACCAUAAACUUUCUUGAAAGCUAGCAAACUUCAUUCUCAGUCAUCAACAAUUACAAUUCAUCUUAUUUUCAGGAAGGGUCUAUGUCAGAGCUUUGAUUUAGCAAACUCCAUAUACUCAACUAUCAUAUAGUCUUCUACAAUUGCUAACACUCACGCAAUACUUAUGGUUAUGGAGUUUUAAUCGGACACUGAGAAAGAUAGGGGCUUAUAAUUUCGCCUCCCAACGUAUUCACCUUUGGGUGAUGCCAACAAUAGUUCAUGCUAACUUACAUCCAAUUGGAUAUAUACAUCAGGAUCUUUCCAACACGAGGUGCUUGCCAAAGUAUAAAAUGAAAAAGGGAAAGGUGAAGAUCACCUUGACUCUUGCAUAAAGUAAAAGACAUAAGGUAAAAGAUAGGCCCUUCACACAGGGAAGUAGAGGUUGUCAUGUGCUUUUAGGGUUGGAUGCACAAAAUCUUAAUGCAAAAGAACGUCACUUUAUAUUGUCACUUGUGUUAUGAACCUUUAUUAUGCAGUCCGUCGGUUUUAUUACUUCCAUAUCACACAAUCGUAUAAAGCUUAUUUUCUCCGCACUAAUAAGUCAUACAUAUUUAGAGAGCAAUUUUUAUUGCUUGCAACAUGACAACUUACUUGAAGGAUCUUACUCAAUCCAUAGGUAGGUAUGGCGGACUCUCAUGGCAAAAACUGGGUUUAAGGAUAUUUGGAAGCACAAGUAGUAUCUCUACUUGGUGCAAGGAAUUUUGGCUAGCAUGAGGUGGAAAGGAAAGCUCAACAUGUUUUAAUGAUCCAUGACAAUAUAAUUUAACUGAGAUGUGAGAAAACAUAACCCAUUACGUUGUCUUCCUUGUCCAACAUCAACUCUUUAGCAUGUCAUACUUAAUGAGUGCUCACAAUUAUAAAAGAUGUCUAAGAUAGUAUAUUUAUAUGUGAAAUUUCUCUUCCUUCAAUAUUCUUACAUGAAUUGUUCAAAUGACCAAUACAAUGCUUGCUAACCUUCAAUAAAUUUACAACCUCUACUUCUUAGAUCUGAAGUCAUUACUCCCCAUGGGAUAAGCAAAUGAAACAUAUAUAAUUUCAGAUUUAUGACAUUCAACUCAUUCAACCAUUUACUCAUAGGAUAUAAGUGAAGCACACGAGUAAAUGACAAACUACUCCAAAAAGAUAUAAGUGAAGAUCAAUGAGUAGUUAAAUAAUUAUGUAGCUAUAUGAAGACUCUCUCUCAUUUAAGAAGUUCAGAUAUUGGUAUUAUAUUCAAACAGCAAGCAAAGCAAAAUAAAAUGACAUUGCAAGGAUAGCACAACUCAUGUGAAGAAACAAAAACUUAGGUUCAACUAAUACUAACCGAUAGUUGUUGAAGAAGAAAGGUGGGAUGCCUAACGGGGCAUCCCCAAGCUUAGAUGCUUGAGACUUCUUGGAAUAUUAUCUUGGGGUGCCCUGGGCAUCCCCAAGCUUGAACUUUUGUGUCUCCUUAAUUCCUCUCAUAUCAUGGUUUCUCUAUUUCUCAAAAACUUCAUCCACAUAAAACUCAACAAGAACUCGUGAGAUAAGUUAGUAUAAACCAAUGCAAAACCUUAUCAUUCUCUACUAUAGCAAAUCACUAAAAUUAUUAUUCCACAUUGCAUACUAAAUGUCUCUGCAUAUCUAAUACUCCUAUCCUCAAAUAGAAUCAUUAAACAAGCAAACAUAUGGAAACAAUGCAAACAUAACAGCAAUCCGCCAAAACAGUACAGGCUGUAAAGAAUGCGAGAGUAUCAAUACUUCCCUAACUCAAAAAAUUAUGAUAAAAAUAGUACGCUGUAGAAGAUUUAUCAGAUCUCAUUAUGCAAAAAGUUUCAACAUUAUAUCAUUCUCUGACUUUUCUAGGGAAUUUUUGCAACAGCGGUAAACUUUCUGUUUUUAAACAGCAACAUGUAUACUAGCAAAAUAAGCAUGGUAAAGGCUAUCCUUGACAUUUAUAUUGAAAAUAUAGAUGCAAAACAUUAUACUAAAUAACAGAAAGCAAAUACUAACAGGAGAAAAUGACGCUCCAAGCAAAACACAUAUCAUGUGGUGAAUAAAAAUAUAGCUCCAAGUAAAGUUACCGAUGGACGAAGACGAAAGAGGGGAUGCCAUCCGGGGCAUCCCCAAGCUUAGGCUCUUGUUUGUACUUGAAUAUUACCUUGGGGUGCCUUGGGAAUCCCCAAGCUUAGGCUCUUGCCACUCCUUAUUCCAUAGUCCAUCGAAUCUUUACCCAAAACUUGAAAACUUCACAACACAAAACUCAACAGAAAACUCGUAAGCUCCGUUAGUAUAAGAAAAUAAAUCACCACUUAGGUACUGUUGUGAACUCAUUCUAAAUUCAUAUUGGUGUAAUAUCUACUGUAUUCCAACUUCCCUAUGGUUCAUACCCUCCGAUACUACUCAUAGGUUCACCAAAAUAAGCAAACAACACAUAGAAAACAGAAUCUGUCAAAAACAGAACAGUCUGUAGUAAUCUGUACCAAACGUAUACUUCUGGAACUCCUAAAAUCCUACCAAAUUAGGAAGACCUAAGCAAUUUCUGUAAAAAUUUAGAGAAAAAAAUCAAACCAAAAUCACGUUUCUGUGAAUUAUAAAAACUAAUUUACUGGGUGCAAAAGUUUCUGAUUUUCAGCAGGAUCAACACACCUAUCACCGUAAGCUAUCCUAAAGGUCUUACUUGGCACUUUAUUGAAACAAUAGUAGUGGGAGCAAACUCAACAAGAUAAUUAUCAUGUGAGGCAUAAUCCAGUUGAAACCUAAAAUCAUGAUGACAAGUUUCAUGGUUAUCAUUAUUCUUAAUAGCAUACAAGUCAUCACAAUAAUCAUCAUAGAUAGCAACUUUGUUCUCAUAAUCAAUUGGGACCUCUUCCGAAAUAGUGGAUUCAUCACUAAAUAAAGUCAUGACCUCUCCAAAUCCACUUUCAUAAUUAUCACAAUAAUAUUCAACAUCCUCCAAAAUAGUGGGAUCAUUACUUCCUAAAGUUGACACUCUUCCAAACCCACUAUCAUCAAUAUAAUCAUCAUAAAUAGAAGGCAUGCUUUCAUCAUAAUAAAUAUUCUCAUCAAAACUUGGGGGACUAAACAUAUCAUCUUCAUCAAACAUAGCAUCCCCAAGAUUUUGGCUUUGCAUAUCAUUAGCAUCAUGGGUAUUCAAAGAAUUCAUACUAACAACAUUUCAGUCAUGCUCAUCAUUCAAAGAUUUAGUGCCAAACAUUUUAUAGGCUUCUUCGUCUAGCACUUGAUCACACUUUCCCUUUCCAUCAUUCUCACGAAAGAUAUUAAAAAGAUGAAGCGUAUGAGACAAACUUAACUCCAUAUUUUUUGUAGUUUUCUUUUAUAAAUUAAACUAGUGAUAAAACAAGAAACAAAAAGAUUCGAUUGCAAGAUCUAAAGAUAUACCUUCAAGCACUCACCUCCCCGGCAAUGGCGCCAGAAAAGAGCUUGAUGUCUACUACACAACCUUCUUCUUGUAGACGUUGUUGGGCCUCCAAGUGCAGAGGUUUGUAGGACAGUAGCAAAUUUCCCUCAAGUGGAUGACCUAAGGUUUAUCAAUCUGUGGGAGGCGUAGGAUGAAGAUGGUCUCUCUCAAGCAACCCUGCAACCAAAUAACAAAGAGUCUCCUGUGUCCCCAACACACCCAAUACAAUGGUAAAUUGUAUAGGUGCACUAGUUCGGCGAAGAGAUGGUGAUACAAGUGCAAUAUGGAUGGUAGAUAUAGGUUUUUGUAAUCUGAAAUUAUAAAAACAGCAAGGUAACUAAUGAUAAAAGUGAGCACAAAUGGUAUUGCAAUGGUAGGAAACAAGGCCUAGGAUUCAUACUUUCACUAGUGCAAGUUCUCUCAACAAUAAUAACAUAACUGGAUCAUAUAACUAUCCCUCAACAUUCAAAAAAGAGUCACUCCAAAGCCACUAAUAGCGGGGAACAAAUGAAGAGAUUAUGGUAGGGUACGAAACCACCUCAAAGUUAUUCUUUCUGCUCGAUCUAUUCAAGAGUCUGUAGUAAAAUAACACGAAGCUAUUCUUUCCGUUCAAUCUAUCAUAGAGUUCAUACUAAGAUAACACCUUAAGACACAAAUCAACCAAAGCCCUAAUGUCACCUAGAUACUCCAUUGUCACCUCAAGUAUCUGUGGGCAUGAUUAUACGAUAUGCAUCACACAAUCUCACAUUCAUCUAUUCUACCAACACAAAGUACUUCAAAGAGUGCCCCAAAGUUUCUACCGGAGAGUAAAGAUGAAAACAUGUGCCAACCCCUAUGCAUAGGUUCAUGGGCGGAACCCGCAAGUUGAUCACCAAACCAUACAUCAAGUGGAUCACGGGAUAUCCCAUUGUCACCACAGAUAAGCACGGCAAGACAUACAUCAAGUUUUCUCAAAUCCUUAAAGACUCAAUCCGAUAAGAUAACUUCAAAGGGAAAACUCAAUCCACUACAAGAGAAUAGAGGGGGAGAAACAUCAUCAGAUCCAACUAUAAUAGCAAAGCUCGCGAUACAUCAAGAUUGUAUCACCUCAAGAACACGAGAGAGAGAGAGAGAGAGAGAGAGAGAGAUCAAACACAUAGCUUCUGGUACAUACCCUUAGCCCCGAGGGUGAACUACUCCUUCCUUGCCAUGGAGAGCGCCGGGAUGAUGAAGAUGGCCACCGGUGAUGGAUUCCCCCUCCGGCAGGGUGCCGGAACGGGCUCCCGAGAGGCUUUUGGUGGCUACAGAGGCUUGCGGUGGCGGAACUCCCGAUCUAUUGUUUGCUUCGAUGUUUUUAGGGUAUAUGGGAAUAUAUAGGCGAAAGAAGUCGGUCGGGGGAGCCUCGAGGGGCCCACGAGACGGGGGGCGCCCAGUAGGGGGGCGCGCCCCCCACCCUCGUGGCCACCUCGAAGCUUCCUUGACUUCAACUCCAAGUCUUCUGGAUCACGUUCGUUCCAAAAAUCGCGCUCCCGGAGGUUUCAUUCCGUUUAGACUCCAUUUGAUAUUCCUUUUCUUCGAAACACUGAAAUAGGAAAGAAAACAACAAUAUGGGUUGGGCCUCCGGUUAAUAGGUUAGUCCCAAAAGUAAUAUAAAACUGUAUAAUAAAGCCCGUAAACAUUCAAAAUAGAUAAUAAAAUAGCAUGAAUGCUUCAUAAAUUAUAGAUAUGUUGGAGACGUAUCAAAAUGCCAAGGCCAGAGCCAAAGAAACAAGUAAGCAAGAGAUUUGGACAAAAAAAUAGCUCAAGAUGCAUCUACAGUAGUACCGGGCCGUCGUACGGAUGUAAAAAAUUACAUCCGCACCAGCCGCAGUAGUACCGUGCCGGGGUGGCACGGUAGUACCGCGCUUGGAGCGGAAGUAAUUUUUUACUUCCACGCUCCAAGCGGUAGUACCGCACCAAGGAGAGGAAGUACCGCGUGGAGCAGGCUACGAGCGUGGAUGCGUUAGUACCGCUCCAGGAGGAGCGGUAGUACCGCACGGAUAAAAAAUUCUAUAGGAGUUGUGGAUCUGGAUCUAGAACAUCCACAAAUCUAGAUCGGUACUACGGUUAAUCAAACUGAACUAUUUUGACAAUCCAAAAAGCAUGCUUACUACACUACCACUCUCCUACAAAUCCCUCUUGCACAAAUUUAGCCAAAAAUCUCAUGAACACCACAUGCAUCUCCCCAAGACCUAGAAGCACAAGAACAGAAGAAAAGGUGAGGAACUUGGGGAAAAACCUUGGUCCAUGGCAAGGGGGCAAGGUGGGAACGAUCCCACCGGUCGGAAUCCAAGGAGAGCGGCCGGAGAUGGAGAUCCGGCGAGGGCCUCCAGCGCCGUUCUUGGAAAGGAGAGAGAGAGAGAGACGGGGUGGCGAAAAGAGAUGAAUCGGUAUGGGGGAGUUAGAACUCCCCCUGCCCUGCUCUUAACCCCCACCCGCUCGCGUGGGUGCGGUAGUACCGUGGGUCAUCGCGGUAGUACCGCCCGGGCGGACGUAUCGCUCGCUGGGCGGUAGUACCGCUCUUCCAGCGACAGUAAAAAAUUACUACCGUGAUGGAAGCGGUAGUACCGUGCCCCUGGGAAGCAACUGUGCACGCACAGAGCAAACAACCCCUGCGGUAGUACCGUGGCUUGCCAUGGUAGUACCGUACCCCCAAGAAAAUGCAAGUUUCACACGAGAGGGAAACGGCAUUUGCAAGACAACCUUCAAGACGCUGAACAACCAAGAGGCAAGCACCAACAACGACACAAACACGGCACAGAGAAAAGGCAAAAGACAACGAAGACCAAAACACUAACCACAACUCUCAAGAAGAGAGGGCGGUGGCCAAAGCCACCUAUGUAUGAGUCACUUGGUAUGGCACCACAAAGAAUUAUCCUUGGGCCCAUGACCAAGACUCGUCUUUGAAGCACAAGUACCAUCAAAAAUGGCUAAUGUAAAAUAGUUUGAUCAAUUUAUGCAUAAUGGGGGGAGAUAAAGUUCAUUGAGAGAACAACACUCCCCCUAUGUCCAUGCCUACAUCUAGACAAGAUAACAUGAUGAGUAUGGUGGUGUGCAAGGGUUCAAAUCACAUUGCUCGAAUCAAUGAUAUUUAGCUGAUGCCUUAACUCGUGAUAUCUUGUUUCAUCCAAGGGCUUCCUGAAAAUAUAUGCGAGGUUAUCAUGUGUGUUGACAUACUCGAGCUUGAUCUCCCCUCGCCUAAUGUGAUCCCGGAUGAAGUGUUACCGAAUCUCAAUAUGCUUCGUCUUGAAGUGUUGCACCGGGUUGAGAGAGAUCUUGAUGGCACUUUCAUUGUCACACCAAAGAGGCACUUUGUCACAAGUGACAUCGUAAUCCUUCAAAGUUUGCUUCAUCCAUAGAAGUUGAGCACAACAACUAUCGGCAGCCACAUACUCCGCUUCGGUGGACGAGGAAGAUACACAGCUCUGCUUCUUAGAAGACCAACUCACUAAAGAGUAACCAAGCAAUUGGCACCCUCCGGAAGUGGAUUUCCUAUCCACUUUGUCUCCCGCCCAAUCUGAGUCUGUAUAGCCCAAAAGAUCAAAAUUGGUACUCUUGGGUACCAUAAGCCAAAGAUUGGGGUAUGAGCCAAAUAUCGAAAGAUUCGCUUGACCGCCACAAAGUGGCUUUCCUUAGGUGUGGCUUGAAACCGUGCACAAAUUCCCACACUCAACAUGAUAUCCGGAAUAGAUGCACAAAGGAAAAGCAAGGAUCCAAUCAUGGAGCGAUAUACCUUUUGAUCCACCGCUUUACCAUUGGGAUCAAUGUCAAGUUGGCAUUUGACGGGCAUUGGAGUGGAGGCCGGCUUGACAUCACUUAGCUUGAAUCUCUUGAGCAUGUUUUGAGUGUAUUUGGAUUGGUUGAUGAAGGUUCCUUAUCUUCUUUGCUUCAUUUUAAACCCGAGAAAGAACUUCAACUCUCCCAUCAUAGACAUCUUGAACUUUGAGGUCAUGAGAGCGGAAAAUUCUUCAUUGAAAGCUUUCUUAGGGGAACCAAAGAUAAUAUCAUCAACAUAUAGUUGGCACACAAACAAAUCCCCUUUGACCUUCUUGGUAAAAAGAGUGGGGUCAAUUUUCCCAAUUUCAAACCCACGAUCUUGUAACAACUUAGUAAGAUGCUCAUACCACGCACGUGGGGCUUGUUUAAGGCCAUAGAGCGCCUUGUUGAGUUGGUACACAUGAUCGGGGAAAUAGGGAUCCUCGAACCCGGGGGGUUGUUUGACAUACACCAACUCAUUAAUGGGACCAUUAAGAAAAGCACUCUUCACGUCCAUUUGUUGCAACUUGAAAUUAUGAUGAGAAGCAUAAGCAAUCAACAAUUCAAGGCGAGCAAUGGGAGCAAAGGUUUCACCGUAGUCGAUACCCUCGACUUGGGAGUAGCCUUGUGCCACCAAACGAGCCUUGUUGCGAACAAUGAUCCCAUGAGCAUCUUGCUUGUUCUUGAAUAUGCACUUGGUUCCAAUGACAUUAUGAUUCUCGGUUGGCCUUGGCACUAAUUUCCACACUUGGUUGUGCUCGAAGUUGUUGAGCUCUUCAUGCAUGGCACUGAGCCAAUCCGGAUCCUCGAGCGCCUCACAGACCUUUUGGGGUUUGACACAAGAAACAAACGCGUGAUGUUCACAAUAGUUUGCUAAUUGUCUAUGAGUGCUUACCCCCUUUCUUAGGCUUCCAACCACAUUCUCCAUGAGGUGACCUUUGGUAGUGAGCUUGGAAGCGAUCUUUGUGGCAUGACGCUCUAAUUCCUCCUCGGAUGUGAAAAGAGGAGGGGUAACGUGAUCAUCUUGAGCACCGUCUUGAGCUUGUUCUUGAUCUUGAGCUUGCUCUUGAUCUUGAACUUGUUCUAAAGGGGGAACUUGACCUUGGACAUCACUUGGUGGUUCACCACCAUCUUGAGGUUGAUCUUGCCCUUGAUCUUGUUCACGAGGUUGAGGGCCUUCACUUUGUUCUUCAGAAGCAUGUGGGUCUUGGGUUGGUGAUGGGUCCACUUGAGUGGAGCAUUGUCCUUCUCCUUCAGCCACAAGGGGUUCCUCAAUGGGUAGGAUAUGACCAACACCCAUUCUUCUUAUGGCUUGGGGAGGAAUUUCAUCACCUACAUCACAAGUACCACUUUGCUCCACUUGGGAGCCGUUAUUCUCGUCAAACUCCACGUUACACGUCUCCUCAAUGAGUCUGGUGGACUUGUUGAGGACACGGUAAGCAUGAGAGUUUGUAGCAUAACCAACAAAUAUGCCCUCAUGAGCUCUAGCCUCAAAUUUAGACAAAUGAACACCUUUCUUGAGAAUGAAACGCUUACACCCGAACACCCGGAAGUACUUGAGGUUGGGCUUGUUACUGGUAAGUAUUUCAUAAGGAGUCUUGUUCAAGCCUUUGCGGAGAUACAACCGAUUGGAUGCAUGACAUGCAGUGUUGAUGGCUUCAGCCCAAAAGUUGUAUGGAGACUUGAACUCCGCCAUCAUGGUCCUUGUCGCAUCCAUGAACGUCCGGUUCUUCCUCUCCGCAACACCAUUUUGUUGAGGGGUGUAUGGUGCAGAAUAUUGAUGCUUGAUCCCCUCAUCACUAAGAAACUCAUCCAAGGUGUAGUUCUUGAACUCGGUGCCGUUGUCAUUCCUUAUUGUCAAGAUCUUUGCAUCAUGUUGACGCUAAGCUUCAUUUGCAAAGUCGAUGACGGUUUGUUGAGUCUCACUCUUCCUCUUGAAGAAAUAUACCCAAGUGUAUCUUGAACAUCCACAAUCACCAAGAAAUACUUUCUACCCCCAAGACUAUCAAAGGAUGGAGGCCCAAAGAGAUCCAUGUGAAGGAGCUCCAAGGGUCUCUUCGAGUAGAUGAUAGUCGUGGGAGGGUGAGCCUUCUCAUGUAGCUUUCCUUCGAUACAAGCACUGCAAGCACGAUCUUUGGAAAAACUAACAUUUGUUACUCCACGAAAAUGGUCCCCCUUAGAAGACUUUGCAAAGAUCUCAUAUUGACGUGGGAUAAACAGCAAUGCCAAAGCCAUCCCACAUCAACUUUAGCCAUUGGCAUGUCGCGGUCUUAGUGGGUCGCUCCGAAAAGUUAAUCACAUAAAGACCAUUCUCGACAUGCCCAACAAAGGCUACUUUAAGAGUCUUGCUCCACAAGAGGGCCACGGUAUCAAUAUGAAAUAAAGUGGCAAAGCCCAUGAGUGCAAGUUGACGAACGGAAAGUAGAUUGUAAGCAAGGGACUCAACAAACAUGACUUUCUCGAUCGUGAGAUCAUGAGAAAUGACAACCUUGCCAAGAUCCAAUACCUUAGAAGACGAGGCAUCACCCCACUUUAUGUUGGUGGGCAUAGAAGGGAUCUUGUGCACGUCCACCACCAACUCAUUGCUUCCGGUCAUAUGAUUUGUGGCUCCACUAUCGAGCAACCAUGAUCCCCCACCGGAAGCAAACACCUACAAGAGAUCAAUGCUUGGUUUUAGGUACCCAUUUUUUAAUGGGUCCUUUGAUGUUAGUAACAAGGGUCUUAGGAACCCAAAUACCAUUCAAUGUACUCAUAAGGAGAACCAACAAAUUUAGCAUAAACAUGCCCAUCACUAGCACGGCACAACACAUAAGGGUUAAAGUCGCCGGCUUUGUUGGAAGGAGUGGCAUUGCCCUUUUUGACAUCACCACCCUUCACAUUGUUCUUCUUCUCCUUAGGAGCACCCUCUCCCUCCUUCAUGAAAGUUUGCUUGAGAGGGGGAGGUCGUUUGGUCUUGUCGUUCUUCUUCUUGUUCUUGGAAUUGGGUGCGAACCCAACUCCCUCUUUGUCCACAACUUCCUUUUGAUUGCUCAAAAGGUCAUUGAGGUUCUUCUCACCUUGUAUGCACGUCACAAGGCCUUUCUCAAGUUGCGCCUUCAACUUGGCAUUCUCCUCCACAAGAUGCACAUGCUCACAACACGGGUUAGUAGCAUUUGCAUUAUCAAUUAAUACCAUAUGAGGAAAAGUGGCUUUCUCCUUGGUUAGCUUCACUUGGAGUUGAUCAUGAGACUCCUUGAGGCUUGGAUGAGCACCCUUCAAGACCUUGUGGGCCUUGUCGAGUAAAUCAAACUCCUCCUUGAGUCUAGCAUGGUCAACCCCAAGUUUAGCCUUCUCAGAGCUUAGCACAUGAGAUACAACAAGAGCAUGAUCAAGAUCUUUCUUUAAUUUAGCAUGGUCAUCAUUGUGUGACUCCUCAAGAGCCAAACGAUGCACACGCUCUUCCUCGAGAGCAUUAGAAAGAUCUGAUAUCUCAUCGGCAUAGUCACGACUAUGACCUUCCAUCUUAGAGAUGGUUUCUUCAUGAGCCUCGAUCAUGUCAUUGGCUUCACCAAGUUGCUCCAAGAGAGCAACGAAGUGCUUCUUGGAUUUGCCCUUGAGCUUACUCAUAAAACACUCAAAUUCAUUUACUUCCUCAUUAGACCGUCACUCUCAUCAAUGCAAUCCGUCAAGGAGGUUUAAUGGUGGUGGUUUUGAUGUUGGGGGUUACCUUGUUGGUGGCUUUAGCCAUGAGGCACUUGGCGGUGAUGUUCUUGUUGGGUGAGUUGAAGAGGGAUACCCGUGGAGUUGUGGCAAUGGCAACAGAGGCCAUGGCCAUGGCUUCACUAUCAUCAUCAUCAUCAUCAUCAUCAUGGUAUUCUUCUUGAACAACCAACCCUCUAGUUGGAGUCUUCUUGGUGAAGUUGUUCUUGUUGGGGAAAGACUUGGCUUUGUAUUUUCGGAUGAGCUUGCCACCAUUGUCUUCCCUCUUCUCGUACGGGCACUCCGCAACAAAAUGGCUCACAUUGCCACAAUUGUAACAUGUUCUCACAUGUUGCUUGCCCUUGAAGCUACUUGAGUUAUUCUUGUUGAAACUUGGCCUUGUGUUCUUCUUGCUCCAAAAUCGCCUUGAAGCAAGAGCCAUGUGUUCAUGAUAAUCAUACUUAGUAUCUUUGGGGUUGCUCUCAUCCUCUUCCUCAUCAUCCUCUUCUUCCACACUAACCUUGGCCUUCAAGGCAAGGUUGGGCUUCUUUGCUCUUUGAGAACGUAACACCGCAUUGUCGGCGGUCUUGUCCAAGAUGCUCAUAGCCACAAACUCAUCCAACACUUCACUUGAGGACAAGGUGUGAAAGUCCGGCCUUUGACGAAUGACGGAGGACAUGGCCUUGUGGUAAGGCAUAAUGGCCUUUAGAAAUUUGUGCUUGAUCCAAUUAUCAUCCGUAUCCUUGCUCCCAUGAUCUCGGAGUGAGACUGCGAGAGUAUUUCAUCUCAAAUAGAGCUCACGAGGUUCUUAAUCUUCUUUCAUUGCAAACUCAUCGGCUUCGUCUUGCACAACUUCAUAGUUGGAGCGUUGAAUGCUUGUGCUUCCCCUAUAGAUAUAAACAACAUGCCGCCAUGCAUCCUUGGCCACGGUGAAGGGUCGAAGAUGAGCAAGAUCUUUGGGUGGAAUUGCAUCUUGGAUGAUUAAUUGAGCAUUUUCUUUGAAUCGAUUAUCCGCGGCUUCUCGAGGGGUGAAGUUGCUUCGGUCAUGCGGAUAAAAACCUUCUUCAAUGAUUCUCCAAAGGUUAGUAUUAACAUGGUUCAAAUGACACUUAAAGAGAUAAACCCAAGAAUCAAAGUCCUCAUUUUUUACAAUCUUAGGGGGAGGACCGGAUGAUUCAAAUGAGUGGAAGGAAUCGGUCCACCAUAAGUAAGUGGAAGUUCCACAUGGGCAAAGAUGUCAUUGCCAUUUUUACCACUAGAAGAAGGAGCCUUUUCACUAGUAGCUUCCCCCUUGUUGGAGUUAGCAUCCGUCACCUUGUUGGUGGGAUCACCCACUUUCAUCGGCGCGACAGAUAGUUUAAGCCCUUCUAACAAUUUGUUAAACAUGCUUUCAACCUCGGUCGUCAUGGAGGUUUUCAAUGUGUCCAAAGCCGCAUUGAAUUCCUCACAAGAGACCGCGGUUCCCCCAUCGGCCGUAGACGAGACCGGAUUCACACCGGAGUGCUCCUCCCCACCAUGUACGGUGUCAACCUGUCACGCCCAAUAUGCGACCCUAUCCAAAAGGAACUCGAAGGUCCCACCAAGGAUAUACCCGCAUAUUGGAACGUGACAAGUUGGUAUCAGAGCCUCGACCGACCCUAGGAGCCCCCCUUGUUUGAUCGUGUAGUUUGGCCGUUGUUGAGUCUAGAAUAAAACUGUUUUCGGAGUCUACUUAUAUCGGAGAGUAGGAAUUCUUUUUACUCCUCUGCCCCUUCGUCGCUCUGGUGAGGAAUCUUGACGUAGGUGUUUUGAACUACUCCUCUUCCCCUUCAAAUUUUUCUUUAGGUUCACGCAGUUGGUUUUCCGAUCGUUGUUCCUCAUCUCUUUUUAUCCGGUGCAUUUCUUGUCAAGGUGACUCGAGCAUCUUCACCUUUGCCAAGUUCAAGCCUCAGUUGUUUUCUUUUCCCACACGCCCUCCCUUUUUUCUUCUCGAAACUGGAGUCCGUAAUCGAGUAUCCUUCCUACUCGUGCGAAGUCUUUGCUUCUUUCCUCAAUGAUUUCAACCGGUGUUUUUCUCUUCAAGAUAUUCGUCGGUUUUUCCCUUCCAAGUUGUCUUUGUUUUUCCCGCCCUCUCACCCUCUUCUCCCCAGAGCUUGAGUCUGUUUUGACCAUCAAUUCCAUUCGCUUGGAGCCUCUUCAGGUUUUCCUCAAUCAUUUCAACCGAUGAAUUCUCGUCUCGUUCGUCAUUCUUCUUCUCUUUAUCUUUUCCGGUGGAUUCAAUUCAAGUUUUUUUCGGUGGUGAAUAUAUUCUUUUCCUCAGCUCAAGUGUUUUCCCUGCUCAUUUGCCUCUCGCCAUUCAAUCAUUCCGGAGUUCGGAAGACAUCUCAGGAGAUUCGUCUGUGUUCCAAUUAAUUCGAGGUUGUCACCUCAUUCAAACAUUUCAAUUGUUCUGGUGCAUCAUCUAUCUGUUCAACAUCCCUUCCCAACGGUGUUAUCUCUUCAGUGGGCCCUAACCCACAGGUCUUUUCCCAGGAUCUUACCUGACUCUUCUAAUUAUUCCGGAGCUAUUAUCAAAUCCUUUUAAAGUGUGACGAAAGAAUGGAUUUCAUCAGUCACAUGCCUUUUCCAAGACCGAUUUGGAAUCAUUUCACUGUUGGCUCAACCUUUUCGGUUUUCAUUCUCCCAGAGUACCUCAGUAAUUUUGGUGGUGUUUCUCGUCGUCGUUUGAAGACCGAAGAAGAGUUUUCCUUCAAAUCUUGUCUGUUCCCCGGAGAUUCGGUGCUAGCUCGAUGUUAUCCUAUCAAAUUGUUUCAAGUCAUGCAAAUUCUUUUCAUCCAUCCGGAGCAUUCAGGAGUUGCUUUCUCUCUCGAUCAUCCGGAGGUCAUCUUUUCGGAAGAUUUCUUCAUUCUAAGUUUUCAGCGGUCAUCUCAAUAUUCUCCCGGCACUUCGUUCAAGUGUUCUUUAAUCAGUUCAUGAUCUCUUUGUUUUUUUGCAUCUAAAUCCCCUCUAGCUUAUUGUUUCUUCUAAUUCUUCCCGGUGAUUCAUUCUCUUUCACCAGUCUUUUCCGAAUUCUAAUGGUGGUUCUUUAAGAUUCUUUUCCUUGAUUAUCAUAUUAAUUCAUUCGUUCUUUUCAAUCCUAAAGGUGGUUCAUGAAGACUUUCUCAAGUGUUGCGCCAUUUUUCCCUUAAUCCUUUUCAGAAGAAUAAGUAGUAUGCAAAAUCCAUUUCAUCAAUUUAAUUUGAGGAAGGAUAAGCAUACAAUAAAUCUUAUUCUUAUUUCAUCCAAGUGACUAAUCCCUUUUCUUCGGAGUUUGUUCGUGAGGAAUAAAUUCUAGUUUCAAGUCUUUUCAUCUUUUCUUUUUCGGAGUUCAAUUUCCUCGGCCAUUUCAUCGGAACCUCCAUGUAAAUCAUCACAGGCUUUAAUCUUAUUCUUUCAUCCUUCAUUCUAUUUCAUCAUCCUUUUGUUACCGGAGUUCUUCAUGGUGGUUCUUCAUGAUUUAAUUCAUUCUCCAAAGAGUUCAUCAAGUAUCAUUCCAUCCUCUCAAGCUCGUGUUCUAUCCUUUCCAUGUUUCAGCCGGAGUGCUGCCUAAAUCCUUUCAGUCUUAUUCGUUUCUAACUCGUUCUAACAGGAGUUGUUUCAUAGUCUAUCUGAAUUCGUGAGCUUUCGAUUCGUCAUCCUCGUCGUUCCUCUCUUCUUCUCGAGUGCUCUCAUUCUUUGCUUAUUCUCUUGAGUUUUUGUUUCACCCAUCCCUUUUCACUUCCGUCUCGGUCCUAAGAUCUCGGGACGAGAUCUCUUGUUAGUGGAGGAGUGUUGUAACGCCCCGGAUUCAAUGCACCAGGUGUCCGCCAGUUAUUCGCCGUCGUUGCCAUGUCAUUUGCUUGCGUGUUGCACUUUGCCAUCUCAUCUUAUGCAUUUCAUAUCAUGUCAUCAUGUGCAUUUCAUUUUGCAUACGUGUUCGUCUCAUGCAUCCGAGCAUUUUCCCCGUUGUCCGUUUUGCAAUCCGGCGCUCCUAUGUCCUCCGGCGUCCCCUUUUUGUCUCUCAUUGUGAGCGGGUAUUAAACGUUGUGAGCAAGAAGAACACAAGGCCGAGGUUUGUCAAGCGGCCUUGGUAUAGCACCGGUAGACCGUUUGUCAAGUUUCGUGCCAUUUGGAGGUCGUUUGGUUCUCCAACGGUUAACCGGGUAACCGCAAGGCCUCUUUUGUGUGCAGCCCAACACCCCUUCCAAAGUGGCCCAAAACCCAGCAAACUCCCCUCCAUGCUCUCGGUCGUUCGAUCACGAUCGCGUGGCCGAAAACCGCUCCUCAUUUGGACUCUCCUAGCUCCCUCUACCUAUAUAUAUGCCAUCCCCUUCUAAAUUUGCGGAUGAACCCCCCUAACCCUAGCCCCGCUCCCUCUCCGCCGCCGGACACGUCCGGAUCGGACCGGACGCGUCCGUGCCGCCGCCCGCAGCCAACCCGCGGCCGCCACGUCACCGUCGNNNNNNNNNNNNNNNNNNNNNNNNNNNNNNNNNNNNNNNNNNNNNNNNNNNNNNNNNNNNNNNNNNNNNNNNNNNNNNNNNNNNNNNNNNNNNNNNNNNNNNNNNNNNNNNNNNNNNNNNNNNNNNNNNNNNNNNNNNNNNNNNNNNNNNNNNNNNNNNNNNNNNNNNNNNNNNNNNNNNNNNNNNNNNNNNNNNNNNNNNNNNNNNNNNNNNNNNNNNNNNNNNNNNNNNNNNNNNNNNNNNNNNNNNNNNNNNNNNNNNNNNNNNNNNNNNNNNNNNNNNNNNNNNNNNNNNNNNNNNNNNNNNNNNNNNNNNNNNNNNNNNNNNNNNNNNNNNNNNNNNNNNNNNNNNNNNNNNNNNNNNNNNNNNNNNNNNNNNNNNNNNNNNNNNNNNNNNNNNNNNNNNNNNNNNNNNNNNNNNNNNNNNNNNNNNNNNNNNNNNNNNNNNNNNNNNNNNNNNNNNNNNNNNNNNNNNNNNNNNNNNNNNNNNNNNNNNNNNNNNNNNNNNNNNNNNNNNNNNNNNNNGGCGCCGCCCGACACUGCCGCCGCCGGGAACGGGUCCUGCCGCCCCAGAUCCGUCCGGAUCUGGCCGGUCCCCGCCCCGCCUUCGCCGCGCGCCGCCGUCGCCGGCCAUGGCCUCGCCUCUGCCCGCGCGUGCGGGAGGACGAGGAGCGUGCCCUCGCCACCGGCCACGUGGGCCCCGCAGCCCAGUUGCAGGCCCAGUCCACCAGACUCCCACCGCCGGCCUGCCUCCUCCUCUGCAAUGGGCCGAGCCCGAUGGGUGAGCCCGCAUAUCCCCCGCCCCGUGCACACUUUAGCUAAGAUGCGCUCACUUCGGUUUUUUCCGGAAAAAUGACCAAGUCCCCGUUUCUGGGUAAUUUUCAUGCCAUGUUCAUGCCAUCACAUCUCUGCAUCCGUAGCUCCGUUUCGUGCGUGUAAUAUGUCAAAUUGUUCAUCUCUACGAGUACCUCAUUUCAUUCCAUUGCAUCAUUUUCAUUUGAGAUCAUCUUGAUGCCCGAAAUGUUGUUGGAAGAGUGCAUGUUGAUGUUAAUCUGCUGAAACUGUUAUAACUUGCUCAUUUGUCAUUUUUGUCAUGAUUGAUGUGUGCAUCCUAUGAGUAUGAGCUCUACAUGUGUUUUGAUCUAUGAUAUGCCAUCUUUCCAGGGGUGCCAACCAUGUAUUUUUGUGAGUUGUGUGCUGAGUGUAUCAAGCUUGCUAAGUAGGCUAGUUGUUGUUGCUGUUUUCCUGACAGAUUCUGUUAUAUUUUGUUGCUAUGUUAACAUGUUGCUACUAAUCAUUCUAUGCAUAAUCUGGAGAUGUUCUAUAAACAUGUUUUGAUCUACAUGUCUUGCUCUAUCCAUUCAUGCCCUUGGUUGCAAUUAUAGCCUGUUGUAUCAUGUUCAUAUCUUGCUCCAAAGUUGCUUGAUGAUGUUGUUGUCAGCUUGUUAACAUGAAGUUCAAUGUUUCCAUGGUUGUUUCCUAGUGAUCCAUGCACCCUAUGAACUUGAUCUUGCCAUGCUUAGCUUCAUAAACAUGUCUUCUUAUUGUUGGCUGCCUUGCCAUGCUAUGUAUUGCUCUGUGGUGAGUGGUACAAGCUCACCAACAUGCCUACUUAUUGUUGUUUCUGCCAUGUAUGAAUCUGUAAUAUAACUUGCCAUGUUUACAUGGGUGCCAUCAUAUCUUCUGAUCCUUUUUGGCUCAUGGUUAGUAAGGGACUUUUGAUCUAUGCAAUUAGUAGGUUCAUGCCAUGCCUUUGUUUGCCAUGAUAAGUUCCUGUAACAUGUUGUUUGAUAGCUCUAAACAUUGCAACCUGAUGUUAUUUCCUGAUAAGUCUGAAACUGUUAUAAUUUGCAAUCUUUCCAUGUCAUUUGGAGCAUGUUCUAGUGAUUUCUAGAGAUAGCUCAGUGUUCAUGUUUUGUUGUGCUUUACCAGUACUUCAUGUUCAUGCCUUUUGUUCUUAUGUUGGGGUGCUGUAGCAUGUUGUUUUGAUGCUUGUAAGAUUCCUAGUUGCUGUUAUGAAGAGAUUGUUGUUAUGACUUGUGUAGAGUGUAUGUGUUGCACCGUUGCUCCGUUUUGAGUGUGCUCUAUAUGAAACUUGCUUGAUUUUGCAUGUAGCUUCAUAUUACCAUGUUGCAUCCUUGUUUUGGUGUGUUUGCUUGAUGUUUGGGUGCAUUUUGCAUCAAUGCCAUGUUUAACUUGUUUUGCUCAUAUCUUCUAGGCCGUAGCUCCAAAUCUAAUGAACUUUAUAUGUAACUUGACUAGAAUUUCAUGUAGAUUCUCUUGGUGCUCUUUAACUUUCUGUUUAACAACUUCAACUUAAUGUUUAUUCAGUUCUGGACCAAUUUCGAAAUUUGCAUAUGAGGACUUACCGGAAUUGUUAUAUGUUGUUUCCGGCCUCAUUUAAACUUGCCUUGAUGUGUUGUUCUUGUUUGCAUCAUCUCUUGCCAUGAGUAGCUUCAUGUAGCCUUGUCAUGCAUCAUGCUUGUUGGGCAUCAUGUCUUGUUCUUGUGUGGUGUGUUUACCAUGUUGUGUGCUUCUUCUCGAUAGUUCCCGUUUCGUUGCGAUCGUGAGGAUUCGUUCGUCUACGCUUGGUUCGUCUUCGUGGCUUCAUCUUCUUCAUGGACUCGUUCUUCUUCCUUGCGGGAUUUCAGGCAAGAUGACCGCUACCCUGGAUCUCACUACUACCAUUGCUAUGCUAGUUGCUUCGUUCUAUCGCUAUGUUGCAUUACCUAUUAGUUGCUCUUCAAGCCUCCCAAAUUGCCAUGAACCUCUAACCUUUGACACCAUUCCUAGCAAACUGUUGCUUGGCUAUGUUACCGCUUUGCUCAGCCCCUCUUAUAGAGUUGCUAGCUGCAGGCGAAGUUGAAGAUUUCUCCAUGGUGGACAGGGUUAUGUUGGGAUAUCACAAUAUCUCUUAUAUUAUUAAUGCAUCUAUAUAUUUGGUAAAGGGUGGAAGGCUCGGCCUUAUGCCUGGUGUUUUGUUCCACUCUUGCCGCGCUAGUUUCCGUCAUACCGGUGUUAUGUUCCCGGAUUUUGCGUUCCCAACGCGGUCAGGUGAUUUAUGGGACCCCCCUGACAGUUCGCUUUGAAUAAAACUUGUCCAGCAAGGCCCAACCUUGGUUUUACCAUUUGCCUCACCACCACCUACUUUUCCCUUGGGAGUAAUUAACCCAAGGGUCAUCUUUAUUAUAGCCCCCCCGGGCCAAUGCUUGUCUAAGUGUUGGUCCAAACUAGAGCCACUUGCAGCGCCACCUCGGGGAAACUUGAGGUCUGGUUCUAGUUGUACGUAGUGCUCAUCCGGUCGUGGCCUGAGAUGAGAUACGCGCGGCUACUAUCAGGAUGUCAGCACGCCGGGAGGUUUUGCUGGUCUUGUUUUACCAUUGUCGAAAUGUCUUGUAAACCGGGAUUCCGAGACUGAUCGGGUCUUCCUGGGAGAAGGUCUAUUCCUUCGUUGAUCGCGAGAGCUUGUCAUGGGCUAAGUUGGGACACCCCUGCAGGGUAUAAACUUUCGAGAGCCGUGCCCGCGGUUAUGUGGCAGAUGGGAAUUUGUUAAUGUCCGGUUGUAGAUAACUUGACACCAGAUCCGAAUUAAAACGCAUCAACCGCGUGUGUAGCCGUGAUGGUCUCUUCUCGGCGGAGUCCGGGAAGUGAACACGGUUUCUGGGUUAUGUUUGAUGUAAGUAGGAGUUCAGGAUCACCUCUUGAUCAUUGCUAGCUUCACGACCGUUCCGCUUGCUCUCUUCUCGCUCUUAUUUGCGUAUGUUAGCCACCAUAUCAUGCUUAGUCGCUGCUGCAACCUCACCACUUUACCCCUUCCUUUCCCAUUAAGCUUUGCUAGUCUUGAUACCCAUGGUAAUGGGAUUGCUGAGUCCUCGUGGCUCACAGAUUACUACAACAACAGUUGCAGGUGCAGGUUUUGCGAUGAUCAUGACGCGAGAGCGAUGCUUGCUUGCGUUGAGUUCUUCUUCUGCUUCCUCUUCAAUCAGGGGAUAGGUACCAGGUCGGCAGCCUGGGCUAGCAGGGUGGAUGUCGUUUGAGUUUCCGUUUGUGUUUCAUCCGUAGUAGGAUGGUGCUCUUAUGUAAGAUCAUGUUGUAUUCGUGUGGCAUUGUAUGCCUUAUGUAUGUAUCCCCAUCUAUUAUGUAAUGUUGAUGUAAUGAUAUCCACCUUGCAAAAGCGUCUUCAAGAUGCGCUUCUAUCCUUGGUGGGACCUUCAAGUUCCUUUAGGAUAGGGUCACAUCUUGGGCGUGACACAACCAUACUCUUCGGACGGCAAAGUUCUUAAUAAAGAGACGAGGCUCUAAUACCAAUUGAAAGGAUCGAUAUAGUUGACUAGAGGGGGGUGAAUAGGCAACUAAGAAUUUUUUGCUUUUCUUUACCAAAUUAAACUUUGCAUCAAAGUAGGUUGUCUAGAUAUGCAACUAGGUGAGCAACAUAUAUGAUACAACAACAAUAAGCACACAAGCAAGCAAGGGAUAGUCCACAAUAUAUCUUGCACAAGUAAAGGUGGGAGAUAACCAAGAGUGCAACCGAUGAAGACGAGGAUGUGUUAUCGAAGUUCCUUCCCUUUGAGGGGAAGUACGUCUCCGUUGGAGCGGUGUGGAGGCACAAUGCUCCCCAAGAAGCCACUAAGGCCACCGUAUUCUCCUCACGCCCUCACACAAUGCGAGAUGUCAUGAUUCCACUAUUGGUGCCCUUGGAGGCGGCGACCGAGUCUUUACGAACGAGGUUGGGGCAAUCUCCACAACUUAAUUGGAGGCUCCCAACGACAUCAUGAAGCUUCACCACAAUGGACUAUGGCUCCGCGGUGACCUCAACCGUCUAGGGUGCUUAAACACCCAAGAGUAACAAGAUUCUCAAGGGAUUAGUGGGGGGAAUCAAAUUUCUCUUGGCGGUAGUGUAGAUCGGGGCCUUCUCAACCAAUCCCUGGAAAAUCAACAAGUUUGAUUGGCUAGGGAGAGAGAUUGGGCGAAAAUGGAGCUUGGAGCAAUAAUGGAGCUUGGGGAUGGAAGAGGUGGGCAACUAGAGGAAGAAGACACCCCUUUUAUAGUCAAGGGGCAAUUCCAACCGUUACCCACCAUGCAGCCCGCGACCCGCGGUACUACCGCACCACUGGAGCGAUACUACCGCACGGGCCUGCGAUACUACCGCGGUGGUCUGCGGUACUACCGUGGGCGCGGCAGGGCCUGGACCUGACUAGAUGAGCAUCGAAAGGGUGCGGUAGAACCGCUGGCGUGGUACUACCGUGACCCUAUGCGGUACUAUCACAUGGUAGGCACCGUCCAGGCACUGUAGGCACGGAUAUAAAAAAUUACAUCCGUGACUACAUCUGCAGAGAUUUUAUCUAUGCAAAAGUCCGACACGGUACUACCGCAAACCAGGUGCGGUACUACCGUGUAGGGUGCGGAUGUAAAAAAUUACAUCUGCCCCUACUUCUGCUCAUGCUGUUGUGCCUGGCCAAGCUGCACGGUACUACCGCGCCAGAGCACGGUACUACCGCGUAGGGUGCAGAUGUAAAAAAAUACAUCUGCCCCUACUACCGCUUACGCAGUAGUGCCAGGCCAGAGCUCACCUUACUACCUCUCAGAUGGAGCGGUACUACGAUGGGCGCCCACGGUACUACCGUGCCGGAGCCCGGUACUACCACUCUGGGGAGCAGUACUACCACCAGCCUAUGAACAGCAACACUAGGAGUCCUUCAUUCUGCAGAGACACGGUGAGACGGAGGUACCGCCCCGGAUUCAUUAUGCCAGGUGUCCGCCAUUUAUUCGUCGUUGUUGCCAUGUCAUUUUCUUGCGUGUUGCAUUUUAUAAUGUCAUCAUGUGCAUUUCAUUUUGCAUACAUGUUCGUCUCUUGCAUCCGGUCCUUUUCCCCGUUGUCCGUUUUGCAAUCCAGUGCUCCUAUGUCCCCCGGCGCCCCCUUUUGCCUCUUUUCGUGUGCGGCUGUUAAAUGUUCUCGGAAUGGACUGAGGUUUGCCAAGCGGCCUUGGUAUAGCACCGGUAGACCGCCUGUCAAGUUUCGUGCCAUUUGGAGUCCGUUAGAUACUCCAACGGUUAACCGGGUAACCGCAAAAGCCUCUUUUGUGUGCAGCCCAACACCCCUUCCAAAGUGGCCCAAAACCCAUCCAAAACCCCUCCAUGCUCUCGGUCGUUUGAUCACGAUCAUGUGAGAGAAAACCGCUCCUCAUUUGGACUCUCCUAGCUCCCAGAAUCUAUAAAUAGGUCCUCCCCCUCCAUUUUCGCGGAUGAACCCUAGCCCCGCUCCCCUCGCGCCGCCGGACACUUCAUCCCACCGUCCGGACACGUCCGCCCGCUCCGCCGGACGAACCAGCAGCAGCCACGUGGCGCCCCCGCGCCCACUUCGCCGCCGGCCCGCGGAGCCCAUCGCGGGCCCNNNNNNNNNNNNNNNNNNNNNNNNNNNNNNNNNNNNNNNNNNNNNNNNNNNNNNNNNNNNNNNNNNNNNNNNNNNNNNNNNNNNNNNNNNNNNNNNNNNNNNNNNNNNNNNNNNNNNNNNNNNNNNNNNNNNNNNNNNNNNNNNNNNNNNNNNNNNNNNNNNNNNNNNNNNNNNNNNNNNNNNNNNNNNNNNNNNNNNNNNNNNNNNNNNNNNNNNNNNNNNNNNNNNNNNNNNNNNNNNNNNNNNNNNNNNNNNNNNNNNNNNNNNNNNNNNNNNNNNNNNNNNNNNNNNNNNNNNNNNNNNNNNNNNNNNNNNNNNNNNNNNNNNNNNNNNNNNNNNNNNNNNNNNNNNNNNNNNNNNNNNNNNNNNNNNNNNNNNNNNNNNNNNNNNNNNGCCUCGCCGGCCCCAUCUCCGAGGCCGCCGCCUUCCCCAAGCGUCGUCGGGCUCCACCGCCCUGUGCCCCGUCCACCGUCGGCGUCUCGCGCCCGGCCGGCGCCGCCCGUGCUCCUCCGCCCCUCGCCGGCGCCCCGUCCCCGCCUCCUCCGACCUCCCUCUGGCCGCUCUCCGGCGAGAACCCCGGACAUCCUCGGUUCGCGUGCAACGAACCCCAGAUCCAGAUCCAGUCCAUGAAGGUUGACCCCGAAAUUCCUGUCCCGAAAUUAUUUACAUUAUCAUGCCAUGUUCAUCGCAUCAUAACUUGCUGCAUACUGCUCCAUUUCGUUUGUGUAAUAUGUCAAAUUGUUCGUCUCGAUGAGUACUUCGUUUCCUUCCAUUGCAUCAUUUCAUUUGAGUUCAUCUUGAUGCCUGAAUCAUCGUUGCAAGAGUGCUAUAUGAUGUUAAUCUGCUGAAACUGUUAUAACUUGGUGAUUUGUCAUUUUUGUUGCAUUUUAUGUGUGCAUCCUAUGAGGUUGAUGUCUACAUGUGUUUUGAACUAUGUCAUGCCAUUUUUACAGGAGUGCUAUCCAUGUAUUUUUUGUGAGUUGUGUAGUGAGUGCAUAAAGCUUUUUAAGUAGGGUACUUGUUGUUGCUGUUUUCCUGACUGAUUUUGUUAUAAUAUGAUGCUAUGUAAACCUGCUGCUACGAGUCAUUCUAUGCAUAAUCUGGAGUUGUUUACUAAGGAUGUUUUGUUAUACAUGUCAUGCUCUAUCCAUUCAUGCCCCUGGUUGCAUUUAUAGUCUGCUGUAACAUGUUGUAAUCUUGCUCUCAAAAUUGCUAAAUAAUGUUGCUGUCAGCCUGUUAACAUUAAGUUCAAUGUUGCCAUGAUUGUUGCUGGUGAUCCAUGCACCCUAUGAACUUGUUCUUGCCAUGAUUAGCUUUUCAAACAUGUAUUCUUACUGUUGGUUUCCUUGCCAUGCCAUCUAUUUCUCUGUGGUGAGUGGUUCAAGCUCACCAACAUGCCUACUUAUUGUUGUUUCUGCCAUGUAUGAAUCUGUCAUAUAACUUGCAAUGUUUACAUGGGUGCCAUCAUAUUUUCUGAUCCUUUUUGGCUCAUGGUCAGUAAGGGACUUUUGUUAUAUGCAAUUAGUAGAUUCAUACCAUGCCUUUGUUUUCCAUGAUAAGUUCCUGUAACAUGUUGUUUGAUAGCUCUAAACAUUGCAACCUGAUGUUAUUUCUGCCAAGUCUGAAAUUGUUAAUAUAUGCAAUCCUGCCAUGUGUUUUAGAGCAUGUUAUAUUGUUUUCCGGAGAUAGCUCAGUGUUCAUGUUUUGUCAUGCUUUACCUGUACUUCAUGCCCAUGCCUUUUGUUUUCUCUUUGGGAUGUUGUAGCUUGUUGUUUUGAUGCUUGCAAUAUGCCUAGUUGUUGUUUUGGACAGAUUGUUGUUAUAACUUGUAGAGUGUAUGUGUUGAACCGUUGCUCCGUUUUGUGUGUGCUCUAUAUGAAACUUGCUUGAUUUUGCAUGAAGUUUCAUAUUAUCAUGUUGCAUCCUUGUUUUGAGGUGUUUGCUUGAUGUUUGUAUGCAUUUUGCAUCAAUGCCAUGCUUAACUUGUUUUGGUCAUAUCUUCUAGACCGUAGCUCCAAAUUGAACGAACUUUAUAUGUAACUGGACUAGAAUCUCGUGUAGAUCAUCUUGGUGCAUCUUAACUUGCUGUUUAACAACUUGAACAUAAGGUUUAUUCAGUUCUGUACCAAUUUCUAAAUUUGCAUAUGAGGACUUACCAGAAUUAUUAUAUGUUGUUUCCGGCCUCAUUUAAACUUGCUUUGAUGUGUUGUUCUUGUAUGCAUCAUCUCUUGCAUUGAGUAGCUUCAUAUAGCUUUUGUCAUAUAUCAUGAUUGGUUGUGCACCAUGUCAUGUCUACGUGUGGUGUGUUUACCUUGUUGUGUGCUUCUUCUCGAUAGUUCCCGUUUCGUUGCGAUCGUGAGGAUUCGUUCGUCUACGCUUGGUUCGUCUUCGUGGCUUCAUCUUCUUCAUGGACUCGUUCUUCUUCCUUGCAGGAUUUCAGGCAAGAUGACCGUCACCUUGGAUCUCACUACUAUCAUUGCUAUGCUAGUUGCUUCGUUCUAUCGCUUUGCUGCGCUUCCUAUCAUGUGCUCUUCAAGCCUCCCAAAUUGCCAUGUCAGCCUCUAACCUUUUUCACCCUUCCUAGCAAACCAUUGCUUGGCUAUGUUACCGCUUUGCUCAGCCCCUAUUAUAGGGUUGUUAGUUGCAGGUGAAGUUGAAGAUUGCUCCAUGACAGACAGGAUUAUGUUGGGAUAUCACAAUAUCUUUUAUUUAAUUAAUGCAUCUAUAUAUUUGGUAAAGGGUGGAAGGAUCGGCCUUAUGCCUGGUGUUUUGUUCCACUCUUGCCGCCCUAGUUUCCGUCAUACCGGUGUUAUGUUCCUGGAUUUUGCGUUCCUUAUGCGGUUGGGUGAUUUAUGGGACCCCCUUGACAAUUCGCUUUGAAUAAAACUCCUCCAGCAAGGCCCAACCUUGGUUUUACCAUUUGCCUCACCACCACCUAUAUUUCCCUUGGGAGUAAUUAACCCGAGGGUCAUCUUUAUUUUAGCCCCCCCGGGCCAAUGCUUGUCUAAGUGUUGGUUCGAACCGAGUAGACUGCGGGGCCCCCUCAGGGAAACUCGAGGUCUGGUUUCACUCGUAGGAUGUCUCAUCCGGUGUUGCCCUAAGAACGAGAUAUGUGCAGCUCCUACCGGGAUUGUCGGCGCAUCGGGUGGCUUUGCUGGUCUUGUUUUACCAUUGUCGAAAUGUCUUGUAAACCGGGAUUCCGAGACUGAUCGGGUCUUCCUGGGAGAAGGAAUGUCCUUCAUUGAUCGCGAGAGCUUAUCAUGGGCUAACUUGGGACACCCCUGCAGGGUAUAAACAUCCGAGAACCGUGCCCGCAGUUAUGUGGUAGAUGGGAAUUUGUUAAUGUCCGGUUGUAGAUAACUUGACACCAGAUCCGAAUUAAAAUGCAUCAACCGUGUGUGUAGCCAUGAUGGUCUCUUUUUGGCGGAGUCCGGGAAGUGAACACGGUUUCUGUGUUAUGAUUGGCGUAAGUAGGAACUCAGGAUCACUUCUUGAUCAUUACUAGUUGACGACCAUUCCGUUUGCUCUCUUCUCGCUCUCUUUUGCGUAUGUUAGCCACCAUAUAUGCUUAGUCGCUGCUGCAACCUCACCACUUUACCCCUUCCUUUCCCAUUAAGCUUUGCUAGUCUUGAUACCCAUGGUAAUGGGAUUGGUGAGUCCUCGUGGCUCACAGAUUACUACAACAACAGGUGUAGGUGCAGGUUAUGCGAUGAUCAUGACGCGAGAGUGAUGUUUACUUGUUUUGGAGUUCUUCUUCUGCUUCUUCUUUGAUCAGGGGAUACGUUCCAGGUCGGCAGCCUGGGCUAGCAGGGUGGACUUCGUUUGAGCUUCUGUUUGUGUUUCAUCCGUAGUCGGAUGUUGAUCUUAUGUAUGAUGUUGUAUUCGCGUGGCAUUGUAUGCCUUAUGUUUGUAUCCCCAUCUAUUAUGUAAUGUUGAUGUAAUGAUAUCCACCUUGCAAAAGCGUUUCAAUAUGCGGUUCUAUCCUUGGUGGGACCUUCGAGUCUCUUUAGGAUAGUAUCGCAUAUUGGGCGUGACAAAGCUCCAAAGAGCCAAAGGAAAGGCGGCGCAAAAAGAACAUGUGUAUGUGAGAUUCCACCCAAACCUUUCCAACGCGGACCCUCUCUUAAUAGUACGGCUUUCCUACGACUCAAAUCCACCGAAAAGAAACAUAGAGAAAUGCCGUAUUCAAUAAUCUUUGAGGGGCAUCAAAUCGUCUUGUGUUCAGUCAUGAUAUAUCUGAAAAGCUCAAAGCACAUGAUUAGUCCGCAAAAGCAUUGUCAUCAAUCACCAAAACUACUAAGGGAUAAAUAUGCCCUUACAACUAUGUCAGCCCCCAAGUCUACUGCUUAUGAUGAAUAUGUUGUAGACUUAGAACGAACUUAAGAACAUCAGUAAUAUCAUUUGGUAAAACCUUUAAAAAUCCAACUUAAUCCGUACUCCCCAAGGGCCGGUUUAAUCAUCAUGAAUGAGCCGGUCCUUCAUAUUCUUGUGUAGAAGAUAGUAUUUGUGUAACUUUUAACAUCAAUAUGCAUUAGUCCCCAAGUGCCAAGUACUCUUGCUUGCAAAGUUCUUGGGACUUUACUCUCAUAAGCCGCCACUUAGACAAAAACUUUCGGUAGACAUUAGCCCCCAAGUGCCAAGUGUUGUUGCUUGCAAAAGGCUUGGGACUUAAUAUUGCAUACUAAUGUUUAUGAUUGUGAUCCGGUACAUGUACAGACCACCACUGCUCAACUUCAAUCAGAGCUAUAUGAAUUGAAGAACCGCUUGGAGCUGCAAGAGACGGAGACUCAGAGUGCAAACUCCAAAUUUGAAUUCAACGUAUUUAUACAAGAAAAAUUGAGGGCCGAGUUUGGAGUUGAGAAAAAGGCAUGGGCCGAAGAAAAGAUUGCCUUGACCCAUCGAGCUGAAAAAGUAGAGGCGGCUCUUAAAGUGGUGACCACUGAAUUGUCCGGCUUAAAACGCCAUGUGUCUCAGAUGGUCUCGGCAAUCUUUGGUAAGAUGCCCUACAAGUGUCAAGUGUUGAAUCUUUCUGGUGAUCAUAUGAACUGUUGUUAACUCAUCUGCUAUUGCUAUGCAGGCCCCAGGAGAACCAACCUCAACCAUGACAUGCUGGUGAAGCUGAAGGCGGUUUACACGCUUGUAGAACAACUUUACACUAGAGCUCAGCGUGCCUUAGCCAUAGUUGCCAUGUCAAAUGAAGCCCCCACACUCCUGGUUGCUAUGCUAAAGAAGCUUUCUGUGCUGCCCCAGUGGUUCAAUGAAUUAAAGCGGUCAUUUGCGAGAGCCAGAGCCGUGGCUGCCUUAAGCCGGGCCAAAGCAAGGCUACCGGAAUUAGACCCGGCCGACAUCGCCAUUGGGUAUCCAAGCCUUAAGGAAGAUGGCACUUCAUUUGAACAGGAGGAAUUCGCUGCUUGUGUGAAUGAAAUACGCCUUGUGGCCACAUUGAUUGCCAAUGAGACGGACCUCACCAAAUACCAUCCGGCUUAUGAUGCGGAAAAUCAGAGGAUGCAGAUGCCGUGUUAUAAAGUGACAGGCCUGAUCCCCCCAAUUCGUAAGCAUACCUUCGCCCCUGAAGUUGACCCGUCCAGGCUAAUUGAUGAUGAAGCUGAAUUUGAAGCUUUCAAUGGCAUUGACUAGUCGUCAUCAACCUUCCAGGACAGGGAACAGGACAAAGAAGCGGAGAGGGUUGAUCCAGAAGCUUCAGGCCAACAAGAGAACUGAUCUGCCGAGCGGCUCAUAUUUGUAGCCUUCUGAAAAAACAGUUUAAUCAUUUGGACUCGGGGAGUCGUGUAAUAGGGUAGAAAUGACUUUGCUCUGUCAUGCCAUCGCGCACAUUUUGGUGCUCAACACGGUUAAGCCGCCGUCUUAUAUUUGCCCUUAUUAUACUUAUCAUCUGUUUUCCGUAUGCAUAAGAAAGUCCUUGAACUAUCCUGCACAUAGAAAUAGAUCACAAGACCCCUUGAUGGUUUACCGCAGGGCGGGUUAUAAUAUCUUACAUAUGACCACUGAUGUGUCAAAAAGGAGUCAAAGAUAAGCCUGUUAUGAAUCAUAACUUUGAAACAUAACUAUAAUAUCAUACCUGUGAUAUUGAAUUUGCACUGCCGGUUUAUGUGACCUGCACAGUAAGGGUGAUAACCCAAUAUUUAGAAGCCAAAACUUCCAAAUGUUUGAUGAUUGUCAUAUGCUGGCGACUUAUCGUCCAAAGCCAACCGGGUUAAAUAGAAACCACAUAUAUAUGCCUCAGAUAUGAACAAAAAAGUCUCAAGACAACCCAAAGAUUUUUUUCAAAAAAACUUAAGCCAAAUAGAGAGAAAAAACGAGGCUUCUGAUUCGAAUACGAUCAGUAAGCCGGACCAAAAGGGGUUAAGCUAGGAUUCGAAUACGACCAGGAAGCCCCCUAGUGGUUUUUGCAUUGCGCCGAUCAAGAGGGUACCGACAGCUAUGUUCUCUUUGGUUCGAAUACGACCUAUGUUUGAACAGUGUCGGAGUAAUGGGCCACGGGUAGGCUCACCCGAGUCCCAAGAUUUACCAAGACUUUGGGCCAGCUCCGCCUAGCUGAGCCCCAAGACGAAACUCCGCCCUCUGGGGCCGGCUGGCUCAGUGGUCGGUUGCCAGAGGGCGGGCGACCCAAGACCACGGCGCUCCGGGCGGCCGGUUCCUGGUAGCUACCCUCCAUAGAGGGCGGCUACAGGCAGGCGGCCGCCCCACGGCUGCGGCAUGGCCGAGCCUCCUUUGAGAGUAUGAGAUGAAGCAUGGCUACAGUAAGGCGCGUCGCCUCCAAUACCCAGGACGAGCAUGGCUACAGUGCUCCGUACAGACAGAAAUCUCCGCACGGCGGGGCACUAUGCCAUGUCACCUCUGAUGUCGCUUCGGGCAGGCGGAGUCCUGUUCUCCACAACGGCCUGUUGGUACGGCCUGCCAGAGGCGGGCCCUACCAGGCAGUGACUUCAAGGAAUGCGGCGGAAGCUCGACCAAGCGGAUUCAAGAGGAGCCGGCCUCCACCAGGCGGCCGUCCCUUAUCCCGAGGCAUGCAUGCCAUUAAGCUGAUAAGACCAGAUAUGGCUACAGUAGCCCCCCGCCAGGCGGCGGGACUGUAGGCACGCAGAGGUGAUCAAGCCUUCGUCACCAAUGACAUGGCUACAGUAAGCAGCCACCAACCAGUCGGCGGGGCCCCACCAGGCGGCGGGCCCCAGCGGUCGGCGGAGAAGCCGGAGGCCGGAGACACUGACAGCCAGGCCCGGCAGCCAGUCGGAUUACCAUUGUACCCCUGGGGGUAGGCCUAUAUAAACCCCCUAGGCCACCCAUGCAAAGGGUUCGACGCCAUUAGCACUAGCCACCCCGUAGAGUAGGAAGAGAGCUAAGCCUUGCUCCCUCCUGCCUCUAGCAUAUAGCUCGAGGAGCAUCCUUGUAUCACUUGAGCAUUAGUGAUCAUGCGGAGACCCCGCAGAGCAGGACUAGGGGUGUUAUCUCCUAGGAACACCCCGAACCUGGGUAAAGUCCGCCGGCGUUCGUGUCUACGCCUUAUCUCGCUUCCAGGCACCGGUGACAUUCUACUCGCUCCCACCAUGAUAAGCCAUCCAUUGGCAUAUGUCGCACCCAACCCCCGACAUUUGGCGCCCACCGUGGGGAGAGGUGCACUGUCUCCCGGAGAUCUGCUUUGGACGGGAACCCUGUUCCUUCCUGGCGAGCGAAGCCAGCCCAGCACGUCCGAUGGCGUCAGCCUCGACGUGCUGCAUGGCGCAGAGACCGCCUGCGCGGCGAGUUGCCUUGCUGAUCUCGUCGGCGAGAUCGACCUCUUCGACGAGCCGGCCUCCGACGCAGGCACAAGCUGCCCCGAGAGCCGCCUCGUCAGCCUCCUCGACCAGCUCCAUGUUGCCAGCAAGCCCGUUGUGGACCUGGAGUCCGUCGGCUCGACCGAUCCGAUGAUCGUCGACUCCAACACGGCGUUGCUCGACGCGUUUCCCACCAACGUGGUGGUCUAUGAUGAGCCGCCUCCUCGCAAGUACAGCGGUGGGAGCACCGUCACGGAGGUGCUCGUCAUCAACAGCGAGGAGCACUCGGACGGGCGAGCUCAAGAUUCCCUUGAGGCCACCCUGCGCGACCUCUCGACGCCUAUCCCUGAGGGCGCGGAUGCUGAGGUGCUGGAGGCACGCCGCCUCCAGCUUGUCGAGAGUGCUGGCCGCCUGGCCAGCAUGCGCCGGCUAUUGGACGCCUAUCGGCGCGAGAUGGACCGGGCCAUAGGCGGCACGCCGGCUCCUGGGGUGCCUAGCUGUCUCGGCACGGUUCGGCAGCAUGGCGCGGCCGUUGCCACCAUGUUCGGGGUAGAGCGCCCCGUCUAUGCCACGCCUGCAGAGAACAUCCGGGCCGCCCAGGCGGUGACGGAUAAGUUGAAGAUGUACGACGGCGACGAGCUCCGCCACAUGACCAAGCGAGUCCAACAGCUCCUAGACGCGGCAGCCGCGCAGCACGAGGCCGCCUGCCGCGCUGAAGACCCAGCCGGACGAGGCAACGAGCCUCCCCCGCGCCUAGUUCAUGGGGCGACCUCCCGAACGCCGACUAGUGGCGCCCGUGGAGGAAAGGGCAAUGAGCCGUCUGCUAGCCGCAGUCAGACGCGCAUCUCCAUUGAGCGGGACGAGGAAGGCCGCCCUCGUGUAGUAGAGCGGCGGGGCGACCUGCCGCCUCCCCCGCCUCGUGGAGCAAGAUACCCCACUUCGCCUCCUGUCACGCACCCGACACUCGGCGACCGCCUUGGCCGCCGGGAGGGAGUCGGAGAGAACGAUGCUCACCGCCGGAUCGAUCGCCUCAACCGAUCCCUGGCACUUGAAGAGGAAGAUGCGCUGGGCCCGCCCUGCUUCGGCCCCUGAAUCCGCGAUGAGCCAUUCCCCAAAGGGUUCACCCUCCCGCGAGACACGCCCAAAUACACCGGCUCCGUGAAGCUGGAGGACUGGCUAGUCAACUACUCCACAGUCGUCAGUAUAGCAAACGGCAACAAGCGCGUUGCCAUGAAGUACGUCCCGCUCAUGCUUCAAGGCACUGCUCGGACGUGGCUCAACAGCCUGAAGACCCGCAGCAUCAACAGCUUGGUUGAUUUCACCGAGGCCUUCAUCAGCAACUUCACCCGCACUUACAAGCGGGCCCCCAAGCCCCGGCAACUCUCUCUAUGUGUCCAAGGACCCACCGAGUCCACUCGCGACUACCUCACGCGCUGGACCGAGCUGCGCAACUCCUGCGAAGGCGUGCACGAGGUGCAGGCAAUCGAGUACUUCACUUCUGGGUGCAAAGAGGGCACCCUCCUCAAGCACCGCCUCCUCUACGGCGAACCCGAGACCCUUGACGAGCUGCUGGUCAUCGCCGACAAGCACGCCACGACCGACUCCUCCAUGAAGGCGGAAAUCCUGGUUGACACGUCUGGAAAGGUGGCACCCCAGGCACCUCAGACUCCUGCUGGGGACACCAGUCGGCGACAGCAGCCAGGAGAUAACAAGCGAAAGGCCACUCAGCCGGCUUCCACUAGCCGGCAGGUGGCGAUGGUCGAGGAUCAGCAGCCAGAAGGGCCGCCAGCCCCCAAGCGGCAGAAGGGUGGCAAGUCCAACUGGUUGCCCGCCUUCUCUUAUGAGCAAACUCUAGAUGCACCCUGCAAAUUCCAUAGCGGAGCGAAGCCCUCCAACCACACCACUAAAAAGUGUCACUGGCUCACCAGGAUUGCCAAGGGAGAUGGACUCCUGCCUCCUCCGCCUGCUGGACCGCCGCCUCCUCAGCCUCAGCAGCCGGCGGCCCGACCAGUCGGCGCCAUCCAAGAUGAGUACCCGGAGGAACACGGAGCUUAUGUUGUGUUCACCAGCAUGGCUGAUGACAGACGCAGCAGACGACAACAACAACAAGAAGUACAAGCAGUGGCCUCCAGCACCCCAGAGUUCAUGCAUUGGUCCGAGAAGCCUAUCAGUUGGAGCAGGGCCGACCACCCGGAAGUGAUGCCUUCCCCUGGUUCGUACGCCCUGGUCCUAGAAGCGACCCUUGAAACAGAGAGACGAGCAGCCCGUUUCUCCAGAGUCUUGAUAGAUGGCGGCAGCAGCAUCAACAUCUUGUAUCGUGACACAAUGGAGAAGUUGGGAAUCAAGCAGAAGCAUCUCGUCCCCAGCCGGACUGUAUUCCAUGCCAUAGUCCCUGGCCUUUCCUGCGCACCAAUCGGCAAGACACAAAUUGACGUCCUCUUCGGGGACAAGAAUCACUUUCGCCGAGAGCUAGUUUGGUUUGAAGUGGUGGACCUUCAGAGCCCCUACCAUGCAUUGCUAGGCCGGCCAAAUUCAUGGCAGUCCCCCACUACGCCUACCUCAAGAUGAAGAUGCCGAGUACCAAGGGAAUCCUGACAGUAGUCGGAGACUACAAGAAGUCGAUCGCUUGCGCCGCAGAUAGCAGCCGGCUAGCCGAGUCCCUCGUGAUUGCAGCUGAGAAACAGCUCCUUGAUCGGGUGGUGGCGUUGGCAGGCAAGAAGCCGAAAAUGCCACCCACGCCCCAGGAGUCGGAAGACGAGAUCUCGUUCAAGCGGGCCAAGGAAACGAAGAGGAUACCCUUGGACCGAGAGCACCCGGAGAGGCACACUGUCAUAGGCGCAGGCCUUGACAGCAAAUAGGAAGGCGGGCUCGUCGAUUUCCUCCGUGAGAAUCGGGACAUCUUCGCAUGGUCCCCCAAGGACAUGCCGGGUGUUCCGACGGAUUUCGCCGAGCACAAGCUACAUGUUCGACCUGACGCCAAGCCGGUCAGGCAGCCCUUGCGCCGCCUGUCAGAAGAAAAGAGAAGAUUUGUUGGAGAAGAGAUAGCCCGUCUUCUAGCAGCCGGAUUCAUCAUGGAAGUGUUUUUUCUAGAAUGGCUGGCCAACCCAGUCCUAGUGUUGAAAAAGAACAAGCAGUGGUGCAUGUGUAUUGAGUACACCAGCCUCAACAAAGCCUGCCCCAAAGAUCCCUUUGCUCUACCAAGGAUUGAUCAAGUGAUCGACUCCACAGCCGGAUGCGAGCUGUUGAGUUUCUUGGAUGCAUACUCUGGAUAUCACCAGAUAAAGCUAAACCCGGCCGACAGGCUGAAGACCACCUUCAUCACGCCAUUUGGAGCCUUCUGCUACCUGACCAUGACGUUCGGCUUGAGAAAUGCUGGCGCCACAUUUCAGCGUUGCAUGCAGAAGUGCCUCCUCAAGCAACUCGGCCGAAAUGCCCAUGUAUAUGUGGAUGAUGAGGUGGUGAAGACGGAGAAGCGUGGCACUCUGCUGGAGGACCUCAAGGAGACCUUUGAGAACCUGCACGGAUUCCAGAUUAAGCUCAACCCGGAGAAAUGUGUCUUUGGAGUGCCAGCCGGCCAGCUUCUUGGUUUUCUGGUCUCAGAGCACGGCAUUGAGUGCAACCCGGUGAAGAUCAAGGCCAUUGAGAUGAUGAAGGUGCCUACCCGACUGCUGGACGUGCAGAAAUUCACCGGCUGCCUGGCGUCAGCCAGCCGUUUCAUCAGCCGGCUGGGCGAGAAAGCCCUUCCCCUGUACCAACUCAUGAAGAAGACCACUUUUUUCGAGUGGAACGACAAGGCGGAUGAAGCAUUUCUCCAACUCAAGAAGAUGUUGGCAACCCCGCCUGUCCUGGUAGCUCCGACUGAAAAGGAGCCCAUGCUCCUCUACAUUGCAGCCACCAAUCGGGUUGUCAGCAUAGUCCUGGUGGUGGAGCGCAAGGAGAAGGACAAAACAUUGCCGGUCCAGAGACCAGUGUAUUACUUGCGCGAAGUAUUGUCCGCCUCCAAGCAAAACUACCCCCACUACCAGAAGAUGUGUUACGGCGUGCACUUUGCCGCCAAGAAGCUGAAGCCUUACUUCCAAGAGCACCCCAUAAUUGUCGUCUGCACAGCCCCGCUUGCUGAGAUCAUUGGAAGUCGGGAUGCCUCAAGCCGAGUGGCCAAAUGGGCUAUUGAUCUGGCCCCUUACACCAUCUAUUACCAGCCUCGCACCGCCAUCAAGUCACAGGUGUUGGCCGACUUCCUCGCGAUUGGGCCGAGACCCAAUAUUUGUCGCCUGCCCCAGACUCCACUCACUGGCGGAUGCAUUUCGAUGGUUCAAAAAUGCGCACUGGUCUAGGAGCCGGUGUCGUCCUCACCUCUCCCAAGGGCGACAAGCUUAAAUAUGUGUUGCAAGUCCACUUCGCCGCCUCCAACAACGUAGCAGAAUAUGAGGCACUCAUACACGGGCUCCGGCUUGCCAAGGAACUUGACAUUCACCGGAUCCUAUGUUAUGGUGACUCCGACUUGGUGGUCCAGCAGUCCUCGGGCGACUGGGACGCUAAGGAUGCAAACAUGGCGAGCUACCGCUUUCUGGUACAGCAACUCAGCGGAUACUUUGAUGGGUGUGAAUUCCUUCACGUGCCAAGGAAUGACAACGAGCAAGCAGAUGCCUUGGCACGGAUUGGCUCCACCCGGCAAGCGAUACCAGCCGGCGUCGCCCUACGCCGCCUUCUAAAGUCGUUUGUCAAGCCGUCUCCUGAUUCAUACUGCAUCUUUGUGCCCCCCCCCUGAAGCAGUCGAAUCCGACUUGGUGACUCCAAAAGCCGGCACAGGGAUUCUGACAGGCGGCCCGGGGACUGCCACAACCGCGACCAACCUGCGGACUUCAGAACCCGGCCCGGGGACUUCAGAGCCCGGCCCGGGGACUGCGCCAGUCGGCCCGGGGACUUCAGAGCCCGGCCCGGGGACUGCACCAGUCGGCCCGGGGACUUCAUCAGCACAACAGGCGGAAGUUGCCACCAGCCCACCGCCUUCCGGCCCAAUCGCCCUCGUGCAAGUCGCGGAGGUUGCAGUCGAAGAAAUUGCGGCACCCUCAUGGGCUCAGCCGAUCCUCAAGUUACUGGUGAAUAAGGAGCUGCCAACCGAUGAAAUCUUAGCCCGACAAGUACAGAGGCAAGCUGCAGCUUACACCAUAGUCAAUAAGGAGCUGGUGCGAAGAAGCGUCACAGGAGUCUACCACCGAUGCAUAGAGUCGGACCAAGGCCAAGCAAUACUCAGAGAUAUCCAUUAGGGCGAGUGCGGCAACCACGCGGCUUCAAGAGCACUGGUGGCUAAAGCCUUCCGCCACGGUUUCUUCUGGCCGACCGCCCUGGAAGAGGCCAAAGAGCUGGUCAAAAAGUGUCAAGGGUGCCAGCGAUUCCGUUCCAAGCCGCACCAGCCAGCUUCUGCACUCAAGACCAUUCCCAUAGCCUGGCCCUUUGCCGUAUGGGGAUUGGAUAUGGUGUGACCGUUCAAGACGGCCCGUGGUGGCAUGACUCACUUACUGGUUGCGGUGGACAAGUUCACCAAGUGGAUAGAGGCAAAACCAAUCAAGAAGCUGAAUGGGCCGACUGCCGUGACCUUCAUCGCCGACAUUACCACUCGGUACGGCAUCCCACACAGCAUCAUCACCGACAACGGCACCAACUUCGCCAAGGGAGCCUUGGCUCGUUUUUGCGUGACAUAGGGCAUCCACCUGGACCUAGCGUCUGUUGCCCACCCAUAGUCAAACGGCCAGGUGGAACAAGCAAAUGGCCUCAUUUUGUCCGGCCUCAAGCCCCGACUGGUCGAGCCCCUGGAGCACUCGGCCGGCUGCUGGCUCGACGAGCUGUCGGCCGUCCUCUGGAGCCUGCGCACAACUCCAAACAAAUCGACGGGCUUCACGCCUUUAUUCCUCGUCUACGGUGCCGAAGCCGUCAUCCCGACGGAUAUCGAGUUCGACUCCCCGAGAGUCACUAUGUACACCCAGGCGGACGCCAAGGAGGCACGAGAAGAUGGCGUCGACUUGCUGGAAGAGGGCCGGCUGUUGGCACUCAGCCGGUCGGCCAUCUACCAGCAGAGUCUACGCCGAUUGUCGUGGGAAACGAGCACCUAUGGGGCAGGGCCCCUUUUGGUCCGGCAAGGGAGCGGAGAGCACGAAGAGCAGAUCGAGGCGAAGCACGCGAGGGAUUUUACCCAGCUUCGGAGCUCUCCGGAGAGAUAAAACUCCUACUGCUGCUUUGUGUUGGUAUUCUGUUCUUGCUCGAGAGCGUAGGUGUGUUGUAGUUUCGAAUGGGUCGAACCCCUUCUACGUGCGCAUGGGCCUCCUUUUUAUAGGUUAAAGGGUUCACCGACAGGUGGCAACGCAGGGAGAGGGAUAAAAAGGUAAAAAGAGGGGUUGGUACAACCGCUAUCCACAGUGUAUCCUACCUAACUCUGACGGCAGGGGACAAGCGCAUUUAAUGCCCGUCCGCCUCACCCAACAGUGCAGGGAAGCGACCGUUAGGGGCGCCACCGCCUGCCACGAUGGCCUUCUCGUCAUCUCCACUUUCCACCUCGCACCGCUUGGCUGCACAGUGCCCCGCCACGUGCUCCUGGCAUGGUCCUGGGGCGACACGUCGUCGGAUGCGCUGGAGCGUGGGUGCAGAGUGGCAGCCUCGCCGCGGCAAGCGCCUUGCCGCGGUCGUUGUCUUGCCGCACCCGAGAGCUUGUCGCUCGUCGGGCCUUGCCGGGACGCGCGGCGCGUCGCGGCAAGUUCUUUGUAGUGCCUUGGUUGGCCUUCCCAGCAAGCUCCUCUUGCCGGGGCCUUGUCCUUCCCGGCGUGUUACUCUUGUCGGGGCCUCAUCUUCUUAGUUAAAAUACUUUGUUCUUGAAUGGCAUCAACAUGAGCUACGGAGGAUCAUGGCGGACGCCCGGCAAGCCCUGCCACUGGGUGCUGCGACUGCCCGUGCACAAGUUCGGGAUACUAAGGUACCCCUACUUUAGUACACCGACAGGAGCCCCCGGGCCUGGGCCACACACGGUGCCGAGCGCUGUUGGGCCAGGCCCAAAACAGGGCACAGGCACACGCGGCCUAGGUCCAUACCAAAUCUAACUCCGCAUCCACUGCGCCCUCCCGUAACGGCACGCGUCAAACGCGGCGUCGUGGGAGAGAUCGUGGGCAAUUCUUUAAUCAGGAAAGGCGUAACGUUCGCCUCUCCUCUUUAUAAGCAGGGGAAACAGGGCCGUUCCCCCACCUUCGCCACUUGCAGUUCCUUCCUCAGAAAGCUCCGCCGCUCCCCUCCGCUUCCCAAGCCGAAAGAGAGCCGCGCUCCGCCCUCGCCGCCGCCGCCGCCGCCAACCUCCUCCACUGCUUCCGCCAUGGCUCCGAAGACCGGGAAGAGCGCGAAGUCAGCCGAGGCGCUGCGGCUGGAGGCGCUGCACAAGGAGCGAGNNNNNNNNNNNNNNNNNNNNNNNNNNNNNNNNNNNNNNNNNNNNNNNNNNNNNNNNNNNNNNNNNNNNNNNNNNNNNNNNNNNNNNNNNNNNNNNNNNNNNNNNNNNNNNNNNNNNNNNNNNNNNNNNNNNNNNNNNNNNNNNNNNNNNNNNNNNNNNNNNNNNNNNNNNNNNNNNNNNNNNNNNNNNNNNNNNNNNNNNNNNNNNNNNNNNNNNNNNNNNNNNNNNNNNNNNNNNNNNNNNNNNNNNNNNNNNNNNNCUGGUCGACGGAGACGCGGGCGCAUCCGCGCACGCAGGUACUCUCCGCCGAAGCUUCUACUUCGAAAAAGUGUCCCAGAGGAUACUAUUUCUUCCCUCUGUUCUUCUAUUGCCGGCUCUGCCCGCCCUUCUCCAAUUUCUUCCACGAUAUCUUAAACACAUACGGGCUCCAUCUCCUUGACUUCACCCCCAACGCCAUUCUGACAAUGGCGGUUUUCGCGCAUCUUUGCGAGAAUUUCGUCAGAAUUCAUCCCAACGUUGCUCUCUUCCGCCAUUAUUUCACUCCCCGGGUCGAGAAAGGAGAACCCUUGUCUGGCGGGGUCUCCUGGACCUCAAGGCUCGGCAAGAAGGAGGUGUAUCUGGAGGGGGAGCUCCGCAGCAAAUGGGACGAGUGGAGGGCGGAGUGGUGCUGGAUUGUUGACGCCAAUCCGCAGCCAUUCACCAACUUGCGCCAGACCCGGGUAGUACGCGGCGGCGAUUGGAGCGCUCUGUCGCCGGAUGAUGCCAAGUUGAAGAUCGCCACCACCCGAAUCCUGCGACUCAGGCUUGCCGGGCUCACAGUAGGGGCCGUUAGCGCGGAUUUCCUUCGCCGUCGCAUUGCCCCUCUACAGGAGAGGAGGAGGCCCGCCUGGCUGUUUGGCGUCCCGGCGGAUAUCAUGAGGCUGCGUCCAGGCCUCAACUUCAACUUCACAGUUCUGGAGCUUGACGGGAUGCUCAGGGAGCUAUUCAAGCACGACGCCAACCAUCCGGAGUGGUUCAGGCUACCGCAGGGUGUCAUCCCACUAUGCAACAACUCCCAGCGUGAUCGCAUCCGUGCAAUGAUGCCGGAGUGCGACUCGCAUGGGAUUAUCCCAACUUGGAUAGAGCCCGCCGACGAUGUCGUGCGGCAAUUCUUUGACGGCUUGGCGGAGGUAGCAGUCCACGCCGACGAGCAGAGGCUCCUCACCCGCGACACCACCGACGACGAGAUGCGGUACAUCGCCACCAGGGCCGAAGAGGCGGCAGCAGCCGCCGCCGCGGGCAAGUUUGGCUUCACGUUGGAGGAGGCAGGGGCGGCCGAAGCGGCAAGCCUUGCCGACCGAGAGGACCUUGGCGGGGAGGUCGCUAGCGAGGAGGAGCCCGAAGCUGAGGCAAGCGAGCUUGCCGGGGGCGCAAGUGGCCAACCAUCUUCAAGCAGCUUGCCGCAGACGGGGCCCUCAGCGCAGGCCCCAGCUCAAACAAGGAGGCGUCUUCGCAGGACUGGAGACACAACAGGGCGGCAGACAGACCAAUAGCCGCAGCGCCACGGGACGCGCUCUACCGCAGCAAGCACCGUUGCCGCGGGAGCGCCUCAUGCCGCGCCGGCAACCGAAGCGGGAGCUUCUCGAGCCGCCACUCCUGAUCCUGCCGCAGCUCCCGCCAAGCGUCCAAGGGAGCCUACUCCUCCGCCUCGCCGCGCUGAGAGGGUGCCGGAUUUCGACCUCUCCGCGCUGAGCUCCGAUGAGGAGGAAGAAGAAGAGGAGGAGUAAGACUUUCUUCUUGUUGUACUUGUGCUUCUUCGAUUUUCGUUGUUUCUUGUCUUUGUAUCUGAUUUGCUUCCUUCUGAACCUUGUCCCGUUCCAGGAGUCUGGCCGAGAGAGCGGCAAAGAGGGCCAAGGUCCCCGUGGUUGUCAUCGAGGAUGAUCCUGCUAUGAUGGCAGAGGACACGUCCGAGACUAGCUUGACGGACCCGGCAACCUCUCCUCGAAGCAGCCCCCAGCACAGCCCCCAACACAGCCCCCAGCGUAAGUAUUUGUCCACUUCUUGUCGUGGGGCGCGCAUGGGUGCUUCCUCCUUGCUGAUAUCUUGUUUGCUAACUUGCUUGUGCAGGAGCAGAACAGGCCCAUCAAGAGCAACCAGAAGCUGCCCCGGAGGUGCAAUCUGCUUCAACUAUGCCGCCAAGGGGCGACUCUCCAACAAGGGAGAGCUCUCCGACGAGGGAGCGGUCCCCGGCAAGGGGCAGUUCCCCGGCAAGGGACGGGACCAAUGAGCCUUUGGUGGUGGAGCCCAUGGACACGGAGCCCCGCACAGGUAACCCUCCUUGUCGGAAAUUUUCCCUUGGGAUUUUCUUUUUCUGAUCUUCUUUUUUGAAUAUUUGCUUGACUUUUCCAUCCUCUUCCUGUCCUUAGAUCCUCCUCUCACAGACCCGAUGGAGACUGAGGCCACCGGCGAGGAAGACGCGCGCGGCAACACUGAAGAUGUCGCCGCUGACGAGGAAGAGGCCGGCGCUGAUGAACCCGCCGGCGAAGAAGCUGCCAAAGCUGCUGACGCAGAAGCUGGCGGGGGGUCCGGUGAUCGCACUGACGACCCGGAGGACGCAGGAGCGCAAGGCGCUACACCGACCGCAGACCCCUCCGCCGCUGAUGCAGCGCCGGGCUCCGAGGAGCCCCAGCCAGGCGCCUACUUGAAGGCCGGCGAGGGUGUCUACAUCAAGCUUCCCUGGGCGUCGAGCUCCAGGGCGCCUGUCGAGGGAGAGGAGUUUGACGGGGAAGUACUCUCCUCUGCUGGGCUGGCAGUAGUUGACGCACCAAGCAGCAGCGGCGGCGAGUCCGAGGAGGAGCAGUUGCUCCAGAAGUUGGUGUCACUCUACCGCGCCCGGCAAGCGAAGCUAGAGUCCCGGGAAGCGCUUGUCGCGCGGGCGGGAGUUGACAUAGAGAAGCAUGCGAAGGAGCUCCAGAGCCGCAACCAAGAGGCCCUCCGGUCCAUUGCCGAGGAGAGGGCGCAGCUCGUCGAGGCGAAGAAGGCGUUCAUCCUUGAAAAGGCUGAAGCCGAAGAGCAGCAGAGGCUCGCCACCGAGGAGCUGUCCAGGCGGGAAGGUGAGCUGAUGCAGAAAAAGGUAAACCUGGACAGCCACGAGGAGGAUCUCGCUGCCCGCGAACAAUCAAUUGGCGGGGCGCUCAAGGAAGCGAAGGAUGUUGCCGCAGCUGCCGAGGCCGCCAAGAGGGAAUUGGAAGCGAAGGUGACGCGGCUGGAGGCUGACAUGAAAGGGAAGAAUGAGGAGCUUGCCGCACUCCAGCGCGAGCGUGAGAAGGAUGCCCUUGCCCAUGGCGAUCUGCAAGUUCAACUUGCCGACAAGGUCAAGGGACUGAACGCCGCCAAAGACUCAAGUGCUGAUCUAGAGUUGAAGCUGGCCACACUGACGGAGACGCUGGACGGCGCCAAGAAGCGCGAGGAUGACUUGAAGAAAGAGAUCAAGGGCAACGAAGAGCUGCUGACGAGGGCCGCCGAGACUCAAAACACCUUCAAGGCUACGGUGGAGCUCUGGACGGAGGGCCUCGUCAACAUCGCUGCAGCCAUCGACGAAGAGCUGGCGGAACUGGACUUGGCGGGCUUCGGGUACUCCCCCGACGAGAAUCUCCAGCCCAGCACCAAGCUUACUCUUUUCUUCAAGGGCGUGGUGACGGCCCUCCAGCAACUCCGGGAAAGGAUCCCAAAGAAGCUGGCGGACGAGUCGCGCGCAAUCUGCGCCAAGGUCUUGGAGAAGGUGUUGUUGAGAUACUCUUCCGCAAUCCAGGCCUCGACCUUACCCGCGUCCUCAAGAAGCUGCCGGCGGGCGCUGAUCUCGAAGAGCUCAAAGCCAUUGUCGCACCCAUUGUGGACAAGGUGAAUGAAGUCAGGAGGAUCGACGGCGAGCGUGUGGAUUAGGCCACUCUUCUUCUCCUUUCCUUGUCGCUGUUAUUUAUGAGAACAAUUUAGUCAGUGCCGCAACAAGUUACUUUUGUAAUAUAACUUUAUCCUGGGCAACGCUUGCUAUGUUAUCUCCUUUACUUGAUCCUUUUCUUUGUAUGUUUUUACCCUACGCUUUUAGGGGACUUGCCGGCGCAGGCACGCUUGCCGCAAGUGCUGAGUGCGGAACAUCAGCAGCCUGCUGGCGGUGCCGGCUCCGGCAAGAAACCUUGCCGCAACUAGUUGCAGCACACUUAAGUUGUUGAGCUGACUCGAAACAAAGUAAGGGCGCAACUAGCUACGAGGAGGUUCCUCCGCGCACAGGUUUUCCAUACAAAGCACGGUCGUUCAAGCAAGAUAACUUAAAAAUCUUAAAAACUGAUCAUGCUCAAACUUUGGCAACUUAGCUUUUCUGUCGUCUGUGUCCCGGCAAGGCUAUACUUCUUUGAACGACGCCCGGUCCAUACCUUUAUCCUCUCCUUCCCCCCCCCCCCCAUGAACUUGUGGGCGAAGGAACCUCCCUUUUGAAAGGAAAAAAGAAAGAAGAGAAAAUAAAGAUAUGGGGCCUUAAGGCUCGUUAUUGCUUACCGGGGGCCAGUGCUGCACAAAGUGUCAGAUAAAACAUGCAAAAAAGAAAGAAUGCAUGAAAUUUGACAAGAUGUGCGGAGCACGUAAACUUUAUUUAUGCACGGGAUCUGUGCCCGGCUUUGUAUAAAGGGUUACAUGCAACAGCGGCAAGGCUUGUACAAAAGGUGGUUGCCGGAACAGGUUCCGGCAACCGCGCCUUAUGGGUAAAACUUACAAAGAUGCUCUAUGUUUCAGGAGUUACUCACCGGAAAACCAUCUUCGGUCUCAAGGCGGACAGCGCCAGGCCUAGUGACUCGUUUCACCCGAUAAGGGCCUUCCCACCUCGGCGUCAACUUGUUAGAAUUCUUGGUGGAUUGAACGCGCCGAAGAACAAGGUCGCCUUCCUCGAAGCUUCUGGCAUUAACUUUGCGGCUAUGGUAGCGACGCAAAGCUUGCUGGUAGCGAGCAGCUCGUACAGCAGCCUGAAGACGAUCUUCCUCGAGGAGCAGCGCGUCAUCUUGCCGCAGCUGCUCUUGCUCAAGCUCAUCAUAAGCGAGCACUCGAGGCGAUCCGUAUACGAGUUCCGUGGGGACAACUGCUUCUGCUCCAUAGACUAGAGCAAAAGGUGUCUGGCCAGUGGCUCGAUUUGGCGUCGUCCUGAUCGACCAAAGAACCACCGGCAGCUCCUCGAUCCAAUUUCUUCCGCACUUGUGCAGCCUAUCGAAAGUUCUGGUCUUGAGCCCGCGCAGCACUUCAGCAUUUGCCCUCUCCGCUUGACUGUUGCUUCUCGGGUGAGCAACAGAAGCGAAGCAGAUCUUGGCGCCAAGAUUUUGGACGUACUGCAUGAAGGUGCGGCUCGUGAAUUGUGUGCCAUUGUCGGUGAUGAUCCUGUUAGGGAUUCCAAAACGGCAAACGAUUGACCUGAAGAACUUGACUGCUGACUGUGCUGUCACCUUCCUCACUGCUUCCACCUCCGGCCACUUCGUGAACUUGUCGAUCGCCACGUACAAGUACUCGAAGCCCCCGAUAGCUCGGGGAAAGGGGCCGAGGAUGUCGAGCCCCCAGACCGAAAAUGGCCAGGACAAAGGGAUUGUUUGGAGAGCUUGAGCUGGUUGAUGUAUCUGCUUGGAGUGGAACUGGCACGCUUCACACUUGGUUACUUGUGCAGUUGCAUCCUGGAGGGCUGUCGACCAGAAGAAACCUUGCCGGAAGGCUUUGCCGGCAAGUGCUCUUGCGCCAAUGUGGUGACCACGUAUGCCUCCAUGUAUCUCCGCCAACAGCUCAUGUCCUUCUUCCCGGGAAACGCACUUCAAUUUCACUCCGUUGAAUCUUCUUCCGUAUAGUAUGUCAUCGACAAACUGGUACAUACUUGAUUGUCGGGCUACUCUCUCCGCUUCUUCUUGCUCUUCGAGAAGUUCUCCUGUUUGAAGGAAAUGGACGAUCUGCUGUGCCCAUGCCGGAGCUUGUGGCUCAACGACAAGGACUAAAGGCGCAAAUGCUGCUACGGGAACAUCUGCUUCUACGGCAAGAAUCUGUGAUUCAGCUGGAGCGUGAUGCUCCCCGGCAAGCGUGUCGGGACACAGCUUGUCGGGAGCGUCUGCUUCAACGAAACAAACCCUAGGGCUUGUCGGAGCAGACUGCUCCUCAGCACUCUUUGUGUUGAUCUUGGGGACCUUCUUGACGGCGGCUUCGGGGAGCUCUGCCGGAAAGUAGUCGCCAGUAACCAACUUCCUCUUCUUGCUCUGUCCAGUUGAUGGUGUUACAGAUGGUUGAGUCAACUUGAGCACAAAGAUCCCUGGUUCCACAGGCAACUUGAGUGCGGCGCACUUUGACAGGCCAUCUGCGAUGUCGUUCUAAGCUCUCGGAACAUGUUCCAUCUGUAGGCCGUCAAAGUGCUCUUCUAGCUUUCUCACUUCAUCAAUGUAGGCUUCCAUCAACGGACUCUGAUAAUCCUUGUUGACUUGGUGGACGACAAGCUGCGAGUCACCCCUAACAAUAAGCUUCUUGAUCCCAAGGUCUGCCGCGAUCCUGAGUCCGGCAAGCAAGCCUUCAUACUCUGCAGUAUUGUUUGUCGCUUGCUCCUUGGGAAAGUGCAUCUGAACCACGUACUUGAGGUGUUCUCCGGUGGGUGCGACAAGUAGUACGCCCGCACCGGCGCCUUGCAGCGAGAAGGCACCAUCAAAGUACAUGACCCAUUCUUUGCUUGCUUCCUUCACGGGGAUGCUCGUCUCCGGAGUUUCUUCAUCAGGUGUUGGCGUCCACUCUGCUAUGAAUUCUGCCAAUGCUCGGCUCUGGAUAGUUGAGGUACUCUCAAACUUGAGGCUAAAGCUUGACAAUUCCAGUGCCCACUCGACAAUCCUGCCUGUUGCUUCUGGAUUUUGCAGUAUCCUCUUCAACGGAAAGCGAGUGACAACUGUGAUCUCAUGUGCUUGAAAGUAAUGGCGCAGCUUCCUCGAGGCCAUGAGAAGGCCGAAAAGCAACUUUUGCACACCAGAGUACCUUGAUCUAGCCCCCUGCAGAAGGGAACUGACAAAGUAAACUAGGCGCUGCACCAUCUUCCUUUGUUUCUCUUCCUGCGGCUACGCAGAUUCAUCCUUGUCGGGACCAGAGCUUGUCGGGGAAGCCCCCUGCUUGUCGCUGGACUCUCUUGCCGUGGCCGCUGGCUCAUCAUCUGCCUCCCUCUCCGCCACUAACGCAGCACUAACCACUUGAUUGGUUGCCGCUAGAUACAGCAGCAACUUCUCUUGUGGCUUAGGUGCGACAAGUAUUGGAGUGGAGGACAGAUAUUUCUUCAAAUCUUGCAGCGCAGCCUCUGCUUCCGGAGUCCAUUUCACUGGACCUGCCUUUUUCAAAAUUUUGAAAAAUGGCAGGGCGCGCUCAGCAGACUUAGAGAUGAACCUACUGAGAGCAGCAACGCAGCCGGCAAGCCUUUGCACAUCCUUGACGCGCUUUGGUGCUUUGAUCUGCUCAAUGGCCUUGAUCUUGUCGGGAUUGGCGUCAAUCCCCCUCUGGGACACAAAGAACCCGAGAAGCUUGCCGGAAGGAACUCCAAACGCGCACUUCUCGGGGUUCAACUUGAGAUUGAUCUUGCGCAGAUUUGCAAAAGUCUCGUCCAAAUCUUGGAUCAAAGUUUCUUUGUCUUUGCUCUUGACCACUAUGUCAUCCAUGUAAGCUUCUACGUUUCUGUGCAGCUGUGGCUCAAAAGCAUGAUUGACUACUCUUGCAAAUGUUGAACCAGCAUUCUUUAGUCCGAAAGGCAUCCGUACAAAGCAGUACGUGCCACAUGGAGUAAUGAAUGCGGUUUUCUCUUCAUCUUCUUCUGCCAUGAAGAUCUGGUGAUAUCCUGAAUAUGCAUCAAGGAAUGAAAGCAGAUCACAUCCUGCCGUGGAGUCGACAAUCUGGUCAAUGCGCGGCAAGGGAAAUGGAUCCUUGGGACAAGCUUUAUUAACAUCAGUGAAGUCAAUACAAAGCCUCCACUUCCCGUUCGCUUUGCGCACGACUACUGGAUUGGCUAACCACGUUGGAUGGAGUACUCCUCGGACCAGGCCUGCUGCUUCCAAUUUCUUGAUCUCUUCUGCAAUGAACUCUUGACGUUCCACCGCUUGCUUCCUGACUCUCUGCUUGACGGGCCGCGCGUGAGGGCAGACGGCAAGGUGGUGCUCAAUUACUUUCCUGGGAACACCAGGGAUGUCAGAUGGUUGCCAUGCAAACACAUCGACAUUCGCCCGCAGGAAAGCAACGAGCGUGCUUUCCUAUUUAGGGUCAAGAGUGGCAUUGAUGGUGAAGGUACCACCAGUGCCGUCCUCCUUGGCGGCCACUUUCUUGGUCUCUGGUGAAGCUGUCUUUGCCUUCUUGCACUUGCCGGUGGAGCUCGAUGGUGCGUCCUCGACGGUAGCGCAGCACUCCAAAGAGGUGCGCUUGCCGGAGUGAGCAUCAGAGCUACUCUUGCCGGACUUGGUCUUCUUCUUCCCCCCGGGAUCUUCAGUGGCAAGUGGUUUGCGUUCUGCUGCGGCUGCUGCUUCCCGGUAGAUCUUGUUGGUACAGAUAAGGGCAUCUUUCUUGUCGCCAUGGACAGAAAUGACACUUAUCGGACCGGGCAUCUUGAGCAUGUUGUAAGCGUAAUGAGAGGCUGCCAUGAACUUGGCGAGCGCUGGACGGCCAAGUAUCCCAUUGUAGGGCAAUGGAAAUCAGCAACGUCAAAUGUAACUCUCUCUAUCCUGAAGUUCAGCUCGCUGCCAAACGUUACUGGCAGUGUGAUCUUCCCCUUCGGCUUGCUCCUUCCGGGGUUAAUUCCUUGAAAAGAGCCGGUCUCUUCGAGCUCGCUGUCGGGGAUCUGGAGCUUCUUGAGUACCGCUGAGGAGAUCAGAUUCAGGCCGGCCCCGCCGUCAACCAGCAUCUUUGUGACCUUGAGGUUGCGGAUAGUUGGUGAAACCAACAUCGGCAAGCACCCGACCGCAGUUAUGCGAUCAGGGUGAUCCUCGACAUCAAAGAUGAUGGGCCUGCUGGACCACUUCAGGGGCUUGCGUGACUCAACGGACGGUUCUGCUACAUUUACUUCCCGCACCCACUAUUUGAGUUGGCGGUGCAAGGUAUGCAGAGAAGCACCGCCGUCGACGCACAAAACCUCUGUUGCCUUCUGAAACUCCUGCUCGUCGGCCUCAUCCUCAUCCAUUUCUUCAUCUUCAUCCUUGUCACGGCCGCGGGGAGGCCUGUCUCCUUGCCGCUGCUUGGCCUUGCCGCGGCGCCCUCCCCGGGCGGGACGCUUCUUGCCGGAUCCUCCCCCACCUUCCUGGGCCUUCUCCUUGUCGCGGCGCUCGUACUCAGCUUUCUGCAGCUCCACGAUCUGCUCAACCUUCUUGCAGGCCUGGAGGUCAUGGCCCUUGGUGCGGUGGAUCUUGUAGUACUGCUUGCCGGAGCCGUCCUGCUUGUCGGCGGCCACCACAGCCUCGCCGGAGUCACCAGCUUUGGCCUUCUCGGCGCCACCUCCGUUGCCGGACCGCUCGACAACUAGCACAUCCUUGGCUUUCCUCUUUCUGUUAUUCCACCUCCGAUUCUUCUUUGCCGGAGCGGCAUCCUCACUGUCAGAUCCUUCUGCUCCUGCGUUCUCUCUGGGGAGUUUCCUCCCCUCCUCAGCACGUGCACAUUUGUCGGCUAGAGCAUAUAGCUCGCUGGCAUCCCUGAUUUUGCACAUCGCCAUCUCCUCCAUCAUCCUGCGGUUAUGCACGUUAUGAUGGAACGCGCUGAUAACCGCGGCGGGGUGGACGUCUGGAAUGUUGCGCUGCACCUGGCUGAAUCUUUGAAUGUACUUGCGCAGGGGUUCUCCUUCCUUCUGGGCGAGCAGAUGAAGAUCACUCUCCUGGCCAUGGGGUUUGUGGCCGCCUGUGAAGGCGCCGACAAACUGAUGACACAGGUUCGCCCACGAAUAGAUGGAGUUGUCCGGCAAGUGCAUGAGCCAAGAUCUGACGUUGGGCUUGAGCACCAGCGGGAAGUAGUUGGCGAGGAUCUUCUUGUCGCGCCCCCUGGCAGCCUGCACCGUGAUGGUGUAGACGCUGAGGAACUCUGAUGGAUGUAUCAUGCCCUCGUACUUCUCGGGUACAUCUGGCUUGAAGUUCUUGGUACUGGGCCACUGGACCUGCCGCAGCUCAUGGGUGAACGCGGGGCAACCUACUGCGUGCGGCAAGUCGCCGGGUUCCCCUGGCGCAUGCAUAUCAACAGUGGGCCCAGCGCGCUGGUCUGACUGACGCCGCGCUUCUCUUCGACGCUCGAUGCGAGUACGAGCGUCUUCUUUUCGUCGUUCUUGGAGAACUUGGCGCUGAUCGCGACGAGCUCGCGGGUCCGACGACACGGUGGAGUCGGUGUCGAGGUUAGCCCGGCGAGCUGGCGAUCUUGGCCUUCGGGGCGGGGAGUGCACGGUAGUGGCACCCCCAGCGGUCUUGUCGGCGUCGGCUUGCGCCUGGGCGUCUUGCCGGGGCUUCGAUGUGCUCGGUUGCCGGGGCUUGUCGCCGUUGGCGAAGCCGAUGAGGCUCUGAAUGGUGGCCCUCCGGGCGUCGAUCUUGUCUGGCGCUGGAGGGUAGUCUAGAAGCAGCUGGGCUCGGGCCAGCGCUUCCUCUGGAGUCUUGGGCGGUGGCGGCGAACGACGCGAGGAGCAAGAUAUGCUCAGACUUCUAACAUUGUUAGAAGGAGCAACAUCUCGUCCAGGCGACCGUCCCGCGCUCGUGCCAGCAUGUUGACGUGCAUGUUGGCCUUGAGCGUCCCGCGAUCCACCAGCUCGGCCUUGCUCUAAUGCGAGUACAGUGCUAGGAGCACCAUGGCGUUGUCGAUCCUGCACCUCCUGGGAGGGGUGCGGUGUAUGUACAGACGCCGAAGCUUGCGGGGCCUUGUCCUUGGACCUGGUGACGAUGUGAGUCCCCCCGUCGGCGCCCGCUCCUCCGCCGGCGUCCACCCCACCGCCCGUUUUCUCCGGUGACGGUAGGAUCGACGUGGACGGAGUGGACACCUCCGAAGUCUUCUUCUUCGGUGGCAUGUCGAUGAAGAUGUUGAUGUAGCGCGCACGAACGCCGGAUCAGGUUCGCACAACCUCGACGCCCCCCUACCUGGUGCGCCAAAGAUGUCGUGGGAAACAAGCACCUAUGGGGCAGGGCCCCUUUUGGUCCGGCAAGGGAGCGGAGAGCGCACGAAGAGCAGAUCGACGCGAAGCAUGCGAGGGAUUUUACCCAGCUUCGGAGCUCUCUGGAGAGAUAAAACUCCUACUGCUGCUUUGUGUUGGUAUUCUGUUCUUGCUCGAGAGCGUAGGUGUGUUGUUGUUUCGAAUGGGUCGAACCCCUUCAACGUGCGCAUGGGCCUCCUUUUUAUAGGUUAAAGGGGUCACCGACAGGUGGCAACGUAGGGAGAGGGAUAAAAAGGUAAAAAGAGGGGUUGGUACAACCGCUAUCCACAGUGUAUCCUACCUAACUCUGACGGCAGGGGACAAGCGCAUUUAAUGCCCGUCCGCCUCACCCAACAGUGCAGGGAAGCGACCGUUAGGGGCGCCACCGCCUGCCACGAUGGCCUUCUCGUCAUCUCCACUUGCCACCUUGCACCGCUUGGCUGCACAGCGCCCCGCCACGUGCUCCUGGGAUGGUCCUGGGGCGACACGUCGUCGGAUGUGCUGGAGCGUGGGUGCAGAGUGGCAGCCUCGCCGCGGCAAGCGCCUUGCCGCGGUCGUUGUCUUGCCGCACCCGAGAGCUUGUCGCUCAUCGGGUCUUGCCGGGACGCGCGGCGCGUCGCGGCAAGUUCUUUGUAGUGCCUUGGUUGGCCUUCCCGGCAAGCUCCUCUUGCCGGGGCCUUGUCCUUCCCGGCGAGUUACUCUUGCCGGGGCCUCAUCUUCUUAGUUAAAAUACUUUGUUCUUGAAUGGCAUCAACAUGAGAUACGGAGGAUCUUGGCGGACGCCCGGCAAGCCCUGCCACUGGGUGCUGCGACUGUCCGUGCACAAGUUCGGGAUACUAAGGUACCCCUACUUUAGUACACCGACACCGAUACUAUAACCGCAAGGUGAAGCCAAGGUCCUUCCUGGAGGGAGAUCUUGUGCUCCGGCUGAUCCAGCGAACAGCCGGACAGCACAAGCUCUCGGCACCUUGGGAAGGCCCUUUCAUCAUCAGUAAGGUGUUAGGCAAUGAUGCCUACUAUCUGAUCGUUGCGCAGAAGCCCAGGGCGCGCAAGAGAGAUGAUUCAGGUAAAGAAACGGAGAGGCUGUGGAACGCAAACCUCCUCCGAAGGUUUUACAGUUGAAAGCAGUAUGUAUCACGCUACCUUUUGUACUAUGUAUAAAGACUCCGGGUCCCCCGAGAAGAGCUUGGGGACUGCCUUCUUUUUACCUAUAUGAUAAGUGUCAUGCCUAUGAGAAUGUAUAUUAUAUUCUUUCCGCCUGGCACCAGGUUCGACCAGUCGGCCCGGAGCCUCGCCGCCUUCUACAAUAUGCCGCCUCCUGUAGCCGGACAAGUAGUGUGUCGGCACCAAAGCUUCCUUUGUCAGAAGCCGCAGCUUGCAGAGCGGCUGCAUGGCAGGCAAAGGUUGCAAAGAGGUGCCCCGCAUGAAAAAACGACUAAGGAGGAAAACGCAUAUGGUAGCAGGCGGCCUCGCACCUUGCCGUCUGGCUGCUUGGCAGCCAGAUGGCCAGCCUCCACCUCACUGCCCAAAACUCCGAUGGCUAAGUCCUAGCCCCCUUCACAAAUGGCUAGAAAGCUCAAACCAGCCACGGUUCACAGAGCGGCCGUCUGGCUGGUAAAGGCAAAGCCAAAGGGUCGGCGGCAAAGGAAAGAACUCCAAGGAAGAAAAAGGAAAAAAGGUUGGAGGUCGGCACAGCAAGCAUGAGCAAUGAUAAAUAUUUUACAUAGAUAAAGGCCUCUGGCCAGCAUUCAAACAAAGUUUGAUAUACACCCCGUGGGUGGAAUUGCGCGAAUUUAACAAAGUGUUCAGAGCACAAACAGAAAGUAGGUAAAAAGCCUAAGGAGCAGCAGAAGGCUCCGGCUGGGCGGUGCCGGUUGGCGCAGCAGAGGACUCCGGCUGGGCUGUGCCGGAUGGCGCGGCAGGCGGCUCUGUCUGGGCAGAGGGGUUGCCGGCGGCAGGCGGGGCGUCGGAGUGCUGGAGGAUGGAGUCGGUGGCAUCCGUCAGAGGAACGGGCGGCGGGUCCGCCCCCACCUGAGCGCCUCCAGUAGCAGGCGGCGCCUCAGCGCGCGGCUCGUUGCUUGAGGCUCAGUUAGGUUGGGGCUGACCGUCCGCCCCGACCUCCGGCAUGUCGACGUCGCUCUCGUCUUCCUCCUCCUGCUCCUCCUCUUCCUCCUCCCCGUCCUUCCCUUUGUCGCUGGAGUCGAUAACUUCAGCAGAAUCCUUGCUGUCCGCCGGGUUCAGCCCGAGAAAGUCGUGCGGAGCCUCGCCGCCUUCCUCGACCACCUCCGGCAUGAAGACAUUGGUGUCAGUGAAGUCGGCGAUCGCCGCCGCCCUGUUGACGAGUUCGGCUUCCACCGCCGCCAGCUCCUCCUACGGCUCCAGUCGGAACGUGGCUAACUGGGCUAGAUCUAGCCCGGGGUACCACACCUUGACGAAUUCUAAGGCCCAGCGCGCUCCUGUCCGGGCUGCUGAACCUUUCCAGGCCUCCAAGCGGCCGGCCGUCGCCCCCAGCCAGUCGGCGGUCCGACUUGGGGUACGUGGAGCCGGCAGGCCCGGCCAGAGGGCGGAGACCGCCUGGGCUCCAGCGCGCUGGAGGCGGCGCAGCAGACGGUGGGCAAGCCGAAGCUGGGCUUGAAUGCUGAGGACCUGUUCGCCAAGAGUCCGCGGGGCAUCUGCAGCGAUCUGCGCGCCUCCCGCCCUUUGCUCCUCAUGCUGGGCCUCGAUCAUCUGGAUCGCGGCUACGGUAUGGCCCGGGAAGAAGUCUGCAUGGGCAGAAGAAGAAAAAAGGACAAGACCGUGAGCAGGGGCCGGCUGCUCAAAGCAAGAAAUCAGGGGAACAGAGCUUACCGUCAACCAAGUCCUCAAUGCUGCCAAAGCAGGCCGUCACCUGGGCCUCCCUGUCGGCCCAGGCGGAGCGUUCGAGCUCGAACUCAUCAAGGAGGCUGGUCUCUGCUGUCUCCGCUUUAUGCUGGGCCGCCUUCAGGGCUUCCGCCUGUUCAGCAAGUUGGGUAACCAGGCGAUUCCGCUCCCACACCAGCUUGCCGCACUCCGCCUCCUUGCCGUGAAGGGCAGUCUGGGCCUUGCCCAGCUGCUGCUGCAGGGCGGCAUUAGCCUCUGAAGAAAGAAAGAAGGGAAGAAGGCAUCAGUCAAGCAUAAAAGACAAAAGAAAGAAACGAUCAAGGAGAUUCGGCCCGACUGCUCAGCAGUCGGCCCGAACCUCGGGGACUACAGCCCGCGGGCACACAAGCGCGCCCCCGCGGAAAAGAAGUAGCCCACAAAGGAAAAAGGGUAACUGAGGAGAUUCAGCCCGACUGCUCAGCAGUCGGCCCAAACCUCGGGGACUAUAGCUCGCGGGUGUGCCAACGCGCCCCCGCGAAGAAAGAAGAAGAAAGAGACUUACGCCGGCUUUCGGCGAGAUGGGCCGUCUGCGCCUCCAGCUCCCGGACCUUGGAGUUGUAGGCGGUCGCCCGAAGGUUGUGGUAGUCCUGCAAAGGAAACAUCAAAAUAAAGUCAGCAAUCGGCAAUCACAAGCUAAAGUUCCGACCCGCCUGCUCAGCAGCCGGCCCAGAACUUGGGGACCACAUCCAGUGGGUGCGCUUGCGCGCCCCCACGAAAGAGGAAAAGAAGAGCACUCGGAGAAGAAACUAAAAGACAGCUUACCCGGAUGGCGGUGCGCGACUCCAAGUAGGCCUCGUUGCAGCGCUUGAGUGCCACUGCCUCCGCCCGGAGCUUGGCCUGGACGUCAAGUGACACCUCAUUCAGGGCGCCAGUCUCGCCUCCGUGUACCCAGCCCACGGGCGAGGCACUGGUCGCCUCGGUGUCAAGGUCGGACGAGCUCGAGGCGCCGAUCUCCUGCGGCCGCGGCGCUGAGGCCGCCUUCUCCAGAUAGCGGCACGUGGGAAUGUGGACCGCGGGAACCAGGACCGUCACCAUUGGAGUCCCGACCGGUGGCACAGGCGGCGCCACUGGCUGUUCGCCCUACGGCUCGCUGGCUGGCGGUGGCGGGGGUGGCGGCAUGAAGACGUCCGGCAUGGCCACGUCACCGACCCCCUGCUCUCGGAUUGGGUAGUCGCCGCUGGCUCCCCGGGCCGUCGCCUUGAAGUCAGGCGGAGGCGGCGUAGUAUCUAGAGGGGUCACGAGUAUAGGCUCCUGGCGGCGGGCGGCCUCCGCAAGCCGUUCCUUCUCCGCGGCCAGGGCCUCCGCCUGCGCUAGCGCCCUCUUGGCGGAUGCCGCAGACAAGUCCGCUUGAUCCUUAGCCAGGUGGUCGGCCUCCGCCUCCUCACGCGCCACCCGCGCGUUCCGCUCUGUCGCCUCCCGGAGGUCGGCAGCCGGGUCGAUGCGCCGGCUGGUCGAAGAGGUCGCAGCCGACCUAAGGACCGAGCCGGCGCCCGACUUCUCAAGGGUCAGCGGGGCCCUGAAAUCAGAAGACAAGUCAGAGUAUUUUCACCACAGAUUGAUGAAGAACAAGGAGUAAGGAGACGAUGCUUACGCCGACACCAUGACAGGCACUUUUGGCUGCCUCUUGUACUGGGCCGCCUUGGUCGCGGUCUCUUUCCGCCUGGUCGCCGCGGCCGGAUUCUUGGGCUUCUUGGGGGCGCUGCCAAACAGGGUCGAGCCCUGUUUCCGUUUGUGUUUGCCGCCUGCGGCGGGCGGCCCAGAAGAGGGGCCGGCGACGGUGGUGGCAGAGCUCCGGGCGGGGCGCGGCUCGUCGUCAUCUUCAUCAUCAUCAUGCCAGGCCUCCACGCCACCGCCUCCCUCGGAGCCGCCUGCUCCGCUGCCGCUGUCCGCUCUGCCUCCGCCGCCUGUCGCAUCGUCAACCAGGGCGGCUACCCCCAAGUCGGGGUCAUCCACAUCGCUCUCCGCCCUGUCCGCCUGGAGGUUAUCACCCGACCAGGAGGGCGGCCGUUGCCUCGGACAUAUAAAUCUGCAACCAAGAAGAAGUCAAGUCUCGAAGGGCGGCGCCGCAGAGAGAGACAAAGCAGAAGAGAGUGGCUCAAAAGAUAAAGACAAGAAACUUACCGCAGGGGGCGGGUUGUGGCGCGAGUACGGCCGCUUCCCGUACCGCCAUUCCUUCUCCGACAUCUUGAGGUCGGAGAUCUCAUUCACCAUCCGCAAGACUUCGGUAGGCGGCAUUCCCUUCGUGCACAGCCGGCACGGAUCGCAGUGCCCACCCAUCCGGAAGAUCGGAUGAGGGCGGCUCUAGAGCGGGAGGAUCCGGCGCUCGACGAAGGCGACAAGAAGAUCGGAGGCCACGAGGCCCUCCGACUCCUGGAGCACCCGGAGUCGGCCGAUAGCGGCGGCCGCGUCCGCUGACACCGGCUUCGGCUUGUACCCCCAGGUGGGCCGAGCCCUGGUAGGCGGGCCGGCCUCGUAGGCCUGCAGGUUGAGGAAGUCGGUAGCCGGGUCCAUGUUCUCAACGUAGAAGUAGGACUGCUUCCACAUCUUCACCGACUGCGCCAACUUGAUGGUGGGAAAGGCGUUCCACUUUGCGAGUCGGUGCACGGCGACAUAGCCCCCGCACUCGGCCGCCGUCUCCCUGGCGGAGGUGCCGAGCUUCCCAUAGAAAAAUGCCGCCCACAAUUCAACGGUGGGGAGGACGCCGAGGUAGCCCUUGCACGCCGUGACAAAGGCGGAAAGCAGGGUCAUGGCGUUGGGCGUGAGACGGUGGGGUUGGAGGUUGUAGAAGUCGAGGAAGGUGCGGAAGAAGUUGCUCGCCGGGAGGCCGAAGCCCCAUAGGAAAUGCGAGCGGAAGACGACCCGCUCGCCUUCCUGCGGCGCUGGCCUGAUCUCCGUCUCCAGCGGCACCCGCGCCUUGACGAAGGCCGCGCUGGGCAUCCGGCGCGUGUCACGGAGGAAGGUGAUGUGGUUGUCGAUCACCGUCGACCCGUCCCAAUCGCCCAUGGCCUCGGCUGGCGGCGCGGAGGGGAGAAACGCGUCGGCAACGACGGCAACGAACGACUACGACAGCGCUACGGUAGCGGCGGCGGAAGCAGAGAGAGAAGAAGAAGAGUGGGAGGGGGCGCAGGAACUUUGCCGCACCUCCCCCCUCCCUACUUAUAGCGCCCGAGCUGUGAAGCCGAGGGGGCGAGGCGUGGGAUCGUGGGAUUUACUGCGCCCACGUCCCCACGAUCCCCCCGUAUCCUCGCGCAUUUACCACGUCGUUAAGCGUCAUGGGGAUGGCAACCACCCCCUCUGGCAUAGUAAAUCCGCCCGGUUGCCAAGGCGUGGUAGUGGCGGGCCCGGCCCGGUGUCACGUCCCAUCCAGAGCGUGGGGUGGCAGGCCUGCCAGGCUGACGCGUGCCGUGUGGCGCAUCCGCGGCAGGCGGCUGCCUGGGAAGCUUAACAGGCACGCCACCUGUUUCUCGCCUGGAAGUUCAAAAAUCAACCGUGUGGCUCCGCCUGGCGGAGGCCGGCUGGAGCGGUCGGCGGGCCGCCAGGCGGACCGAUAUUUUUUCUAGAGCUCGGGAAGGGGAGAAGCCACUGAGACCUUGCGGCCCCUCGACCACGAUGCAUCACCGGCUUCGGGGACUACUAUCGGAGUAAUGGGCCACGGGUAGGCUCACCCGAGUCCCAAGAUUUACCAAGACUUUGGGCCAGCUCUGCCUAGCUGAGCCCCAAGACGAAACUCCGCCCUCUGGGGCUGGUUGGCUCAGUGGCCGGCUGCCGGAGGGCGGGCGACCCAAGACCAUGGCGCUCUGGGCAGCCGGUUCCUUGUAGCCGCCCUCCAGAGAGGGCGGCUACAGGAAGGCGGCCGCCCCACGGCUGCGGCAUGGCCGAGGCUCCUUUGAGAGUACGAGAUGAAGCAUGGCUACAGUAAGGCGUGUCACAUCCAAUACUCAGGACGAGCAUGGCUACAGUGCUCCGUACAGAUGGAGAUCUCCGCACGAUGGGGCACUAUGCCAUGUCUCCUCUGACGUCGCUCCGGGUAGGCGGAGUCCUGUUCCCCACGACGGCCUGUCGGUACGGCCUGCCAGAGGCGGGCCCUACCAGGCAGUGACUUCAAGGAAUGCGGCGGAAGCUCGAACAAGCGGAUUCAAGAGGAGCCAGCCUCCAGCAGGCGGCCGUCCCUUGUCCCUACGCAUGCAUGCCAUUAAGCUGAUAAGACCAGAUAUAGCUACAGUAGCCCCCCGCCAGGCGGCGGGACUGUAGCCACGUAGAGGUGAUCAAGCCUUCGUCACCAACGACAUGGCUACAGUAAGCAGCCACCAACCAGUCGGCAGGGCCCCACCAGGCGGCAGGCCCCAGCGGUCGGCGGAGAAGCCGGAGGCCGGAGACACUGACAGCCAGGCUCGGCAGCCAGUCGGAUUACCAUUGUACCCCUGGGGGUGGGCCUAUAUAAACCCCCCAGGACACCCAUGCAAAGGGUUCGACGCCAUUAGCACUAGCCACCCCGUAGAGCAGGAAGAGAGCUGAGCCUUGCUCCCUCCUGCCUCUAGCAUACAGCUCGAGGAGCAUCCUUGUAUCACUUGAGCAUUAGUGAUCAUCCGGAGACCCCAUAGAGCAGGACUAGGGGUGUUAUCUUCUAGGAGAGCCCCGAACCUGGGUAAAGUCCGCCGGCGUUCGUGUCUACGCCUUAUCCCGCUUCCAGGCACCGGCGACGUUCUACUCGCUCCCACCAUGAUAAUCCAUCCAUUGGCAUAUGUCGCACCCAACCCCCGACAAACAGGAAGCCCCCAAAUGACCUUGAGACUUUUUUAACAACUCUGAUUCAAAUACAAUCAAAGUCGGACCCAAAAGGGGUUAAGCUAUGAUUCGAAUACGAUUAAGAAGCCCCCUAGUGGGUUUGGCAUUGCGCCGAUUAAGAGGGUACCGACAACUAAUGACCUUGAGAUUUUUUUAACGACUCUGAUUCAAAUACGAUCAAAGUCGGACCAAAAGGGGUUAAGCUAUGAUUCGAAUACGAUCCAGCCCCCAAAUUAUCAAUUGUUUUUUGAUCAUCUAUGAUUCGGAUACGAUCAAGAAGUUGUGCCAAAGAAGUUAAGCUAGAUUCGAAUACGACCAGCCCCCAAUUGGUCUUUGGAAUUAUGAUGAUGAAGGCACAUGAUCAUUGAGGAUGAAAAGGACAGAGGUCCUGCUUUAUUACUUAUCAUAAUAUAUACAUCGUCAAAAAUAUGUACACCAUCAGAGCCGGUGGCUCAAGUGUAGUAAGGCUGAAGAUGAGCAAUAUUCCACGGCCGGCGGGUCUCCUCCUCCGACUUACGUGAGUAUUUAUGCUCUUGAACAUCGAUAAGGUAGUAUGACCUGUUAUUCAAGUUCUUGCUGACCACAAAGGGCCCUUCCCAAGGUGGGGAUAACUUGUGUGCAUCAGUUUGAUCAUGGCUGAGCCGGAGCACCAAAUCACCUUCUUGAAAGGUUCUGGACUUAACCCGGCGGCUGUGAUAACGGCGCAGGUCCUGUUGGUAAAUCGCCGAGCGGGAUGCUGCCAAGUCAUGCUUUUCAUCUAACAGGUCAAGUGCAUCCUGAUGCGCUUGUUCAUUAUCAGCUUCAACGUAAGCCGCCACGUUGGGCGAGUCAUGACGGAUGUCACUAGGAAGAACCGCCUCUGCUCCACAAACCAUGAAGAAAGGGGUGUAACCCGUAGAUCUGUUGGGGGUAGUAUUGAUACUCCAUAACACUGAUGGUAACUCCUCCACCCAACAACCCGGCGUCUGUUGCAAGGGAACUAGAAGCCGGGGCUUGAUGCCUUUCAAAAUUUCCUGAUUGGCUCUUUUAGCUUGACCAUUGGAUUGGAGGUGAGCUACUGAUGAAACGUCAAGCCGAAUAUGCUCGCGUUGACAAAACUCCUCCAUGGCACCCUUGGACAAGUUAGUACCAUUAUCAGUUAUGAUACUGUGGGGAAACCCAAAACGGAAAAUCAGCUUUUUCAUGAAUUGAACCACCAUUUCUGCGUCACACUUACUAACCGGCUCUUGUAGGACCUUGAAGUAUGUCUAGAGGGGGGGUGAUUAGACUACUUGACCAAUAAAAACUUAACCUUUUCCCCAUUUUAGAGUUUGGCAGAUUAUAGCUACUUUAGGACAAGUCAAGCAAUCAUCACACUAUUCAAGCAAGCAUGCAAAGAGUAUAUAGGCAGCGGAAAUUAAAGCAUGCAACUUGCAAGAAAGUAAAGGGAAGGGUUUGGAGGAUUCAAACGCAAUUGGAGACACGGAUGUUUUUGGCGUGGUUCUGAUAGGUGGUGCUAUCGUACAUCCACGUUGAUGGAGACUUCAACCCACGAAGGGUAACGGCUGCGCGAGUCCAUGGAGGGCUCCACCCAUGAAGGGUCCACGAAGAAGCAACCUUGUCUAUCCCACCAUGGCCGUCGUCCACGAAGGAAUUGCCUCACUAGCGGUAGAUAUUCACAAAGUAGGCGAUCUCCUUGCCCUUACAAACUCCUUGGUUUAACUCCACAAUCUUGUCGGAGGCUCCCAAGUGACACCUAGCCAAUCUAGGAGACACCACUCUCCAAGAAGUAACAAAUGGUGCGUUGAUGAUGAACUCCUUGCUCUUGUGCUUCAAAUGAUAGUCUCCCCAACACUCAACUCUCUGUCAUAGGUUUUGGAUCUGGUGGAAAGAAGAUUUGAGUGGAAAGAAACUUGGGGAAGGCUAGAGAUCAAGAUUCAUAUGGUAGGAAUGGAAUAUCUUGGCCUCAACACAUGAGUAGGUGGUUCUCUUUCAGAAAUGGUAAGUUGGAAGUGUAGGUUCGUUCUGAUGGCUCUCUCCACGAAUGAAGAGGAGGUGGAGGGUUAUAUAUAGCCUCCACACAAAAUCUAACCAUUACACACAAUUUACCAAACUCGGUGGGACCGAUUCAACAGACAUGGUCGGACCGAUUUAGUAAACCUAGUGACUGUUAGUGAUUUUCGGUGGGACUGACAUGCAUCUCGGUGAGACCGAUUCGUUUAGGGUUAGGGCAUAACGUAAUCUCGGUAAGACCGAUUACACAAACUCGGUGAGACCAAUUUGGUAAUAAGCUUUCCAGAGAGUUGGUCAGGUAAACUCGGUGGGAACGAUUUGCUCUUUUCGGUGAGACCGAAAUGUUACAAAAAGGAAACAGAGAGUUUACAUUGCAAUCUCGGUGGGACCGAUCGCUCACUUCGGUUAGACCGAAAUGUUAUGAAGGGAAACAGAGAGAUUACAACCCCAUCUCGGUGAGACCGAUAUCCCUAUCGGUAGGACCGAUUUGCUUAGGGUUUGUGGAAGUGGCUAUGACUUUUGGAAUCGGUGGCGCCGGAUAGGAAGAAUCGGUGUGACCGAUUUUGGCUUUGGGUUUAGGUCAUUUGUGGAUGUGGAAAGUAGCUGAGGGUUUUGGAGCAUAUCACAAAGCACAUGAAGCAAGAGGCUCAUUAAGCAACACCUCAUCCCUCCUUGAUAGUAUUGGCUUUUCCUAUAGACUCAAUGUGAUCUUGCAUCACUAAAAUAUAAAAUGAAGAGUCUUGAGCUUUUGAGCUUGAGCCAAUCCUUUGUCCUUAGUAUUUUGAGGGAUCCACUUUCAUCAUCCAUGCCAUGCCAUUCAUUGAGCUUUCCUGAAAUAAUAGUCUUGGAAUAGCAUUAGCUCGAUGAGCUAUAUGUUGUUAUGAAUUACCAAAACCACCUAGGGAUAGUUGCACUUUCAAUCUCCCCCUUUUUGGUAAUUGAUGACAACAUAUAGAUCAAAGCUUCGACAAAUGAUAAUAAGAUUGAAUAACAUCGUCACUUUGAGAAGUAUGUGAUAAGAAAGAGCUCCCCCUAAAUUUGUGCAUAGUUUAAGAUUUGCUUUGGACUGCAAAUGCACAAUGAAUUAGGCUCAUGGGUUACUCUUCCAUGUCACAUACAUCUUGGUGGAGCGCUCAAAAUAAUAAACAUUGAAUACAUGCACUCAUCACCAAGCAAAGUGAAUGAUCACAUAAGAUAGAUAGGAUAAUAUCAUCAAACAUGCAUAAGUGUAGCUUAUGAUCAAACACAUGAUCAUCAAUGUCUCACAAGCAUAGUAUCUCAAACGAUCAAAAGCAAACAAGUUUUAAACCAGCAAAUAAAGCAAGAGAGAACAAAAGCAACACACUCUCUCUUGAAGCCUAUGAUCUAUACAUUUUUCAACCCCUUUGGCAACAAGUUACCAAAAAGUUCAUACAAAAUGCAUAGUGCUAGAUCAACUCUCAGGCUUGAUCCUUUGGUGGUGGUGUCCGGAUAACUCCAAGGACGAAGGCUUCAGUUGAAGUAGAGGGUGCUAUAGUGGAUGCUGGAGCUGGUUGCACUGGAGCUGAAGGGGCAGUAGCUGGUGCUGAAGUUGUUGCUCUAGUGUCUGUCACUGGCACUGCAACUGACCUCUGGGCUCUGGUCACUCUGGCAAACACAUUUGUGGUAGUCUUGCCCUGCCUCUCCUGCAUAUCAUCCUGCAGCUGCUCUACAACCGACUGAAUCCCAGUUACUUUGACAUCAAGGUCAUGGAAUUUGAGUUCCAUGAUUCUCUCCAUGCUCUCCUGAUUCUGAGUGAGGGUGUCCAGUCCCUUCUCAAUCCUCAGUAUAGAUGCUAUCAAGUAACCAAGCUGCUCCUGCUUGCUCUUCAAGAAAUAAUCAGAUGCCUCCUCUUGAGUUGGCAUCCUUGCAGCCUUCUCCUUCUUUGCCUUCUCCUUAUUCUCUUGAGCUUGAACUGAUGUUGGAUCAUUUUCAUUCAUGACAACCUCAUUGUCCUCAAAGUCUGGAUAAAGUGGAAAGUGUUCCUUAUCCAACUGAUAUUUCCCUGUACCCAUCUUUGAGUUGAUCAAUUCCUGAAUCUGAGGGGCAUAUCCACAGCUCCUCUUCUGAUCUGCUGCAGUCCUCUUAAUGGUUUCAAUCAUCAGGCUCAUGACUUUGAAUUUUUGUGGCACAUCAAACACAUGCAACAUGUUGAUGGCAUGCCCUCUGAUCAUGUUAUGGUCACCAGACUUGGGCAACAAAGUAUGCCUCAGAAUCCAAUUAAUGGUUGGCAGCCCUGAUAGCAGAAAAUGAACUGAUCCAAACUUGUGAGUCUCUACUGCCUUGUCUGGGAUUUCCUUGUACAUGUGAGCCAUGGAAUUGUGAUCCAUAUUCUUCUUUGCAUAAAUGUCCAGGUCAUCCUCAUUUUCCUUUGGGGCAUUUAUCAGACUUGCCCAUUCUUCAACAGUUGACUGGUACCUUGUACCUUCAAACAUCCAAACAAUUCUUCAAUCUGGGUAAAAAUGUGUUCUAGAGUAGAAUUGCAUGAUAAGCUCAUCAUUCCAGCGAGUGAACUUUUGUCCAACAAAAUCAGCAACUCAACAAGCAACAAAGCUUUCUUGCACUCCAGGAUAGUGCUCUUCAUUGUCCUUGAUGUAGGUCCAGUCGACCCACCUCAUGUCACAAACUAUGGGCUUCUUGUCCAACAGAAUUGUUUCAUAGAAGUCCUGAUGUUCCUUUGUAUGGAACCUGUAGUCAACAGCAGUUCUUCUCCUUGAAGCAUAUGGAUCUUCCAUCCUCCACAGCCUCAGCCCUGAGUCCUUCCUAAUCCUCAUGUCCUCAGCCACAGGAUGGGCAUCACUGUGGUCUGGUAUCUUGGGCUUGAGCUUUCUUAGGACCUGUCCUUCUUCAUCUUCUUCUUCAGCAACAUUUGGCACUGGGGCCUUGUUCUUCUCAGCAGCUGGAAUACUCCUAGUAUUCCUCUUUGGUACUUGCUUGGCCUUGGAGGCAGCUUUGGGUGCUUCCUUGGGCUUACAUGUUGCAGCCCCUGAUCUUAUAGCAUCACCCAUAAGCUUAGGUGCCUUAGGUGCUGGUGCAGCAACCUCUUCCUCUUCUUCAGAAUCUCUUCUCAUAGAGGGCUUUCCAAGGACCUUGGCAGUUGUGGUUCUUGCUCUCUUCUUUUUCUUGUCCUGAGCACCUUCAUCCUCUGACUAUAUGGUGAACUUCAUAGUCUCUCUAGUUGGUACUUUCUUGGGUUUGGAAGAAGUGACUUUCUUCUCAUGUGCCUCUUUGGGUUCUGUCUGAGCUGGCACUUGAGUGGACUUUCUGGCUUUAGGCAUUGGUGUCCUCUUGGCAGGAACUUUCUUCUUCAGUCCAGGCUUUGUGCUAUGUGCAGAGCCAUAUUCCUUCUUGAGCACUACUUUCUUGGAAGUAGCCUCAUCUUCUUCAGCUUUCUAGUCCUCAUCCUCUGAGUCUGAUGUUCUUUUCCUCCUUUGCCUGGUAGCAGCCUUAGGCGGGUUGCUAGGAGUUCUUCUACUCCCUUCAUCUGUGGUUGAUGGACCAGUGCCCUCACUCAAGUCCAUCUGUGCUUCUGACCUGUUCUGGCUAUCACUCUGGUCUGACAUGCCGCAAAACGCUGAAUGCUGAUCCUGUGAAGAGUUAUAGAUGAGAUAGAGUGGAUGAGCAUCACAAAAUGCAGAGAUUUUUGCAAAAGAAUGAUUCAAAAUACAGUUUUAGUUUUCCACAGAAAGCAUUUCGGAUCAACCGAUUUCAAACUCGGUGAUAUCGAAGCAGUUUUGGAACCUAAACUGAUGAUCUCGGUUGGACCGAGUCACAGUUCGGUGGCACCGAGACUGCUAGGGUUUCACAGAAUCCUCAGAUCGGUCGCACCGAUUAGUAAUUCUCGGUCAGACCGAGAGUCACUAGUGCAAUGGCAUAAGCCAAAUCGGUGAGACCGACUUUUUCAACUCAGUGGGUCCGAGAUGGUUUCGACGGAAACCUAACCCUAAAAAUUUGAAUCUAAUCUAAUCUACAGACUACUUUGGCUGGAUAGAAGUGUUUCAAUCGUGGCAAGAUUCAAUAAGAAUACAAUGUGCUAGGAAUCAGACGUGGAUAGCACAAAGAUCAAGUCCAUACCCUAACUUGGCGGUGGACUCGCUACGGCGACAACGGCGGGGGCGAAAUCCGUUGACGGCAGUGGAGACCAGCGACAGGAGGCUGCUGGCGACGAGGAGACGAUCCGGAGACCUCCGAUGGUAGAGCGAGCUAUUGCGCGGGUGAAGGGUUUCGGAGAAAUUUCCAAAAUUUUGCCUGUGACUAUAUAUAGCCCGACCCUGUCGGUGUGACCGAGUGAAACAACUCGGUGGCAGAGAUGCAUAACUGUGUACAGUUACAGCAAAUCAGUGAGACCGAAAAGUUCAAAUCGGUUGCACCGAGAUUGAAAACUCAGAUCAACUUAAUGAUCUCGGUAGGACCGAAAUGGAGGAAUCGGUCAGACCGAGAGUCACAAAGAGGUUUUGGAAGUUUAAGUCUAUGACGAAUCGGGGACUCCGAGUGCUCCUCACACAGAGUGGUUCGAAUCUGACUUGAUCAAAUUUUGUGAUGUAGCAUGAAUAGAGUUUGAGACGAGAAAAGCAUAGAUAGCUAAAGAAGGUUCUUAGGCAUUCUUGUCCAUCCACUUGGCAAAAAAAGAAAAGAACCCAAAAAAUCAAAACAACAAGUGGAUGUCCUUGAAUGAGUAAAAUAUGCAUCAACAUGCUCACAUAAUAAAAUGGCAAAUGAAAUAUGUGGCAAAGCAUGCACAACCAAUUCUAGCAUCUAUCAAACAAUUGGCGAUGACUAGGUCAUCUAUAUAUGAGUAUAUUGACUUAGGAGUCAAAUGAGAACAUUUGAUCAUAGGUCAUACUCAUCGUUUAAGCUCAAGUGGGGUUACCACUUUUACAUAAUGCAUUGAUAUGUUCACAUCAUUAGAGUUGCUUUGACUCAAUUCUUAUAGUUAAGCUCCCCCUAGAUGUGAGAUCCCCCCUUAGAGGGAUGAACUAACCUCGGGUUUUGUCGAUGAUGACUUCAUGUAGGUGUUAAAGAUGUGGAUGCUGAAUGUUGAUGUAGAUCAUUUGGAGCAAUCCUUUGGAGUGUGUUGCACUUUCAACUUACCUACAUGGGUUAGUCCCACAAGGAACAAACAAGAAUAUCCAUAGACAUAGAGUGAUGCACACACAAGAUGAUGUCCAUGAAAUCAUUAGGUUACCUUGUCCCUUGCCUUACCAACAUGAGGGUUUGUGAUUUCUUGAACUAGUGCAAGAUGUGGAAGUUGAUUUCACUCGUUCUUGCCAUAAUGAUAUGAGUGAAGAAUGUUGGUUGAGUCACCCUAAAGAACUCUCUAGUUCUUCUUCUUCGGGAUCCACAUCAUCUUGAUGGGAAUCCUUGGAGUUGUAGUUGUACUUGAUGAAGUAGAACUUGACGUAGUCUUGGGAACCCACUUGAAUGAGGCUUUAGGUGCUUCUUCAAAUGCAUCAAUUUCUUCUUGAAGCUUGUCCUUGCCUUUGUUCUUGUGGUCUUGUGGUGGAAGAUCAUCUUGAGCUUGUGUUCCCUUGAAGGAAGUAGGAUCAUACUUGUAUUGUUGAGGAACAAACUUCGUCUUGGGGUAUUGAUCUUCUUCCCACUCAACUCCAUUGGCAUUGAACUUGCGUUCAAAACCAACACCUUGAUUCUUUCGGUGCCUUCCUUGCUUGCGUACAAUUUCCUCGAAUUGCUUACUCCCGACAAGGCUCUUGUAAACACCUUUCUCUAUAAUUCCCUUCAAUAAGCUAUUUUCUUGCUCAAGUGUAACUUGGCUAAGAGAAUCAUUAGUGGAAUCAAGAGAACUACUAGAAGCAACAAUAUUAGACUUGACAUUAUUAUUGUUACUACUAGAGGAAGUAUCUUUCUUGUACUUGUUACUAGACUUGACUUGAGGCAUGUAAGUAGAUAAGAGUAAAUGCUUGGCAAUGUAAGAAGAACUUUUCUUGCGAAGAUCAUCAUUGAUUGCUUUUAAGAACUCAUGCUCUUGCUCAAGAUUGAGCUUUUCAAAGCGUAACUUCUCAUGAGCCCUUAAAAGUUCUCGAUGAUCUUCGAAGAUAGUUUCAUGAGCCAACUUAAGAGUGUUUAGUUCUUUAGUUAGAAGCUCAAUGUUCUCCUUAUCAUUGUCAUUCGUUUUAUCUUGAUUAGCAUGAUCAAUUGAUGUUUCAUCAUAGUAUUCAUCACUAGAGUUGUCAACAAGUAAAUCAUCAUCCACAAGAAAGUCAUCUUCAUCACUAUUGAAAUCAACAUACUCAGGAUGUGUUACCUUUGGACCUUUCGCCAUGAAGCAUCUUCCAACACCUUCAUUUGGUGAAUCAAAUAUGUCGUAGGAGUUGGUUGACACAAGUGCUAGACCAGCAACACCUUCAUCUUGAGUAUAUUCAGAGUCGGAGUGAUAGCUUCUCUCAGAGUGAUUGUCGGAGUCGGAGCCGGAUACCCAUUCACCAACAUGAGCUUGAUGUCUUCGUUUCUGAAUCCUUGCUUCUCCGUGAGGGUCUUCGUUCAUAACGAUCAUCUCUACUCCUCCUCUCUCUUGGUGGUGAUUCUUCUCUUUUGCUUCUUCUUCUUGGAGAAUCUUCUCUUCUUUUGUAGGGUGUCGUACACUCAUUGGAAUAGUGUCCGGGUCUCCCACAAUUGUAGCAAUUGCGCUCUCGACUAGAAGAUCUUUUGUCAUUGUAAGACCUUGACUUGGAGCUUCUUUCUUUGCUUCUACUCUUGUAGAAUUUGUUGAAGUUCUUCACCAUUAAGCUCAAUUCUUCAUUGAAGGUUUGUUUCUCACUUGAUGAUGUGGGGGCUUCACUUGAGGCUUUGUAAGCACCACUUGACUUGUUGUGAAGUUCCUCUUUAUCCUUGAGUGACAUCUCAUGAGCAACAAUUCUUCCAAUGACUUCCGUUGGCUAGAGAUCUUUGUAGUUUGGCAUCAUUUGAAUCAAUGUGCACACGGUAUCAUACUUUCCAUCCAAUGCUCUUAGGAUCUUCUUGAUGAUGAAUUUGUCGGUCAUCUCUUCACUCCCUAAGCCGACAAUCUCAUUUGUGAGAAGAGCAAGCCUAGAGUACAUUUCAGUGACACCUUCACCAUCCUUCAUUUUGAACUUGUCAAGCUGACUUUGGAGCACAUCCAACUUGGAUUCCUUGACGGACUCGGUACCUUCAUGCAUAUCAAUCAAAGUAUCCCAAAUUUCCUUUGCAUUCUCAAGACGGCUGAUUUUGUUGAAUUCUUCGGGGCAUAAUCCGUUGAAGAUGAUAUCGCAAGCUUGAGCGUUGUAUUGCAGCAUCUUCAAUUCUUCCGCAUUAGCUUCACGGUUCGGUUCUCUCCCAUCGAAAAAUUCACCCGUCAAGCCAAUACAAAUAAUUGCCCAAACGGCAGGGUUAUGUCCGAGAAUAUGCAUUUUCAUCUUAUGCUUCCAACUAGCAAAAUUAGUACCAUCAAAGUAAGGACCUCUACGGUGAUAAUUUCCCUCGCUAGACGCCAUACUCUCCUAUGUUGUGAAACCAAGUCUAUGACCACCAAAAGCUAUGGAAAUCAAAGCAAAUGGAGACCAAAGCUCUGAUACCACUUGUAGGACCUUGAAGUGUGUCUAGAGGGGGGUGAUUAGACUACUUGACCAAUAAAAACUUAACCUUUUCCCAAUUUUUGAGUUUGGCAGAUUUUAGCUACUUUAGGACAAGUCAAGCAAUCAUCACACUAUUCAAGCAAGCAUGCAAAGAGUAUAUAGGCAGCGGAAAUUAAAGCAUGCAACUUGCAAGAAAGUAAAGGGAAGGGUUUGGAGGAUUCAAACGCAACUGGAGACACGGAUGUUUUUGGCGUGGUUCCGAUAGGUGGUGCUAUCGUACAUCCACGUUGAUGGAGACUUCAACCCACGAAGGGUAACGGCUGUGCGAGUCCACGGAGGGCUCCACCCACGAAGGGUCCACGAAGAAACAACCUUGUCUAUCCCACCAUGGCCAUCGCCCACGAAGGACUUGCCUCACUAGCGGUAGAUCUUCACGAAGUAGGCGAUCUCCUUGCCCUUACAAACUCCUUGGUUCAACUCCACAAUCUUGUCGGAGGCUCCCAAGUGACACCUAGCCAAUCUAGGAGACACCACUCUCCAAGAAGUAACAAAUGGUGCGUUGAUGAUGAACUCCUUGCUCUUGUGCUUCAAAUGAUAGUCUCCCCAACACUCAACUCUCUGUCAUAGGUUUUGGAUCUGGUGGAAAGAAGAUUUGAGUGGAAAGCAACUUGGGGAAGGCUAGAGAUCAAGACUCAUAUGGUAGGAAUGGAAUAUCUUGGCCUCAACACAUGAGUAGGUGGUUCUCUUUCAGAAAUGGUAAGUUGGAAGUGUAGGUUCGUUCUGAUAGCUCUCUCCACGAAUGAAGAGGAGGUGGAGGGGUAUAUAUAGCCUCCACACAAAAUCUAAUCGUUACACACAAUUUACCAAACUCGGUGGGACCGAUUCAACAGACUCGGUCGGACCGAUUUAGUAAACCUAGUGACCGUUAGUGUUUUUCGGUGGGACUGACAUGCAUCUCAGUGAGACUGAUUCAGUUAGGAUUAGGGCAUAACAUAAUCUCGGUAAGACCGAUUACACAAACACGGUGAGACCGAUUUGGUAAUAAGCUUUCCAGAGAGUUGGUCAGGUAAACUCGGUGGGACCGAUUUGCUCUUUUCGGUGAGACCGAAAUGUUACAAAAAGGAAAUAGAGAGUUUACAUUGCAAUCUCGGUGGGACCGAUCGCUCACUUCGGUUAGACCGAAAUGUUACGAAGGGAAACAGAGAGAUUACAGCCCCAUCUCGGUGAGACCAAGAUCCCUAUCGGUAGGACCAAUUUGCUUAGGGUUUGUGGCAGUGGCUAUGACUUUUGGAAUCGGUGACGCCGGAUAGGAAGAAUCAGUGUGACCGAUUUUGGCUUUGGGUUUAGGUCAUUUGUGGAUGUGGAAAGUAGCUGAGGGUUUUGGAGCAUAUCACAAAGCACGUGAAGCAAGAGGCUCAUUAAGCAACACCUCAUCCCUCCUUGAUAGUAUUGGCUUUUCCUAUAGACUCAAUGUGAUCUUGGAUCACUAAAAUAUAAAAUGAAGAGUCUUGAGCUUUUGAGCUUGAGCCAAUCCUUUGUCCUUAGUAUUUUGAGGGAUCCACUUUCAUAAUCCAUGCCAUGCCAUUCAUUGAGCUUUCCUGAAAUAAUAGUCUUGGAAUAGCAUUAGCUCAAUGAGGUAUAUGUUGUUAUGAAUUACCAAAACCACCUAGGGAUAGUUGCACUUUCAGCUCUGCUUCAACCCACUUUGUGAAUUUGUCAACCGCCACCAAAGAGGUGGGUCUUUUUAUCCUUGGACCUUUUAAAAGGCCCAACCAUGUCAAGUCCCCACACUGCAAACAGCCAUGUAAUUGGAAUCAUCCUCAAUUCUUGAGCCGGCACGUGAGCUCGCCGUGAGAAUUUCUGACAACCAUCACAUUUACUGACCGGAUCCUCUGUAUCAGUGUGAGCCGUCAGCCAAUAAAGUCCAUGACGAGAAGCUUUGGCCACAAGGGACUUUGAACCGACAUGAUGGCCACAAUCUCCUUCAUGAAUCUCAUGAAGAAUCUCUUGAACUUCCUCAGGAGAGACACAACGCUGAAACACCCCAGUGACACUGCGAUGAUGCAACUCGCCAUUGGCAAUUGUCAUGGGCUUAGACCGCCGGGUUAUCUGCCUAGCCAAGGUUUCAUCCUCAGGCAACUAGCCCCGGGUCAUGUAAGCCAAAUAUGGCACUGUCCAAUCUGGGAUGACGUGAAGAGCCGCCACCAAUUGUGCUUCCAUGUGAGGAACAACCAAGUCUUCCUCUGUAGGCAACUUGACAGAAGGGUUAUGCAGAAUAUCCAAGAAAGUGUUACGUGGCACCGGCUUACACUGAGACCCCAACCGGCUUAAAGCAUCAGCCACCUCAUUCUUUCUGCGAUCAAUGUGCUCCACUUGAUAACCCUUGAAGUGCCCAGCAACAGCAUCAACUUCACGGCGAUAAGCCGCCAUGAGGGGAUCCACUACCAAAAAAAUACACUUCCGUGAUGAUACGUGUUUGUCACAGUAGGUCGCGUUUUUUGUCAUGCAUGUACAUCCAUGACAAAUUUAUGACAGAAUCAAGAUAGUCAUACUUGUGCUAUCGUAGAAGUGUUCCAUGACAUUACCAAAAUUAUCAUCACGGAAGUGUCCACUUCCAUGACGAUAAAUCGCGCGUCAUAGAAGUGCUUUCGUCAAGGGUGACCGACAUGUGGCAUCCACCGUAACGGAACGCCGUUAAGAUAUCGGGUCGGGUUUUGGAUCCGAUAACCCAUUAACAGCCCCGACCAAUGGGGAUUUUGCACGCUCAUUGGCUGGAGGAAACACUUGUCGGCUCAUCGUUGGGACAGAUGUCAUCCACUCAUUGGACGGAAGGCGCCUAUGAUACGUCGACAUGUGGCAGGCCCAAUAGAGGCCCAUUCCUGUGAAAAGGUCGGCCCAGUAAAUAUUAGCAGGACAUCCCAUAUAAGGCCUACUUGUGUCAGGUCCAUUUAAGCCCACGGCCCAUACGAGAUGUGCCAAUUCGUCCCGUCAACGGCCCGUUAAAGAUUUGACACCAUUGCAGCCCAUCGUCAGUUCGAGCCCGUUAACAGCCCGCUAUAUAUUUGGGCUCAAUAUCGGCCUGAUGAGAUUUCGGCCUGUUAACGGCCCAUUUAAUGGAUGGGCCAAUUUUCAGGAUGUACAUCUUUCGGCCUUUUAGCGACCCAUUUAAAUGUUGGGCUAGUUUCCGGCCUGGUGUGUCUUUCAGCCUGUUGACGGCCCAUAAAUCUGAUGGGCCAUUUGUUGUCGGACCUGAGUUUCGGCCUUUUAGCGUCCCAUUUAAGUGUUGGGCCAAUUUUCUGGCCCGGUGUCACUUUUAGCCUGUUGACGGCCCAUAAAUCAGUUGGGCCAUUUGUAGUCAGACCUGAGUUUUGGCAUUUUAGCGACCCAUUUAAGUGUUGGGCCAAUUCCCGGCCAUGUGUGCCCUUCGGCCUGUUAACAGACCAUAAAUGAGUUGGGCCAUUUGUAGUCGGACCUUAGUUUUGGCCUUUUAACGGCCCAUGCCCUUCAUGGUCCAAUACCAGCCCGGUUUCUCUUUCGGCCUGCUAAAGGCCCACAACACAGUUGGGCCAUUUACAAUACGACCUGACUUUCGGCCUCUUAGCGGCCCAUGGUCUUCAUGGUCCAGUACAAGCCCGUUGUCUCUUUCGGCCUGCUAAAGGCCUACAGUAUAGUUGGGCCAUAUGUAUCAAACUUAGUAACGGCCUGUUAACGGCCCGUGAAAUAAACUGGGGCCACCUGUUUCCCGCUUUGAUGUCAGCCUGUUAACGACCCGGGAGGUAAGAGGCCGACCAUUGACUUUCGGCCUAGUAACGGCCCAUUAACUUAAUGGGCCCACUAAAGUUCGUACAUGUCUUUAGGCCAAAUUAGAUAAUUUGAGCCCACUACGACGAGCAAUUAUGCACAGGAACAAAACCGAUCACGCAAAGGUACGGCAUACAGGGAAUAACGUUGCACAUCCAGCAUAUAUUACAGGAAAUUACAUCCACUGGGCAAUCAAAGAUUGAUGCCAGUGCAAAUAAAUGAGCAGAACCUAACCAUCUACAACGUCACAAUCUGCAACCUCAGCACAGAUGACGCCCAUAAGCAUGUGGGCAAGUUCUAUCUGCUUUGCUACACUGUCUCUGAAAAUAUUGAUCAGUUGUUGUGUCGCACGACUCUGCACCUCUGAUUCAUCCACCAUUUCCAUCAUUGCUUGAGCCAUUAAUUGGUUCACAAACAUACAUUUAUUCUGUUGCAUUCGAGACAGAGGAUACUGAACAGAUUCAUAUGGCAAUUUUGGCAGGCUUGUAUUAUUGAUAGUGGAGAGUGUCUCGACCACUGCAUCAUAACAUAAAUUAGGACGGGAACCAAACAGAUUAAUCAUGAGUUAUUGCCAUAUUACCUGGCCUAGAUUUACUGGAAAGAAACAAUGGGGUUGCCUUGCUGUUUUCAGAGUUUGUCUUCUUAUCUUCAGCAGCCUGCACACAAUUAACACACAAGCAUUGCUAUCAUUGGCCAAGUCAGAUAAUAGGAAAGCAACAUUGACACAACGAACAUUUGGGCAACUAGCCUACACCAAAUUAACACAAUAUGGCACAGCUAUCAUCAGCCAAGUAAGGUAGUACGAAAACAACAUUGACACAAUGAAUGAAUGGGCAACCAGAGAAGCACUACAAUUCAGUAAUGUGCGUGAUAUGAGAUAGUACAUUCAUGCAGGUCAGUAUGCAAAACUACCAGGCAGUUUUCCUUACAAAAAUCAACAUUGUCGUGUUUAACAUUUUGCUACAACUAAUUUUAGAUCAGAUAAAGGUUAGAUUCACGCCGAUUAACAAAAUACAUGCUGAUGUAAAACUAUAGUGAUAUACAACAGGUACUUACAUCAGCAUUGGAGCACAGAGAAUUCCCGCAAGAUAUUUUCCUCGAAUACGAUCCCAAUGGAGGAAGUCUUCUAUCAUUUAGCCUUAUUUUCUAAAAGAGAGAUGGGUAAGAAACAUGUAGAAAAUAUGAUCAGAAUGCAAUAAAAUUUCAUGAUGCAAGGAUACGCAGACGCUUCUUAGAAUGGAGUUGAGAUUCUUUUGCUGGACUAGAGCGGGCUAGUUCUUUGGCCACUGGAAUCUGCUUAUUAUCAGUGGGAGUUGGGUUUCUCUGUGCUGGAGCAGUAUCUAUGAAAAAUGGAGUUGGUUUAUUAUCUCCUGGCGUUUGGAACUUUUGCAAAGACCUAGUUUGUAACCCUUCAGAUUCUAACAUAGCCGUCUUCCCCUUGCAUGCCUUAUAUAGAAGAAUGGUGAUUCAGUUAUACAACAUGCUACAGCAGAGAUGGAAUAGGUACUGAAGAAUAGAAAGGCAUGACAUAUUGACAUGUAUUCCCUCCAUCCGGAAAUAAAUGGACGGGUCUAGGCGUAUUUCAGUUCUAGAUACAUCCAGUUUUAUCCAUUUCUGCGACAUUUAAUCCGGACGGAGGGAGUAUGAUGUAAGAGCUAGGGAUACGACAGGACAACACAGUAAAAAAAACACUGAAAACCCCACUGCAGAACCAAAGUAUUCAAACCCACUGAUAUGAGAUAGUACACUCAUGCAGCUCAGGAUGCAAAACUACCAGGCAGUUUUCCUUACAAAAAUCAACAUUGUGGCCUUUAAUCAUACAUUUUGCUAAGACUAAAUUUAGAUCAGAUAAAGGUUGGAUUCACGCCGAUUAACAAAAUACAUGCUGAUGUAAAAAUAUAGUGAUAUACAACAGGUACUUACAUCUACAUUGGAGCACAGAGAAUUCCUGCAAGAAUCAUUCCUCAUAAAUGAUACCAUUGCAGAAAUUCUUCUAUCUGUUAAGCUUAUUUUCUAAAAGAGAGAUGGGUAAGAAACAUGUAGAAAAUAUGAUCAGCAUGCUAUAAAAUUUCAUGAUGCAAGGAUACGCACACACUUCUUAGAAUUGAGUUGACAUAUUUUUGCUAAACUGGAGCGGACUAGUUCUUUGGCCACUGGAAUCUGCUUAUUAUCAGUAGGAGUUGGGUUUCUCUGUGCUGGAGCAGUAUCUAUAAAAACUGGAGUUGGUUUAUUAUCUCCUGGCGUUUGGAUCUUUAGCAAAGGCCUUGUUUGUAACCCUUCAGAUUCUAACAUAGUCGUCUACCCCUUGCAUGCCUUGUAUAGAAGAAUGGUUCUUUAAUUAUAAAACAUGCGACAGUAGAGAGAUGGAAUAGGUACUGAAGAAUAGAAAGGCAUGACAUAUUGACAUGUAUUCCCUCCAUCCGGAAAAAAAUGGAUGGGUCUAGGCGUAUUUCAGUUCUAGAUACAUCCUUUUUUAUCCAUUUCGGCAACAUGUAAUGUCACAUCCUAGCUAGCCAUGCAUUAGAGUGUUGCAUCAUGUUUCCUCUUUCAUCAGAAACUUGAAAUGGGGAUCUGUGAAACCCUCAGAAUCUUUUUGAAAAUGACCCAAAUAAAAAUUUCUCCAAAAGGGUCCAAGAAAAUGCUCAUGUUGCUCUCUGAAAAUAUUGGACAGAGAUAAAAAUCAAGCCAAUAUUUUUAAGAGCUCAUAGGUAUUUAUUUUGGGCAUUUGGAAUUAAUGCAUAAAUAAUUGCAUUGGAAAUAUAUUAAUUAUAUAUAUUAAUAUAUGUCCAAAUAUUAUGCCAACUAUAAAGGAGCUCUGGAAUAAUAUACAUAGCUCCUGCAAAAAUUGGCAUAAGUUAAAUAAAAUGAUUUAAUAUUUUAUUUAAAUCAAAACAAAUGUCAGAAAUUAGAAAACAGAAAAUAAUUAACAGGAGGAGCUUACCUGGGCUCCUCCACUGUGCGGCCCAGCCAGCUGGCUGGCCCAGCCAGCAGCCGGCCCAGCCCACCUCCCUCCUCUGUCGUCUUCGUCCCGACAGAGGGAGGGGAGUGUGGCCGGCGCGCGCGCGCGCCACCGCGCCACGCCACCUCUCUCCCUGCCUGUCUGCCCUCCCCUCCUCGCCUCGAUGCCCUGGACGACGCCACGCCUCUCCCCUGCUCUCUCUCACUCUCCCCCGGUUCUUCCCUUCUCUCCCUCGCUCUCUCUCUCACACGGCCGAACACCACCGUCGCCGCCGUUCGCCACAGCAGCCAUCUCCGGCCACCCCUCGCUCCCCCGACCAGCUCAGAAGCUCCGCCACGACCCCCUCUUCCUCCCCACCGCUCCACGGUCCUCCAGAAGCCAUGCAUCGCCGCCACGUCGCCGUUCCCCUCUUCGGGCUCCGACCAUCGUCGCCGUCGAAUUCGUCGUCUCCAGCGCGUCCCCGAGCCCGCUAACCAUCCCUGCAGCUCCGCGGUGAGCCCCGGAUCGUUUCCCCCUUCUCCCCUGGUCUCUUUCGACCUCUAGGCCGUAGCCCCGUCUUGGCCGAGAACUCCACGCCGCCGGCGAAGUCGCCGUCGUGGCCACGGUCACCGUAGCACCCAACCGAGCACACCAUCGUGCUCCACACCUCACCAGGAGCACGUAGCACACACCAACGCCUACCCAAACCCCCUGCAACGCCGAUUCCGACCGCACCCGAACUCCGGCGGCCGCAGCCGAGCUCGCCGCCGUCGACCACCGUCCGACGCGCCGUCGAGCUAGCUAUCCAACGCACCUAGCCGCACGCCGUUUGGAGCACCACAGAGGAAACCCGAGGCCCCUGUACGCCGCGGACCUCGCCGGCGACUAACCGCCGGCGGGUUUGACUUGUCCGACCUGAGGUUUGACCCCCCCAGGGUCACUGAAGCGUGGGCCCCAUCGGCCAGGUGGUCAGUUAGUGCUAAUUACCGUUAGUCAACCCCCCCUGACACUGACAGUGGGCCCCAGCGCCACUAAUCCCUAAUUAGGAUUAAUUUAAACCUGUUAAACCCCCCUGUCACUGACGUGUGGCCCCCACACGUCAGGUUUGACUCCAGCCAGCCGCAGUUGACCACUGACAUCAUGCUGACGUCAUGCUGGCGCAAUAAUUAUAAUUUCUGGAUUUAAUUUAAAUCAGGAAAUUCCAGAAUAUUAUUUAAACUUCAAAAAUUCUUAACUUUUAUUCUGUAACUCCAAAUUGGACAAAUUAUAUAUGAAAAAUGAUCAGAAAAAUCCAAUCUAUCCAUCUGUACUAUUUUCAUGCAUGAUCAAACAAGUUCAAUUGAUGUUUUAAGCAGAACAAGAAAAGGCACCUUAAAAGGCCAUAUUUGAAUUUGAAAUUUGAAUCCUUGAUUCAAAUUUGUUCAAACCCUUCUGGUUUUAGUUGCAUUAGCCCAACACACUCAUUUUGCCAUGUUUCAUGCAUGCAUCAUAUUGUUGCACAUUGUUUGGUGAUGGUUGUGUAUCGAUGUCCUUUGCGACAGGUUCUGCCCCCGAGGAGUACCGUGAUUACCCUAACGAAGAACCGUAUCAGUGCAUCAAACCAUCAGGCAAGCAACCAACCAUUUGAUCAUAUCGAUACAAUCCCAUGUUCUCGCUCCUGCUCUCUUUUACUGCAUUACGACAACGCGUUUCAAACUGCUGUGUGCUACGGUAGUUGAACCCUUUUCCUCUGCAUGACCUGUCAUUGCCACAGUAACUAGAUGAAACCCACUAGCAUGUGUAGGAGUUGCUUGAGCCAUAUGUAUGUGUUGUUCCUACCCUGCUAUGCCUGCUAUGCUUAGAGUCGUGUCAGGUCUGGUUCAUCUGGGUGAUGGGCUAGAGUGAAAUGAUUAUGUCGGUAAUGGGAGUGGUGUGGUGAACACGAUUUGGUAAAGGUAUCGAUGAGAGGCCAUGUAGGAGUACAUGGUGGGUUGUUUCAUUGAAGCCGACCUUAAGCACUGAGAUCUGUAUGUGUGAUUUAAGAAUCAGCUACUACCAUGCAUUGGGCCCGAAACCAAUGGACCCUCUCGGCUUCUUAUUCACCCUAGUUCUCCGUCCAGGAGUUGCAAGUAGUUUCUGGUGUUUGUAGCCUACUGGAGGCCGUGGACAGCGCUGACCAUAGGGGUGGGCUGUGAUGCGGUAGGUACGUGGCACGGUGUACCGAAUACCCGUUAGGUAUCUCGGGAACCCUGUUCACAUCGUUCGGGGCCGUAUGGGAAACCUCGGCCGGACUCCCUGCGGAUGGAACCUGAAUAGGCGAUAAACCUGGACCGGAGGCUUAGGUGAUUAGGUAGGUCGUGGCCGACACCCACGUUGGGCUUCCGCUUGAAGGUUGCCGAGUACAUGUCGUGUAAGCGACGAUAAGUGGUGAGAGCGUGUAUGAAGAAGUACACCCCUGCAGGGUUAACAUGAUCUAUUCGAAUAGCCGCGUCCGCGGUAAAGGACUACUUGGUUGCCUAUACAGUUCAUAGACAAGUAAAUGGAAACUACUAAAAGCCUCAAGAUAAGUGUGAGUGCCGAGGAUGGCUCUUCCGUAGGAAGACGGAGGUGGAUCCUCGGUAGUGUAUUGAAGUGGUGAGUAGUGGACUCGUGUGCGCAAAACCAUUUCAAGUUGGAGUAUCGUAGGAUAGCCUAGCCAAGAGUCAAAGCUGGCUUGCUGCAAUAACUCCACCAACCCUUCUUGAUACUAUGCAUGUAUGUAGGAUCUGAUGUAAGUCUUGCUGAGUACCUUUGUACUCAUGUUGCUAUAAUCUACAUUUUACAGAAGACGCUGCAACCCCUUCUGAUGGGUUCUAUGUAGACGUUGACAUCAACGAGUAGGCUAAAGACCCAGGUGGUGACCCUGAGCUUGUGAUGGACCACGUAGUAUAGCUAGGCUUUCCAAGCCUCUUUUAUUUUACUAGUUGUCUGUACUCAAACAAGUUACUUCCGCUGCUGGCUUGUAUGACUGUAUGACUUGUAUGUUGGGUCGUGAGACCCGUACCUUGGUGUAUGUUAUGUAUGGCUCCCUGAGCCUUAAAUAAAGUACUUGUGUCAUAGAGUCAUGUUGUGAUGCUUCGUUGUAUUUGCACAUAUCGAGCAUAUUGUGUGUAUGAUUGAAAUGCUUGGUAUGUGUGGGAUCUGACUAUCUAGUUGUUUAUCUUUAGUAGCCUCUCUUACCGGGAAAUGUCUCCUAGUGUUACCGCUGAGCCUUGGUAGCUUGCUACUGCUCUGGAACACUUAGGCUGGCCGGCAUGUGUCCUUCUUCGUUCCUGUGUCUGUCCCUUCGGGGAAAUGUCACGCUUUGAGUACCGGAGUCCUGUUAGCCCGCUACAGCCCGGUUUACCGGAGUCCUGCUAGCCCAGUGCUACAGCCCGGACCCACUUGCUGAUGACCGACACGUUCGAAGCUGGGUCAUGGAUGCCUGUCCCUGUAAGUCUGUGCCACUUUGGGUUUACAACUAGUCAUGUCAGCCUGGGCUCUUUAUCAUAUGGAUGCUAGCGACACUAUCAUAUACGUGAGCCAAAAGGCGCAAACGGUCCCGGGCAAAGGUAAGGCGACACCCGUGGGAAUACCGUGCGUGAGGCCGCAAAGUGAUAUGAAGUGUUACCGGCUAGAUCGAUGUGACAUCGAGUCGGGGUCCUGACAGCGUUGAAUUAAAUCAGGAAAUUCCAGAAUAUUAAUUAAACUUCAAAAAUUCAUAACUUUUAUUCUGUAACUCCAAAUUGGACAAAUUAUAUAUGAAAAAUGAUCAGAAAAAUCCAAUCUAUCCAUCUGUACCAUUUCCAUGCAUGAUCAAACAAGUUAAGUUGAUGUUUUAAUCAGAACAAGAAAAGGCACUUUAAAAGGCCAUAUUUGAAUUUGAAAUUUGAAUCCUUGAUUCAAAUUUGUUCAAACCCUUCUGGUUUUAGUUGCAUUAGCCCAACACACUCAUAUUGCCAUGUUUCAUGCAUGCAUCAUAUUGUUGCAUAUUGUUUGGUGAUGUUUGUGUAUCGAUGUCCUUUGCGACAGGAUCUGUCCCCGAGGAGUACCGUGAUUACCCUAACGAAGAACCGUAUCCGUGCAACGAACCAUCAGGCAAGCAACCAACCAUCUGAUCAUAUCGAUACAAUCCCAUGUUCUCGCUCCUGCUCUCUUUUACUGCAUUAAGACAACGCGAUUCAAACUGCUGUGUGUUACGGUAGUUGAACCCAUUUCCUCUGCAUGACCUGUCAUUGCCACAGUAACUAGAUGAAACCCACUAGCAUGUGUAGGAGUUGAUUGAGCCAUAUGUAUGUGUUGUUCCUACCUUCCUAAGCCUGCUAUGCUUAGAGUCGUGUCAGGUCUGGUUCAUCUGGGUGAUGGGCUAGAGUGAAAUGAUUAUGUCGGUAAUGAGAGUGGUGUGGUGAACACGAUUUGGUAAAGGUAUCGAUGAGAGGCCAUGUAGGAGUACAUGGUGGGUUGUUUCAUUGAAGCCGACCUUAAGCACUGAGAUCUGUAUGUGUGAUUUAAGAAUCAGCUACUACCAUGCAUUGGGCCCGAAACCAAUGGACCCUCUCGACUUCUUAUUCACCCUAGUUCUCCGUCCAGGAGUUGCAAGUAGUUUCUGGUGUUUGUAGCCUACUGGAGGCCGUGGACAGCGCUGACCGUAGGGGUGGGCUGUGAUGCGGUAGGUACGUGUCCGGGUGUACCGAAUACCCGUUAGGUAUCUCGGGAACCCUGUUCACAUCGUUCGGGGCCGUAUGGGAAACCUCGGCCGGACUCCCUGCGGAUGGAACCUGAAUAGGCGAUAAACCUGGACUGGAGGCUUAGGUGAUUAGGUAGGUCGUGGCCGACACCCACGUUGGGCUUCCGCUUGAAGGUUGCCGAGUACAUGUCGUGUAAACGACGGUAAGUGGUGAGAGCGUGUAUGAAGAAGUACACCCCUGCAGGGUUAACAUGAUCUAUUCGAAUAGCCGCGUCCGCGGUAAAGGACUACUUGGUUGCCUAUACAGUUCAUAGACAAGUAAAUGGAAACUACUAAAAGCCUCAAGAUAAGUGUGAGUGCCGAGGAUGGCUCUUCCGUAGGAAGACGGAGGUGGAUCCUCGGUAGUGUAUUGAGGUGGUGAGUAGUGGACUCGUGUGCGCAAAACCAUUUCAAGUUGGAGUAUCGUAGGAUAGCCUAGCCAAGAGUCAAAGCUGGCUUGCUGCAAUAACUCCACCAACCCUUCUUGAUAAUAUGCAUGUAUGUAGGAUCUGAUGUAAGUCUUGCUGAGUACCUUUGUACUCAUGUUGCUAUAAUCUACAUUUUUACAGAAGACGCUGCAACCCCUUCUGAUGGGUUCUAUGUAGACGUUGACAUCAACGAGUAGGCUAAAGACCCAGGUGGUGACCCUGAGCUUGUGAUGGACCACGUAGUAUAGCUAGGCUUUCCAAGCCUCUUUUAUUUUACUAGUUGUCUGUACUCAGACAAUGUACUUCCGCUGCUGGUUUGUAUGACUGUAUGACUUGUAUGUUGGGUCGUGAGACCCGUACCUUUGUGUAUGUUAUGUAUGGCUCUCCGAGCCUUAAAUAAAGUACUUGUGUCGUAGAGUCAUGUUGUGAUGCUUCGUUGUAUUUGCACAUAUCGAGCAUAUUGUGUGUAUGAUUGAAAUGCUUGGUAUGUGUGGGAUCUGACUAUCUAGUUGUUUAUCUUUAGUAGCCUCUCUUACCGGGAAAUGUCUCCUAGUGUUACCGCUGAGCCAUGGUAGCUUGCUACUUCUCUGGAACACUUAGGCUGGCCGGCAUGUGUCCUUCUUCGUUCCUGUGUCUGUCCCUUCGGGGAAAUGUCACGCUUUGAGUACCGGAGUCCUGUUAGCCCGCUACAGCCCGGUUUACCGGAGUCCUGCUAGCCCAGUGCUACAGCCCGGACCCACUUGCUGAUGACCGACACGUUCGAAGCUGGGUCAUGGAUGCCUGUCCCUGUAAGUCUGUGCCACUUUGGGUUUACGACUAGUCAUGUCAGCCCGGGCUCCUUAUCAUAUGGAUGCUAGCGACACUAUCAUAUACGUGAGCCAAAAGGCGCAAACGGUCCCGGGAAAAGGUAAGACGACACCCGUGGGGAUACCGUGCGUGAGGCCACAAAGUGAUAUGAGGUGUUACCGGCUAGAUCGAUGUGACAUCGAGUCGGGGUCCUGACAGCGUUGGCAUCAGAGCCGGACUACCUGUAGGUUCUCCAAGCCAAACUGGUCGAUGUUGAGUCUAGAAAUUCUUUAGUUAUAUGUAGGGGAAUUGUUUGUGGGUUGGAACGUAAGGCUCUUUUACUCCUUUAUCUUAUGACAUUCUGAUCUGAGUCAGUCCAUUCUUCCACCGGGGGUUAAGGAAUUAGGAUCUGUUCUCUCUAUCAGGAUCACGAGUUACUAAUCAGUAGUACCUUAUAAGUUUGAUGGAUACAAGCCUAGUUCAGUUCUACUACCACAUUAUGUUGUUAGAAUGGAUUCAGAACUUUGAUAUGAUGAUGUUGAGUGUGUACGAAAUCCUUUGUCAAAUGUCUCAAAAUCCUUUUUGAGCAUUUACAGCUGUUAUGCUGCCGAAAAUUUGCUAGAAAUUCUAAUGCCUUUGCAUUAUGAUUGUGCUUUCAGAUGACCACUCGCGACCUCAAUCAAGUGGUUCGCCUGACUCGAUGCUUAGAUGUACCCGGCCAUACUGCCAAGUUGGUCAGGGUAAUGACUGAGGCUGGAUACCGCUGGUAUCUCGAGUACACGGUCGAGCAAUUCCGAGACUUUAAUCAAAGCCAGUAUCUCUGCACUGUCAGGAUAUUUCCAUCUUAUCCUGGAUCCACUGAGCCUCUUCACUGCUCCUAUGGACUCGGGGUUACUAUUGAGAUGGCCGUGCAGGACGUCGCCUACUCUAUGAUGACCAUUAUGCGGGUCAGAUCUGGCCUAUUUCGGGACUCUGACUUCCGGUAUAUGCCAGGAUCACUUCCGGGAGCACAAGGGUAUCUCCAGGCUAUUUAUGCUGACCCCACUCAGGAGGAUUCACGGACUCGCACCACUGCUGAGAUGCUCGAGGAUAAGGACCGUGAAAAUCGGGCCUUAAGGUUAGAGCUCUUCAAUACCCGUGCUGACCACUGGGCCACUUUGACUCGGUUCGCACUGGCGGUGCAAGCUGGAUAUUCGAAUAUGCGCGAUCUCUAUCCUGUGAGAUCUGCUCUGCCGGACGUGAUGGUUUGGCGUGAUGUAGGAGGCAUCACCCCACCUCGCGGUCCCCGCAGGCCACCGUCUGUUGGUCCAAGGCCUCAUCCUAGCCCCUAUGGUCCACAAGCUCCGCGAGAUCGUCUGUUUCCGGAUGAUCAUGUUGAACUUCCAGGCUAUGGAGGCGACUUCUAUGAGGACUACUACGGAUCGGUCUGAGUUAGUGGUAGUAUCACUAGUUUGCACUAGCUGUGUCUUCUAUCGUCCCGCGUGACUCGUGGGAUAUGACCUAGUUUGUACUCUUUCCGGAGGUGUAGAAAAAUAAUGUAUAGGAGCUUGGGAUGCCUCCGAUGAGAUGUAAUCCUCUUUUCACCGUAUUAGUACUUUGUUUGGUCUUGUACUAAACCCUGUAUGGUGUGUAUGACGAUGGAAUAAAAGAAGCAGUUUCUGUAUCUACCAUGUCAUACGGAUGAUCAUCUUGCAUUCCGAGUUAUUCCUUACAUUAUGUAUCCUAUGUCGGAUUUUAUCAUUCUGACUAAAUCAUUGUCUUGUUUACCUAGGAUGGUCAACACGCGCACUAACCCUGCUCCUCAAGAGCAGGCCGAAGGCAGUGAAGUCAGGGAUGCAAAUCUGCCUCAUCCUCCUUCACUAGCCGAGGUUAUGAUGGAAGCUGAGAGAAACAAGCGGGAGACCAACCGUUUGUUGGAGCGUAUUGAACAGAACACAGCACACCAUCAGAGGACUAACGUGGUGUCACUCAGUGAUUUUAUCAAAUUACGUCCAUCCACGUUCCACCACUCCGUCGAGCCUCUCGACGCUGAUGACUGGCUUCGCAGUAUCUCUCACAAACUGCGUUCCGCGCUGGUAGCGGAGGCUGACAAGGUCACCUUUGCUGCAUAUCAUCUUGAAGGCCCCGCCAGUCUAUGGUGGGAGAAUUAUGGAGCUAUGCGCCCAGCAGACCAUGUCACUACUUGGGCUGAGUUCAGCGAGGCUUUCCGUGAACAUCACAUUCCGGAGGGUCUCAUGGACCGUAAACGUGAGGAAUUCUGCAAUUUCACCCAAGGCCGACUUUCUGUGGAUGUUUACAGUAGGGAGUUUGGUAAUCUCGCACGAUAUGCAACCGAGGAAGUUUCUACUGACGCCAAGAAGCAAGCAAGGUUCCGUAAGGGACUUAGUCCUGAGCUUCGCCGCGACCUCCGUCUGCAUGAGUGCACAUCUUUUCAGAAACUUGUCAAUAAAGCCAUCAGUGCUGAAACUGGUCAGACUGACUAUGACGCAACACGCAAGCAUGGCCGCGAUAUAGGUUCCUCAUCCGGUGCUGGUCCUCAGAAGCGCCGCGUGUGGGUACCCAACACCGCCCUGCCACCCAGGUUCACACCGAGGCCAUCUUUCCAGGCGCCUCGCCCUGUUCAACAGUCUGCACCGACCAAGCCCUAUGGGGGUCCAUCUAACAAUGCUCCUCCACGUACCAGUUCCGUGACUUGUUUCAAGUGUGGGGAAUCUGGUCACUAUAUGCGUGAGUGUCCCCAGACCAACCCCAAUCAAUGUGCUAAAGCUGUUGGCCGUGGCAAGCCGACAGGGAAAGUGUUUCAUGCUAAACCGGUCACCGCUUCACGUGGUCAUGUCAACUGUAUCUCCGCCGAAGAAGCUCAAGAGGAUCCCAACGUCGUUCUCGGUACGCUUCUUGUUAAUUGCCACCGGCAUCUGUUCUUUUCGACACAGGAGCCUCUCAUUCUUUUAUAUCCGAAAAUUAUGCUUGUUUGCAUAACGUUGCAUUCUGUGACAUGCCAACCUCUAUGGUAAUUCAAACUCCGGGAUCCAAAUGGCAAACUUCUAGAGUAAGCCAUGGAAAUGAAAUCCAAGUCGACAGACUUGUUUUUCUCGCAUCUUUGAUAGCCCUUAAAUCUUCAGAUAUUAAUAUCAUUUUGGGUAUGGACUGGAUGUCAGCUCAUCAAGCCAAAAUUGAUUGCUUCUCUAGGACUGUUCAACUCACCCAUCCUUCGGGGAAGAUAGUCAAUGUCUUGACCCGAAUAGCCAAGCGACAAUUAUAUUCUCUUAACGCCAGCCCUUUGCCAGACCUUGAGGACAUUCCGGUAGUCCGUGACUUCCCGAAUGUUUUUCCAGAGGAAUUGCCAGGUGUUCCACCUGACAGGGAUGUUGAGUUCGUAAUCGACCUCAUCCCCGGAACUGUUCCGAUUGCCAGAAGACCUUAUAAGAUGGCACCACUAGAACUAGCCGAGCUUAAGAAACAACUCGAUGAAUCCUUGAAAAGGGGUUUCAUCCGCCCUAGUUCAUCUCCGUGGGCUUGCCCCAUCCUAUUCGUCAAGAAGAAGGAUGGUACGGACCGGAUGGUUGUAGAUUACCGACCUGUCAAUUUGGUCACAAUCAAGAACAAAUAUCCACUUCCCAGGAUCAACGACCUGUAUGAUCAGCUCGCUGGAUCCUCAGUCUUCUCCAAGAUGGAUUUGAGGUUGGGCUACCAUCAAAUCAAAAUCAGAAACGGGGACAUUCCUAAAACGGCCUUUGUUACUCAUUAUGGCCAAUACGAGUACACCGUCAUGUCCUUCGGAUUAACCAACGCUCCAGCCACCUUUUCUCGGUUAAUGAACUCAAUCUUCAUGGAGUAUUUGGAUAAAUUCGUCGUGGUUUACCUCGAUGAUAUACUCAUCUACUCCAAGAACGAGGAAGAACAUGCCGAACAUCUAAGGCUAGUGUUGAAGAAACUUCGAGAGCAUCGCCUUUAUGCCAAAUUUUCUAAAUGUGAAUUCUGGUUGUCAGAAGUGACCUAUCUGGGUCAUGUAAUAUCUGGUAGAGGUAUUGCUGUUAACCCUGAGCGAGUUCAAGCCGUCCUUAAUUGGACUCCACCUGAAUCGGUCAAGCAAGUUCGGAGUUUUUCUAGGCUUAGCGAGCUAUUGCCGUCGCUUUGUCGAGAACUUCUCCAAAGUUGCUAAACCUCUAACCGAACUCCUCAAGAAAGAUAAGAAGUUCGAAUGGACUCCACAAUGUGAGCACAGCUUUCAGGAACUGAAAAGACGCCUGACCUCUGCUCCCGUACUGGUACCGCCAGACUUUUCCAAGGACUUUGUUAUCUACUGCGACGCCUCGCGACAAGGACUAGGUUGCAUUCUUAUGCAAGAUCGACACGUAAUUGCUUACGCUUCACGGCAAUUGCACCCACAUGAGGAGAAUUAUCCUACUCAUGAUCUAGAGCUUGCAGCCGUAGUCUAUGCACUUAAGACCUGGCGACAUUACCUCCUCGGUAACCGUUGCGAAAUAUUCACUGAUCACCAAAGUCUGAAGUACAUUUUCACCCAACCGGAUCUGAAUCUCAGGCAAAGACGUUGGGUUGAAUUGAUCACAGACUUCGACUUAGGAAUAACCUAUACCCCAGGGAAAGCCAACGUCAUGGCUGAUGCGCUAAGUCGUAAAUCUUAUUGUAACAACCUGAUGUUACAACAAAGUCAACCGCUUCUCCAUGAGGAAUUUCGGAAGCUUAACCUUCACAUUGUACCUCAAGGUUUUCUUUCCACCUUGGUGGCAAAACCUACCCUUACGGAUCAAAUUAUCAAAGCACAGAAGGUAGAUCCGGGAAUCUCCCGCAUCAAGAGAAACAUUCAGAAAGGAAUUGCGAAUUGUUUCUCCAUUAAUGAUCAAGGGGUCAUAUACUUCGGGGAUCGACUAGUGGUUCCCAAAGUGCGCAACCUGAGGCGAUUGAUCCUUAAGGAAGCUCAUGAAUCUCCUCUCACCAUGCAUCCCGGUAGUACUAAGAUGUAUCAGGACCUACGCCAGAGGUUCUGGUGGACUAGGAUGAAGAGAGAAAUUGCUCAGUAUAUUGCUAACUGCGACGUCUGUCGUCGUGUAAAAGCAGAGCACCAACGGCCUGCUGGCACCCUUCAACCUUUAGCUAUUCCUGAAUGGAAAUGGGAUAAAAUUGGUAUGGAUUUCAUUACCGGUUUUCCCAGGACCAAGAGAGGGAAUAAUGCUAUCUUCGUCGUUAUCGAUCGCCUUUCCAAAGUAGCUCAUUUCUUACCUGUUCGUGAGAGUAUAACCUCUAGUCAGCUGGCAGACUUAUACAUCUCCCGUAUAGUGUCUCUCCAUGGUGUUCCUUUGGAAAUUAACUCGGAUCGAGGAAGUCUUUUCACCUCUCGAUUUUGGGAAAGCUUCCAAAAUGCUAUGGGGACUCGUCUCUCCUUCAGCACCGCUUUCCACCCUCAGUCGAGUGGUCAAGUGGAAUGCGUCAACCAAAUUCUAGAAGACAUGCUUCGAGCCUCUGUUAUCUCAUUCGGAAUGGACUGGGAGAAGUGCCUUCCAUUUGCCGAAUUCGCUUACAACAACAGCUAUCAAUCUAGCUUGGGUAAAGCCCCUUUUGAAGUUCUCUAUGGACGACGGUGUCGAACACCCCUUAACUGGUCAGAGACCGGGGAAAGACAAUUCUUUGGCCCGGACCUGAUUCAGGAGGCAGAAGAACAAGUUCGCAUCGUUCGUGAAAAGUUGAAAACAGCCCAAUCUCGUCAAAAGAGUCAAUAUGACCGAAAACAUAAGGCUAUGACUUUCGAGGUUGACGAGAAGGCUUAUCUUCGGGUCACCCCUCUGAAGGGAACCCAUCGUUUCGGUAUCAAAGGCAAAUUGGCUCCUCGUUACAUUGGACCUUUUCGCAUUCUCGCCAAACGAGGAGAAGUUGCCUACCAGUUGGAACUACCUCCGCACCUCUCCAGAGUCCACGAUGUCUUCCACGUUUCUCAACUCAGGCGUUGCUUCUCGGAUCCUAUCCGUGAAGUGGACCACGAAACGCUUGAUCUCCAAGAUAAUCUUACAUAUCGAGAGUACCCCAUUCGUAUCCUCGAUCAGGCCGAACGUACCACCCGACGUCAUAAUAUCAAGUUUCUCAAAGUUCAAUGGUCGCACCAUUCUGAGGAUGAAGCAACUUGGGAAAGGGAGGAUCGUCUUCGACUCGAGUAUCCCGCCUUCUUCCCGGAGGAACCCAAAUCUCGGGACGAGAUUCUUUUGAGUGGGGGUGAGUUGUCACAUCCUAGCUAGCCAUGCAUUAGAGUGUUGCAUCAUGUUUCCUCUUUCAUCAGAAACUUGAAAUGGGGAUCUGUGAAACCCUCAGAAUCUUUUUGAAAAUGACCCAAAUAAAAAUUUCUCCAAAAGGGUCCAAGAAAAUGCUCAUGUUGCUCUCUGAAAAUAUUGGACAGAGAUAAAAAUCAAGCCAAUAUUUUUAAGAGCUCAUAGGUAUUUAUUUUGGGCAUUUGGAAUUAAUGCAUAAAUAAUUGCAUUGGAAAUAUAUUAAUUAUAUAUAUUAAUAUAUGUCCAAAUAUUAUGCCAACUAUAAAGGAGCUCUGGAAUAAUAUACAUAGCUCCUGCAAAAAUUGGCAUAAGUUAAAUAAAAUGAUUUAAUAUUUUAUUUAAAUCAAAACAAAUGUCAGAAAUUAGAAAACAGAAAAUAAUUAACAGGAGGAGCUUACCUGGGCUCCUCCACUGUGCGGCCCAGCCAGCUGGCUGGCCCAGCCAGCAGCCGGCCCAGCCCACCUCCCUCCUCUGUCAUCUUCGUCCCGACAGAGGGAGGGGAGUGUGGCCGGCGCGCGCGCGCGCCACCGCGCCACGCCACCUCUCUCCCUGCCUGCCUGCCCUCCCCUCCUCGCCUCGAUGCCCUGGACGACGCCACGCCUCUCCCCUGCUCUCUCUCACUCUCCCCCGGUUCUUCCCUUCUCUCCCUCGCUCUCUCUCUCACACGGCCGAACACCACCAUCGCCGCCGUUCGCCACAGCAGCCAUCUCCGGCCACCCCUCGCUCCCCCGACCAGCUCAGAAGCUCCGCCACGACCCCCUCUUCCUCCCCACCGCUCCACGGUCCUCCAGAAGCCCUGCAUCGCCGCCACGUCGCCGUUCCCCUCUUCGGGCUCCGACCAUCGUCGCCGUCGAAUUCGUCGUCUCCAGCGCGUCCCCGAGCCCGCUAACCAUCCCUGCAGCUCCGCGGUGAGCCCCGGAUCGUUUCCCCCUUCUCCCCUGGUCUCUUUCGACCUCUAGGCCGUAGCCCCGUCUUGGCCGAGAACUCCACGCCGCCGGCGAAGUCGCCGUCGUGGCCACGGUCACUGUAGCACCCAACCGAGCACACCAUCGUGCUCCACACCUCACCAGGAGCACGUAGCACACACCAACGCCUCCCCAAACCCCCUGCAACGCCGAUUCCGACCGCACCCGAACUCCGGCGGCCGCAGCCGAGCUCGCCACUGUCGACUCCGGCCACCCCAGGCCCAGCCACGACCACCGUCCGAUGCGCCGUCGAGCUAGCUAUCCAACGCACCUAGCCGCACGCCGUUUGGAGCACCACAGAGGAAACCCGAGGCCCCUGUACGCCGCGGACCUCGCCGGCGACUAACCGCCGGCGGGUUUGACUUGUCCGACCUGAGGUUUGACCCCCCCAGGGUCACUGACGCGUGGGCCCCAUCGGCCAGGUGGUCAGUUAGUGCUAAUUACCGUUAGUCAACCCCCCCUGACACUGACAGUGGGCCCCAGCGCCACUAAUCCCUAAUUAGGAUUAAUUUAAACCUGUUAAACCCCCCCCUGUCACUAACGUGUGGCCCCCACACGUCAGGUUUGACUCCAGCCAGCCGCAGUUGACCACUGACGUCAUGCUGACGUCAUGCUGGCGCAAUAAUUAUAAUUUCUGGAUUUAAUUUAAAUCAGGAAAUUCCAGAAUAUUAUUUAAACUUCAAAAAUUCAUAACUUUUAUUCUGUAACUCCAAAUUGGACAAAUUAUAUAUGAAAAAUGAUCAGAAAAAUCCAAUCUAUCCAUCUGUACUAUUUUCAUGCAUGAUCAAACAAGUUAAAUUGAUGUUUUAAGCAGAACAAGAAAAGGCACCUUAAAAGGCCAUAUUUGAAUUUGAAAUUUGAAUCCUUGAUUCAAAUUUGUUCAAACCCUUCUGGUUUUAGUUGCAUUAGCCCAACACACUCAUUUUGCCAUGUUUCAUGCAUGCAUCAUAUUGUUGCACAUUGUUUGGUGAUGGUUGUGUAUCGAUGUCCUUUGCGACAGGUUCUGCCCCCGAGGAGUACCGUGAUUACCCUAACGAAGAACCGUAUCAGUGCAUCGAACCAUCAGGCAAGCAACCAACCAUUUGAUCAUAUCGAUACAAUCCCAUGUUCUCGCUCCUGCUCUCUUUUACUGCAUUAAGACAACGCGUUUCAAACUGCUGUGUGCUACGGUAGUUGAACCCUUUUCCUCUGCAUGACCUGUCAUUGCCACAGUAACUAGAUGAAACCCACUAGCAUGUGUAGGAGUUGCUUGAGCCAUAUGUAUGUGUUGUUCCUACCCUGCUAUGCCUGCUAUGCUUAGAGUCGUGUCAGGUCUGGUUCAUCUGGGUGAUGGGCUAGAGUGAAAUGAUUAUGUCGGUAAUGGGAGUGGUGUGGUGAACACGAUUUGGUAAAGGUAUCGAUGAGAGGCCAUGUAGGAGUACAUGGUGGGUUGUUUCAUUGAAGCCGACCUUAAGCACUGAGAUCUCUAUGUGUGAUUUAAGAAUCAGCUACUACCAUGCAUUGGGCCCGAAACCAAUGGACCCUCUCGGCUUCUUAUUCACCCUAGUUCUCCGUCCAGGAGUUGCAAGUAGUUUCUGGUGUUUGUAGCCUACUGGAGGCCGUGGACAGCGCUGACCAUAGGGGUGGGCUGUGAUGCGGUAGGUACGUGGCACGGUGUACCGAAUACCCGUUAGGUAUCUCGGGAACCCUGUUCACAUCGUUCGGGGCCGUAUGGGAAACCUCGGCCGGACUCCCUGCGGAUGGAACCUGAAUAGGCGAUAAACCUGGACUGGAGGCUUAGGUGAUUAGGUAGGUCGUGGCCGACACCCACGUUGGGCUUCCGCUUGAAGGUUGCCGAGUACAUGUCGUGUAAACGACGGUAAGUGGUGAGAGCGUGUAUGAAGAAGUACACCCCUGCAGGGUUAACAUGAUCUAUUCGAAUAGCCGCGUCCGCGGUAAAGGACUACUUGGUUGCCUAUACAGUUCAUAGACAAGUAAAUGGAAACUACUAAAAGCCUCAAGAUAAGUGUGAGUGUCGAGGAUGGCUCUUCCGUAGGAAGACGGAGGUGGAUCCUCGGUAGUGUAUUGAAGUGGUGAGUAGUGGACUCGUGUGCGCAAAACCAUUUCAAGUUGGAGUAUCGUAGGAUAGCCUAGCCAAGAGUCAAAGCUGGCUUGCUGCAAUAACUCCACCAACCCUUCUUGAUACUAUGCAUGUAUGUAGGAUCUGAUGUAAGUCUUGCUGAGUACCUUUGUACUCAUGUUGCUAUAAUCUACAUUUUUACAGAAGACACUGCAACCCCUUCUGAUGGGUUCUAUGUAGACGUUGACAUCAACGAGUAGGCUAAAGACCCAGGUGGUGACCCUGAGCUUGUGAUGGACCACGUAGUAUAGCUAGGCUUUCCAAGCCUCUUUUAUUUUACUAGUUGUCUGUACUCAGACAAUGUACUUCCGCUGCUGGUUUGUAUGACUGUAUGACUUGUAUGUUGGGUCGUGAGACCCGUACCUUUGUGUAUGUUAUGUAUGGCUCUCCGAGCCUUAAAUAAAGUACUUGUGUCGUAGAGUCAUGUUGUGAUGCUUCGUUGUAUUUGCACAUAUCGAGCAUAUUGUGUGUAUGAUUGAAAUGCUUGGUAUGUGUGGGAUCUGACUAUCUAGUUGUUUAUCUUUAGUAGCCUCUCUUACCGGGAAAUGUCUCCUAGUGUUACCGCUGAGCCAUGGUAGCUUGCUACUUCUCUGGAACACUUAGGCUGGCCGGCAUGUGUCCUUCUUCGUUCCUGUGUCUGUCCCUUCGGGGAAAUGUCACGCUUUGAGUACCGGAGUCCUGUUAGCCCGCUACAGCCCGGUUUACCGGAGUCCUGCUAGCCCAGUGCUACAGCCCGGACCCACUUGCUGAUGACCGACACGUUCGAAGCUGGGUCAUGGAUGCCUGUCCCUGUAAGUCUGUGCCACUUUGGGUUUACGACUAGUCAUGUCAGCCCGGGCUCCUUAUCAUAUGGAUGCUAGCGACACUAUCAUAUACGUGAGCCAAAAGGCGCAAACGGUCCCGGGAAAAGGUAAGACGACACCCGUGGGGAUACCGUGCAUGAGGCCGCAAAGUGAUAUGAGGUGUUACCGGCUAGAUCGAUGUGACAUCGAGUCGGGGUCCUGACAUGUAACCCGGACGAAGGGAGUAUGGUGUAAGAGCUAGGGAUACGACAGGACAACAUAGCAAAGAAACUAGUUGAAUGUAAAACUAUAUGUUAGCGGAAUACAUACAGAAAUAACUAAGGCAACAUACAUGUGUAUGAGUGGGAAAAUAAGAUGGCAUUGCAACAUAGCACUAGAACAGCACUUCAAUGUAAAAAAACAUGGUAUGGCAGACAGAUGAAGUACAUACUGAUGAAUAACAAUGCAUAAGAUAUUCAAAAGCAUGAUGUCGAAAUUAAGCAGAUGGCAUUGCGAUAGAGUAGAAUGACAGUACUUGAAUUUGAAAACAUGUUAUCAUGAAUGGAAUAGGUACUGAAAAAUAGGAAGGCAUGACAUAUUUACAUGCAUGAUCAGCAUGCUAAGCACAUGGCAUUGCAGCAGAGUAGAUACACUCCAGGACAUUAUAUGCAUGUUGUACCCAUAUCACAGGACAAGUUAGAGCAAGGACCUUGUGGGGUGAAGAGGAUUCAUCAUCUUUCUGCAAGUCUUCUGAAGAACUGCCUUUACAUGUUCCAUCAUAUUGGGUAUCAUUGACAUCAAGUUUAUUGGCCUUUACAUUGCUCCGUGAGGUUCUUGUGGAUAUAUCAGUGUGUGCAAUUAUAUCUAACAUGCAUGGAAGACAACUAGUAGUUAGAUUUAUGUAAAUGAGUGCCUGUAGGAGAUGACAUAAAUAGUAGGACUGGGGUUAACUAGCAGCAACAGGUCUAAUAAACUAAAGGGAGAACACAGAUGAAAGCUACACAAUAUGUAUCGUUUGUACUCGAGAUUAACUAGAUGGCACACAAAAGUAUUAAAGAACAACAUAGGUAAUACUAGAAGUGGUAUAAUACUAUAAUCACCAGCCUGUGGGAUAGCAUUGGCUGAUGGAUGAUAACUAUGGAACAGCGUUACCUAAAGAACAAGUAUCUUAGCUGAACUAUGGAACAGCGUGAACUCCUGAACAAGACCCGUAAGAGAUCAGCAUGAAUAUACAAUGAAAUGUGAUGAUCUUUUUUCCGUGCUUAGAUGAAUAACAAAGCCAUAAAUGUUGCACACAAGUAAGAUGUCGGGGGUUGGGUGCGACAUAUGCCAAAGGAUGGCUUGUCAUGGUGGGGGCUAGUAGGACAUCGCCGGCGCCUGGAAACGGGAUGAGGCGAAGACAUGCACGCCGGCAGAUCUUACCCAGCUUCAGGGCUCUCCGAGGAGAUAACACCCCUACUGCUGCUCUGCGGGGUCUCCGCAUGGUCACUAAGGCAAAGUGGAUACAAGCUUGCUCCUAGAGUUGUUUCUGGAGGUAGGAGAAGGCGAGGCUAGCUCUCUCAUUCCUGUGUAGUCUGUCUAAUGCUAAUGGAUGUGAACCCUUUGCAUGGGUGACCUGGGGGGUUUAUAUAGGCCUACUCCCCAGGGUUACAAUGGUAAAACCGGCUGGGGCGGGUCCCAGCUGUCUGUCUCUCAGGUGCCGUCUUCUCCGCCGACUCCUGGGGCCCGCCGACUGGUGGGUCCCGCCGACUGGCCUGGUACGAGGGCGUCAGCCCGCGUCCGCCGUGGGCGGGUCUUGCCAGUUGCAGAUUACUGUAGACGUGCUUCUACUGACGCGGGCUUGGUCAUGGGGUCAUGGCAACAGCGCCGCCGCCUGACGGGCGAUCCCUGUAGCCACUCCCCCGUCGCAUCUGGUUAAUGGCGCGUGGGGCCCGUGGGAGGGGCCAGCCGACUCCGGGGGGGCGACUCUUGGCGUUCUCGCCGUCUUCAGUACUCUCGCUGACUGGUAGGCCCCGCCGUCUCCGGGCCGUGCAGACAGGCCGUCGUGGGUACAGGGCCCCGCCCCAGGGGCUGAUGUUAGGGCUGGCAUGGCAACAAUGCCGCGCCGGGCGGAGAUCUCCAUGGGUACGGCGCACGGUGGCCAUGCCUGCCUUUAAUUAUCGGGGUGAUUGGAGUUGCAGGCCGACUUCCAUAGUCGGCCCUCUUGGAGCCGCCUCUUGGACUCGGCUUUAUCUGGAAUCGCCUCUUGGACUCGGCUUUAUCUGGAGUCGCCUCUUGGACUCGCGGGGCUUCAUUGGUUGAUAUUUUCUACCAUAAAUUACAAUGUUUAGUCGCUGCUUGAAAUUUGGAGGUGCUCUGAAUUUAUGUUUGCAGCCUCAGAAAGGGCUAGCGAGAUACCAUUGUUGUCAUAUUAUAUCAUUUCGACAAAGUGUUGCCAUUUGAGAUAGCUUAUUAUUGCUCGCUAGUUGCUUAUGCUAUUGAUAUGAGUUAACAUAAUUUUUAAGAGUUAUUGUUGACAUGGUAAGUCAUAAUCUUUGCUGAAAACCUGGAUGCUACUUAAGCUUAUUUAUGUAAAAAAGAACAAAAGAGUUUGUAAAAGUUUUUUUAUUUAUCACUUUCAGUUUGUCAACUAAAUUGCUUGAGACAAGCAAAGGUUUAAGCUUGGGGGAGUUGAUACAUAUCCAUCGUAUCUACUUUUCCUAACGUUUUUGCUCUUGUUUUGGACUCUAAUUUGCAUUAUUUGAAUAAAACUAACCCGGACUGACGCUGUUUCCAGCAGAACUACCUUGGUGUUGUUUUUGUACAAAAAUAAAAAUUCUCGGAUUUGGAUAAAACUUUUUGGAGAAUUAUUUCAGAAUAUAUAAAAAAUACUGGCACCAAGAACCACCAGAGGGGAGCNNNNNNNNNNNNNNNNNNNNNNNNNNNNNNNNNNNNNNNNNNNNNNNNNNNNNNNNNNNNNNNNNNNNNNNNNNNNNNNNNNNNNNNNNNNNNNNNNNNNNNNNNNNNNNNNNNNNNNNNNNNNNNNNNNNNNNNNNNNNNNNNNNNNNNNNNNNNNNNNNNNNNNNNNNNNNNNNNNNNNNNNNNNNNNNNNNNNNNNNNNNNNNNNNNNNNNNNNNNNNNNNNNNNNNNNNNNNNNNNNNNNNNNNNNNNNNNNNNNNNNNNNNNNNNNNNNNNNNNNNNNNNNNNNNNCAUAAAUAGCUAUUUUUGGAGAAAAAAUAUGAUAGAAAGUUUCAUCACGUUUUAAGAUACGCAGCCGCUGCCACCUCCUGUUCUUCAUCGGGAGGCCAGAUCUGGAGCCUGUUCGGGGCUCCGGAGAGGGAAUCUUCGGUCUUCAUCAUCACUAACCCUCCUUCGUCGCCAAUUCCAUGAUGCUCCCCACCGGGAGUGAGUAAUUCCUUCAUAGGCUCGCUGGUCGGUGAGGAGUUGGGUGAGAUUCAUCAUGUAAUCGAGUUAGUUUUGUUAGCGCUUGAUCCCUAGUAUCCACUAUGUUCUGAGAUAGAUGUUGUUAUGACUUUGCCAUGCUUAAUGCUUGUCACUAGGGCCCGAGUGCCAUGAUUUCAGAUCUGAACCAUUUAUGUUUCACCAUUAUAUAUAUAUAUGUUCUAGAUCCGAUCUUGCAACUCAUAUUCACCUAUUACGUGUUACGAAUCCCAGGGUGAUAGUAAUUGAGGCACUUUUCGGUGAUGACCGUAGUUUGAGGAUUUCAUGUAUUCACUAUGUGUUAAUGCUUUGUUCCGGUUCUCUAUUAAAAGGAGGUCUUAAUAUUCCUUAGUUUCCUUAUGGACCCUGCUGCCACGGGAGGGUAGGACAAAAGAUGUCAUGCAAGUUCUUUUCCAUAAGCACGCAUGACUAUUUACGGAAUACUGCCUACAUUAUAUUUAUGAAGUGGUGCUAGUUUUGUAUCGCCCUAGGUUAUGACUAUUAUAUGAUGAAUAUCAUCCAACGAAUUCACCAAUGCAAUGCCUACGAAUUUUCCACAUAUUGUUCUUGCUAAGUUACUAUCGUUGCUGCUAGUGUUACACUUGGUACAAAAUUAUUGUUGUCACUAUUACCGUUACUACUAUUGUUACCACUGCUAUCAAAACUAUCAUAUUACUGUGCUACUGAUCACUUUACUGCAGAUAUUUAAUCUUCAGGUGUGGUUGAAUUGACAACUCAACUGCUAAUACUUGCAAAUAUUCUUUGGCUCCCCUUGUGUCGAAUCUAUAAAUUUGGGUUGAAUACUCUACCCUCGAAAAAUGUUGUGAUCGCCUAUACUUGUGGGUUAUCACUUUGCGAGAUGAGGUAGCCGUGUUGAUCAUCCUCUCCCCGGCAACCUGUUGGUCCCUUCCUACCGACGGCGUCGUGUCCUCCGAUCCAGGACGAGAUGGCAGGGGGCCUUGUUUAGAGGCAGACAUGGAUGGCGGAACAACUAUGGUUGGCUUCAUGGGAGUUGAUAGAGCAUGUCUUUUCUCCGACAACGGGCUACUACCUUGUCUUGGUCAUGUCGAUAGCAAGAUAUUGGCUUGCUGAGGGCCUUGAUGCCCAAGCUUGUUCAUGAUGCAUUCAUAGCUUGUUAGUGGCUUGUUCGAUAUCAAUGUAUCUUUGCCAUUUUUACAUUCUGUUAUAAUGGUCGUGGUAUAUGGGUUGUGGCUUUAUCUAUAAAGCAGGGUGAAUGUCUUUUGCGGUAAUGUAACAUCAUAGAUUCGUAUUCACCAGAAAUCCAGUUUGGCUCUUGCGAACAUAUACUCCUGCGCGCCAAAAUGUAUUUUGCGAAUGUCCUUUUUUUAAAAAAAUAGAUGUGUUCAUUGUACCCAAAUGCUACAGGCAAUUUUUUGGGGGGAAAGAUGAAGAAUUUUGAUCUGUGAAAAAAAAAGUCGAACAUCAAAUGUUACACUUAAUUUUGUUUUUUCACCGGUGAAGCAAUGAUACUUCAUUUCCCAUGUAAAUUGUCAAGCAUACUUGUUACAUUGACAUGAACAUCUACACACAAAUUUUUAAAUUUUUAAAUUUCAUUUAUUAUUUAUUUUAAAUUUAGUGUUCAUCCAGGAGCAUAGCUCCCCAAAGCCAAAACGGCCAUCCUAUUCACAUAAUUUUUUUUGAAAGAACCGGUGUAUCACCGGCAUUCAUAUAUUAGUAGGAAAGAGGCGGAAAAUAUGUUCAUGAUCAAGUGAUCAUGGUGGAUUACAAGACUUAGGCAUGAAAAUUUGAUAUGUGAUGGUCCUAGGCCGGAUCGCCCAGAGGAGUCGCGAGGCAUUUGGCUCCUGCCAGCUUCCAGCCUUCUGCAUCUCUCCUGAUUGCAGCGACGACAUUGCAUACUGGGCUUGUCUCGUGCCUGAAGGUGCGAUUGUUCCUCUCCUGCCAGAUGUGCCAUGCAGUUAGGAAAAUAAUUGUCUUGAGCUUCUCUCUGAGCCUCGGUCCUUCCUGUUGGAGGAUGUUUCGCAGCCGUGUGACAGAGGUGGUUGUGUCCUGGAUGUUCUCUGAAAUGAGCGCGAGCUUGUCGCAGUCAUCCUAGGUUGCAAUAUGCCUCCAAAUUGCUCUGGAGACCGGGCAGUCCCAGAAUAGGUGAGUUGAGGUCUCCAAGUUUCUUCUGCAAAGGGAGCAAAAGUAGUCAUUUUCCCAUCCUCUGCAUUGCAAUCUGUCAUUGCACCAUAAGCGGUUGCAAAGGAGCAGCCAGAAGAAGAUUUUGAUGUUUCCAAGAGCCUAGGUUUUCCAUAUGAGCUGCUUGUCAUCUGUCUUCGGGCAUUCUCUGAAUUGCAGCUUGUACGCUGAUUUGGCGCUGUAGCUGUCGGUGUUCUCAGUGUGCCAUGUGAUCUUGUCCUCCACCUGAGGUUGCAGCACCGGGCUUGCAGCUCGCAGCGCCCUCCAUAGGACCAGGAAGCUGUGAACAAGGCCAUCAUUUGGGCGGAGGCUGAUAUCUUGCACCCAAGAGUCGUCUGCCAGGGCAUCGGCUACGCAUUUUUUCUUUCCUUUGGAGCGCUUGAACAGGCCUUGGAACAAAGUGGCCAGGUUGGGGAUGGUGAUCCAUGGAGAUAGCCAGAACAGAGCUGACUUUCCGUUGCCGAGGGUGACCAUGGUCGCAGAAUCAAAAAGAGCUCUAUCGGUUUUGUCACAUGGAAGUUCAGAGCCCUUCCAUGGCCUUUCCUCACUUUGCCAUGACAGCCAUAACCAUCGCUGGCACAAUGCACUGGAGAAUCUCUGCAAAUCAAGAAUGCCGAUGCCACCGUUCUCCGUCGGGGUGCAAACAUUUUUCCAGGCAACUUUGCAUUUACCUCCGCUGAGCUCCUCAUCUUGAGUCUAGAGGAACUUCCGUCUAGCUUUGUCAAUUUCCUUGAACAGGAGCUUGGGAGGCCUAAGGACAGAGAGGGGGAACGUUGGGAUUGCAGAUAGAACUGAGCGGACGAGCACCCUCCUUCCAGCUAUGGGCAUGAGUCGCCCCUUCCAGCCAGCCAGUCGUGCACAGAUACGGUCUAGGAUGAACUGGAACAAAACCAUCUUUGGCCUUCCCAGGCUUAUCGGCAAGCCCAGAUAUUUGAUGGGGAAUUGGGUUAUUUGGCCACCAAAGUUGUGGAGAACUUCCUGGAGGUUUAUCUGCUCGCAUCUGAUGGGUGUGACCGAGCAUUUGGUGAUGUUGAGGCGCAGGCCAGAUGCUUCUCCAAAGCCGGAAAUGAUCUCAAAAAGCUUGUCAAGGUUGGCAAAAAUCACGGCAUCGUCCGCGUACAGGCUAGUGUGCAGCUUUAGCUCUCUUCCUGGUAGAGGUGCAAGGGUACCAUCCUCGGCCGCUUUGGCAAUCAACCGGUGAAGAACAUCCAUUGCUAGGAUGAAUAGCAGAGGCGAUAAGGGAUCUCCUUGCCUCAGUCCUCGACAGUGUAUCAGUGGGGAGCCCGGGUCGCCAUUCAGCGGGAAGGAGGACGAAGAGGAUCGAAGCAGCAGAGCGAUCCAGUCCCUCCAGCGAGAGCUAAAGCCCAGUUGCUGGAGCAGUUCAAGAAUGAAUUCCCAUGACACGGAGUCAAAAGCUCUAGCAAUAUCUAAUUUGAUGAGCAGUGCCGGUUUCUUCUUGCGGUGCAGAGAGCGAACUGAAUUCCUUACAUACAAGAAAUUGUCCUGGAGGCAUCUUGAUUUGAUGAAUGCACUCUGGGCAGGUGAGAUUACAGCAGAGAUCUUGUCCGCUAAUCGAAGAGAUAGCACCUUGGUGAUUAGCUUGGCGAGGGAGUUGAUGAGGCUGAUUGGCCUGAAGUCGCCUACUGAAUCAGCUCCGUCUUUUUUUGGUAGCAGCGCCACGAAAGCAGAGUUGAUCUUGGCAAAGUUAUCUCCUGGUAAGGCGUGGAAUUGGUUGAAGACAGCCAACACCUCGUCUUUUAUGAUAUCCCAGCAAGUUCUGAAAAACUGUCCGUUGAAUCCAUCCAGACCCGGAGCUUUCUCCGCUGGCGAUGCCAGAACUGCAGCCCAGAUUUCAGCUUCAGUAAAAGGGGCAUCCAUGCCUUCUGUUUGAAUAGAGGGCAGUUGAAUUUCAGCCCAGUUGAUGGUGCAGCCUCUUGUCUCUGCGGAGCCCAUGACCUUGCUGAAGUGCUCGUAGAUGGUGUUGGCCUUCUCAUCAUGCUCGAUCGCCACCCGACCGUCGACACGCAGGGAGUGUAUGAAGUUUUUCCUUCUCCUUGAGCAGAUCUUGGCAUUAAAUAAUGUAGUUUUGGCAUCUCCUGCUUUCAGCCAUGUAAUCCUAGAGGCCUAACGCCACCGAGCGCGCUCCACCGCGACCAGCCCUACCACUUUUUGCUUGAGCAGUUUCCUUAAGCUGAAUUCAGCCGGGGUUAGCUGCCGCUUCUCCAUUGCCACAUCAAAUCUCAGAAUGAUCUCUGAAGCUAUAUGGAAUUGUAGCUUGAAAUCACUGAAGAGGCUUCCACUCCAAAUCUUGAGGUCUCUGGCCACCCUGUCGAGCCUUGUUCUGAUCCUGCUGAAGGCACAAUUUCGCGUGGCCGGGCGUUGCCAUGCCCUUUGCACUGUCUCCCUGAAGUGAGCGAAUUUGACCCAGAAGCUCUCGAAGCGAAAACACGCUCGAUGAGGGGGAGCGGUGGCGCUUGCCAGGAUCAGAGGGCAGUGAUUGGAGCAUGAUGUGGAGGCGGCUACUAGCAUGAAGGAAGGGAAGAGGCCCUCCCAUUCUAGGUUAACGAAAAAUUUAUCGAUGCUAACUAGCGUUGGCGAUCGUCUCUCGUUGCUCCAUGUAAAUCUUCUGUUUUUACAUUUGAUUUCUUUCAGCGCCGCCGAAUCUAGAGCAGUUCUAAACCUACUCAUCAUUGCUCUGUUCAGGUUGAGGUUAUUUUUGUCUCUCGCUUCGUAGAUGACGUUGAAGUCUCCGUUGAUGAGCCAUGGAGUACCUAAUGGCGGGGCAGAUCUAGCUAAUUCAUCGAAGAAAGCCUCCUUGUUUGUGCCAUCCGACGGGCCGUAGACCGUGGUGAGCACAAAACUUGUAGUCGAGUUCACAAGAGACACGAUGGCUGUGAUCGAAAACUGGCCUACAGCUUGUGAAGAUAUGGAGACGAUAUCUCUGUUCCAGAAGAUCGCAAUGCCACCUCUAGAUCCUAUCGCCGGGAGAACUACGAUGUCUCUCAUCCAAUUGCCUCCUAUGUCACUAACCAUGGCUUGAGACCAGAUAUCUAAUUUUGUUUCCUGUAGACAGAGAAUGGCUAGUCUCUGUGCCGCGCAAACUUCUCUAACCAUUUCUCGUUUUGCCGCCGAAUUGAGGCCUCUAACAUUCCAUGACAUGAUAGCGCAGUUGAUGUCAUUCAUGGGGGCACUAGAGGUUUCUCCAGAAGGCUAAUACUAAUAUGAAGGAAGAACACAUCAACUACAUCCGUGGCAUGUCGACGGCCACCAAUAGGCCCCAACUUCCAUCGACAUGGAAGCUUCUCCUCUAACCGAACACUAAACACCUGCCCUAACUCAAGCCAGUCGGAGACUGACCGCCUCUGGAGACUACAGAUAAGUUGAAGUAACAUAAACUAAGCUUUCUCCCCGAGGGGAGCUCCGUCCGGGCCGGCGAGGCCGGCGGCAAUGCGAAGGGCAGCCGGAUCCUGGCGUGUGAGCUUUGCCAGGCCGAUGACGUCCUCCGUGAGUGGCUCGUCGAACUUCUUGAUGAGGGCUUUGGCCGCUUGAGGUGUCAUCUUGUCUUUUGGACCCAACAGCCCGAGGUCGCGGAUGAUGCGAAGAGUGGCACGAUGUGCCACUGGCACCUUCGUGCGGUUGCCUGCCUGGCGGGCGCUCUGACGCACUGGGGCUGAAACAGUCCUUGUCUUCUUGGGCGCUGACGGGCGUCGCGGAGGGAGCAGGGCGGGCUGGGCGUCAGCGAAGAGGUGGCGAGGUGUAGCUGCGACGUCUUGGUCCUGGAUGCCGAGCUGCUGCACCCUCUGGGUGACUGCGCCCAGCUGCAUCCCUACCGCAAUGGCUGGAGCCGGGGUGCAGCAGGCCUGAGCGGAGAGAGCAGCAACUGCAGGCAGGGUGUUGCUGCUGGAUGCGUUGUCGGGGAAGCAGAGCGGCUCCGAUGUCGCCGCCUCGGCUUCAAGGUCGACGUCGUUAGCCACAGCAGGAGGGGGCAUGGGAGGGGCCAGUGCCGGGGCGUCGUCGAAGAAGUCAGCCACUGGGUCGGAUGGGUGCUUCUGGGUAGGGGAACGAGUCGAUUGCACUUUCUUGCCCUUGGAGGAGUUUCGAUGGUGCUGAUGCUCGCGACGACUAGAGGGCGUGCGGCUGCGCUGACGUUGCUGGGGUUGGUCUGUCGCCUCACUGCCACGGGAGGAGCGCCCGUGCCCCAGCAGGGUGUCCUUCCAGGAGCGCCGGCCUCCUCCAUCGUCGCCGUCGUGGCUGCGCUUGUGGCCUCCGAAGGGCAUGCCGUGGCAGCCAGUGCUCACCACGGCCGGCCUGGAACGCUUAGAUCGGCCAUGGUCAGAAGUGGCUUGGCCAUCUUCGACCUUGAUGUACCAGGUGCUGGUGUAGACUGCUGGGAACGACCUGGUGUCGACCUCGGACUCGGAGGAGGGGAGGCCGCUUUGAGGUGAGGAGGAGGAGCGCGGGGACAGCGGCGUCCAGUCUUCGAUGCGGUCGACGUGGAUGAGCAGGUCCCGACGCCGAACCCACGGUGGGGGGGCCACGUCGCGGCUCGGUGAGGAGAAGCCGUACAUCUCUUCGGUCCGGCCGGCGCCGCGCUUGAUGAACCAGAGGGCGCGCUUGGUCGGGAUGUAUGAGACGUCCCACACCCAGACCCACACUCUGAAGGUCUUCGUGUGAUCUUGCUCGAAGGUUCUGGAGUCGAGUCGAUCCACCCUGCACCGGUCGCCAAGGGCCUCCUCGGCACCCUCAAGCGACCAGAGCUGCAUCGGCAGGUCUUCAAUCACCAGCCGCACGUGGAACUUGAAGUCGUCGUGGGUCAUGUGAUCAUCCUCGUGCCAGGGCCUGAUCCGGAGCGCGCCCCCGUCGACGAUCAAUGUGCCCUGGCGGACGGCCAGGUCGUGGUGCGCAGGGAGGUUGAAGCGAACGAGUAAAUCCUCCGGGUGGUGGUAUGUGACCCUCAGCAGGUGCGGUGGGAUGCGCAGCUGCGCCUCCAGUGCCUUGCCGACAGCCAUGGGGUUGGUGGGGCGCGACUUGUCGACGGCAGACAGCAGAACGGCGUGGUGGCGAAGGAUGGACUCCUGACGCUCCAUGGCUGGGGUGGAGGUGAUGAUCUUGUGGCUCUCACGGGGGCGACGCGAAGGGUCAACGUGGAAGUGGAGGCUAGCUGCCAUGGCGGGUGGCGGCGGAGGGUGGUUCGGCGGCGGAGGGAAACGGAGACGCUGGUGCACCGGCGCCUUGGGGGCGCCGGGCCGCCGGCGGGGCGGUUACGGGGGUUGCGGCUACACUCUCUACCAAAAUGGCCGGUGUUCUUGCAGUAGAUGCAGCGGAGAGGGUCUCUACAAUCAAUCCGGCGAUGCUCUGUGCUAAGGUAGCGGAAGCAGAGGCCAUCGAAGCGCCUUAAGAAGGCAGCGCGACCCGCGGAGGCAUUGAAGGCGGGGUGCCGGGGGGCGCGUCGGUGCGCUGGGGCGGCCAGUGGGGAUUGAAGAGCACGAUGGCUUUUCCGCGAGCGAUACGUGCUCCAUCCCUCGUCAUCUCCAGAAGGGGAAUGGUCGGCGGCCGGCGACGGAACAACCACGAUGGAUCUAAGCUGGGGUCGCCCAGAAGGGGGGGCGCAGCAAUAUCCAGUGGAGAAACAGGUGGGGCGGCAUGGGAGCACUCACCCCGGAGAAGGAGGCGUGGCGGAUCCGGUGAUGGGAUGCGCGGCGACAGCUGCGAAUCCGGGACCUCGGAUGGACCGAAGGGCGUAGGGGUCGCACGCCCAGAUCCAGGGGACGCCCAUGCCGAACGGUCCGAAGGCGAGCCUACAGGCGUUGAAGGCAGCGGAGGGGAAGAGGCCAUGGCCGUUGAUGAGGCGCAGCUGCCCGAGCGGGCAGCCACGGGGGCUGGUGGCCGCCGCGGCCGGAGUGGCCCGCGGCCCCGAGGAGGGGUGGAGGAGCGGAGGAGCGGAGGAGCGAGGUUGGAUCUGGUUGCAGCUCCCUCUUUUUCCUAUUCACAUAAUUCACUCUCAUCUUUCUCUGGAGCUAUUUCCUCUCGUGAAAUGCAUAUGUGUGCUUACUUUACCGACAGCAGGAGUUGUCCUUGUAUGCAUGCCCUUUGUGACUUCGUCUUGGGUCAAGGCAUUGACACGAAUUAUCUGAUAAAUCGAGAGAAAUUCACCUACUGUUUUCGUGAGUCCUUGGCUGCGAAGCAAAAGGGCGAGAAUGUAAGAGCCUGAAGUAACUUGACGCAUGCCACUCCAGCGAUCUGGGUCAACGUCGUACAGUAUAUGCAGAGCGAUCGAGCGGAUGGAAUUGCGUUCCUAGUUUAGUGCUCGUGGUGAUGCUAGCAUGCAUGUGAUGGACACACACUUGGUCCAGUGCCAGUACAAGUAGUACAACCAACCGAGUUUAAUAUGCGACUUUCCUCAACCAGCGUGAUGCUGCUGCUGGUGGUGGUAUAGAUCCGCAGCAACGGUCAACCAUCGACAGCAGUUUGAUGGCCCUGUUUGGAUCAUGGAGUUAGAGCUAGUUUGGGUUAUUUGGGGGCUCAAAUAACCCAAAAGUAUCCAAACGGAAAGAGUUAGAGUGAGUUAGUUCCAUCUAGCCCAACUAUCCCGGUGAAGAGGUGCUUAUUUGGGUUAGAGUGGGUUAGAAAAUAACUCUAACUCUAACUGGGUUAGAGUAUCCAAACAGGGCCGAUGUGUCUAGCAUGCAUGAUGGCUGCACACACUAUUCUAUUCUCCCCCGAGAGCAUCUCUAGCCGACCUGCAAAAUCCCAACCCGUAUAAGUCUUUUGCAAUUCGUGGAAAAGUGUAUAUGCGGGCUGGCGCGGGCGAGGUCAGACUCAGACCCUGCAAAACAGACCCGUAAAAAAGGAUAUUCGGUAAAUAUGUUUUUUUACGGGUCGGCUACGCGGGGUCAGCUCGGGCAUCGCCGCGUCGACCGGCAAACCAAAGACGCCCAAUUAUCGAAUUUGACAUCGGUUCCAACAAAUAAGUUCAAAUUCAAACAAUAGAACACAGUUCACGCGCAAAUAAAAGUUUAAAAUUUUGUAGGACAAACGCAAAAGAGGGUCUUGCAAAAGUGACGACCACGUCGGGCAUCAUCUUGGUCAAUCUUCACUCCGCGCCACCGAGUCCAUCGAGGUCAUCGCAACCACCGAGUCCACCUUCGGCACUUGUUCCAACUCUGGCACCAAAAUCAUCGGCUGGUGCACUAAACGCAUCGGUGACAUUGGUUCCAAACCCCGUUGAGAAAACAUCUCCGGCACUGUAACACGCACUGGCCGCCGCAAGCAUUCUCCUCUUCAAGAUUUCUCUUCUUACCAUAUCAUUGUCAUUCUUUGGUGAGGUCGUCUAUGUCAUUGCGGUUCAUUGUCAUGAUCUUGUUCUCUUCGGCGAGCAACUUGGACAUGGCUUUGUUCUCAGCGGCACGUGCUCUUCUCUCCUCAAUGGCCGCUUUGCACAGCCCCUCUUCCUUGAGCAAUUGUCAUUUCUCUUGCUUCUCCCAUGCCUUCUUCUCGGUCAACUCUUUCUUGAUCUCUAACGUCUUCACUAACAUCAACUCAUUUGAUUGCACCAUGGCACCAAUCUUCUCCCUCAAGCUCGACGCUUCGUGCUCUCUCUUCAUUUUCUCCUUAGUCUUCUUGUCGCCAUCGGGCUUGUUCAAGUUUCUUGGGCCAUCAUCAUCCUCAUCUUCAUCCAUGUUUGUAAGUGAACCUCUCUUCGGUGGGGAUUCUUUGUCAAUCAACUUCCACUUCUCGCACUUUUUGAGCAAGUCGCAACGAUUCUCUAGUUUGAAGAAUUUGCCUUCCGAAGCUUCCAUGUCCUUGUAUCUUUGUUGGGCCAUUUUGUCCUACACAAUUUGAACGAUGCAAUCAUUUCAUAUGAUGCAAUACGAUGUGCACAACUUGAACAAAGUCAAAAUGAACUCACAUAGUCGGAUUCCACGGUUCCACUUGGAGGUGCAUUGCGUACUUGCUCCAAGCAAGCUGGCCCACGGCUGCAAAUAGGCUUGAUCACGUCCCAACGCCCUUGGAGCGACCAAAAGGUGCGUAGAGUCCAAUUGGGAUACUUUGCCAUCAUGCGGAAGUAUUGAUCUUUGAUCCUUUGCCAAUACCUCUUGACGGUUUGAGAAGUACCCGUGCAUGCAUCAAGAGACAUCGCACGCCAUGCCUUGAUCAAGAUUUGAUCUUCCAAGAUCGUGUAGUUCUUCAAUAUCUGGCUUUUUCCACUUCUUGCUUGCGAUUGCUCAUACGCCCCUUCAUCGAUCUCCUCCACUUCUUCUUCACCCCCAUGGUCAUCCAAGCCGCACUCCAUUUCAUUGUAAUCAAAUGCGGCAAACAGGGCUUGAUCGAUGUCAACAGCGUUGGUGUCCAACAAGUUCACGAACUCGGCAGUUGCAUUGUUCAGACCACCACUAUAGUGAACGACAACAAGUAACGAGCUAUCGCGAAAGCAAAGAAAAUUUCCAUGACCGAAGAGGCAUACCUUCUGGCCAUUUCGUCGAACACCUCGCUUGCGGUGGGAACAACACCAUUGAGUGGCAUCGCCGGGGAACCUCUUUCCGGGGCGGAGGGAGUGGAUGAAGGAGCCGGCUUCUUUGUAGCAGGAAUCCUCUUCCGCUUCACGCUAGAGGCCUUGCCGACCUUCUCCGCCGCCGGCCGGGAUCACGCAGCGGUGUUGGCGCCCGAAGCGCGGGCCUUCCCGGUGGGGGCAGCCAGAUUCCUGCCCUGUACGACCACGUUGCCAUGCCGCUUGUGGACAGGUGCAGUGGUGCCUUGGGUGACGGCGGGGCCAACAUGGCUAGCGACGAGAUCCGCCCGAGGGAUUGAGCGUGCACGACCUCGAUGAUGACGGGGGACAGCAAGGUGUCAUCCAUGGCAGGGAAGGACUGUCAGGGAAGAUGCACCAGAGCGGGAGGUGGCGGGGGCAAUGGUGGUGGAGGGUGGGGGAGCGGGAACGGCCGCGCAGAAAUGUCCCUCCCGCCAAAUCUCGCUGUGGAUAGGGGUCGAGCUCGGGUCAUCCUCCCACCCCGUGAAUCUAGUGGUCGGGGGAGAUCUUUUGCCGUGCCCCGCAAAAAAUUUUACUGGUCGGACGCGUAUGCGGGGUCUGUUCGGGCGGGAUUUUCCGCGUCGAUCCGCAUUUUGGCGGUUAUUUUGUAGGUCGGGGCUUUUUGCGGGGUCUGCUAGAGUUGCUCUAAGUACUGCUGCCUUCCCAGAGGAACAUUGGGGGAUCCGUUCUUAGCACCAGAACGAGUUGUUUUACUCCUCUCAAUCAGCUCUCUUGUGUCCUUGUAAAAAAAACACUUGCCCACGGACAUGAACGCAGGAGACAACCAUUCAACGAUGUCCGUAUGCAUUCGGCCUCCCUUAAUUUUUUUAAAGUCCGUAUGAUCAAAUAGUCGCAUAAAUAGAGUUCACAUGUUCAACUAGCCGCAUACAAAGAGUACAUGCAUUUAAAUAGCUGCAUGCAAUACUAAUUUAAAUUUAAAAAGGUUCAAAUAGUACAUCUCAACAUUGUUUCCCUUUAACCGUCUACUGAUGCUCAAUCAGAUCUUCAUCCAGCUGCUCAUGAGUUAGUCGAUGCCGAAUUUGUUGAUGAAUUUGAAUAAACUCUUCAAAUGUGGCCGUACUCUGGUCUGGAAGUUUGAUAUGAUCAUCCAUGUUCUCAAAUUCUAGAGCUACGGCAUCAUCCUACCCUCAUCCUCGGUGAUCAUGUUGUGCGCGAUCACACAACAUGUCAUCAGUCCCCUCAAGGUCUUCGAAUCCCAUUGUUUAGCAAGUCUACAAAGAACUGCAAAACGGGACUGCAGACCUCCAACUGCACUCUCCACAUCCUUUCUAGCUGCUUCUUGUCUUUGAUGGAGUGAGAUUUUUUUUUGGCCAACUGGGUUAGUGAUGGUGCUGACAAAGGUAGCCGACGGAGGAUAGAUACUGUCAACUAGUCCAUGUUGUACUCAUGUCCAUUGAUAGUAUAGUGGCAAGGAGGGGUUUUCUUCCCUUCAGUCAGCCUCACACACAAUGAUGAUCGCUGGAGCACAUUAAUGUCAUUGUGAGACCCGGGCAUGCCAAAGAAACCGUGCCAAAUCCAAAGAUCAUGCGAUGCAGCUGCUUCAUGAAUGAUGUUGGGCUUCUUAACAUGACCCUGAUAUUGCCCUUGUAAAGCCUCCGGACAUUUCUUCCAUUUUCAACGCAUGCAGUCAAGAGAUCCAAGCAAACCUGGCCACCUCUCUUGCUUCUGAGAUUGCCAAGAGCCUCUUGGUGUCUACCACAGUUGGUUCACUCAGAUACUAAGGUCCAAACACCUCGACCACGACAGUUGCAAACCUGACUAUGGAUCUACGCAUGUGCUCUCAGUCAUCCGUAGGUACUCGUCCGACGAAUCAGUGGUCGUGCCCUAUGCAAGCAUUCGGAGUGCAGACGUGCACACUUCUGGUAACCAAAGAAGCCAAUCGUUCCCACAGCGUCCUUCUUCAAGACGAAGUAGGCAUCAUAUGACCGGACGCCAUGAUACAAACGGUCGAAGACAGUCUUACGCAUCCGAAAACGCGGCGAAAAUGUUCAGUGAAGAGUGCAUUGAGGGCAAGGUAGUCGACCAUCGGUGUUAAAUGGCCGCACCCCCUGUUGCGGCUGAGCACUUCGAUGACCCUUGAUCGAUCCCUUGAAAUUUAUAACAUGCUCCUUCGCGUCUUCAAGGACUGCUUGCAUCAUCACCGUCUCAUCCGUGUAGUACUCCUCGUCGGACGAGCCGUCAGAAAACUCUACAUAGUGCUUGUAUAUGUACUCCAAAUCGGAAUCCAUUGCUAGAAAGAAGGGAAAACUUUUUUAGCUCUGAAAAUCCAUCGAACAGUUGUCGGACAUGGUGAGUAUAGCAGUAGCCCAUGGUACCUAGCAGGCCGGUCGAAGUAGAGGGGUUGAACAUGGCGAAGGAGAAGCGGGGUGGACGCCGGCUGGAACGAUGGAGGUGACAGGGACAUAGAGUUCUGAUAGGGGUGUGGCGGGAUGGCCGGGGUAGUAGAGCGGCGAUGAAGGCCAGAGAGAAAGAAGGAAGGAGAGAACGUGGGGAGGAUGGAGGCGCAAUGUCUGGGAGGGGUUUUGGAUGGGUCAGGGGUGUCGGAGUCCUACGUGUCUGCUGUCCGGACUCCCACAAAGCCCCCCGUCGUUUGUGUCGGGUUUGCUGGAGAAAAUACGUUUGGACAACUCGGCGGACCGAUACAGGCCCGCGUUGGAUGGAAAACCGUGCCCCGUCUGCCAUGGAGAUGCCCUAUGAGAUUUCAGUAGAUGUUGUGUGUGGAUGUAUACAUGAUUAUGUAUUGUUUGUCAAGGGCUAGGAUGUGAGGGUUAUUCAAGGUGACAUUGAAAGCCUUUUCCUCCUAAACUUUUCAACUGAUAGGGGAAUUAUGCAGAACCCUUAGAAAGGUCACGCCCAUGGGGUAAUCCUUAGUUAUCAUGAGUUGUAACCCUCUAGGGAGAACUAUGAUAGUGGUGUGUGUGCCAUGAAGUCUACUUCGAGUAGGAUGUGUACUGUACCCGGCUCCGCCCAAUAUAAUAGUCAACAGUGGCUCAAAUAUCCAUCUCCUACUUAUCCCAUGCAUAGGUGCGCUAGAAACAUACCAAUGGGGAUUCUGGACUCCCUGAGAACGCAUUACUCAUCUGUUGUUCCAUCAGUCACUCUAGUCACAGUCGUUUAUUUACUUUUAUGCUAUUUCCUUCAAAGUUCGCUUCAUUACUCAAUCACAAUUAUUGACCGCCCUCACUUUGCUUCAAUCUACAAUUAUCUGCAGGCAUAAAAAUACAUAGUUCAGUACAUAGGCAAAAGUCUUAUUCCCGUGCCCCCUGUGGGAUCGAUACUCUUACUUCAAAAAGGCUACAACUAAACCUUGUGCACUUGUAGGCCAUCAAGCUUUUUCUGGCGCCGUUGUCGAGGAGCUAAGGGCUUUUGGGGCUUGCCUUAAGUUUUGAAUUAUUUUGUGUUUUUACGAUUUUUGUAGAUUGUGAGAAACUGUGGUGCAGUUAGUAGCCGGACCGGCUCGAGGAGAGAAUUUUAUAUCUAUUUGUCCUGACCUACCUGUUGCAGGAUUUAACUAAUGAGGAGAUAAAAGCUAAAAUAUUUUCUAUUCUCUUGAAAAGGAACAUGUUGAAUGGCUAUUGCAUCGACCGGUGAGUGCUUUGAGUAAUUGGACAGAGCUAUCAUCUGCAUUCUAUUCUCAUUUUUACCCUCAAAGACAACUAUAUAAGAUAACAAGGAAGAUUAGCAGCUUUGGGCAGCGACCAUGCGAGAAACUGGUAGAUGCCUAUAUAAGGUAUCGAGGUAUACUCUGUGAAUGCCUUGAAUAUCGUUAUCCUAAUUUUUUAAUUGUGAACUUAUUUUAUGGUGGACUUGACUCAGAGAGUAAACAGGCAUUGGAUAUUGCUUCAAAAGGUUCUUUUAUGGCAACCGAAAUCUCACGAGCCUGGAAUCUACUUGAUAGGAUCCGGCACAAUGUUGAAAGUUGGUACCUGUGUUCAAAGGAAAAGACAACAAUUGAUCAUGUUUAUGAUAGUAUUAAGUCUUUCCUUAGAACAAAUAAAGGAGAUGAAAAAUCUUUGUCAUGAGCUUAAUAUUGGGACUGGCCCUGUUUUACAUAUAUUGAAAGAUUUUUCUGAGUUUUUGCAGCUCUAGAUAAAAAGUUUGUGAAACACACCAAGGAAGGGAAAGCGAUCCGAAUGGUAGAAGCAAUCGUGAAGAAAAAUACUCCACCCCAAGACCGGAGAGAGGCUUAUUUUUUAAUGGAACGGGAAAAAAGAAGGGAGAAUCACUUUCUACUAAGCAUAAGAAGAGUAUUAAGGUAGAACAACACAGAACUCCACCACAUGUGCAUAUCGUGAAAGAACUUGCUACACCUAUAGUAGUGGUUAAUAAAGAAGUCUUUUUAGACCAAGAUACAAUCUAUUACCUUAAAGGGUGUACCGGAGGUAAGGGUACAAGUAAACAAAUUUAUCGUGUUCCUUUGGAAGUAAGCCUUAUUUUGGAUUGUGUGACCCAGGAUCCCCACUUCCCCAGUUAAUAUUAUUCCCUAUACUCUUUAUGAAAAAAAUUAUCAUGAGAUUUCUCCCCAUACUCUUGAGCCAAUUGAUGUUGUUAUUAAGCUUGCAGAUAAGACUGAUAGAAAACCCUGUGGCAUCCUUAAAGAUAUCAAAAUUAUAAUAGGCUCACUCAUUUAUCCAUUGAUAUUUAUGUAUUAAUGAUCUCAGAGGAUAAGGAUUGUCCUAUUACUUUUGGAAAUUCUUUUUUGAAUAUUGCAGGAGCUUAUAUAAAAAAGAAGACUAUCUCUAUGAAGUGGGGAGAUGAGAUGAUUAAAUUUUCAUUUUCUUCCGUCUUAAGUAAACCAUAUCAAGAAGAGGCUCAAAAUGAGGAAGAGCAAAAAUUGAAACAACUAGUUGAGAUUCACCUCCAAACUCCAGAAGAUGAAGUUGAAAGGGUCUUGGUAAGGCCCGAGUCCUUAUUUGAAGAAGAUGAAAAGGAGGAAAUUGAGAUGAUAAUGGAUGCUACUCCCGUAGUUUGCCCAUGUUUAAAUAAAGUGUAUGAGGUACUUGAAAGGAAAGGAGAUGAAGAACUACCUCCACCUAUUCUGAAACCAUUACCUAAAGGACUAUUGUAUGAGUUUAUGGAUGGCACCGAAAUAUUUUCUAUUAUUGUUAGUGCUGACCUUUUAGGAAAAGAAAAAGAGAAGCUAUUGACGGUGUUAACUAACACCGUAAGGCUUUGGGCUACUCAAUGAAAGACGUAAAAGGGAUAGAUCCAUCUAGUUAUUCUCACGAUAUUCCCAUUAAAGAAGGAGCUAAACUAGUAAUUGAAAGCCAACGAAGACUACAUCAUGUCUCCAAGAAUGUGGUAAGAAAAGAAGUAAUACGUCUUCUUGACGCUGGGGUAAUUUACCCUAUGUCUGAUAGUAGGUGGGUGAGUCCAGUUCAUUGCAUUCCUAAGAAAGGAGGGGUUUCUUUAGUAACUAAUGAAAAUAAUAACAUAGUCUCUACUAGGGAUAUUUGGAUAUGGAACGUGUGUAGAUUUUACAAAAUUAAAUAAAUGGACUCGGAAGGAUCACUGCCCAUUACCUUCCAUAAAUGAGAUAUUGAAAAUGUUGGCUAAAAACUCCUACUUUUGUUAUCUCGAUGGAUAUUCCAGAUUUUCACACAUACCAAUCUGACCUGAAGACCAAGAUAAGACCACCUUCACUUGUCCCUACGGUACAUAUGCAUAUCGUAGAAUACCAUUUGUCUUGUGUAAUGGACCACCCUCUUUUUCUAGAGUUUUCCCUGACUUUGUGGAGAAAAUUCUUUCAGAAGUGCAUUUCCAGAAUUUUCCCUGACUUUGUGAAGAAAAUUGUCAAAGUCUUUAGGGAUAAUUUUUCUGUCAGACACUUCUUUGACAACUGUCUCUAUAAUCUCACAGAAGUUCUGCAGAGAUGCGAAGAAACAUGUUUUGUGCUGAAUUGGAAAAUUAGCCACUUCAUGGUCACCGAGGGAGUAGUGCUGGGGCAUGGAGUAUCGGGAAGGAGUAUUGAAAUAGAUCAAGAAAGAACAGAGAUAAUAGAAAAUUGUAGCGACCCAACCCGAAUGGGUCAAGUCUCUGUGCUUACGUGUCAUCCCUGGAUCGGUAUGCUGACACACACAGUACUCGAGGAUUUAUAACAGAGGUAAAUCACAUGUAUAAAGUAACGUAAAUACUAUUACCUCAAUCCAAAAUAGCAGAAGUAACAAGGUUGUGGAUUCUCACCAACACCAACGGCAAAGUUGAGUGUAGAAAUCGUAACCCUAACGUAUCACUUACUCGUCGUAAGAUCCUGCAACAGGAGACGUUGCAGCUACAAAGGGUCAGUACAUUGAAUGUACUGGCAAAUUCACACCAUAGAGCAAUGAUGAAUAAAGUCUAUCACUACAUGCAUAUUUGGCUGGUGGAAAGCUCUAUGGUUACUGUUUUUGCGUAAAGCCAGUUUUUCCCUACUGCAAAGAAAUAAAUUUAUUUAACUAUCAUGGUGGUUGUUAAAUAUUGAGAAUGGUUGACAGCAUUCUCAAUCCCAAUUAAAAGUACUCAUUAACAACCCAACAAUAUUAAUUAAAGUAACAUGAUGAGAUUCACAUGAUAAUCCAAGUACUAGAUACUCAAUAUGACCAUAACCGGGGACACGGCUAAUCAUGAUUAGUUUGUACACUCUACAGAGGUUUGCGCACUUUUCCCCACAUGACUCGAUCGCCUCCAUUUGGUUUCUUGCACUACAUGGUGUUUGAGAAACGGAUGACCGAGACAUAGUCUUUCAGAAGCGCUCGCACCUUACGUAGAGGGUAGACCGUACCAACCUACAUCCCCUACAUCUGCUAGUCUACCCUGUAAGAGUUUGCAUGACUUAGUCAACUAUGCUAGAGCCCAUAAUAGCAUGUGGCUGCACACGGAAGUUUCUAGUUUGAAUAAUCUCAUGAUCCCUUUGAGCCUGGGUGGCGGUCCGAAGAAAAAUAGGCAAGUCCUGGAAACCCAGGUGCCUAGACAGGCAAGUCCUGGAGUAACCAGGUGCCUCAAUCCACCCAAAUGUGUAUUAAAGUUGCCACCUUAAAUAAACCAUUAAUUAACAAACUCACAUCUGUCAUGGAAAAUUCACUCACCCAAUCCACGUCUACUUGCAUAACAUGGCAUAAUAAGCAAACGUAGAAGUAACUACCAAGGGUUUGAUAAUAAAACAGGUAAUAGGUACUACCUCAACUAAUUCCCAUAACCCACAAUUUAAUUAGAUCCUAAUCAUGCAAUGUUUGAGGAUAGAUCUAAUGCAUAAAAACUGGGUAUGAGAAAAGGUAUGAUCAAAGUGUGAACUUGCCUGCAAUGUUGAUGAAGAUGAUUCGCACUCAAAACUCUUGAUAGUUCUACUCGUCACACUCCGUUCAAUCUAUCAUAAGCAAACAAUAGUAACCACACAUAAGCAAUCACUCAAAAGAUCGGAAAGAACGAAGAAGUAUGAUUCGGAAAACAUCAAAACCAAACGAAUAACUCUUGCAACAAUAAACAAUUCCUAACAGUACCAAAAUUAUGUGAAUUUGGCCUUAUCAGAAAGUUUAGGUCAAGAGCUUCGAUUUGCAAAAAGAAUCAACUAAAUCGGAGUUACAAAACUCAAGUUAUGAUCAAACGAAGUUCAAAUUCAAAUUUGAUCUAAUUCAAAUUUUAAACUUUCAAAAACAUGUUUGAGUUGGAUUACUGGAUAGAGGAGAUCAUAACGAAGAAGUGGGCGGUGGUUUCGUCGAAUUUGGAUAAACGGACAAAAAGUUGUGAUUGUUUUAAGAAUAGGGACUAAUCUGUAAAUAAAAUAUUCACGGAUGGGUCCCUGGCCGGAAAUUAAAAAGAAAAAGAAAAAUCCUAUCGAACGAACGUUCGCUACAGGAACUAAAGAACGAACUCGUUCACUGUAGAAGCUAACAUAGCGAACGUUUACUGAUUAACUCAACUUAGAAAAUAAACCGAUCUAAUAAGUAAAAACCAACCUAGUAAAUAAAAACCGGACGAGUUAACGGUUUUAUUCCGGUUCGAAAAAAAAACGGCAGCGGCGGUUUUCCGGCGGAUCUCCGGUGCAACGGCGGCAGCGGCGGUUCGGGUUCGGCCGGGGCGGAGGCUCCGGUCAUCGAGGGCGGCGGCGAAGUGGUCGGGGAGGAGCGGCGAGGCGAGGCGAGGAGGUUCGCGGUGUCGACGGUGGUUCCCGGUGACGGAACGAAGCGGGGCGGCGGCGACGGAUCUCGCCGGCGACGGCGGAUUUCAAGGAGUGCGACGGCGGCUGCGACGCGAUGCGGAGAGGAAAGGGGAGGCGGCGGCGCGAGAAAAGAGAGAGAGGCCCGGGGCUACGGCUUAAAUGGCGUGGAGGAGGGGUAAGGCGGCGGCGGGAGGCCAGGCGGAGCACGGCGGCGGCGAUGCGUGCGCGCUCGGGAGUCGGGGACGAAGGCGGUGGCGCGCUGGGCCUUGGCCUGGCUUCGGCUGGGCCGGCCCAGUAGGUGGAGAGAGGUUUUUUAAAAAAAAAACAUUUUUCCAGCAAAACAAAAAGAAACGCAAAAUAAAUAAUUUUUUUACAUAGGUAUAUAAUAUAUCAAAAUUUUCAGAAAAAGAUUUUCUACGACAUGAACAUUUUUACAAAGUCAAAUAAAAUUCACACAAAUUCAAAUAAAACAAAGAGUGCUUCUGCUCUAGUAAAAUCCAGUAAAAAUCAUUUUAAAAAUACCAAAAUUAAUUCAAAUUUAUUUCUCUCCAAUUUUUCUGAUGUAGGGAAUCAUGUUACCCUAUUUUCCAUAUAUUUUAUUUUUGGAGAAGAAUAAUUUGAAUAAAACUCAAAUAACUCCAAAUGGAAAAGUAAAUUCAAAAGAACUUUGAAUUUAAUUCUUUGAAACUCCCAACUCAUAUUUCAAAUGUUUUGAAGAAGUCAUUUUAUCUUCGCUCGUGAAAAUCAUUGAGUUGCAUAAAGUUCCUGGGUUGGAAAUAUUGUCCAAAUGAAAUUCAAAUAUUUUCAACACCCCUUGUCAUUUAAAUAAAUGGAAGAAGUCAUGACAUCUUCUCUCCAGGGUUUUGUGGUGAAAAGAAUUUGAAUUCACGGAGAUCAAAAUGCAAAAAUGAAAGUUUGGGAAAGUCCUUUUAUUCCCUCUCAUUUAACUUUCAAAAGUUUCAAAUUUCACUCAAUCAAUCACACAACAAUCAAACAAACAAUCAAUCUAUCUAUUUAAUAUAACAUUUCAAAAUUUAGAAUUUUGGGAUGUUACAAAAAUGUACCUUACCCUCAAUAGAAGGUUCAUUAAGGAUUUUUCUAAAUUCAUGUAUGUUAGCAAUGAUAUGUGAUGUGCACUUUGUAAAAAUUAACUUCAAAUGUGGUGUUCACUUAAAUAAAAUGCACGAGAUAUAAAUUUGUCUUUUUGUACAUAUCACAUGAUCAUAUAUUUUGUUAUGAUUUUUUUAUAUGCACAUCAUAUAGUGAGUUACACCCAUGAAUUACUUCGUAAUUUUCAAAGCAAAAAUGUAGUUGUCGUACUACCUUCGUCUGGUUUACACGUCUCUUUCGUACUUUGUGUUAAAUUUCGGCUGUAGAUUUGACUAACAAAAUAAAAGUUUUAAAUCACCAAAUUAUAUUGUAGGAUUCAUAUUCAAAAGAGAUUUCCAAUUAUACUAUUAUUUUGAUAUAUAAUUUAUUUUUUGGUAAUUAAAUCAAGGGUCAAAGGUAGACCAAAAAUACAAUAGGGCCAAAAAUACAAUAGGGCUAAUAAACCCAGACAAAGGUAGUUAACAAUUGAACUUGAACUUGAGCACUCUUCAGUCUUCAUCCAACUUUGUAGAGUAUCGCGUCUGUCCACACCUAUUUGGCCACCGCGGCCUCCUUGCAGUCCUCUUUCCCGAAGGCGGAGACAGGGAAGGUCCUCCCCAGCCCCGGUGGGGGUCUUGAAGGUGAUCUUGGAGGGGUCGCCCUUGUCGAUGUACAUGUCGCAGAGGGUGAUCCAGAUGAGGAGCUCCUUGCUCUUGACCCCGGUCAUGCGCUUCAUCUUGCGGUCCUCGACGAAGGCCGUCACCUCAGUGGCGUACGAGACCUGCCUCCCGAUCUGCUUGAAGGUGUGCGUGAGCGCCUUCUUCUGGCGCAGCCAGACGAAGCCGGUGGCGCGGUUGUAGCCGACCUCCUCGAUGUCCGCCAGCGGCAGCAGGCCCAGCGGCAUGUUGGUCUCGGCCAGCAGCUCCAACGCCUUCUCCGCGCACAGCACCGCGCCGUGGUACACCUCCGCACCCUCCCUCUGAGCCUCGAUCGCCUGCGCCAUCUCGACUGAUUGAAUCAAUCAAAUCUCUCAAAGUAAGCUCAGAUUCAACUCUACGCGCUGGAGUUGCUGGUGCCUUUUUCGGUCUUGGGGGAUUUGGUUUGCUGUUGUGGAAUUGUGGGUGGGGAGGGGCGGAUUUUAUAGCUGGAUCUGGCGCUUUCCGUUCCGGGAUGGAUACCGUCGUCCUAGCUGGGGAGGAAGACGGUUGGGAAAGGGGAUUUAAGGCCAGGGUUUAUUAAUGCGUGGGGAGGAAACUGGUUGGGUCUCCGGUCUUCGACGCAUUUGUGGUUUUCUUGCUCUCUUUUUUUUUCUUUGAACUGUUCCCCUUGCAUGAUGAAUUACAUAUUACCUACAUUUCAGUCAGCCGACUUUUCAGUUUUGGGUCAGUCGAUUUUGAUUGAAAGAAGGAGAAGGAAUGGCCUUGCCAGAGAGAAGGAAGGGGCUCGCCGUCAUCACCACAUUAUCUAUCUUAGGGUUCAGGGCGGGGUAGUGGUGGACGGCGAUGGUGGGGCGGUGGUGUGGGUUCACCGGAGAAAAAAAACUAGAUGGGGUCGGGGCUAG